rnacentral:lncRNA from 1 species
UCAGAUCAUACUGAGUUAAUUGAAACUGGGAAAGAAAUAAUGGCCAAACUGAAACGUAAUCCUCUUGCAGCAAAAACUGUAGGGAGAUUACUAAGAAAACAGCUCACUUUGGAGCAUUGGAGAAGGGUUCUAGAGAGCAAAGAAUGGGAACUCCAAACCAGUGACAAUGACAUUAUGCCAGCGUUGAAGAUUAGCUAUGAUUAUCUUCCACUUAACCUAAAGCAAUGCUUUUCCUAUUGUGCUUUGUUUCCUGAAGAUUACGAAUUUGACAGCAAAGAGUUAGUUCACUUUUGGAUAGGACUAGAUGUUUUACAUCUGGGUGAUCAGAGCAUAAGAAUAGAAGAUGUUGGCAAGAGUUAUUUGAUUGACUUGGUCAACUAUGGAUUUUUCAAAAGGAACGAAAAAGACAAUGGCUGUCAUUAUUAUGUUAUCCAUGACCUAUUACAUGAGCUGGCUGUGAAAGUUUCACGGUACGAUUGUCUUAGCAUACAAAUAUCUAAAGUGAGGUCUGCACAUAUCCCGGCAUCAGUACGCCACUUGUCUAUCAUUGUGGAUAACAAAGAUGUUGAGGAUAUAAUUACUUAUAAAGACUUUGAGAAGGAUCUUGGUGCACUUGAUAAAAGGCUACAAAUUGAAAACAUACGUACAUUGAUGUUGUUUGGUGAAAAUGUGCAGAGUUUUUCCAAAACAUUUGGUAAUUUGUUUAAGAAAGCUGGAGCCCUUCGCGCUAUUUUUUUGUCUGGAGCAUCAUAUAUUGUGGAGGAUAUGUGGCAGAACUUUUCAAAGCUUGUCCACCUUCGCUACCUAAGGAUUAAGGGGGAUUACCAUUUUCUGGAAACAGACCUACCAGGAACAAUUUCAAGACUAUAUCACUUGAAGAUCCUAGACAUUAAAGAUUCCUCGAGCUGCCCUAUGCCAUCAAGAUAUUUAAGCAACCUCGUAAGCAUGCAACAUUUUCUUGUCCCUGGCAAUAAUAGCCUUCACUCAGACAUUCUCAACGUGGGAAACCUGAAACUUCUACGAGAACUAAGAAGAUUUGAAGCUAAGAAAGAAAAUAAAGGUUUUGAGUUAAAGCAACUAGCAGAACUACUAGAGCUUGAAGUACUGGGCAUUUACAAUCUUGAAAAGGUUAAAGUAAAGGAAGAAGCAGUUGCAAUAAAACUAAUACAAAAACACCAUUUACAAGAGCUCGUACUAGAUUGGGAUAUUAAUCGCUCCGAUAAGGAUCCUAUAGGAGAAGAGAAUAUCCUUGAAAGUCUUAUGCCACAUAGCAAUCUCUACAAGCUAUCUAUUGCUGGGCAUGGAGGUGACACUUGCCCUUCAUGGCUUGGUACGAACCUCUCGGUAAAAACUUUGGAAUCUCUUCGGCUGAGUAACGUAUCUUGGAAAACAUUUCCAUCUCUAGGAGAGAUGUGGUUUGUCGGUGAACAUUGUAAAAGCUGUAUACCAGAACAAAGCUUCAAAAAAUUGAAGAGGCUAGAACUGGAAAAGGUACCAAAAUUGAUAAAAUGGGUUGGGAAUGGCCCUUCUGAUUUGUUCUCUCACUUGGAAGUACUCGUCAUCAAAGACUGCCCAGAACUCAUGGAGUUGCCAUUUUCACAUUGUGCUGGAUAUGGACAACACGUUGAGGAUAACAUGACCUGGUUUCCUAAACUGGAAAAGCUCGAAAUUGCAGAUUGUCCAAAGCUAUCAUCAUUGCCUUGUGUUCCAUGGUCUAGCUCUACUUGCAGAGCUGAGAUUGUACAAGCUGGUUCGGGUAUUGAGCAGCUGUCUUUCAGUGGAGAUAGGUUGAAAAUUGAGGGAAAGGACACAUUGGAUAGUGCUUUUUGGAGGGUGUUAGCCUUUCAUAACCUAUCCAAACUUGAAGAAUUGUGGGUGACGACAUGCCCUCCUUUGUCACUGGUUCACCUCGAAAAGCUAUCAUCCCUAGAGAGCCUCUGGAUAAAUGAUAUGGGUGAGGCCUUUUGUUCGGCUGAAAGUGAUGGUCAUGCCGGAUAUCAAUUUCCAGUUGAACGCAUCACGAUUGGGCGAUAUGGUGGUAGUGGGCAGCGACUGACACGACUGCUCUCUUACUUCCCAAACCUCCGCACGUUCUGGUUGUUCAAGUGUGAGAAGUUAACAGGGUUAGGCGUUGUGGGCCUGCAUAAGAGGACGGAAGCACUGCCAAGACCGCCGUCAAUUUCAGUUAACCAAGUGGAGGAGGCACAAGUUGGACAGCACGAGCAGCAGGGCGCAAGAGCAGGGGAGGAAAUAACAUCAGAAGGGGUACUAUUGCUGCCUCACCAAUUACAAAGUUUGUUGAUCUUGGACUGCCAAAAUUUGGUCCUCUGCCCAGGUUUACUCGACCACGACGAAGACGAAGGACGAACCGGAGGCCUCCAAGGUCUGAGCUCCCUCACUUCAUUAAUUAUAAGGAGAUGCCCCAGGUUCCUCUCCUCCUAUUCGUCGUCGUCCUCUUCUUCUUGUUUCCCUUUCCCAACCUCCCUGGAAUCUCUCUAUCUUAGCAGCGUGGAGGGCAUGGAAACGCUGCUCCCUCUCUCGAACCUCACCUCUCUCACAGAGUUAGACAUACAGGAAUGUGGGGAUCUUAAAGGCGAGGGACUGCAGUCUCUCCUCGCCCAAGGCCGUCUCACCAGAUUAACUGUCCUCGAAACCCCCAAUUUCUUCGCUGGUUCCGAGCCCUCACUGCCGCGUGAACAAGAGCUUCCAUCCUCUUCAUCCAAACUGCAGGAGCUUCACACGGAUGACGUCGCGGGUGUCCUUGCUGCGCCCAUCUGUGCCUUGCUCUCUUCCUCGCUCACCCAAUUGGACUUUUCGAGGGUCAGAGAGGUGGAGCGCUUCACAAAGGAGCAAGAGGAGGCCCUUCAGCUCCUCACCUCCCUCGAGGGGAUCAGAUUUAGGCAGUGCGACAAGCUGCAGUGCCUCCCUGCAGGGCUGCAUAGACUUCCGAACCUCAAGAGAUUAAGAAUCUUCGGAUGUGCAGCCAUCCGAUCACUGCCCAAGGAUGGCCUGCCAGGUUCCCUGCUAAAGUUGGAGAUAGACAGUUGUCCAGGCAUCCGGUCUCUUCCAAAGGUGGAAUACCUUCCAAGUUCGCUGCGAGAAUUGGUUGUCGCUGAUGGGAACAGCGAGGAACUAAGAAGGCAUUGCCGCAAGUCGAUAGGAACCAUUCCAAUAGUCAGAGCCUGAUUUACCCAAAGGUAACAAAGAGGUGGAACUUCCUAGUCACCAAUUUCCCUUGCUUUUCCUAACCCUAUGAACAUCAGUUAUUCUCCUUUUGUUUAUUUGAUUACAGUUAUGGUUUCCUUCCAAAUAACCCACUUGUUUUCACCUAUGGUGCAGGGCUGUUGUUCGAAUUGGGAUUUUCACUGUACCCAAACAUGAUUCUCAGUUGUCAAGCGUGAACAUCUCAGGAUAUAUCUAACACGCUGUGCAUAAACUGGUUAGUAUCCUGUAUGCAAAAUCAUCCGAGAGUCCCACAAAAUAUCUACAAAUUUGAUCCAUAUUUUUUUGUUAAUCCUCUGCCAAUUGUUUUUGCUAAUUAUUUGGAUGUCUUUUUCUUAUAAUUAUUGAGGAGUUUAAACUUUUCGUAUUGGAGUUGAUAAAAAACUAUUGAUAGACAAUUUUCUCACUCACCGAACCCUGAUGUGUGAGUUUAUCAGUUUAAGAACGGCUUGUUGCUCCAACAACUUUCAAGUUGUCUUGGUGUACUGCUACAGAAAUAGGCUGCAUCCACAACAUAUUAACUCUGAAUUUAUUUGUUGGUUUUGCCAGUUCACCAGAAUAGUACUUCUCAGAUUGUAGGACCAACAUAUUAACUCUGAAUUUAUUUAUUGGUUUUGCCAGUUUACCAGAAUAGUACUUCUCAGAUUGUAGGACCUUUUUUGACUACUUGCCUUUGUUUUCUGAUCUAUUGCUGCACAAAAUAUUGCAUCCUUACGCUUUUCUGAUAUCCUAAUUUCUUUGCUUAAUGCUGGACUAAUUUGCUGUACCAACAUGGUAUCACCGAUGUCUCAUUUUCUGUAUUCCAAGUCAGCAUACUUAUUGGAGUUUGAUGGACUUAUGUCCAUAUGUAUUCUUAGUAUCUGCAAAAGUCUCCAUUGGAACAUAUGUAAGCAAAAGAAGUGGCAGAAGCUAACCUAGAAAGCAAAAUAUAAACUUCUUUUUGUACUGCCACAUAGAGUUCCAAAAAAAAGUCUCCAUUGGAACUUAUUUUGCUAAUUAUUUGGAUGUCUUUUUCUUAUAAUUAUUGAGUAGUUUAAACUUUUUGUAUUAUAGUUGAUAAAAAACUAUUGAUGGGGAGUUUUCUCACUCACAGAACACUGAUGUGUGAGUUUAGCAGUUUUAGAACCGCUUGCUGCUCCAACAACUUUAAAGUUGUCUUGGUGUACUGCUACAGAAAUAGGCUGCAUACACAACAUAUUAACUCUGAAUUUAUCUAUUGAUUUUGCCAGUUUUCCAGAAUAGUACUUUUCGGAUUGUUUAGGACCUUUUUUGACUAAUUUUUUCUUUGUUUUCUGAGGUAUUGCUGCAGAAAUCCUGUUUUAUGCUUAGUUUCACUUUUUGAUAAUUCAAUCGGAAUUCCUUUCACAAGUUUUUCUUUUCUUUCUUCAAUGCAGUGAACCUUGAUGGAAAAAUAUUUACGAAGGUUUUAUAAGAUAUCCAUUCUCAAACACCUAAGGUAGCAUUACAGAUAGUUAGAUCUUCAUAGUUUUUUCUUAAUUACCAUGAAUUAUGUUUUAAGUGUUAACCUUUCCAUGUCACAGGAGAGCAAUUUAUUUUUCUGAUAAGCGACGAAAUGUAUGCUACUCAACUGCACAAGUGUAAACCUGCCUAACUGUUGCUACUGACAACAGUAAGAGCCUACUCAAUCUUUGAAUUAAGUUACAAAUAUCAUAGUCAGCUAAUGUGAAAACUCUCAUAUUGUUCCUCUAGUUUUCUAGAUCAAGCUUGGCAUCUUAAGCAGAUGUUCAGAUGUUCCUAGUGGUUCUAUGAUUGGCAGGUCCGGCCAGUGCCAUCUUAAGCAGCUGUGAACAAAGUGUUCCUUCACAUUGCACUCAUCUAGAUCAGCAGAGUAGCUAGGGGUGGGCGCUCAGUCUGACCGAACUGAACCGAUCGGUUCUUCAGGUUUUAGCAGAUUUCGGUUACCUAAAACUAGGAACCGAUUGGUUCCAAAAGUUUCCAAGACUGAGUAGCUUCAUGCAUUCUAUGCUGCUCACACUUGCUUGCUUAUAUACGAGGUGAUUGUUACACUUUCCCUGAGGUCCUUUGUGAUGCCAGUAGACAUUGUAAAUGCCGUUCUUUUCCUGGAGAAAUAUUGAUCAAGCUUUUUCCCUCGGUGACCUUGCUUGCAGGAAUUAUGUCUCAUUAGAAGGUGACAUUGAGGGCGGGCACUGUACCUCCCUGCAUGCCUUGCUGCCCACCUACUGGUCCGUGUGCGGGAUGGCUCGAGCACUGCAUUCUGGGAAGAUUCAUGGCUUCCGGAGGGGCCGCUCUGCGACGUUCUCCCGGCGCUCUACAGCCAUGUGGUCACUUCGGGCGCUACGGUGCGCGAUGUUCUACAAGGGGGCGUCGACCGCUUCCUACGAAUCAGGGCGCCACGGUGCAGUUGAUGCUGAACGGCAUGCAACUGAGGGACGGGGACGACACCCGGUGCUGCCCGCUGCAAGGAACCCACGGCGAGCCACUCUGAUGGCGGCCACGGACCUCUCUCCCUGCUACUUCGCCUCCUACGUCUGGAAGAAUCGUGCUCCGCCACGAGUGAAGUUCUUCAUCUGGCUCUUGGUCCAGGAACGAAUACCAUUACCGUGCAGGGGCAAUUUGGCCGAGAAGCACAUGGUGCCGAACGCCAGGUGCGACCUCUGUGGCCACCUGGAAGAAACGACGGAACACAUCAUCUUCCAGUGUCCGACAGCUCUCGCUCUCUGGGCACGCGUGGGGUACUGCGCAGGUUGCUGCAUGCGCUCCUGCCGUGAUGAUACAAAGCUCUGAGCGGCGCGGGUUCCUGGUAUAGCUUUCAUCUUGACGCCGAUGCAGAACGCCGAUGUGAUAUCUUUCAUCCGUCCUGUAACCCCAAAAUUUAAGUGCAUAUGAAGGGAAAAAAGGUCUUGACAUGAUAGUCAAACAAUUUAAGUGCAUACGCAGGGAUCUCCCCUGUGCACGCGCCCGGAUUUUCAAACGACGCCGACGAAGUCCAAAUAGCAGACUCAUUAAUAGAGUGCCUAAUUCUUGGGACUGUGAGUGCAAUAUAACGAAAUACGUGUGGGUUCUGAAAUGCGAGGAAAUUACAGAGCUGGUGAGCGAAAUUCAAGAGACUGAGCCUAGGGGAUGGUUAGCGGCUAUUGUCAGCUCGCUAAAACAUAAGGAUCUGAUGAGGACGGUGGUCACUCUUUGGGCUAUCUGGUAUGCUCGCAGGAAGACGAUCCACGGCUGCUCUUUUUAGAGUUCAUUAUCUACUUAAUGUUUUGUGAACAAUUUUUAUAGCUGACUUGAAGAUGAUCAAGACGGUGCAAGCGGUGCCGGUGUGACGAACUCAAGGUGUCCCACCUCAGUGGAUCCUUCACCACCGUGUCUUGUUAAAAUCAAUAUCGAUGCAGCCACUUCGAAGAAUUCAAGAAAGGUGGUGGCGGCUGCCAUUUCUAGGGACGCUGCAAGAAACUUUCUGAGAGCAUUUGCGCUAGUGAUUCGUGGACUCUUAGAUGCAGAGAUCGUCGAGGCUAUUGCUUGUAGGGAAGGCUUGGUGUUGAUGAGUGACCUCAUGCUUCAACAUUUCAAGCUAGCCUCGGAUAAUGUUAAUGUAAUAAGAGGAACCAAGGAGGAAGAAUUGGUUACUCAUGGUCAUAUUGUCACGAAGAUAAAUACUAUAGUAGUGUAGUUUAGCACUGCUAAUUUUGUUCAUAAAAAUAAACGCUCCAACGUGGAUGCUCUGCCACGUUCUCUGAAUUUGGUAGACAAAUUUGCCUGUUAAAUCCGUCAGCCCUAUGUAACUCUUAUAACUCUGCCUUAAAAAAAGUCAACGACAAGACGCUACACGACGCCACGACAUGGCUUCGCCGGAGCUCGGCGGCGGCGACGGCAGCAGCUACGAUUUCCAUCUCCGCUCGCUCUCGGCAGCCUCACGGGACUCCGCUGCGGCCGCUGACCCCGCCUCCGAUCCCAACCUCCUCCAAUCCGUAAUCGCAUCUCCCUUCUAACCCUUCUCCCCAUGUCCGGUUUCUUGGAUGUAUACAUACGGAUUUUUAGUUUGUUGCUUAUUGCGCCAUUUUUCUUUUCCCGCGUGAAGGUGAGGAAGGUGUGCGAGAUGUGCCGGGAGGCGAAGGAGGCGAGGGACGAGAUGGUGGCACGGGCGUUCCCGGUGAUGAGCAAGCUGUUUCAGCGAUGCGCCGCCGCUCCGACGCAGGCCGUGGCCUCCACCGGCGCGCUGCUUCUUGUAAGCAGACUUUUCUCAGUCUUGCUCUGCAAAGAUCUUAUUCUUAACAUUUUGAUGGAUAAAUGCUCGGAUGUCAGGAACUAUGGGUCCUUUUCCGUAGAACUGUACUUCUCCCUUACAAUUUUAUCGAAAUUUCUCAGUAACGUGCGUAUAUCAUUUGGGGAGAGAGUUAAUAUAUUGCUAAGCUCAUGGUAAAUGCAUUACUUCCUGAUUCACCCAACAGUCAAUUUUAUCUGCACGGUUAUUGGUGUCAGAUUACUUUUAAAUGUUUCCUUAUUUCAUAAAGAAUUCAGUUAUACUUCUAGCAAGAAUUGUUUAGACUUUAGAGACAUGUAUUUUUCCUUCACAGACCAUUCUGCAAUUCUUCCUGAACUUUGGGGAGGCAGUCUUGCAUGAUGCUGAUGGUAGUUUGAAAACCUUCUUCCGCUCUUGCUUAAGUAGGUAAUAUUGCUCUCUGUGUUUGUCUCUUGAUGUAUAUAUUAUGUGUUGCUUUCAAAAGCUUCUAAAAUCACUCCAAUUUUCUUUCUUAUAAAUAGGGAGUUCGCAGAUCCUAUUGUUGCAGAGCGCACACUUGAAUUCCUUAUAGCAAACAAGACAAAGAUCCUUGGUUCUUUUCCCACCUUGAUUCCACAGGUGCAUACACGCGAAAUGAUUACUUACUUCGAAAUAGUAAAUAAUGCAGCUCAUGUUGUUGCAAAGCAUUGCUAUGUGUCAAUUAAGCCUCCUUGUUUGUUUUUAAGCAUAUGUAUCUCUUCUCUUUCUAUUUUCCAAAUUGAUCUAAGCAUGUUAGCAUUUGACAAUGCUUGUGUACUGUUGUUUAUAUGCAGUUUUAUCCGUUGCUGUUGAAGUUAAUUGCAUCAAAUGGUGAGAAGUAUGUCCCCUUUAUUGCUGGAACUUCUGAGAGUUUUAUGUGCAUGUUUCCUGACACUGGUAGCAUAAAUAUUUCAUAUGAAUCCUGUCGAGCUGCCUAAUUUGUUUGCUAACAUUCUAGACUGGAAAAGAAGUUUUUGGAAGUACUUCCAUUAAUGAUGUCAGCAGGAUCUUUUCUUCCGCUCUUCCUGUCCCUUAUGGAUCUGCCAAGUAAGCCUGUUGAUUAUGUGCUUUCAGGACUUCCUUGAAUUUAUUUUAAGCUGCAUGAUUUUAGCAGCUAAUUAACUUAUGACAGGGGCGGAGCCAGGGCAGUUUAUAGCUGACCCUGAUGAUUUUUGUAUUUCAAUGGAAAACCAUGGUUCACAGUAACUGACCCCCAUCCUGCAUUCAUAUAGUGAAGACGACCCCAGUCAUUAGGUGCCCUAGCUUCGCCCCUAGCUUAUGAGUUGGUCUUUGUUCUAUUUUCAUCAGGAGCGCAUAAUUAAAUUCUUGUUUCUGCUUUCAUCAGGAGCGCAUCCUUAAGUGUGAGGGAUUUGCGAAUGGGUAUAGCAUGAUUACAUAACCUAGUCCCUGCGUGUCAUGAUUCACUUUUUAUUUAUGAACAUGAACAAGACUAGUUGUCACACUAUAGAUUUCUUUUAAUAAAGAACUAUUUUUUAUCUUUAAGUUUUAAUAUGCUGCACACAUUAUCAAGCAGCUCUGGCUGAUCUUAAUUAGAUAUUGCAAAAAAUGGUGGUUUGCUUUUGAUAUUUAUCUCUUUUUCCGAGUGUUUUUAACUUUCAACCAUGCAUUGUUGGUCUUUGUUCUGUAAUAACGGUUGAUUUCAACUCCUUUGUUCCUCUCUCACUGCUGGGGCAUCCAGUGUUGGUGGUGGCACUGGAGAAGGUGGAAAGAAGUUCUGGAACUCUUAUUGGUAGUAGUAUAGCUACAAUUCAGAAGAGCGCUGCUCCUGAGGUUAUCAUCGAAUGAAUUCACGAAGUAUGAAUUACCUAGUCCAAAUUGGCUAAGCCACUUUCCUUUUCUGUUGUGCAGAUGCUUCUUGCACUGAUGGAUGAGGCAUACACUGGUUCUGCAAUAGAAGAUUCUAGUGGUAUUUCAGGUUCUGAUGAUAGUAGCCCUCUAGACCUCGCUGACCCGAUGUUCCUAGACCUUCUAAAAGAUGAGAAUGAUGGCAUUGCUGUAAGCAGUUUCUCCUAUACAAUAGUGUAUGUUCGAUAUUUCUAUAUUCCCCCUUAAUUCUUAGUACUAAUGGUAUCUUUUUCUGCUGUUUCCUUCAGGCAAAACAUUGGAUAUCCCCUACAAUAUCUUCGACACUACAAGCAGCAGUUAACAGCACACAAUCAGAUAGAUUAAAACAGUCACUGGAAAUGGCACCUCACUUUCUUUCUUUAUAUUUUGCAACUGCAUUGCGGGAUGUUAACGACUGUAGGUUUACUAUCUUUUUAAAAUUAUGAUUGCUAUUGAUACACAGAUUAAAUUACCAACAUUGUUCAUGUGAAAAUUCUGUGUUUGUUGGUUCAGCGCUGUUGUGUGCUCUUAUUCCAGUAGUUAUGUCAAGAUAUGCUGCGAUGUUCCCAGACAAGGUUUUCUCAUUCGAGGUAGACAGCAUAAAUUUAUUUCGAAUUUUCCUUGUCUCUUAUGUGUCAUACUGAUGUUUUUUAAGCUGGGUGCGGUUUGCAAGCAAGGAUAUUUUUCCAAUAUCUCUGUUUGCUUGAUCUGACGUAAUUGAUUAAUUCUGUUGGAAACCAAUUGAUAAACAAUUAGUAAACAAUGUCGCAAGAUAAAGUUGAAGGAUUCAUCAUAUAUGUUGAACUAUUGCAGCUGUUGUUUUUGUUUUUGCCAAACUUAAUAAUUCUGAAAGCCAUCCUAAAUGAUCCUUUGACCAACUGAUGGAGCAGUGAUAUGUUAAGUCCAUCUAUUUUUUGUUGGAACAUGUUGGGAGAGCUAAAUGAAAGAAGUACAAAACUUAAAAGUUAAAAAUUCUGACAUACCCACCUUCACCCAUAAUCCACAAUGAUGCUAUGUUCUUAUGUCUUGUCUGGCUUUGGACUUGGUUAUUUGCCUAACAUGACUUCUAUAAGUUCCAACUUCCAAUUGUAUAUUCUAGGUUCCCUGAUAUUACAUUCUUGUAUGUUAGGAAAAGACUGUCGGAUUUCAUAUUGGCUGCCUUUCAGCGAUCUCCUGACAUCAUUGCGAUACUAAAGGUAAUGGGUGUAAAUAUUUCUAACUAUACAUACAAGUCAGAACUCCGAAGUCUGAACCAAAUAAAUGCCCAUCUUAUGUAAUACUUAGCAGCAAUAAGGAGGCCUUUAAGAAUUUCCUUUAUAUGCAGAAUUUUGUUAACAAUUUCGCAUGAUAACUUUCGACCAUUCUGCAGAAGCCUAUUACUGACAGGCUUGGUGAGGCUUAUGAUGAUCCUGCAAAGGCAAGUAUAUCUUCCGAGUUCUUACAUCUAUGUUCGAGUUCAUGGUACCACUGAAAUUGCUGCAUCAUCACUUGCUCAAAUAACUGUUAUGUCCUUUCACUGCAUCUGAAUUUUCUUAUGGGCUGACCAAUGCAGACAGAAUUAGCAUUGCACUUGUGCUGGGCCAUCGGUGAGCAUGGAGCUGGAGGGAUAAAUCGCACAGAUGUAGCUCGUGAACUAUUUGAAAAUUUGGAAUUGUUACUGUAUGAAAACCUGGCAACUAGGUGAGGCCGCAGUCUACUGUCUUUGUUUUCUAUACUUGCAUGGCAUGACACAUGAUUUGACUUAUUUUAUAUCUUGUCAAGUCGUUUGGGAUUAAGCCAGGAACCAGUAUUUGAUUCAAUGGGUGCAGCUUCUAGAAAAUCAUCCCAAGCUAGGCUCCUCUGCUUUGUGGUGACCGCCAUUGCAAAACUAGCAACAUGCCACAGUGAGUUGCUUCCGAGAGCACGUGUAUCAUUGGCUAAGGUGCUGACUCAGUCCUUCCUUUAUGUGAUAAAUGAUCAGUGUUAGAUGUGUUUACAUCAUCCAUCAGUGUUACUUCUCGCACAGCAUCUUAACUGCUUUGUUUCCUGCAGGUUGCUGUACCCGAACCUCAGACAGGAGAGUCUGGCAAUGUGCCUGUGACUAUUUGGGGCUCAUGAAUGAACCGGCCAUCUGUUUAUCUGUACUGGGACCGUCCACUGCCCAAGGAAAUGGUCCUGGUAUUGUUGACUGGAGCGAAGGGGGAACAAAGAUGGUAGCUCAUGUUCCUUUUUACCUUUUAGCCGAGCAAAAAGGUAAAAUUCUGCAAACCCUUCAGCAGUUAAAUGCAGGAUGACCAUCCUUUCAUUUUCUUAAGAGAUAUGCUUGCGAUAAGUACAGUGAGAUGAAAAAUUGUGCAUUUUAACUAAGGAUAAAACUAAAGUUUUAUAGAAUCAAGUGAAGAACGCUGCAUUGUAAACUGACUUGCUAUUUCUUGCUUCAAAUAUUUUCAGGUCCACCAUUUCAUGAUUUUUCAUUUGCGGACCUCCUCCCAGGACAGAAUGAAGAGAAAUUACCUUCAUGAACAUAUCAUGAGGGCCAUGGUUCAGGCACUGAUUUCGCUAGCAGAAUGCCAUGUCUAUAGAGAACUUAUUUCGUGAUCAUAGCAUGCUGAAGAUCCAAGCUCAUUUUCAAGAAAGGGAAUUGUAUUGUAUCAGUUACAUGAUUUUGACUAUUUGAGAGGCACUCAGCACUCGAGUUUGUACAUGAAGUGACUCCUGCUUCUUCUGAGGGGAAAACAGUGUUGUAAAUGUCUAUGAAACGGCUCCUAAACAUGCUGAGGUGCCUGGCAAAUAGUCUCAGACAUUGAAGUGGUAGCAUGGCCAUGGAAUGCAAUCAUUUUACCCAGCAUAGCAUAUUGUGACAAAUAUAAGGCUGAUUUUCCUUAAAACUGCGGGAACAUAACUGAGAAAUUGGCAUUCCAUGGUCAUGGCACUAUAACCGAAUAAAUCGAGAACAACUUGAAGCAACAAAGGCACGCUGCAGCAAUGCAAUUGCAAGCACAUCAAGCACGGCACAUUUGGGAUUGAAAUGGUGGCCCCACACCAGAAACGCUACAAAGUAUAGAACUGAAGGCACACAAAUAUCUAUUCUGGAACUCCUACCAGGAUGCUGGAGAAGUCUGAACAAUUAACAGCAGCAGCAGCACAAAUUACAGGCUAAAUUACGGUUUUGUACUCCACAAGAUAAGAACCCUAAAAAUCACAGGUAGCAGCAUCCGAGAGGCCAACAUGAAGAGGAAGUCAAUACCCGAACCAACUGCCCUUGCGUAGUGGUGACGCAUUUUCUUUGACAACUGAAACAUAUCUUGGAAUUUCCGGAAAUUUUGCGGAAACUAGGCGAAAAUUAACCCAAACUAUGAGCACCACAUGGCAAGGAGAGUCUGAGGUGCGUUCUUGACUUCCCACUGAUGAAAGCUCUAAAAUUUGCUGCUCCUGCAAAAGGAUUAUUGGUAAAUUCAUCAGUAUUCUGUAUUCAGACGAAACCAAAAUGAUGAAAUUUUGCAUAUUCUAACAUGUUGUAGUGGUUUAACAUGGUGCGUACCUCCAAUGCAAGGAUAAGAACAUUUUUAGAUUCAACGAAGCUAUUGGGGAUUGCUCUCGCCUGAGACCGCGGCCUUGAUGCGCUCCACGGUGCAAGCAAUGAGGCUGUUCACCGUUGCCACUGACCCCAGCGAGAGCUUGGCUGUGGGCACAGAGUCCACUAGUAUCUGGAACGCCACUGUCAGGAGCGAGCCACCUGAGCCGACGCCACCAUCGCCUUGCAUGUUGCCCCCGGCUGGGCCGUCGGGUAGGAUGGCAAAGCCCGAUGGCAGGAGCGCCACAUAGUCAGGAUCCCCGCCGUUGAGGACAACGUUCAUGGCCACAACGUCUACCGGCGCGUAGAUGACAUAGGAACCCGACGCGUCGGUGCAGCUCUCUUGCAGGAUCAGCAUGUUGCUUUGGUUCGAGUUUGUGCUCUGCGACGACGUGCAUCAGCAAACACAAUUAACACUUACCAACUACGUGUUAUCGCAUGCACAGAUGAAGAAUCAAAUAAUCUAUUUAUAUGCAUGUGCUUACAUUGACACGAAGAAGCGAGACGCAGUUGCCAUGAUCCCGGCCAUUGGCGAUGUGAGCCAUUUCUUGAACAACACCGCCAUUGGAGAGGAUGUCCCACUGCAAAAGAUCAUUUCCAGAAAAAAUGUGUCAAGCCUAUGCAUACAUGUUGGUAAUGAGUUCAUUUGAUGUGAUUGUCACAUGCCUCGCUGCGAGAGCUCUCAUCGCGGAGGAAAUCGAAGACGCGCUUGGGUGGGACGGGGAGCCAGAAGGAGGUGGCUGCAUUGAGGACGAUGCCCGGCGGCCUGCCUGGGUCGUCAACGCUCUUCCUGGUCAUGACACGGACGUCCUCAGCGCCGCUGCCUGACAGCGUGGUCCACUGGUGUGCUGCAGAGGCAGUCACGCCGCCGCAGAAGCUCAUCACCAUCCUCUCUGCCAGCUUCAGCAUGCUCUUUCUCCCUUCCGUACUUGUGAUCACUGCAACAAAACAAUGCAUCCAUAUGACAGACACGCAGGUUAGUAAACAUUUAAAAUGCCAAAUGAAGUUUGAAGAAGAGCGGGGAGCUCACCACCAAUGUCACUGGUUGGUAUAUUGCUGGCCAUUACGCUGGCGAGGCGCUCGCACUGGCGGUCCAGCGUCCCGACCCAUCGUCGUGCACCAAAGGCAAGCCCUGAGUUCACAAGCAACUUGUAGAUGUCGUGCACCGACCUGUCAUCCACCUCUACAUGCUCAACCCAAGUCACCUGAUGCAUUGACAACAAGUACAAAUAUCAUGAUCAGUCUCUGAACCAUUACCUACUGAGAAAGUGUGAAAACUGACAAAUUCGGGCAUGUACCUUCGAGUAGCCAUUGGGCAUUUCCUGGAUCAGGCAGCCAGAUGGCCGGCGCCGGCACUUGAGGACUGAUCCGGGGCGCAGGCUGUCCAGCGAGACGUCAACGACAGCCCAUGUCCCAUCAGCGUUCUGCUUGCAAUACCUCACGAAGUAGCUUUCCCUGGUCGGCACCAGCGGGGAAGGCACCUGAAACUCCACUGACAUCUGCAACAUACAAGAAAAUCAGACAUGACUCGUUUCAGCCAUUAUCAGAUCGCAUCACCUCAGCUAUAGAAUUAUUGAUCAGAUAUUUGUAGUAACACGCACCACUUGCAAUGCACCGUUGUAGUUCCCGGCCACGCCAGUGGACAGCACCUCCAGUGUCGCUGCUCUCGACACAAUGCUCGAGAACACUGUCGCGUACUGAUUCUGCACAUCAUAAAUUGAAUCAGAAUUAAAUAAGAACAGGCACCCAUCAGAACAUCCUGAUGUUUAACACGAGAGAUUCAAACUUCAAAGCAUUGCACUCGUCCACACAUACCACGUCCAUGAGGAUCUCGACGAGGUUGGCAUGUGUCAUUAUAACCACCGAGCUGUCGCGGGACGCUUCAGACUUGAGCCCAUACUGCUUAGGGCCAAGCCCGCGAGGGAACAUGCGCGAGUACUCCUCCUCGUUCAGCGUCUCGCUCGAUCCGUCGAGCCCCGGCGCAUUCCAAAGCGGCUCGUCCAGCUGCGCCAUACGCACCAGCUCCUCCAUGGCUGCGACGGCCAGCUCCACGAUCAUGGGCUUAUCUGCGUCUGACUGCACGGCACCCCUCAGCAGCUCCCCGGCACCAGCAGUGACGCUACCGAAGAUGUCAGUAGCACCAUACGCGCCGGCACCCACGCCGAUGUCCAGCGUCGAGGCGCGCGCCGCAGCCAGCGGGCUGGAGAGCACGGGGAAGGACACCAUGGGCUUGCCCACGUACUUGGCCGCGAUGGCCGAGAUCCUGUCGAUCUCCUCGCGGAGCCGGGCGUUCUCGAUGCGGAGGUGGUGCUCGUCGAAGGACAUCUCGCCGAGCGCGGCAGGCCCGCCGCAGUUGGGGCAGGACGCGCUGCUCAGGGCCUCCUUGUACCGCAUGUUCUCGGCCCGGAGCUUCUCGUUGUCCGCCCGUAGCUGGGAGUUCUCCUGCCGCUCGUGCUGGUUCUGCAAGUCAGCCAUUCACACACACACACUUCAGUCACAACCAAGGUAAUAAAUAGCGAAUAGCGGGUUGGUAGCGGAUUGACGUCGAGGUAGCGGAUUGCGGAUAGCGGGCGAUAUUGCGAACGAUAAGUUCCAAUAGCGGCACCUAAUAAUCUCACGUAAUUUUAAUUAUAUAUAUCAUGAAUAAUAAGUAUAAAUAGAUAUUUAAUUGCAUACAAACAACUGAUGUCUCACAUGCUUAAAUUAAGAGUGUAACGGCAAAGGUCUAUGAGGAUUAGGAGGAGCUUGAGUCGAGUACGUGAAUCGGCGGCGCUAGCGAAGGGCGGUGGCACCGGCAAAGGGUGGUGGCGGCAGGCAACCAACACGGGUGGCAGCGGCGUGUUCUGGAUGGCGAGGUCGAAUGGCCGAUGGGGGUCCACUGGUGGGCUGGGCUAUUAGGGUUUUUUUUCCACGCUAUUGCGGCCUGCUACACCGCUAUUGCGGUCCGCUAUAGCGCAAUUGCGGCCCGCUAUAGCGCAAUUGCGGCCGCAAAGUUCCAAACCGCAACAGCCCGACCGCUACCUAGUAGCGAUAGCGGUAAUAGGCCGCUACCGCUAUUGCGGCCGCUAUUGCGACCGCUACCGCGGCUAUUUAGUACUUUGGUCACAACAAUGCCAUUGAUCACCACAAGCAUGCAUUACAUGACGGAGUAUCUGUACCUGAACUAUCUCGUGGUUAACACCUGAGCAUUUAGCACAGGUUGUACAGGAUUAAGGGGUGUUUGGGAGGCAUGUGCUAAAUUUUAGCACAUGUCACAUCGGAUGUUUAGACACUAAUUAGGAGUAUUAAACAUAGUCUAAUUACAAAACUAAUUGCACAACCCCUAGGCUAAAUCGCGAGACGAAUCUAUUAAGCCUAAUUAGUCCAUGAUUUGACAAUGUGGUGCUACAGUAACCAUUCGCUAAUGAUGGAUUAAUUAGGCUUAAUAGAUUCGUCUCGCGAUUUAGCCUAGGGGUUGUGCAAUUAGUUUUGUAAUUAGACUAUGUUUAAUACUCCUAAUUAGUGUCCAAACAUCCGAUGUGACAGGUGCUAAAGUUUAGCACCUACUAUCCAAACACCCCCUAACAGCAACAUAUGCAUAUAUGCUAUGUGCAGCUGCUAGCUGUGCCUUGGUCAGAUGAACAGUGCUGUAAACGUAUGCCAGGUAGGCAGCAGCAGGAGUGAGGAAGACACUUGCAUGGGGUGGGGUUUGACUAUGGCUGGUGGCACUGCCUGGCAUGCAGCCUGGGCUGUGGCAGCACAUUUGGCAGUGUGCAUGCAGAAGAGGACAUGGAGGUGUGUGGGCAACCUUUGUCCAGUUAUAGUAAUAGGCCAUGACCAUGAAUGCAGCUUGUCAGAGGCUAGGUCAGAGGCUUAAAUGAAGUAGUUGUGACGAUGCCGGCUUGGAGAAGCAAUUUUUCCGAUCGAAAUGCAUAUGCCUUUCUCCAGAGAAAUGAUGGGAGUGAAGAACUGAUUGAUUGAGAUUAAGGAUCAUCACCUUCAUUUGCGUGCGCUUGUUCUGGAACCAGAACUUGACCUGGAGUGGCUCCAGCCCCAGCUCCCGGCUCAGCUCCUUGCGCUGCUUGUCAUCCGGGUGUGGGCACUCCUUGAAGAAACUGGCAAUCAAUCAAUUUCAAAGAGAAAAGAAUAAUGAGUAUUUUGUGAGUGUUGACUGACGAAUCAAAAAUGGUUCCAGGAAAAAUAUGGAAUGAGACAAGUUCAGUGUGAACGCUAUAUACAGUCCUACACUCCUACUUCUUGAAUGCUUUGUUUGGUUCAGAGCAAAGGAACAAAAACGGUUUGGGUCAACGUAUACAAUACUUGUGAAGAAUCUGGACGAGCAAGAACUCAAUUUGACUUGUUCGCAAGCUUACAUCAGUAGUCUCAGUGAAUGCUAGUAGUAACCGACUGCUGGCUAUCCCUUGUCCUCUCCUCAUUAAUUUCAGCAAACCACCAACAUUUUAUGCAUAAUUUUUCCAAACUAAACACUGAUGGACGAAAUUGAUGUAAAAUUAAACAUGGACAGCAUUCCAAGAACAAUCUAAGCAGAAUUAAGGAAACAAGAGCAGAUUAAUGAGUACAGUAGGGUAUGGUCAUUACGCUUCCAUCUCCUGGAUCUGGUGCUGGGUGUGGCGGUGGUAGCGUUUCUUCUUGCUGGGCCGCUGGUUGGGGUCCUGGUCGUCCACGGAGACGCCGUCCACGUUCUCGCUGCCUGACUUGCUCUCGAACUCGUCCCCCAGCGGGUCGGAGCCCCGGCCGCCGCGCAUCAUGUCGUCGCCGCUCUCCGCCGUCGUCGCCGGGAUCUGGUCCAGCAGAUGCUGCUGCUGCAGCGCCUGCUGGAGCUGCGGGUUGUCCAGCAGGUUUGGCUGCAAUGAAGGGGAAUGAAGAACUUAGGAAAUCCAAAUCACUGUACUGGUGCACAAAUCAGUUGAAAUUGAUACACCAGUUAAGUGCCAAGGACUGGGACGUUUGCCUAUCAUGCAUAUUGGGGCAUUCCGUGCGUUUCAUCUUCGCCAUUAAUUUGUAGUGGCUAAAGUUUCAUGGGAAAAGAGAAACGGAAAAUAAUGGUUGCAAAAAAAGCAUUUUGUUCAAGAAAAAUAAAUGAUUCCAUUGAGAGAAGCAAGUCAGAUAAAAUGAAGGAGUUGCUCCAAAAUAAUUUCAGGAAAGGGGAUGGAGAGGGAGAUGUGAAAGCAAGCUUGCAAAGGGGGAAGAAGGAAGAAAUGGUAGGUCGUUCUUGUUGAAGGGCCACAAGACCCAAAGAGCAGCUGGAAGAGCUACACGCCAACCUGUUGAUCUCCACAGCCUCUGUGUAUGUGUGUAAGACCAGGAACCAAGGGAUCGAAGUCUCACCUCUCUCCAAGCAUCUGUCCCAUUCAUCUGCCCCUUUAUAUAGGAGCAAGUCUUAAAGAAAUGGGGCUCAUGUACUCUGAUGACCUAAUCUAUGUGUGAACAGCAGUACUUGAGAUAACACCUCUCUCUCUCUCUCUCUCUCUCUCUCUCUCUCUCUCUCUCUCUCCUGAGACUUCUCGGUUUCCAAGGAAAAAGCUACUAAUCCUCGCAGGAUCAGUACAUGUAGGAGUAUAUUGCAGACAUGACCCUUCUGUUCUAUCGCUAAUCCCAAGUUCUGAAACUGAAACCUCAAAUUGAAAUGAAACCUUUUACCAAGAGUGAGAAAGAGAAGACGAAAGGAAACAAGAAACGGCAACAAGUACAAGCUGAUCUUUCCGAAGGAAAGAAAAGAAUUUGCUUUUGCCUCACUCAGCUCAAAAGAAAGCCACGAAUUAAUUACCUGACCGAGUGACAGUGCCGACGAGGACCCGUACGCCGCCGCCGCGCUGUUCCGGCCGAUCAUCAUCGACGGCAUGUGCCUCGCCGGGAUCAUCAUUCUCCUCUGACCACCUCGCAAACCCUAAUUUCUUGCCGUCUCAUUCGUUUCCAUUUCUUCAGAGACACAUAGGACCCCUCUCUCUCUCUACAGCCAAAGAACAGGCGCUAAUCCUAUUCCUAUAUAGAGAUACCUUGCCUGCCAAGCAACAACACAGCCAGCAACAGAUCUAGGGGCAAACUAGCCCAAAUAAACCUUCGCUCUGUGAGACUGGCAGUGAGAUCUAGCAGAAGAACUAUAUAUGUUGUGCGCCUUUGCAAAAAUAGAACUCUGAUCUCUCUCUAUGUCUGCCUGCAAGUUGCAGCUCUCGAGAUGAUUCUUUACCGCGUGCAAGCUCAGAAGGGUAGCUAGCAGGAAGUGGAGAGACGGAGAGAUCCUGAGGAGCUAGACAGCCAUGGAAGGGGAAGGGAGGAGGAGGAGGAAGAGGAGAAGAAGAAAGGGGAACGGAGGUGGAAGAGAAUGUGGAGGAAGAGGGGAAGGAGUUAUUGCGGACGAGUGUUGAGGUGGUGCAAUCCGCAUUUAUUGAGAGGGCGUAUCGUAAUUGCUAGGGGAGAGAGAGAGAGACGGGUGCAUGAUUUUUAUAUUAUUUUCGUCAACAAUGUGUGUGUUACAAUACGGCGAAAUAUGCAAAAUAUGUCAUGUAUUUUGGAUUUAUUGGACGUCAUUAUAUACUUUUUUUCUGGAAGAAUGUGAAAAUAAACGUUCAUAUAUCUGCAUGUCAUAGAAAUUUAUUUCAAGCUAUAUAUGUACAGCCAUAAAGGAGAAAAUUGACGAAGGCAGCUAGCAAGCCCAAUCAUGCAUUUUUCCAUGUAAAGAUAGGCUUACAUAAUUUAAUUUGCCGGUGUAUUUUUCAUUUUUUUUCUUGGUUAUUUAAUUUCCGGCUACGAGAUUGUUUGGCAGUGGACGUACGUCCUGUUCAUGAAUAAUGCACUGUUGACAAAUUUUUAAGACUAGAUAACCGCCGUAGUUAUUGAGUGAUGGAGAAGGAAGAGGUUCUCGGUUCUCCACUGCUACUUUUACAUUCAUCGUAUAGCAUAUGGAGCGUCCAAAUUAGGUGCCUCUUCCAGUGUAGCCAAGGAUAAGAGCAAAUGUUUAAAGCAGUGCUUCAUUUCUUUGAUGACCUAAUCUAUGUGUGAACAGCAGCCAACUAAGCACUGCUCUCGAUGUCGAUGGUGUUUCGCAAAAACAAAAAAGCUAGUCCUUUGUGGUUACACGUAGUAUACUAAGGAGUGAGGUUAAUCCCAAUGCAAGUUUGAUAGAGGUUUCAUGUAUGUUAAAUACGAUGACACAUUGAUGACAUGACAAGGUAAUUAUGAAGUGAGAGAGGGAAAGAGUUUUAUCAAGAUGAAAUUGUGUAUGCACUGUUUUCAAGAUUACAAAACCUGUUGAAACUUGCAUUGGGGCUAUAGAGUUUCAUUUCAUCUUAGCAUAUCCAAUCACAUGCCUCACAAUUAAAUGGUAUAGACGUGAAAUGAAACUCCGCAUCGGGGGGUAGUAUUUCAUUCAUCAACUCAAACCUUUUUUGAUGAUAUGCCACUCUUGAAAACUGUGUGAUGAAACUCUGCAUCGGGGGGUAGUAUUUCAUUCAUCAACUCAAACCUUUUUUGAUGAUAUGCCACUCUUGAAAACUGUGUGAUGAAACUCUCCACUAGAAAUAGAGCCUGAAUGAAAUAGGUCAGCUUAUUGCAUGCAUGAUGCAUCAUCGGCUUGUGAUAGUAAUACAAUAACAAAACAAGUCAAAACUAAAAAAAAUGAAUGCCUUAAAAAGGACAAAAAAUGUAUAUUAUGGCAUCUAAAAUGCAAGGUGUGUGCUUAAACACAAGUACUUGAAGGGUCAUAAGAGCGGUUUGAAGUUAAUUCCCAUGAUGAAAGCUACCAUGUGUAGCAAAGUACGUGCAAAUUUAAGCAUCUUAUCCACUUCUAUGAUGCAAUUCGCUAAUCAUCUUGGAUAAGCAACUACUACUCCGGUCGUUUUGGCUUUUCUAAGUGCAUAGUUGUUCUAUGCACUAGAUAUAGUGUAUGUCUAGAUGCAUAAUAAUAUAUACGAAUUUAGAAAAGCUAAAAUUAUCUACAUUUGAAACGGAGGAAGUAGUAGUAUUAUCAAUGCUGUUGGAUGACGGUAUAUUUACUUCGGGUUUCAAGUGUUUUACACCGUUGACGUUUGGACUCUGCACACAUGAUAAUCGUCUUAUUCAGAUUUCAGAAACCUAUAAACCUAUGUAAGGAGUAUAGUUUAUUUAAUUGUGACUUGUUUAUUAUUAAAUAUAUUUUAAAUAUAAUUUAUAUUUUUACAUAAUAUAUUGAUUUUUUAAUAAGACAAAAUUGUUAAAUGUGGUUUUGAAAAUCAUGUCAAGCAUUUUAAAACGGAGGUAAUCCUCGCGAUGAGAAAUGCAUGCAUGCAACUGAUCCAAAUUUGACCGAGGUUUCCUCCAUCUUUUUAUAUCUCGACUUUUCAGGAGAAGGGGCGAAGAAAUCGAUGCUGCACUGCUGCAGAUAGUAGUGUACUGUUUCCAUAUAUACCUCGGCACGGCUCUUGGCGUGUGCUCUGAUCUUUCUGCGCACAAUAGGAAACACAGCCUUUUACUGGUCAGAGAUAAAUUAGUGAAAGAUUAGUAUACGUACGUAGAGAAAAACCUGAGUAUGCAUAGCAAAGAAAACGAUCCUUCGUGGCUGUAAAUGUCAUUAUACCUGCAGUGAUUUUUUGAAAGGCGUCUAUUUCUGUCGCUGUACGGAGUGGACUGAAAAACGACGUGCCUAUCCUUCCCAGAAUUCUAUAGUUACGCUAGCAGUUUCCGUCGUUCAGUCACGACCCGUAGCGUCAUCACAAUUCACAAGAGCUCCGAUCCAGCCGGGAAAAAAACAUUCAAGAUUACUCCAUGCGCUUAGUGUGGUCGAAACAAACAACGCAAUAGUCAAAAUUAAUCUGUUCGCACGUACAAGCUAGCAUCAUUUAAGUGGCAGAGAAACCACAAUCAGAACACACAUAAACCCGGCCUCACCAAACAGGUGUGGGCAUGCAUGGACGUCAUGUCGUCAAUGUUUUCAUUUGGAGUAAGUACUUCCUUCUUUUGUCAAUAGCUAGCGAUCCAUCAUCUCCUGGCCUGCCGUGUUGGGCUGUUGGCUCAAGUCAUUUGUCUUUUUUCGCACGGAUCGAUCGGCGAGAUCCUACGUACCAAACUAAUCAUGCAUGUGUGCGUGUGUGUGAAGGGAAACGAAUGUCAAUCUUAAACCUUUUGGUGCAUAUGGAUGCAUGUUGGCUCGUCGUUGACCGUGCACCGUCCUCUUGUGUUUCUUCCUUGUGUUUUUUUUUUUUGCUCUCUCUCUCUCUCUCUCUUAAAAAAUAUAUGUCUGUUUACAUUGUGUCAGUGUCACUACGCAUGAGCGUCAAGCCGUCAUCUAAUUUAAUUUUCUCGAAACAUACAGACGUGUCCAUGCACAUGUACACAUGCACCCAAUCCAGUACCCACAUUCAGAGGCCAUACUUGGUUUUGUGAUGAAACGAAAGUACCCACACGCAUUGAACAGUUUACUAGUUUUCAAUUUUAGUUGGUAAACAUACUACACUAAGAAUCCCAGUAUCGAAAUCUGUGCUAGACGCUUUUUUCGUCCAAAACAUCAUUACAUUUUUCCCUAAAAUUUUGUCGCUCUGUACGGGACGGUAGGUGCUGGUGAGUGUACGUACGAGUAGUGCUCGGCGUGAGCUGGAGCCGCGCUUAUUUCCCCCCCUCUCCCCCCUUCUCCUGACUCCACAGUCCACCGCAUUGAAUUGAAUGGCCUCCUGAGCAACACCGCGUGAGGUGGGAGCCCACGCCACGCAGUCGCCAGCACCAGCCACCCCUACUCGACCGCCGGGCACAGCACUGCACCGGGGGGCUAGGCUAGCCGGCCCGGCCAGCAUUAACUGCGUUCAUGCCUCCCCCGCGUCGCCCAACGGCACCACCCGCCGGCAGCCCGGCCCCGCACCGCCGCGGAUCGGAGGGGCCUGGCCACGGGAUUCGGCCGAUCCGGUGGCGCCAGUACCGAUCGCCGCGGCCUCGUGCAGUGCAUGCGCGUUUCUGAUCGAGGUCGAGACCCUCCAUCGGCCGUUUUCAUCUCACCCAGAUUCAUGAGGCCAAGUCGUACGUCGAAACAAACACCCAAGAUUUCUCCUGAAAUCGUCCAAUGCAUAUGUAGUCUCUGACUACGAGGUUCCCCCAAAUAUCGUGGAUCGGGCAUUGACCUCACUUUGAAAUGUUAUCUCCAAAUUUCGUGGAUCGGGCAUUGACCUCACUUUGAAACGUUCUUUCCACCUGUGCCAAGAAUUCCACUGACUUCAACCGUAUCGAUCAAAUUUUAAUAAGCUCGGAAAGGGUCAAUCGAUCGAUCCUGCGUGAUCAGUGGCUGCACGAUCGGUCGAGCUCAGGUUAACCUGGACUACUGCUGCUGACACUGUAGAUGAUCGGACGAAUGGCAUUGGAUUUUCACCCAAUAGAACACUUGAGUUCAUUGUUCCCGUUCCGUACCAAUACCUGUGCCUCCUCUCGGAAACAUGCGAGGCUCCACUCCACUCCACCUCGAAGUUUGCGCCAUGGCAGGUGGUGGUGUACACUGUACAGGUCAAAUUUCCGGUGAAAUGCUCUCAUUACAUGAACGCAAGUACACUUCUUCAGAUGAAAUACUACAUCACAGCAAGCAUGUUACCUGCAGUACCCAGAAGCCUCUUUCCUUUUCCCUUCGACGAGGGCGACGGCCAGGUCAUCGUAUGCCACGAAAUCUUCUUCCCCAUGCAGCACCGCCAAGGCAGACUCGGUCAGGCAGGCACACACCAUGUCCGUAACAAACACCCCUGGUCAAGAAGGCACACACACGCACCGUCUGCAGAAAGCUGCAGCCUUCCAACCGAUCUGGACCCCCAAUGACGACUCCAAAAUCAAAACCUGUUCGCAAAUCCAGUUGCCUCGAGCACACGUACACCGUCUAGAACCUCAGCCCACCCGAGCGUGCUCGGCUCGCAAGACCGGCCGGCUGGCGGCUGCUGCUCGCAUCGGCUUCUCUGAUCCAUCUGAGGCCAUGUUUAGUUACUCCCAACUCCCAACUUUGACACUAUGCAAAAAGAAGAUUCCCCAUCACAUCAAACUUGCGGUACAUGCAUGGAGUACUAAAUGUAGAUGAAAUUAAAAACUAAUUGCACAGUUUUGUUGUACUUUGCGAGAUGAAUCUUUUGAGCCUAAUUAGUCAAUAUUUGGACAAUAAUUCACAAAUACAAACGAAACGCUACAGUGUGCUACAGUGCUGUAACAGUAAUUUAGCACCUCCCAAAUUCCCCAACUAAACAAGGCCUCAAUUCAAGGACGCUGCCGCCUGCCUGCCUGCCUGCGAACGCUUGCAGUGGGGGCUCACUGGUCGCCGUCAACAUUGCAUCAAUCUUCGGGCAUGUGUGCAUGGACCCAUACCACACUCUGACCAUCUGAACAAUGGGACAAGGGCACAUUUACAAUGUAGGGUCCGGUCCAGCUGCACCCAUCGAAUUGGAGAGUCCUUGUUUAAGGGUUUCUUCCUUUUCUCUCUGCAGAAAAAAUGGAAACAAGAGGGAAGAAAGAGAAAUGAGUGUUGAUCAUUAUAGUAGUAGCCUGUCAUUUAUGAGAGUCAACUGCUAGCUUCUCAACUAAGCCGGGUUGGUGAUUAGUGUACUUGGCGAUUAGGUUUCAGUUUCAACAUUUAUACAGUAGUGCCGCCCGAUAAUCAGGUUUCAUUAUCACGGUCAAAUAUGUGGAGUCGAUGUCAAUCAAGAAAGGACUGUCAGAAGGCCGUACGGGGCUAUAUGAUCCAACUAAUGAUGGCACCAUUAGGCUUUCUUUGGAAGGAAUAGGAUUUUAUUGCAUUGAGGAGAAAGAAUCGCAGGAUGCUUACUUGUCAUUCAUUGAGAAGUUAUUAUUGCUAUGAGCCCUUGUGGACUGUCUUUUCCUUUCCUUUUGUUCAGUGCAGCCGGCCGUGCUUCCCUCGCCAUUGCCCUUCGCCGCCUCUCCUUGGAUGCAAGCUCCCUGUGCAAAUCCGUCCUUACACGUGUCCUGUCAAAAGAAAUAAAUCUCCUUUACAGGCCAUUACUGACAUCAGUUGCAUGAUUGAUUGGACUUCUUAACUGUAACAGCUUAUGGGAUUUAAAAAGGGCAUUGCGGCUAACAAAGGCUCGCAGAUUGCCAUUGUACAAACAAUAUCAGAAUUAAACUGAUGUGGAAGGUACAAUGAUCAAAGCACCUGAUUGUGGAAAGUAACGGAUAAUUAAUAGGCCUGAGUACUAAGUGCUCCACCAGAUACCCAUUAACCCAUCAAUAGUUGAGAUUUGAGAAUAGAUAGAUCAGAAUGAUUUAACAUCGAUUAGUACCGUCACAGGCAACUGACUGGGUGAAGAUCAACUUUUUUAGAAAAAUAUGCAGACAGCUGAAGCUCAAAUAGCAUGGUUUCUUAGCCAUCUUUACUGAUCACUACACUUAUGAAUACACUUCCUACUUUAGAUUUAUUUGUCUAGUCCAAGAAAAGGAAUUGUCCUUUAUAUGCAACUUUUACUGAUUACAACACUUCAUAUACACGGUAUAUUUACAGUCCCUAAUAUCCAUUUGUAUGUCCAGUCCACUAGCUAUCAUAGCUGUCUCUGUUGACGAAUCUCACUGUGCUUGUUUCAUACCUUUCCAUAGCGAUGGAAUCCAUCUGUUUUGUACGGGACCAUUCAUCAUCACCAGCCGUGGAGAUGGCCUAACGGGAUUCUAAUGAUAUUGGUGACAUAGUGUAAUUACCAACAACUCAACAAUACAUUCUUAUGAUUCAAAUGUACACUUUGUGGCUCUACUCUAUGUCAUAGCGUGUAGGUAUAGAGUUUUAAUGUGUGGAAAAGAUACUCGCACCUAGAAAGCAUAACACAACCACACAACUGUAGGCUACAGAUCAUUCUCAGAUACCCUGUAGGCGAACACGUAUGUAGAUCAACAAGCAACACUCAUCAACAAGAAACCAUUACCUAUGAAAUAUACUCGGCAUAAUCCUAGUGUGCAGACCUCUCUACCGCAUCAAGCAACCUAGAUUUAGAUGGAACCCAUUCAGUUGGCUUGGCGUUUACAAAUAUAAAUCUACUUCUCUCUCUUUCUAUUUCAUUGCAUGAAACUCAUACAGCUGGUCCUGCAAUUUCUCCAAACGAUUAUGGAAAUUUUCAAAAGAGAUCGCUAAGUGUGUGGUAGGCUAGGUACGCCAGUCUUUCAGAUAGAGAAACCUCUAACCAACCCUAGCAUUAAGCCAUGAUGAUGGUGAUAUCUACCGCUCAUGAGUGCAACUUGCUCCAAUGGAUAAAUUCCUGUCAAGAAUUGAAAUAUUCAAUGAUGAAGGGGGGACAAUAAAUCCAGAAAGUGAAACAAGCCCUAUUCUCCACCCAACCAGCACACCAAGGCGUCUUCAUUUCCAUACAGUUAACCCAUGGAUGCAGUGCAUGACAAGUAGCUUCUAAUUAUCAGGCACGUAUCCAUCUUUCUUUUCUCCAAAAUGGCUAGAAGUCUAGACCUGAAGAUGUGGCUGCAUUCUGCGCAUGCAUUACUGUCCUGGGACCCAUAACCAGGAAUUGCCAAUCCUAAAUUCAGCUUAAUAGUUCUCUCUUACUUUGCAUAUAAAGUAUAUUUCCUAGCUGUCAGCAUCACAAUAAACACACACUAUGCAGAUGAUUGUAGUAAACAGAGUAAAAACUACCAUUGCGUAAAGCCAACACUAAAGGUUUGUUGAAGAAACUUUUAUCAUAAGUUAUGUGGUAACUUUUAUCAUAACUUUUAUCUUACCACAGAUGAUAGAUCUGAUUAGAUGAUAAAGCUGCAAGUAUUGCUUCCUAAUCCAUACAUAAUUCGACUUGUACCAUGAAUAAUGUCACAUUGGCAUUGAGAUGUUGGGACCACUAAAUUGUAUUAUUGUUCUGGCUGAAGUAGAAAUGUCAAUUGCUGUUUCUUCUGUUGCUUAAACUCUAUAUCCAGAAACAGAGUGGUAUUGACACUGGAGCCCCUGCAGUUAUUAUAGUAUGCCCUAGAGAGAAGGUACUAAAAGCAAUACAUUAUGACUUAUGCCUCGUGUCUCACUCCUAGACUUUUGGGGGAUCAAGCGCUUUACUACACCUUUUCACAUUAGUAUGUGUAUUAAUAAGGCCUUCUCUGUGCACCCGUUAUUUGCCUCCCUUUAAGGAAUCUCCAUGGUAUAGGAUUCCAAGGCUGUGCUUAAAUGUUUGAUGUAAUAGUCAAAGACAACAGUCUUUAAAGAGUGUCCUAACAAAAGGCCGGCAUGAUGAUCAAUUUCACUUGGUCGUAUUUAUAAGGGUUGGGCCCAUGAUUGUUUACUUAAUCAAAAACAGAUUCCCCCCCCCCCCCCCCCCUCCCUUUUGGAUCAUCGCCCUUUAAAGCAAAAUCAACAUGACACUUGAAUGCCAGCAACAUUUGCUUUAGCUCCAUAAAUAUAGUAUAGGCAUCAUUGUCAUAUUCCUUCUACUCAAUUGAUGAAUUAAACAACCACAUAACUCCCAACACUGUUUCAACUAUCCAAAUCAAAGCUAGGCUGCCAAGUAAUACGAAGGUUAAUCAGCAUUAGAAAGGCAAAUCAUUUCUUUCCUAGUUUAUAGUUUCACCUAAUUGCAAGCAGGUACAAAUGCAAAUAUUGAGUUUAUAUCAAACUACAACCAAUCAGCACUUGGGGUUGCAGAAGCUAGGCUAGAAAGGAAAAUCAACACUAAGAGGCUAACCUGCUAUCUAAAACUUGUGCAUCUUUGGACCUUGGAAUUUCCUUUUUCAGUCAAGUGAGUUCUCUCUCUUUACUUCACAAGUCAAACAUAAUUAAGAUUCAUGUCCUGAAAAGAAUAGUAAAAGAGGUAAAUUUACCUCCUAAUAUAUGAAGGGAAAAUUUAAAGAAGAAUUACUAGAAGGAAAAUAUUCUGAAUAUAUUAACUAUAUGCAUGACCUACAAGAGUAAGCAAAACAAUCAUUGCAAUUUUUCAAGAAACGAAAUGAAUCUCUUCUGAAGCAUCCCUUUCCUAGUCAUGUACUCUUGGUGCUUAUAUGCAUUCCGCCCUUUCACACCACUCUUUCCAGAUCCACGAACCCUUAAUUGUAACUAAUUGUGACGGUAUGUCUAUAAUAAAUGGAUUUUCAUAUGCCAAGGCAUUCUAAGCUAUUUUUUGGUGAUUUUAUCACUCAACUUAGUUCUGGUGUGUUGUGUAUUGCACGGAUACAAAAUAGUAAAAGAUGAAAGAAAAGAAAUGUUGACCAAAGAUACAAAACAAGGCAAGCGCACCAGAGACGAUCUAAUUUUAAGUAAUCAAAACUGCUAAAGCCUUUCAACUUCAAUCAUAUUGGACCAGAUAGCCAAAAUCCUAAUAAAAUUUCAUCCACAAAAAGGCCAUUUUCUUUUUGAACGUAGAAUGAGCAGCAGUCAACUUAACCAAGAUCCAGGCAAAACCUGAUCAUUUGCGAUAUGAAGAUUGGUUCAAAUCCUGAUCCAUUGUACAAAGAUUCGACACUAGAAACCUCUAGACCGGGGCCUAGAGAAGUGGUGACAACCAAACAAAAUACAGCAUAAGAACAGCAUGCAUUUAUGUAGUAUUGGUGGCUCCGUGCUGGCCUGGGAAGUAAUUUAUACCUUGUCUUGAAUAGUGGACCAGCUACCUCCAGAAUGGGGUCACAGAGCACAUCCAAUGGUCCCCAGAGACUUAUUUCUGCUGCAUUCACUGCUCUUUUCUUACAGCCUGCACCAGUGUACUGUGAGAGCAAACACAGGACAAUCUAGUAUACCCAAUGCACACAUCGGAUGAUAAAGAAAGAAAUUCAGAUAAAAUCACAAAAACAUAUCAAUAAUGUGCAGAGUUCUAUAAGACUUACAUUGUUCUUUGGCUUUCUUUUCGCUGUAUGAAGACAGAUCUCUGCAUGAUGUAUAAAUUUCUGCAGAUACUAUUUCUUAAAGGUUAGAAAGAAGCACAUGGUUGAAAAAAGAAAUCACAAUAUAUCAAGCUGUUUGUACAUAUAAUAAAAGGAUAAUAUAUCCAGAAUGAUAAAUAACAGAAGGUGUUAAUUAAACUUGGAACAGCUAGAAGUUGGCAGGUAAACCAUCUAUUAAAUCAACAGUAAAGAAUUUACAUAGAUAUACAGACUAUAUUUCUAUCGACUCCAUGGUUGGCAUUGGUUGGCGACAUCAAUUUCUUAUUCAAAGUUUCAAACUUCCCACAAGGAAGUCACUCUGCUUUUAUAUCAGCUUUUGCUUCCAGAAUCAGAACAUUUCAAUUAUUGCUGAGAAGUUCAACUUCAUAGGACAACUACAUAUAUAUAAGAAUUAUUACAUUAUGUUUGAAAACUACAUUCAAGAAAGAGAAAAGAUACUUCUGGCAGAAAUGUAAGUGAAUGUGCCCUAAACAGCGUGCUAUGGAUUGACACCUGAAACAGCUUACAGAACACAGAAAUUUUAUUGGUAUUCGAUGGUACACAGGGGGUCAGAACUGUUUAAUAAAUUUGAAGAGCAAGCUACUUCCUCGAGAAAACGUGUGGCCUCUAUUUACGAACACACCAUAUUAGAAUCUUUUUCAGCAGACAAGGAUGGGUGGGAGCACUGAAUAACCAAGUACACAUUGUACCAAUGGAAAAAAUGCUAUUGUGGCUCCAUUUUGUCCAGAGUGUGCAAAAUAUGCAUGCCAAUUGCCAAUCAGACACCAUAAAAAUAGUCUGCACGACUACAUGACAUGGAGACAAUGUAUUGAUCUUUCUUAUUAUGUUCUGACAUGCACUUUGCAAUGUGGUUCUCACUACAGCACAAGUCCAGUUGGACGACUGAUUUUGAUACUUAGUUUAAUAUCCAAUCAGUAAGUUCUCAGUAAAUCUGCAAGGUACUGCCUAUCCUGACUUACACAUAGCACUCGAAAAAAAUAGAAAUGCCUCAACUUGAAGAAAUGACUUAUUUCUCAGAAUUCUGCUUGUACAAUUAAAACUAGGAUUAGCUUGCUAGAGAAGUAAACUUGCUGAUUUAUGCAGAGGAUUCCCAUGAGCACAAACGAUAUGUAAACUAAGGCUGCCAGAAGAGAUAAACCAAGUGGAUAACUAUUAAAUGCAGAUCAAACAUCGUUUAUUUAUCCGUUAAACACGACAUCACAUUUUGGAAAUGCAGCCAGCCACUUGUACUGAACAUAUUGCGGUGACAGGAAUAGCUGCACAAAGAUUUCUAAGCUGUAAAAUUAUAAACAGGAUCAGACUGAACGCGGAUGUUAGGACAUAAAUCAAUGUUAAUCGAUGCAUAAAAGUGUGAGAAAACAGAUGUUCCUAAACCACACAUCAGUUACCUGAUCCUGUACAGAGGUCUGCAAAUUUGGUCAAGGUUCCCGGUUUGCACCACUUGAAGCUUCAGAUGGGAUAAGCAAUUCAUCAGUAAAACCUACUGCACCAUGAAUAGGAAACAAAAGAAGAUUCCACCAGCAAGUAGAACACAUGGACCAAUGCAUCAAAACCAUGAUCACAAAGAACAGCUCCACAUAUAUCAACAUUGUGAAUGUGUUGUCCAUGUUUUCCCGAAUAUAGAAUCACAAACGCAGCACCAGUCAAAAAUUGCUCCAACAGCAUUCAGACAGAUAGCCGGAGAAGAAUUAGAGAGAUACAGCUAAAUUCCUGUGGUCACAUUGACAUCAAUGGACAAGAUCAACCAGCGUCUUCCUCCGGGGGAACCUCUGCGGAAGCCGAAGGGACAUGGAAUCCUCAAUCUCGAUGGGCAGGUGCGUGGCCACGAACACGAUCCCACCCUUCUUCCGGUGCUCCGCGAUGAUGUACUCGAGCAGCCUAGUGCCAUCCGCAUCCAGCGCGACGGAGGGCUCAUCCAGCAGCCAGAUCGGGCGGUCGAUGGCUAGCAGCCUAGCGAGCUGCAGCCGCUUCCGCUGCCCCAUGGAGAGCAUCCUGGCCUUCUCGUUCAUGAGCCUGCCGAGCCCCAUGAGCUCGAUGGCCGGGCCCGCCCUGCUGCCGUCCUUCCCCUCGAGGAGCUCGAACCACUGCACGUUCUCCAGCACCGUGAGCUUCUCCUUGACGGCGUCCUUGAGCGACAUCCAGUUGAGCUGCAGCUUGUACUGCUGGAACACGCCCGAGGAGGUGACGUCGUGGCCGUUCCAGAGGAUCUCCCCCGCCGAGGGCCGCGAGAAGCCCGCCAGCAUGCGGAGCAGGGUGGUCUUGCCGGAGCCGUUGGCGCCGGUGAGGACGAGGGCCGUGCCGUCGUGGACGCUGAGGUUGAUGUCCCGGAGCACCGUCUGCGCGUUCCGCAUGCACGAGACGUUGUUGAGCAGGAGCCGCGGCGGCGGGGGGCGUAGCGGCGGCAUCUGGCCGAGUGGUCGGGUGGCUCGGGAGCCGGUCAGUCGGUUGGAGGUGGACGGACGGGCGCGGCGAGGUGGGUGGCCCCGGGGUAGGGAUGGCAACGGGGCGGGUCGGGGUCAGGUGGAGCUUCAGCGGAACCGCCCCCGAAACCGGAGAAUAAAACUCGCCCCGAACCCGAACCUCAUUUCGGAUGACAACGUGCACCCGCCCCCGAAACCCGCGGGUGCCCGAGACCCGAGCAACAGUGAACCACAAGGGACUGGGGGGCGGCGGCGCUUGCGGCGCGGGCGGCCGGCGAGGGGGCGCGGGCGGCUGGCCGGCGGGGGGUGAGGGCGGCCGGCGGGGGGUGAGGGCGGCCGGCGAGGGGCGCGGGCGACCGGCCGGCGGGGGGCGAGGGCGGCCGACGAGGGGGCAAGGGCGGCCGGCCGGCGGGGGGCGCGGCCGGCCGGCGAGGGGGCGAGGGCGGCCGGCGAGGGGGCGAGGGCGGCCGGCCGGCGGGGGGCGCGGGCGGCCGGCGAGGGGGCGAGGGCGGCCGGCCGGCGGCGCUCGCGGCGCACUGGCGGCCAGUGGUGGAGACGGAGCGAGUGAUGGUGGGGGUGGGGGUGGUUGGAGAUUACAUGUUUCUCGUUGGGCUGGGCUUAUAUCUAAUUGUUGGGCUGAAAUAUAUACUUGGGAUCCAUGGAUUACUCGCGAGGGAAAUUUUAAACCCACCCGGCCUCCACCCCAUUUCGGAUCCCGAACCCGUGGGGGAAACACAAACUCACCACCGCCUUCAUCGGGUCCAAACCCCACGAGUUUCGGGUUUAAACCUGCCCGAUUGCCAUCCCUACCCGGGGUGGAGGCGGUGGCGAUGGUUGGGGGAGUGCGGCGGCGGGCGGCGCGUGGGAGGCCGUAUGGGAGGGCUACUGAGAGGAGUGAGGCCGGUGUUGGAUCGUGGGGACUGCGGAGUGCCCGAGUUGGUUGGUUAUGGGUGGGCUCAGUGUAGUUUGGUAAUUAGGUCUAAAGCGGGGAUGGUAAUUGGAUCACAUUCUCCCAAAUCUUAAGGGUUUGUUCGCUUCAGCUUAUAAGCCGGUUGAAAAGCUGAAACGGCUGAUUUGUUGUGAGAGGAAAACACUGUUUGGUGGUUGAUAAGCCGGUUGAAUAAGCUGAAGCGAACAGGGCCCAAAAACAUUAACAUUUCUGCAAUUUGACGAUCUGAGAUGAAAAUAGACAUAAAAAAUGGCAGCUAAGUACUAAAGUUCGAAACAGAAAGAUUUGACAUGAACAAAGCUGAACAGGCGUGUCUGUACGCGCGCGCCUCAUCCUUUGAUUGUAAAGGCGUAGUAAUACUGAAGUUUGAAGAUGGCUUUUGAGUUGUCAAAAAUAGCAGUGAAUGUAGACGGCUACUGCAUGACCCAAUAGCAGGUAGUAUAAGAACCUUUAUCUUGAAUUCAUGAUGAAGAUGAAAGUUAAGUUUACGGGUUGAACUUGAAUUGUAAGGUUACGAUGAUGAUCACGUCAUUAGCUAGUUUAACUUGCAAUGCAUAUUGUGCAAAUUUACCGGUAGAGAAACGAGCAGUAGUCCUGGUUGGAAAAUCUCGUAGAUUUCGAUUCUCCCAACCGGGACUUAAUCAUGAGAAUGGCAGGUGCAUGGCGAGAUCGCGAGAGAUCCCAAGGAUCUGCGCCAAUUUGAGGCCGUACGUGGUGAGUUAUGGACGGGUAUCAGCUAACAUGAUCCAUCGGUUAUGAUACCACGCACGAUGAUUUGGGCGUUAUUAUUAGCCGUUGGGCUCUAUCUGCAUGGUGCUGUGCCCAUCCAGAGCAUGCACGGGGGGAGCAUGUAGUGAGACGAGGUGACGAUGAUGGAUGAAGUCAGCCGUGAUGCGUGCGUGACGUAGGCAGCGGAGGCCACGUUGGUUGCUGGACCUGGUGCGGCAGACAUGUGGACUGGGUACACAUAUACACAUGCAUAUGCUAGUACACAAUGCAAUGUGGCCCAUGAGGUCCCAAUAGCCAAUUCCCCGGCGGUACAUGGAACCCAAGAAUUCGUCGACACCUGCUGCUUGGCCAAAAAAGAAAAGGAUCGGAGCUGACUGUUGCUACCUUUUAGGGAUACACGGCCGAUCGCUUGGCGUGGCUGAAUCCACGGCGAUGGCCACCUCUGAGCGAGACCUGAUGGGACUUUGACGCGGUGUUUACGCGAUCGAUCGACAGUAACCUCCUCAGAGACAGAGCUCCUCGUGGUCGUUAAUAAUUGAACGCAACAGACGAUGGUUUUUUUUUUAGAACCGUACCCAUCCAUCACUUCAGCGGCAGCAGCAAGUAAACAAAAGGAAAAUCUCGGCAAGUUCUGAUCGAGAGGCUGCGGCGGCAUUGUUAAAGUCGCCGUCGCCGUCGCCGGCGAUCUCUCGAGGGGCGUGACGACCGCGAGAGCACAGUGCCAUACGGAUUCGUCGUCCGGCCGGCCGUUGGCUAGCUUCAGAUAAUACUCGUGUAUAUCCUUUGCGUGUUGCGUGAAACGUGAUCCACCAAUGCAAUCCGCUGUGAUCGCCGCCGGAUCGGAUUAGGUGCCGCGCGCGGGCGCAGACGUGCUCGAUCAGUCGCCGCCCCCAUGCCCCCAUGGACGUGACCCCCGGAUCUCGUUUCCUUUCGCCGGCUCUCCACCAGCACGAUCGCCCACAGCCGCGCAUCGUGAUCUCCAUGCCCCCUCUGAAUCUUUGCCUGAUUCUUCCGCUCCGUGUCCGAGGCAGCUUUUCGCCAUUACUGCACUGCUACUACUACUACCGAUCCUGCUCAAUUUCCGACCGAGUUGAUGGAACGUAUGGCCACAUGGGAAAACAAAAGCUGUUUCAUAAUCCAGUUCAAAGUCAGCAAGGGAAAAGGAAACGUGGAUUCAUCACAGAGACCAGAAAACCUGCAGCAGCAGCAGCAGCAGGUGAAGUGGAGCUCUCACUGGGAAUACACGUCAUUGGCCAGUGCUGAUAUACAUCACAACCGCCUCAUCGAUCGACUCAAUCAGCUGGAAAAGUAGUACACUAUGAUAGUUAUUAUCAUUAUAACCGAUACAAUAUACGCCACAUGGUACUGUGCCUAGAACAAUUCUCGAUCAUUACAGAAUAAAGUAUGCAACGGGAAGAUUCUCGGAGAGGGAUUUUUCAACUGUAUUCCACUGACAGACUGUUCAUACUCAUGUACUGCAUCCACUAUUCUUUCCUGUUCCUUCCCUGCAGCUAUAAUAGCCACGGACUGCAGCGUGCCUUCACUCGACAUCCAGAGCUACCAAAGCAGAACAUCAGAGAAGAAAAGCUUCAGCUUCGGCUCCUUCUUCUUCUUCUUCUGCUACUUCAUUCAUACAGGCGCUGAACAAACAAUGGAGAACAAAUCACCAUCCUCAUGCGUCAGCCCAGCACCCACAUCCACCAUGUCAGCCGGCGAGAGCAGCUGGGCGGUGCACAUCGCAAGCUUCCUCGCGUCGUCACCGCAAGACAGAGGGAUGGAUCAGCAAGCAGCAGUCUCUGGUGGUAGCUUCUCCUCCGGUUUCUCUUCUUCGUUCAAUUCCUUCGACGACGAUGCAUCCUUCAUCACGUCUGAGCUGAUGUGCGAUGACGACGAAGAAGAUGAGUCUCUACAGGACACUGCCUGUUCUUCUGCAGCUGCCACAAAGGUUAGCAAAACUGGAAAAGAUUCUUUAGUUCAUAGCUUGUCAAACAACAACAUUACGUAGCUUGCCUUCUAACGUGAUUGAGGUUUGUAUAUACACAGGUAGCUACCAUGGAAAAUUUUGAUAUCAAGGCGAUGCCAAUCAUGGAUGCGAAAGAGUUCAACAUGCCCCAGCUGGUAUAUGCUUCUGAAACAGUCUCUUCACUUUCUUUUUGCAGAUGAUGAUUGCUUGCCCCUAGUUUUACUUACAUUUGUGUGUUCUUGGGAUAUUGCAGGCCAAGUACUUUGAAGCUGUGGGUUCACAACAACCAGUGACCAAAGCGGAUCAACAACUGAUCAAUAGUUAUAGUAACAACGCGAAGGCACUGUAUGAGAGUAACGAGCUAAGGAAGAAAGGGCUUUGCUUGGUCCCUAUCUCCAUGUUGAUAAACUAUCUCGGAUGAUUAAAGUUCAUGUACUACCAUUAUUCAAUGUAAUUGUAUACAAUUAUAUAAUAGUUCAUACAUCGCACUCUUCUGUCAGCUAAGAGAACCUACUCCCAUCCAGCUGUUGAGCUUUUCUGAUCAUACCAUUCAAACUAAGAGGAAAAGAAGUAUUCAACUAUGAAAAAAAAAGAAGCAAACAAGCAAAACAAGAUAAUCGAGUACAUGGUAGUGAGAAAAACUUUCGAGGGAUGAGGGUACCCACAGGCCCCCACCGAUCACGCCCGACCGUGCCGUGUGGGCUAAGACAUGAAGACGCGUGGAGCACAAGCUAGGAGACCGGGCGAAUCAAUUCAGCCUGUAUAUCACGGGAUACUUGUUGUAAACCGACUCAGAUUGCUUUCCAUGUAACAACCGACUAGGAUUAGAUCCUAUCCUAUCCGAUUGUAACCCUAUGUCAUCAGCCUAUAGACGCCCCUUGAGGGUAGAUCGACUCUUCGCAUCCCAUACCAGCAAUACAAUCCAUCAGAACACAGGACGUAGGGUAUUACCCUCCGGAGGCCUGAACCUGUCUAAACCUUGCACCCCUGUGUUAACAUUCGAGCUCUUGGUCUCACGAUCUUCCCGCCUACAAAUCUACCACCUGAGUACCCCUGGUGGACUGUCGAUGACUAAAUCUGAUAGUUGGCGCACCAGGUAGGGGUGAUCGUAAGAUCCUCCCCAGCGAGCUCGAUGGCAUACCGCCCCGGCGUCAUUUUCCCCGAGAGCAUAAAGGACUUCCUCGCCAAUCCGAUCCAGCUCCGCUUCGGGAGCGGUGGACUCCGACUCCACCGCCUCCUUCGCCGACUCGGCAUCCGCCGCUAGCUUAGCAUCUGUCAGAUCUGCUUCGAUGGAGUAAAGUCUUCAUCCGAGGUUCAUCAUGCCGCUUGUCCAACAGGUCGGCGAUCUCUCUUAGAGGGUAAACCGUGCAGUGUAACGCGUUGGUUGCUUGCAAGUUCGAAACAUGUAUCAGCAGAGAAAUUUGUCAAACUUUAUGGUAUAAUAUAUGCCCAUCGCACAGAAACACAGGUGAUUAACCAGCAAUUAGUAGAGCGUAACAGCUUAGUUACGGUGUGAAUCACGAACUUAACAAAUUAAUAAUAUGAUUAGCUGCUUCAGUCAGUUUGAAGUCCACAUGGUUAGGGAUUCCCUUGCGUUUGUGCACACGUCAGUAAUAUGAUGACCAACUAGAAGCAAGCUGUAAUACUGACCUCAUGACACUGGAAGCUAGCAUAUCUUUAAUGAGUGGCUAGUACAAAAAACCUGCUUAAUUAGUUAGAAUAAGCAUAAGCGGCAUCUCUGACCUUCCAAAAAUACAAAGUCCUGACCAAAUCAAAACAAGUAAUUUAGUCUUCAUGGAAAAGUUCUGUUCAAUAAUUCAUACACUCAUUGCAGAGGUUCCAACUAGCAACAUUUUUCUCUCACAAAAUAAGAUAUUUGCAUGUGCUACUACAAGGAGACAGUUAGCAUCAAGUGGACCAUGAAUUCUGGACAAGUAAGAAUAUUCUACGGAAUUCCCCUAAAUAGUACCAAGCAUUGGCAUUUUAAAGGACAUGCGUGUCCUAGAGACAUGCUUCUCAUUCAUCUUACUGGAAUUUACAUAAGCCCUUCAGUUUUCGAAAGAACAUGAACCUUUCUGACUGUAAUACCUGUUUAGAGUUCUGAAAGUUUGGCAACCGAGUGCGCCACUCUAGCAUUCAAAUGCAGAACAGAAUCAAAGAUGGGCUCAAAUACUAGUUUACUCCAUGGUAAAGAUAAAUAUGCACAUUGCAUGGCACAUUUCUGUGCAUUUGUGAUCUUUUGAUGUCCCAAAACACUUAUACUGAGUAGAGUAGCUAGCUGGAAAAGGCAACGGUUAUUUUAAUUUGCAAGUUGUGACUAUUUUUCUGUUCCACUAUACAUCCCUAGUGUUUCCAAACGGACAUUUUCCGUAGAAGAGCUCAUUGGAUAAGUCUUUAAUUAAAAAAACCCACUUGGCAUGUCUGACUGGCAUCCUCAGUAUUCAUCUAUUCGAUGGACUUUUUGGUGCCAACCUAGCAUUUGUAGAUUUAAACAUCACAGCUGUUGGGAAGUUCUUUAGAAUACAUAGUCACUUACAGGAGUCCAUGAUAAUCACUAUAGUUGACAACUGAACUAAAGUGCCAACAAUCUGAAUAGUGAGGCAUUUCAGAGAUAUUUAAUGCGAAAAUGUAUCAUUCGAGAAAAAUGAAGAAAGAAAGACAAAAGGCUAAUACAGAGAAGGGCAUCUUUCAUUUAACUGAAAAUACUAAUCAACGCAUAUGCCAAGUUAGAAUUUGGAAUAUUGGCUACUACCAAGCUGGAGUACAUCAAGCAUAGGGUUCUUCUCUAUCUAAAAGGGAUUCCUUGUUCAGUGUCACAUUGCUACUACUUGUAAUUAGUAGGUGACCUUGGGACAUACUGAAGUGUGAAUCUAAUCGCAGGCCAGUGACAACCGCCGAUGCCGAACUGAAAGGCCACUGUCAAUUUUCUACUCAUCGUUGACCAAAGAAGAGAAUUUUAGCUAGACCCUUCUCCUUAGUCAAGAUGGCAACAGACUAACAUAAUACUCCAGACGUUGGUAUGAUAUAGCACAAGGGCCAACCAUAGCCGGGGCAGGUUCAUAGAACGCAGUGGUGCCGGAGCCAACCAAAGGCAUCGGAAUCAGCAACGGCUAGGGAUCACCGGCUCCGAAAGAGACAAGGAACCGAUUAUGUGUUGGAACUGACAAAAUAAUUCGCAUAAAAGAAAGAAAGAAAGAAAGAAAGAAAGCCUCCAGUCCAGUGGUUAGAACUUUGUAACCUUCCGCAUCGUUUGAACGAAUCUCGAUCCCCUCGCAACUUGCUCCAAGCCAUGUACUUUUCUGGCGCCACGCGCAUCGCUGGAGGCUGCAGCCGAUGCGGGCUCAUACCAUACGGCGCGCUGGCACAUGAGUAUUCGACUGCCGCCGCAUCCGUGGAUGGUUUUGGAGCACUAAUCCAUUUGCAACAUGUAUUGUAAUAAUCUUUCCAGACGUCUUGGCUCUAGGCAAAUAUUUAGUAAGCUCACAGUCACAGAUCCACUCAUUGAGAGCAUACUUUUUAGCAGGUUGCUCGCCAAUCUGCAAGUGUUGGUAGGAAAAUAUGGAGCAACAAUUCAAAAUCGACUCAUGGGGACCCCACGCUCCACUGGACAAGGAGAAAAUGGGGGAAAGAAAGGAGGAUCGACAGUUGCUACUUGCCACGAGCGCGAGAGUGGAACUCACUUGCGUGGCUUAUUCGCCGACGGCGGGAUGGAGUACCGCGCGACGGAGCGAGCUCCGGCGGCCGGCGGCGGUUCCAGCUUCGGGGCAGGGGUGGAGUCGUCUCAGUAAAAGAUGGGCCGGCCAACGCGGAAAUAACUCGAGCCAGGCCGUCAGAAGGACUACCCGGCCCAUAAUAACAAGGCCAUGGGCUGAUUCUUCUUUUCUCCCGGACUAAAAGAAAGACCAUGAACAGACUGGACCUGAAGAAACGAUAAAAUGCCCAGUUCCGGGGGAAACAGUUUGUGACACUCCAUUCCGUUGCAUUCAUUCCAUUUUCAUCUGCAAUCCAAUCCCAGUAAAACAAAGUCGAGACAAACAAUCGUUGUACCAUUUCCUACACAAACACAACAACACGGAAGACCGGAACACGGUUUUGGAUCAUUGCGUGCCAUCUGCAGCAACGCCGACGGCAGCCUCAGCCUCGACGGCUGCUGGCGGUGGUGGCGCCAACUCGUCCGUGGACGUCGGCGGCGCCGCCGGUGAACCGUCCUCCGGCUUCUUCCCCCUCGCCUUCCUCGGCGGCUUUGGAACGUCCGGGCACGUAGCCGUGUCCUGCCGGCCGGUGCUCUCUGCAACCGCGCCGAAAGCCGGUGUGCCCAAUGGCUGCGGGUCGAAAUCUGUGAAAACAGCCGCCACAGAACGCGUGUCAGCGACUGGCAAGAAAGAACACAAACGAGCCCUUGCUCAUCUAGGAAGCUGAGGAAAAACAAAAUCAGUGUGUGAUCUUGGAAGAAGCAAUGUGCUUGGCCUGCCGCCCCGUCCCCGCGCGAGGGGCGGAGGAUGUCUGCCGGUUGCCUGAUCGCGGUCAGCGCCUGUCGUCUGAAACACCAACCACUGGUUCUCUUUGGAGUCGGACCGCGUCAGGACCAAGCGUUUGGGGAACCCAGGCAUGAACGACACCAAUUGAUCGUGUCCCCAUCACAGGAAGCUUCAGGUUUGCCUGCGUUACCGUCUCAUGAAGCAAGAACCAAGAUAUCUUCAAGAGAAGUCUCCCCCAUUGUUUGCAUAAAGCACGAGAAGAAUCGUGUCAAUCGCCAUUUGUCUGCACGACCCAUUGCCUACCACCAGCAAUUCAGAGAUGCUGCUGGUAGUUCAGACUUCAGAAACCUGAUGAAGCCUGAUUUUUUUUUUCUUACUAACAUGUGCUCUGCGAUUACAGAUACGGGAUCGAGGAACCAACACAGAAGUUGCCAAACACGGUGACAAUCACGUGUUCCUUAGAAGAAAUAGGCUGCAACUACACCGAACGGAGCAGUGUAUUCUGUACUGAAGAGCAGGACGCAUGGCCAUACCUUGAGAAGCCCAGGAGGUCCCUGUUGAUGCUGCGAAGUUGCCCAGCGACGAGAAGUCGGGGGCAGCCAUGAUGUUGUUCAUCUAGGGUAUGCAAGAUACGCAAAGCAAAAAAUAUAAACUAAUCAGACAUUUGGAACAAGAAGUUCAGCAGUGCACUGAAAAAAAUUCAGGCGUGGCGUGGCGUGCUUACCCAGCUCGGAGAUGCAUUGCCCGCCGCGCUAUCCCAGCCGAUGUGCGCGACGUGCUUCACGUCCGUCGGAUAACCGAUCUCCAUCUCGUGCUCCUUCGCCGCUGCAAAGAACGAUGCAGAGAGCAGUCACUGAAGAUACAAGAUGUGCAUUGUGCGAGCAGGUAGGCAGGCCUCUGUCUGUCCUUGUUCGCCGUACGUGGCCAAUGUUCAGAGUUCACAUGUGAAGGACGGGAUUCACUUACCGAACAUUCGGGAGAUGACCUUGAUGCCCUUGAAGAACCCUUUCGCCUUGAACGCCAUUGGAAGCGAGGCGACGCUGCACGGUGGCCUGCAGAAACAAGGAGGCAGAAAGGAGAGGGCUCUGAGCAAGGAGAGGCAGUAAUCCAAAGUUUCAAAGGCUUUUCUGGCCCUGACAAGGAUGCAGCAUCAACCUGGUUUUGUGACCUUGAAGAAUGAGUUAUCAUCGCACGCACAGUGAUGGAUUGGUGAUACAUGUCUGCAAAAGUGCUGAUCUGCAUCCUCUGGAGUUGUUGGCGAUGUUGACAUCAGCUGUUUCGGCUGAAAGAUUUGCAUAAACAAUAAUUCUGUAUGCACCCGUGAUUAUUUAUUUAUUUUGUUUAUCGCCUCGCGGAAUUCUAGUCUUAUAUUGAAAGAUUGGUGAUAAGCGAAAAUUCUAUAGCAACCAAUAAUUAAGAAUGGUAAACUUGCAUUAGAAGGCAGAAUCAUCGUAGAAUCCUGUCAACUCCUUUUGCGACUGACAGCAAAAUUUAAUGGGUUUCGUAGUUGACAGGUUGCCCCUUCUAGAUUCAAAUUUAUGUCAAAACGAAACACAGCUUGCAAGCUACACGAGGAUAUAAGUAUUUUGCCAUGAUUACUCACAAGAUGCAAGAUAAAAAAAAGAAAGGAAAAAAAAAAAAGAACCUGUCAGACAACCUGAGGGCCACCCCAGUAAGGCAAGCCUGACCAGGAACGAUCCUCUACAGCCGUGGAUGGAGCAUCAAAGCUCAAUCCAGGCCGUUAAUCACGCUCUGGCCCACAGGUCUUGAAUCAUCAACCAGGCUUAAGUGCUUGCCUCCUUAUUAGUCAAGGAUGCAGCGGUACGAUCCUAUAGAACAGAUCCUGUUCAAGUAAGGUCGUGACGCAACAGCCGAGGCUCAGCCAUAUAAGCAGGGCGAAACCAGUCUGCGCUUCCGAGGUGGUACUAAGAGUUUCGUCUGGGUUCAGCUCACAGUGCUACUAGCUAGCAUUCUAUCUUGGGCCACAGCCCACAGGGUUCGGUAAAAAGGCCCAGGCCUUUGGAGGCAAUCCACCAGCAGCAGAAUUGGCAGAUACAGAUUUUCCCCACUCUGUCACUGCCUCACUGCCAAAUCCAGUCCACCGCAUUCGCAUCGCGUGCUGUUGGAAGCGAAGGCUCAAGCAAGAAAACGAUGUGCCUUUGCAUUGCAGUUUGACAGUCUGCGACUUUUAGAUUCACUCACUGUCUGAAUUUUUUCGAAAUUGAUUCCAAAGUCGAAAUUAGAUCAAGUAUUCCAAUGUCGUAAGCUUGCACGACAGCAUUAGAACUGUCCAAGGUCCAUAGAGAUUCAGACAUUAGUAUCUCUGCGCUAUGUUUAUGUACGAAGCAUUACGGCGUGCCUUGCGGAGACAGAUGCCAUGUACAGUCACAAGUUACAAAUCAAAUCCAGUGCACAAUAUUUUCUCCUUAUCUCAUAUAUAAUCAUAUAGAUUAGCAUCAUUGCCAGCAGAAACACUUGUCAUAUAUCAAACUCAUUCAGCUUUCGAGUAAACAAAACUCAUUCAGCUUUCGAGUAAACAAAGAAGAUCAUUCAGCUUUGCAGCUUUGGACUACAGAUGUCAGCAAAUGUGACUGGAAUCAUCAGUAUUCAGUACAGCAAAAAGAACACAAGUGAAAACCUGCAUGCAAAAUUACAGCUUUAAGAAUGAAUUGCUGCGCAUUGUGACAGCAGUGUACAUAGAUAAUACAGAAUAUGGCAAAUUCUCUUGAAUGUUCACAUGGCUUGCACACAACAAAAUUGCCCAUAAGGCUAGCAGAGACAAGCAGAUAACCGAGUGAGGAGGGGAAACAAUCUAAGGUACAGCACUGUGGUGACAUGACCAAUCAAGGUAAUACUCUUUGCAAAAUAAAGAUAACAAUGAAAACACUGAUGUUACAGUAGCUGAGUUGAGUAACUGAAGAACAGACAGCAGGCUAGUCCUAAAGCUCUACCUCCAUUCUAGAGAAGCGUGAAAAACUGCACAAAUGAAGGGCAACGAAGUGAUCUCUUCUAAUAUUUUACAACACACAAACAAUUUUCCCUUAUUGUCUGAGGAUCUUCAAAUCAGUAGUUUUGUUUAGUACGAACCUUCUGAAUUCUGAUACACUUGAGAGUUGAGAACUUCAAAAUGGUGUAUCUGCUUAUUUGGCCAUUACUGUUAACUGAUGGCUUCUACCAGAGCAAUCUUCUGCACCCUUGAAAUCCUUCACAAAUAAAAAUAUUUUGGUGUCCGAUCUAUACAGUUCCUGUCUACCACCAAAUAUAAAUCUAACUAGGCAAUCAACUUUAUAAGACAUCUGGUCUCAUCGAACAGGUGGUGCUAAGCCGUGUGUCUUCAUCAUGCAAUGGUAUUUCGGGGGUACUCUUGCACCAACUUGCAUGCAGAGCUCAAUGACAGCAGGCGCAUGGCCAUAAUAAUCCCUCCCGCCGUCCACCAGAACUGGUGGGUCAUGAGGCCGCCGAUGCCACACGAUCUUCUGAGGAACUAGGUCAUCCACUCCGGCCUUCUUCCACUUGUGCAUCCCUUUCCAGCCCUCAAACUUAAAUACUCCACACAUUCUGGCCUUGUGCCCUGAUGGCCCGACAUGCACUUCAGAGCAAUGCUCACAAACUUUAGAUGGGUACACCAAAAGGAGUUUCGUGACACCUAAUCUCAGGCUUUCCCAUGCAUCCAGUGUUGUCUGACCGAUAUAUCUGAGUUGAUCUGGCAAAAUAGGAGCAGGUUGUUGGCUGUGGCCUCUGACCGUUGUAGAUAGCUGUUCACUUCUGUAUAAAACCUCAUCAGGUAUAUCUGCACCUGCCUGAUGGCAGAGCUCGAGUACAGCUGGGACUCGGGCGUAGUCAAACCUCUGGUCAUGCUUUAUCUCAUCCUGAAACAUUUCUCUCAGGUGGAAAGCCUGGACAGGGAUAAGGAUGUCAUUCAAAUUGCCAGGACCCCAUUUAUGUGGUCGGUCCUUGAUCAUACGCUUGAAACCAUGGCAUGUUUUCAUCUCAUGACCCGUUGCUCCAAUGUGAACUUCAGGACAAAACCUUCAGCGCAAAUCAGCACAGAAGGUGUUAAAAGGAUUCAUAAGAUGCAGAAAAUUUCAGGGCAGGAAUCAAUAAACUGACAUCAGAUAGACAGAACCUUGACCGGCGAAUCAACACUGAGAACAGGCAUAAAUAUCACAGAACUGUUAACUUGGUAUCGCGAGAAUUGGAUCAGACAACCUAAAAUUGUGACGAUACACAACACCAACACUAAUUUAUGAAUACAGUAGUAUUUCUACUCAAGUUUCUUAUGCCAUUUCUACCUUUUUUUGGGAGAUUGCCUAAUCAAAGAUGCUGUACUUCACAGAAAGCAUUUUUUUAGCAAACAUAUAUUACUGAGUUUAUUAUUUCUGUGUUAAGACAAGAACACUACUAAUUUCACAUUUCUUUCCCUUACUUGCAUGAAUGCACAGGAACAGCUUUGAGCAGUGUGGAGACGCCCUCAGUGACAAUCUCCCUAGCCCUCAUGACCUCCUCCGCGACCGGGAUCAUCCGCUUGAUUGGGUACUCCUUCGACCGGCUCUUAAUUCUCUUGAGAAUCAUCGGCCGCAGCUGCUUCCAAUCCACCCUCGAAGAAGAGUGCCGCCUCUGGUUCAGAACUGAACCGCAUAGCUCCAAGCAUAUGUAGCUCCUGGCUCUUCGCCCAAGAAACGCCAUUGGAGACCAUAAACAGCAAGCCUACAAUUUUGCAUAUGUAGUUCACAAUUUCUUUAUAAAAAGAAAGUUCACAAUUUUGCAUAAGCGGAUGAAACAAACGCUGAAGGGUAUUGACAUAGAUAGAAAUUCCUUCCUACAACGGCUGAUUAUGUUAGAACUAAGAAACACUACUGGAUCAGAAGAACUUACAGGUCGGGGAGGUCGAUCUGGCGAACCGCGCCAGGCCCCUAGCAGAGGACCCGAGGCCAAGGCCGCUUGCGUGGUGCCACCUGAAGACGUCGUAUCUUCGAGGGCACGAUUCUGCUACCUGCGCCGCCCGCUCGCUGAUACCGCCAGCAGGAGGCGUUUCCGCGUCGGCGCCGGAGAGCAGCCGAGGAAGUGCCGGCGCCGGGAGCGGCGAGAGGCGGCGCUGGAGAGAGGGGGCGGCGCGCGGUGAGCAGAUGGGACGCGGGGUGCUCGGGGGAGGGGCGGCGACGCCGGGCGCGCAGAGAUGAGAGGGCGGCGAGGGCACGGCCGCGCCGGGAGCCGCCGUGCGGGAAGGAAGGGGCGGGGGACCGGCGCUUGCAGGAUCCUGAAAUGGGCUUGGCCAACUAGGGAUCGAUGGAGCCGUGAGAGAGUUGGGCUGCAGUCUGUCGGUUUACUUGGGCUGCAUGGGCAAGGUAAUUGGGCCAAUCACCUGGGCCAGUCCAUAUAACUUCUCCCAGCUUCAGUCUUUCAGCCCAAACAUGGCGUGCCGCGAGCUUCUCUGGUGGUCUGAUAGGAUACGAACGGCUGUGAUCUGACCCUGCCGACUCCGUCAGGGGAUGCGGCCGUGCCGGAUACGGACAUGUCACCUGGUGCCACGUGGUUGGUACCCAUUGGCUGGUACACGAGGUGCCCGAGGCGGUAACCCCACAGAAAAUCUCUUGGCACCGCCUCACCCGAGCUAUAUAUUGCGAGGCCCCUCACGAGCUCUUCUCAUCGAUCGCAAUCACCGUCUAAUCUCGCCAAGGAAAGAACUCUUCGGCAGCUAAUCGACUCGUCAAGGUAACUAAUCCCCAUCAGACUCCCGCUUUUAAGGUUUCUCGCGAUUCAAUGUCCAAACCUUUCAGUCGAGUUAUAACGCUUCGCCGGAUUUGAUUGGUGAAAAUUGUUGAGAACCUGAAAAUUGUUGGGAACCAGUCGGGGUUUGCGCUUUAGGCAUCUGAUGAUAUGAUCUCUCGGUUGUGUAGAUCGAUCUAAAUCAUUGUGUAGAGUUACUGCGAAAUUUGUGAAUGAUCUAUUAUAUUGUGAGUAGAUUUAGAUUUGUUUAGCUCGUCUAUCAUGAUUAUUUUUUGUUUAGCAGAACAUUACGAUUAUUUGCAGUGUGUUUCAUAUGAGAUUGAGAUGUCUAUCGAUGAGCUCCAUUGCUGAUUUUUUAUCUACAGUCUUUUUUUCGUUAGUCUUGGCCUUAGUUAGUUCACUAGUUGUGACAGCUCCUAAAUUCAUGUUUAUUUUCAUCUUCUGUUCAUACUGUACUUGGACAUGUAUGAUUAGUGCUGAGCUUUGUCCUAGUUGCAAUUUAUUAAUCUGGAAUGCUGGAGUUGGUUCUUCUGUUGUGGUUUCGUAUUUCAUUCAUAGGCGAGUCUUCUAUGUAGCUCAUGUGGCUCUCUUAUUUCUUUUUUUUGUUGCUAUUGCUAGUUUGGAACAGCUUCUGGGCUAAAUUUUAGCCUUGUCAUAUCGGAUGUUCGGAUACUAAUUAGGAGGACUAAACAUAAGCUAAUUACAAAACUAAUUGCAGAACCCUAGGCUAAAUCGUGAGACGAAUCUAUUGAGCCUAAUUAAUCCAUCAUUAGUGAAUGGUUAUUGUAGCACCACAUUGUCAAAUAAUGGAUUAAUUAGGCUUAAUAGAUUCGUCUCGCGAUUUAGCCUAGGGGUUGUUUAAUUAGUUUUGUAAUUAGUUUAGGUUUAAUACUCCUAAUUAGUGUCAAACAUUCGAUGUGACGGGGGCUAAAAUUUAGCCCCCUCCUCCCAAACAAUAAUUAUACUGACCCAUGUCGAUUCAGAUGUGAGCUUGUGACAUUAAUUGUACACCUCAUGCCUUCUGCAGAUGCAAAUCUUUGUGAAGACCCUGACUGGCAAGACCAUCACCUUGGAGGUCGAGUCCUCGGACACGAUCGACAAUGUGAAGGCCAAGAUCCAAGACAAGGAGGGCAUCCCUCCGGACCAACAGCGCCUUAUCUUCGCUGGCAAGCAGCUUGAGGACGGCCGCACCCUUGCUGAUUACAACAUCCAGAAGGAGUCCACCCUGCACCUUGUCCUGCGUCUCCGCGGUGGCAUGCAGAUCUUUGUGAAGACCCUCACUGGCAAGACCAUCACCCUGGAGGUAGAGUCGUCUGACACCAUUGACAAUGUGAAGGCCAAGAUCCAGGAUAAGGAGGGCAUCCCUCCGGACCAGCAGCGCCUCAUCUUUGCCGGCAAGCAGCUUGAGGACGGCCGCACCCUUGCGGACUACAACAUCCAGAAGGAGUCCACCCUCCACCUCGUUCUCCGCCUGCGUGGUGGUCUGUGAGCUGUUGCUGUAGUGCAUGGUGUCAUCGUGUCAUGGUUAAAUUGGAGUUUCGGGUUAGCUAAAUAAGUACUUUAGGCCAUCGUUCUAGUAUGGCAAUAUGUGUAAGGCUGUGUGUGCCUUUUGGACAAGUAUUAUAUUUCAUAUAUCAAUGUUCGUUCUUAAUAUCCUCUGGCGAUACUAUCUUUUUGUUUGCUUGAUGGUUGAUCGAGUGCUGAUGUGGUUAUUUUUCGUCUCCUUUUUUGUGCUGUUUUUAUCAACCUUAAGCUGUUGAUGUGCAAUCAUGCAAUUAGUGAUAUUCCAGUGCAAUUUUGAUUUAUUCUGCUUCUCAUGUUCUUGUGGUUUCUUUCUUUGGGGUUGUAUAUUUUUGUUGUCCCAAAUUUUUAAUAGUGAUGUCUUAUUAAAACUUUAGUUCUAACAUUUGUCAACCUGUCCACUUUCUCUGCUACCUGACAGUUUCACGUUUGGAAGUUCUAAAAGUUUCUGGAACAGAGUGUGCUUGGCAAUGCAGAGUUAUUUCACACUCUGUAGCGUCAAGUUGUAGUGUGCUUGGCAAAUGGCAAUGGACAUCGAUCAUGAUCUGUUGUGCUCCUUGCUUAGACCUCGUGCUAAUUUAGAAUCAGGGCCUGUUUGGCUCCACCCUGUUAAAGUUUAACACCCGUCACAUCGGAUGUUUGAAUGUUAAUUAGAAGUAUUAAAUAUAGACUAAUUACAAAACUAAUUGCACAGUUGGAGUGUAAUUCGCGAGACGAAUCUAUUAAGCCUAAUUAGUCCAUGAUUUGACAAUGUGGUGCUACAGUAACCAUUUGCUAAUGGUGGAUUAAUUAGGCUUAAUAGAUUCGUCUCGCGAAUUAGCACAGGGUUCUGCAAUUAAUUUUAUAAUUAGCUCAUGUUUAGUUCUUCUAAUUAGCAUCCGAACAUCCGAUGUGACACUGUUAAAGUUUAGCGCCUCGUAUCCAAACACCCCCUCAUUCAGAUUCCUAAAAGGCACAACAGGUAUAUCUUACAAGCCUCUGCGUCUUCUUUGAACGCUGACCACUCAGAUCAUCUCCUCGGUUGAAUCAUUAGUGUAAGCGCAUUCUUGUGAAUGCCAAUUUUCUUCAUGGUUAUGUUCCUCGUGUCUUGAAUUGUUCCUAUCAUAGUUGUAAAUUGUCCUCCGCAUUCUGUAACACUCUGUUUGGCCAACGAUGGCCCCUGAUCAAUGAAAAAUUCAGGCGGUCCAUAAUUCCUUUCUUCAUAUUCGAGUGAUCUUGAUCGAAUUUGAUUCCCUAGAAAUAUGCAGUAGCCAACUAGAUAUGCAGGAAGUAACCAAACUGUUACCUUCUGUAAGUAUGAUUGUUGUCUUAUAACCAAGCUGUAACUUUCCAUGGAAAUAACUGAACCUGCAGCUGUUUACAAUUCGUGAAAAAAUUUCAUGGCACGAAUUCUCUUGUACACCAUAACUAGUGUUGAGUGAAGCAGUCAUUGCAAGCCACGAUUGGUCAACUGAACAAGUAUGUAUGAUCUGUUAAAGACUUAGACUUUAAGUUUUGAACAACCAGAAGCAAUCACGUUUCAGUUACUCAACAAACAGUUGGAUGCAUUGUACAAUUCAUGUCAUCAUAAACAUCAGACUGUUAGUUUCUUGAUUUAGUUUCACUUGUAAAAUAUCUUUAUACUCAUUAGUGGUGGUCUAAAUACAACCAUUAGAACUGAAGUUUGGUUAAAAUAUGGGUGAACUUAGCUUAUAUUUGUUGAAGAUGACAUUUCAUCAGUAGCAGGUGGUUGUAUAGUCCGACUGAUACACCAAGUUUGCCAAUCAUGAGUUCAUGACAGGGCAUAGGUUCUGUAUGAUUUGUUACACAAGUCUCUAUGCUGUGUUAGUCUUCGGGCUUGAAGCAAUCUUUCUUGAGUUACAUAUACGUUUGACUACUGGACCUGAGCUUUUCUUCAAAACAAAGCAGUCUUUAUGUAUACCAGCUUGGUAAGGUUAAUGAUCAAGUAGCACACUGAUCUUAUCCUGGUGAUCUCCUUUUUACUUGAUGAUUUUCUCCUGCGAGAUGAGCGCAAUCAGCACGGGCUUGAAAUGUCCUCGGAAUCCUACAAAAACAUGCGCUAGGAAUAUACCUUUUGCUCAAUUUUAUUUGGAAAAAGAAAAUAUGUUUGUCAAUGCAUUUGUGUUUCAGUAUAUUUUGUUGAUAUAUUGUUGUUUAAUUAGGAGUUGAUAAUCCAACAGACAUAGUAUGUUUUCGGUAUCCAGAACUGUAAGGGUUCCUACGAGAUAAGGUAGCUGUCAUAUUGAAUAAAUUAACUCCUUUAAACGAGUAAAGGAGAUAAAAGUUCCAUUUUCAUUUCUUUUCCCUUUGCAUGCAUAAUUUGUUUUUUCAGAACAAACACUGAAGGAUAUAGUGAUAAUCCAUAGCCUAUUUUCCUUCCAGAAAAUAUUCAUUUAGUAGAUAACCGUAUGCUUAAUUUUCAGUACCUAAAGCUUCAAAAAAAAAUUCAGUAUUUUUUUAAACAUAUAUGUAUAUGCAAACAAGAGAUCGUUUAUAAGUUUGUAGCAAAAGUUCCUGUAAUAAGUCCAUAACCAUUUUCUAACUACUACUAUUACACUAAAGCUCCAAGAUUUGGAGCCUCCUCAUGCAUCAUGGCUCCACAUGGAACCCACAUAUUGUUCCAUGUGGGACCCACACACUAUUCAAGUGGGACCACGUAUUGUUUAGGUGGAUCCCACGUGGGAUCCAGACACUAUUCAAGUGGGACCAACAUCGUUUGGUGGGAUCCACUGUACUGUCAGGUGGGUUCCAUGAUAUUUUAAAAAAAUUAUUGAUAAUGUUUUUUCUAUUUUUUGGAUUUAAUAGUAAGAAAGUAUAAAUAUAUUUAAUUUUUUCCUACAUAUAAAAAUAAUAACUAAACUUUGUAUACUUUGUUCAUCUGUGGUAGCCCCACUGCAUUUUUGGACUUUGCUUUCAAAUGACCGAAUUGGGCUACUGCAUUUUUGGACUUUGCUUUCAAAUGACCGAAUUAUUCAUUCAUUGCUAAUUAUAUCUUUUAUUUCUAUGAAAACCAAGAAUCAGUGUAACAUAGCAUGUUAUUCCAUUAGCUAUAUCAACUAACAUCCAAAAGUCAGUGAAUUCCUAAGAAAAAAACUAUACAAUACUUGAAUGACCAUUAUGAUAAAAAAAUUGUUUGAAUUUAAUAUUAGAUGCCAUCCAUUUGAUUUUAGAUUAUUUUUUAAUUUGAUUUGAUCCAUUAAUGCGAUGCUACUUUGAGCAUAGAGCAUCUCCAAGAGAAAGGCUAUCUCACUCUCUAAGCCAAAAUUUGUCAAGUCCGCUGGAAAAAUAUGCUCCAACAGAGUUGUUAUCCGGUUAGCUAUCCCAUCCAGCUUACCAAAUACUCACCCACACUAUCCAAACUUGGUAGGUAGGUUUGGCUUGCCAAAUGUGGGUCCCACGUCCAAAAUGGGGAGUGCAAAAUGGAGAGUCUGUUGUAGUGUGAAAUGAAGAGGCUGUUGGAGUGGAUGGAAAGUGUAGAUUUUAGAGAGAAACCUAGCUAUUGAAAUUUGGAAAGUGAGAAAUGGAUAGUCUGUUGGAUUGAGUAACUUAAUAUGGAGAGGAAUCUUUUUACCAACUUGGUUAGAGAGUCAAAUGGAGAGUCAAAAAUAGAUAGUUUGUUGGAGUUGGUUUAAGAUAACAAAUUCCCAUUUCAUCAUUAUUUCAAGUUAACAUUUUUUAUAGGCGUGCGAUAACUAGUAUUUUUAACCUUUCAUCUAUCUUCGAGUUUUCAUAACCAUCAGAAUACAGUUUUCAUUAUUGGUCUGGUAUGGAAUCUGAGAAUAUGUAUGCAUCAGAAUCAAUCUACCCCCAAAUAUAUUAAACUAGAAACACAGUGUGAGAUCACAGCUAGCAGCUUAGAGUUCAAGUCUUUGGUGUGGCACUUUUUAGCAAAACGCUGUACUCUCUGCAUCUCUUUGAGAGUGUCAAUUACACAAGUGACUGGGCACGAAGAAUCUCCACCCUAGAACUAAUACUGUCGGCGAUGCAUAAUUUGUAAUCGGUAAACUAGCAUCCCUUCAGUUAAUGGGAAUCAUGUGCUUAUUUGCCGAAUGAGAUAUGCUCCACCUGACCCAAGACUUGCACAUACUGUUGAGGUCCUAUACAUGAACACAUGCCAUAGGGCUCCUGAAAUACCGAUCCCUAGGCACAUGACUAACUCCUAGGCCAUAUGCUGACUUCAUCACAUAAGAAUAGAAUGCAGCUUCAAGGGCAUCUGGGCUUCUGGAGCCACUACACUAAUACUGAAGAUAAUGGCUGGCUCACUAUCAUUUAUGUGCAACCUAAGCAACUGGACUAUAAAGCAGGCUGCAAGUUCCAGCUCACCUCAAAUUCAGCAAGAACCUCUCAUCAAUCACCAUGCCUAGUCGCUUUGCAUCACUCAUGAUGCACAGCAUGAUUUUCAGACUCCUCUUUGGACUUGUCCUUGCCCUAUUCCUACAAUCCUUAUCAGUGCUAGCCAAUCCAUUAGAAUUAGGACUACAAUCCUCAUCGUCAGGGCUACCCAAUCCAUCGGGGCUGAGGGUUGGAUUUUACCAGUACACAUGUCCGAAUGCGGAGGCCAUUGUUCGUGAUGAGAUGACCAAGAUCAUCUCUCAAGUCCCAAGUCUCGCUGGCCCGCUGCUUCGGAUGCAUUUCCAUGACUGCUUUGUGAAUGUAAGUGUGAUCAUUUUAUUCUGUUCUGAACUAUUUCAGCCGUGUUCAGACUUCAAAAGGUAUGUGACUGAAGAAUUGAAUGCGCUAUGCUGCAGGGUUGUGAUGGUUCAAUUUUGCUGAAUAGCCUAUGGGGAUUACCAUCCGAGAAGGAGGCGAUACCGAACCUCAGCCUGCGAGGCUUUGGCACGAUCGACCGCGUCAAGGCGAAGCUGGAGAAGGCCUGCCCUGGAGUGGUGUCCUGUGCUGAUAUCCUGGCUCUGGUAGCAAGGGAUGUCGUUGUACUGGUAAGAGAUUAAUACAAGUCUUGUUUGUUGAUCUUCGUUUAUCAGUUCUUUUCUUAGGGGAAUUUGGCUUGUUAAUUCUUCAAGUAGGAGAUGUUAACCUAUUUUGCUUAAGUGACUCCCCUAAUUGGCUGUGUCAAUGGCAGCAAAAUCUUUCACUGAAUUGAGUUUGAUCGUCUUCAUGUAGUUAGUGGCCAGUAGUCUCCCUUACUUUUGACAAUGACUCUUUUUUAAAAAACUUUUGACAAUGAAUCAAUGACUGACGUUAAUCCAAUGUCUGUUCACCUUUUUCCUGUGCAACAGACGAAAGGGCCUCAUUGGGAUGUCCCAACUGGGCGUAGAGAUGGGAGGAGAUCAGUGAAACAAGAUGCCUUGGACAAUCUCCCUCCUCCCUUCUUUAAUGCCGGUCAGAACCUGUACCAGUUCUUCAUCCCCAAGGGCCUUGACGCAAAGGAUCAGGUGGUUCUACUAGGUAAUACACUACUCGCCACAUCCUCAACUUGAUGCAUUAUCGUCAAUAAAGAAAGAGAGUACCUAGAUGAUUGGUGCUGGCUCUUUCCUGGUUUUUGUUUAAACCCCAUGCUGAUCCCAACAAAUCCGUGGUAGUAGCGCGCGUUCUCCAAUAAAGGUGAUACUUUGUAGAGCAACUGUGAAGCAACUUGUUCAUGAAAAUAAGGCAAAGUCAACAGAAUCGGGAUUAAAUUCUUGUAACUGUAACAUGUGCUUACCGUGUUGUUCAUAUAAUCAUGUACUCUCUCAUAGUCUCAUGAUCAUGUUCAUAUCUGCAUGGUUACUGAAACUGAGAGACUCCUGUGUCUGUUGAUCUGCAACAGGGGGUCACACACUUGGGACCUCCCACUGCUCGCAGUUCGCCGACCGGCUCUACAACUUCAGCGGCACGACCAUGCCGGACCCGUCCCUGGACAAGCGCUACAUCCCGCGGCUGAAGAGCAAGUGCGCCAGCCCCGGCGACACGACGACGCUGGUGGAGAUGGACCCGGGCAGCUUCCGGACGUUCGACGCGAGUUACUACAGGCACGUGGCCAGGGGCAGGUCCCUCUUCACCUCCGACCAGACGCUCAUGAACGACCCCGCCGCCGGGGCCUACGUCCGGCGGCAGGCCGCCGUGGCCGACGCCGGCGCCUACCCGGCCGAGUUCUUCGCCGACUUCGCGGCGUCCAUGGUGAAGAUGGGCGGCGUGGGGGUGCUCACCGGCGCGCAGGGGGAGGUCCGGAGGCACUGCGCGUUCGUGAACUAGGUGAUGCUUGUGUAUAAAGAUGCCGCCGGUAAGGUAAUUUGUGUCGUGGGUGGAUCGUGAGGAGGGUUGCUGAUUAGUGGCUGAUUUUCUUGCAUGUGUAGAAAGAUUGCUGUGUUAAGUUACAGGGUGUGCAUGCGCCAUGUGUUCAUCAGUUCAUUUGUAAUAUUUUCAUGACAUCAAAUAAAACAGCUUUUGGUUUAAUUCAGUGAUGAAGCCAUGGCGUUUUGUUGCCUCGAUCAGUCAAAUGCACAGGCUUGGACUGCUGAAGUUGUUGGUGUUCUGAAGGAACAUCUGCAACAGAGUUGCAAGCUUGCACACAAGUUACAGAGUGAUGCCGUGACGGUAACAGGGCAUGUCGAUCAAUGGCUGCAUGAAUAGGAAAACUUGAGGAUGAAAUAUUCUCUGUGGCCACUUGGCGAGUAAAGUGCACAUCGUGCAGUAGAUGUAUACUAUUUCAUGAAGUGACCCUAUCUAAGGGAUGAAGCAUAAGAACCAAGAGGUCGUUAAGCUACCUCCACAUGGUCAUGGACCAUAUCCUCCGGUCAACUUUCUCAUUCUUACCUCGCACUCCUCCCAGAGUCCCAGGUGCACUUUCCAGCCUAUGAUCAUCGCCAUCAAAUUGAGUAUUACUUCAUCAACAGUUCAUAAUAGUUUAUCUUGCAUUCACUCGUGGUGUACUAGGAACGAAUUACCUUCUGUUAUGACUGAUGGAUGAAUCAAGUGCUAUAAGUUACCAAAGUAAGCUUUGUAUUUUACUGGAGCCUUUUUCACCACCUUUGUGUGCUCCUCCAAUCCGAGCCGAAAGAGCCAAGAAAGUUGUGGAAUAUGCCCUACACCAACACACGAAGAAAACUACCACCUAGCCUAGCCGCCAUGGCUUCCUCCUCCUCUGCCUUUAGUUCCCUCCCCUCUCGUCAAGGAAUCACCAUGUGAAAAGGAAACCUUUCGGAGCCGCAACAAAUCGCUACUACUAGUAAACCUGUCACGUAAACUUGGACGACGAGACGAUCAGGGAUGCACUGCCAGAGUGCACGGCUAUACAAACGCCUACAGAUCAAGCACGCAAGCUGCAGUACGUGCUGUACACCGCCAUGCCGCCGGAAGCCGCCGCCUCGUCGACGGGCUUCGUCGCCGGCCGCUUCCGCCGCCCACUGCCGGCGGAGCGGCCGCACCUGACGCGGUGCACCAAGCUUCUGUGCUCGGCGUUCCUCACGCUGCUCCUCGUCGCCGGCGUGGUCAUCUUCGUCGUCUACCUCGCCGUCCGCCCGCACCGGCCGCGGUUCCACGUGACGUCCUUCACCGCCGCCGGCAUCCCGUCCGGCGGGCCCGUCGUCCUGUCGGGGCAGCUCUCCGUCCGCAACCCGAACCGGGACAUCGCCUACUUCUUCGACCAGUUCUACCUGUCCGUGGAGUACCGCGGCGCCGACGUGGCCAAGGACCGGCCCCUGACGGCGGCGCCGAUGUACCAGCCGCCCAAGACCACGUCGCCGCUGCCGUUCGAGGGCGUCGAGCUGGCGCCCCCGUCGGCCAGCCAGGACAUGGCGAAGGACGCGGCGGAGGGCGACGGCAGGGUGGAGAUGACGGUGAGGGUGCGGUCGCGGAUCAGGGCGCGGCUGGCGUUCUGGGGCAACCGGCACUGGCACCCGCUCCACGUCAGGUGCGAGGUGGCAGUGGGGCCAGACGGGCAGCUGCUGGCCGAGUACCUGCAGAAGCGCUGCAGCAUAGACUUCUUCUAGGCGUCAUUGCUACGAGCUGUUAGUGAUUAACAACUGACAGUGUGUGAUGAUGCCCCAUGCGUGCGUGAUUUUGUAAAGGAACGAGUGGUUUGUUGCACGACGAGCGAUGACAACAGCAUCUUCUUUCAUCAACCUAGGACUGCUCCGUAAGGAACUAGGGUUCAUCAACAAAGCAUGUCUGCGACAUUACAUUAGAGGCAUGAAAAAAACAUCUGCAACUACAACAAGCAAAUGGCACGGGCUGAUAUAUACACAUCUAAUUGGCAAACAAGUCAGCAAGAGCUAGCAUGUCUGGUACUCUGGUUCACCACCAACCUAGGCAGGGGACUGGAUCACCGGCAGGGUUACCUUUAGAAGGCGCUGCAGACAUGUCAUAGACUUGUUCGGAUCAUCCCCUGACCAAAACUGCACCACGUCCUAGUUGUUCACACUUCACAGUUCACUGCGGCAUGGCACAUACCCUGGGAUCGAAUAUUACAAGUGAUCAGCACAUCGUCAACUAUCAUGUGUUAGCACGAGUGUGUUGGUCUGCUAGGUAAUAUUUGAUCAAUCAAAAUUUACCUGGGAUACAAUGACUCUAGGUAACGAAUAGAAGUGUCUCAACUCUAUUGAUACAUACAAGAGGAUUAAGCAAAGGAUAGGAGGAUCUUACUGCCUUAUCUCAUCCAAUCACGAGUACAAACAAGUGCCUCGAUUGUCUUGAUGCUUAACGUACUGUGGUGCUUGGGAAUCACUGGUCCGCUGCUGGUGAAUGCCGCUUCAGAUUGAACAGCAGAUGCUGGCAUAGCCAGGAUGUCCUGUGCGAUAGCAGCAAGCCUUGGGUACUUUGUGGUAUGGCACAUCCACCAGUUCAGAAUAUCGAAAUCAUCCUUCCUUGGAACUAACCCAUCCUCAAGGUAGUUGUCAAGUUCCGUAGAUUUUUGACUACUUGCUUGCUCAUUGAGGUGCUGAUCCCAAUCGUCCAAGGAGUCGUUAUCAUCUGCAUCAAAGGCUUCGCUUUUUGUAGCACCUCCGUUCGGCUGAUCCACAGAAUUGCAGUAUUCAUGGAAGAGUUCCUGGAGUGUUUGGCGUAUGGCAGAUAAGUAGCUCGCUGAUUUUAAUCCAAAAGCUCGUUUCAGACGGAACUCAAUGAAACUGAUUUUGAAUCUAGGAUCUAGAAUAACAGGUAAACAUAACCACAAGUACGAAUUUUGCCAAUACCGAUUGAACAUUUCCUGCAUCUCCGUAACCAUUGUAGCAAUUUCUCCAUGCUCAUUUGAUGCUUCCUCUUGCAAAACUGUUCUCACUUUCCAUAUCUCAUUGAAGUACAUAUUUGCUGUUGGACAAUUAGGACUAGAAAUAACUUCAAUAACACGAUAAAACGUCCUCAAAAUCUUGCAAAUAGACUCAGCAACUCCGAUAUCUUCUGGAGACGCCACUUCUUCAGAAGGAAAUGAUUUCUUGAAAUGCAAAAGAACUUCAAGCCUAAAAUAAAAUUUGUGCCACCACUUGGCAUCUUCCUGUGGGCACUUCAAACUCAUCUGCGAAAUGACUUCCACAAGCUGGUGUUGUUUCGAUGAUGAAGAUGUAUGUACCCCAAAAAACUCAGUUACCAUGUCACUGACGAGGUGAAUGAUAUUUUGUUGCACUUCAGAAACAAUAUUGUUAAGGAAAUCAUCCACACAAGCAAUAUCGUAUAUCUUGCCUCUGAUAGGAAGGCACUUCUUCUCUACAAGUGUUUCCUUUAACUUUGAGGUGCUUGUAUCAUCCCUAACCUCGCCAACAUAAGUCAAGCUCAAAAGCUUCUGAUCAAGAUUCCAAUCUCUAAUAGCAUCCCAUAUGACGUUGUAUGCUCCACUUUCAGACUCUGGGACACAGGCUUCCUUACAAUGUAUCAUCCUUUCCACAUUGGCAGGUGAGGACUGAAACAUGCCAAAUUUGAUUAUCAUUCUGUUAACUUUCCAGUCUUUAUCAAUAAAAUGUGCUGUCAGACAAAGGUAAUUUACUGCUGGCUCAGCUCCAUCAGGAGUCCAGAUGCUUGCUGAAAGAGAGACACGCCGGGAGGAAAGGGCCAGUUUAUUUUUAAGGUUUGCCUUUUCCUUCUGAAAUAAAGCGCAGCAAUGUCCUUCCAUAUCAUUAUGAGAGACUGCGUUAACCAUAGGGUUGAGGUUCUUUACAAAUCUUCUCAUUUCUUCAUGCUCUACAAUUGAUAAAGGAUAACCGUGCAAAGCUAUCAUUCUGGCUAGCUCUUGAUAAGCAGUUUCCUGAUCAACCUUCCUUGUGCCUAUGUCAGUAGUUGUAGUCAUAAAUGAGGUCCUCUGUUUCUUCAGGCUUGGAAAAUCUGCCGUUGGCAGAGGUUGAUGUGCUGGAACCACUUGAAUGGGCCGGACUAUAGGUGAAUUGUCACCAGAGCUACCAGACCUGAGGAGCUUGCUGUUGUAUUCUGCAGUCUGAAUCUUCCCAUUUGUCAAGGAAGGAGAGAGCUCAUCUUGCCCCCUGGACUUCAAACUAGGUAAACUAGAAGGGUAAAACACACCCUUCUGACUCCGUGCUUGACAGGUCUGAAGAUGCCGACUAAGAUGGCUUCUUCCCCCAUACUUAUUUGCACUGAGGCGCUUGUGACAAUGCACGCAGUCUGCAGCCUGGAGCUUCCCCUCAACAUAGAUAGGUGAGAACUCUUUCCACACCUUCGACUUGAAUCUGCCAGGAAUCACUGAGUUUAUGUCAUCAAGUGUCUCUGAAAUAAUCUGAUUUACUGGAUCACCUGGAGUAACCGGUUCAUUCUCAUUCACCAAAACUGCAUAUAAUAUAGAUAGGUUACAUACAUGCCGUGAGCAAAAUCACCUUUAUGAAAAAGAAAUAUCUACGCGAUUAGAUCCUAAUCUACACAAUGCUAACUUAAACCAGCAGAAUACUAAUAGACUCAAGUCGCACAAGAGAACAUCAGAAGUCAUCUAGAAUCUAACGCACAAAGGGAAAUUGAAGUAUACCACAUGGGAAGUAGGAAUCCUUCAGCCGCCGCCGCACCACAUCCUCCUUGCCUGGGCAGAUCUUCUGAUGCCGCCACAGAUGGCUGGUCCCAUUGGAAUCCUUGCAGCUCAUUCGGCUGCGGCAGUACAGGCACUCUGCGAACUGAACCUUCCCAUUCAGGAAGAUUGGCUUGUACUCCUCCCACACCUUGGACCUCUUCUUGUGCUUGAACCUGAACGUACUAUGACUGUGCACCCCGCCGAAUGCCCCUUCCACUCUCAUGCUGGCAUCCUCCUCCUCCUCCUCCUCCUCCUCCCCCUCCUCCUCACGCACUUCGGGAUGCUCCACAGCUUGCUGGAUUAUAGGGUGCUCCAUAGCUGCCACACAGCGCAACACCAAAGUAUCAGACAAGUGGAUGCAAUCACCAGCAUGCUGCUAGCUACAGAAUGGACAGAGCAGAGCAUACAUCUCCAACAAAACACACUAAACCACUAGACGAUUAGCAAGAUCUGCAUACGCAUAGUACUCCGCCAUAAUCACCAAAACUAACGGAUCGCGUCACAAGCAGCACACGGGAAGUCCAAAUCGUGCAAACACACGCGCAUACAGGCUGCUAAAUCAAGAAAUUUUCUGGGAAAAUCAGGCGAAAUCGAGGCGGAGGGGUCACCUGGAGAUGGAGAACCUUGGGGGCGCCAGAGCCUCACUGGGAGGGGGAUCGAGACUCCGGUGGGCACGGUUAGGGCAUCGAGCUGGAUCUGCGGGCGGGGCGGCGGGCGGGCGGGGCGGGUAAGGGUAACCCAUUCCUUGCCUUGGGUCGGGUAAUGGGCCAACUCCAAUGGAUGGGCUUAGAUGGGCUUACUCUUCUGUGGGGCUUCAGCCUGUUUUUUUUUUUUUUUGCCCUUUUUCGACACGGGCUUCAGCCUGGUUGGCUUGUGUUGAGCCGAUCGAUCUGUUUAACAUCACCUUCUCCUUUCGAUUUUAUUUUUCUUGUGUUUGGUUUUCUUUUUUGCGAUGCUCCUUCAGUUUCAUUUUACCGCUGUCAUUUGCCAAUAUACUCCUUCCACUCCAUUUGAUUUAUUUAACUUUAAACUGAUAAAAGAAAUCUUGGUGUCGACACUUGGAUGAAACUACAAAAAUUCGACAGUACAAACAAAACGCUAGUGCGCCAAAAGCUCUCUGCACAUUAUACAUAUAACGAUACAAAUCAUAAGUGCAGCACUCUUCCUAAUGACCCGUUUGAUCAUGAUGCAGUGCUACACAGCAUCCUUCCAGUUGCCUACAAAACUUUCUUCCAGCUGCCUAUCAACCCAUUAUUCCACCCCCCUCUGCCUUUAUACACCCUCACCCCAAGGAACAUAUAUAAAUGUACACAAAAGAAUAACUGAAUCAGCCACCAGGAAGUGCAGCAUUGGCCACUUCCAAGAUUUGGACAGAACGACCUUGUGUACUGUACACAAAAACCCAUGUACAAACUCAGAUCAGAGUUCUCAACCGUGUCACCAACGAUUGCAUGCUCUCGAGCUUUUCGUUCAGUUGCCUGAUAUCCUCGGCGCGGUUCUGAUCUUCCGUGCUGCUUGCCUGGGAAAUCAGUGCCGCACAUUUAGCCUUGGAUUCAGAAAUUUCGACUUGCAAUGAAGAAAUGGUUGCUUCUAGUGUGUUUUUCGAUCCCAUAACAUCUGCAAUCGCUUGCAUAGUUGGAGUCCUAGGAGUGCCUAUACUGCCAAAACUGUUCUGCCUGCUCAGCCUCCUGGGGCUAAAUAUAUUGUCCAUGCCUCCACUUCCUGUAAUAGGACAUCGAAAGACAUUUGAAUCCUCUAGAUAUGGACACUUGCAAAGCUUUUUUUUUUCAAGUGAAAGAGAAUGAAAGAACAGAAACAAUAAACAUUACAAGAACCCUACAGGCACUAAGAACCAUGAAAAAGGAACUUGUCUUUCAUGAUGCAAACUUAGUAGAAACAUUUUUAUUUUGCAAUAUCAAGGAUAUUUUUUGGCAGGAGAAAGCAUGUCCUGUAAAUUUUCUAAUAACCUACGUUCUAAUAAGCUUGCAAAACUGUAUUAAACAUUUUAUUUUAUUUUUUCAAAUGGGCCUAGAAGGAACUAGAUAUUUUGCAAUUGCAUAUAGCUGCACAACCUCAAACCACUAGUGAACAAUUAUCAAUUAUGACAAGUCAAAAGGUGCCAAAAAAUAACUUGUGGAGAGCUCCAUACCUAGGUUACGAAGCUGUUCUAUGGUGCCCUGCCCAAGAGAUUUGUCAAGCUUAAGGAGACGAAGAAUUCCAGCAGUGAUUCUCCCCAUCGCAUCAGCUUCAGAUCUGCAAAGCAUGGCGAGGUGCUCUAGUUCUUCUUUCGUUGCAACUGCCUCGAUCUGUGCUCUCAAAUGGAUAAAAUAGCUCAGGAAGCAUGUUUAAAUUUGCGACAGGUUUAGACAAGUAGCUGAAAUGUGUUCAUACCGGUUCUUUGACGGAAAACUUAACAUUAUCCAUUGUCCACUUGGCACCCUCAAUCUCAUCUUCGCCAAUGACCAUGGUAGCUUCAACAUCAACACCAUGGUCACCAACAGAACUUGCAUUAUUAAAUCCACUGCCCAUUUGAUGAUUGUUUGACGUUCCUUUUCCAGCAUGUUGAUCUCUCAGGCGAGGUUUUAUUGCCUGCAAACCUUCAAUUCCAGCCUGCAAGUACAGAGUAUCAAACAAUUGAACAGCUAAAGCCUAAAGGAGAUGCCAAACUGAAAUCCAAAGGCAUAACAGUCGUGUACCGUAAAGCGUUCCACAGGAAAUGCCCUUUUGGACGACACUUUUCCUGCACCUCCCAAGUUAAGCCGGUCACUGCUCUUUCCAGAGACAUGUAAAUUCCUGAAGGUUGAAUGCCAACAUUUUUCUUCUCUACUGAUACGAUCAGCUCCACGAGUUGGAGUAAAACAAUCUCCUACUUCUUCCGUUCCUUCAAGUGCAAAUAGCCAAUUUCUAAGCUCAACUGACACAUCAAGAUCAUCUGGCACCCCGAGAUCAAAUUUUGAACUGUGAUCGUCAACUUUGGACCUUUCAUCUGUAAUUUUAGGGAAAGAAGAUAAAUUCAUGAAUCAUGAUUAAUGCACUAGCAAAGUAGAAAGCAACAAAUUGAGAAUUUGUACUGAAUCUGAAAUAAGGAUUAAAGUAUUUUUCUUCAUACACUAUAUCUGUAACAGUCACUUGAACUUGAGCAUGUUACGGUUAAAAAAUGAAAUUCAUAUCUGGAUUGAAAUGCAAAGGAGACGAGUCAAUGGAUAGUGGAAAUAAAUAAUGGUUAUCAAUCUGAAAACCAUAGAUUUUGUGAAUUUAAACACAAUCAUAAUGUGGAGAGAAGUCAAUAGCAGUUCAUUCUAAAAUAUGUGGUUAGAACAUAGAACAAUCAUGGGUACCCAAGGAAUGAUGGAUAUGCCUAUAUCAUAUAUCACACCUCAAAUCUCACAACUGAGCACAAACAAUCAAGACUCAGGAGUAAAUACAAAGUUUCCUUGAAGUAACGAAUUGAAUGGCACAGUUGCAAACACUUACUUUCCUCCUCGGUGAGGUGAGAGGAUUUGAAUAGUUUUGCAAGUGGGCCAGAAGAUAAAUCCUUUAAUCCCCUCAAGAGGCCUUCCCCUGGACCACCAUCAGGCCCCAGGAUUCCAAACCGAUGCAGUAAAGACUCGGUGUAACUCAUUCCACCUCCAAGACGAACACCAGAUACCUUAGCUGACACAUUCAAGCUAUGGCAUUCCAUAUCCCGCAUGUCAUAAGGCAUUACAUGAGUAAUAUUUACAUCAAUAAACUGAGGUUUUUUAUCUUGGUUUUUGCUCCGAUGAUCAACCCAAAAGACUGCUCUCAUCUUGGGAUGCCCAUUUUCAUGCACCUCAAUGUUGUGUUCUCCAGUCACUGCAAUGCCAUUCUCACAAAUCAUAGCACUCUCUCCCUCCAAACAGUUCACAUUGACAGUUCUCCACAAUAAGUUAGUUGUGACCGCAAAGGCACCACCUAGUGUGCGAUGAGAAACUUUCAGGAACAGAUCCUCUCCCCCAAAUUGAACCAAGGGCAUAUGUAUGUCAUGUGCUGACAAAGAUUCCAAGAAAUUGAGCUGGAGGUUGUUCAUAGUUAAGCUCACAGCCGUAUCACUCGGCAAUUUAUUCUCAAAUUUCUCAGCCGAGGAUUCGCUCACCCCAGACUUGUUACCUUUGCUGACUUUUGAAAUACUCUCUGCAACUUGACCAAAGUAAGUAUAGAAACCUAGGACGAAAAACAAUUGUUCAACUGAGGUAUUGGACGUAAACUGUUGGAAAGCAACACCAAUCCUUACAACACCCUCGGGGGGUGGCACAUCCAACAAAGGACUACCAUCUGCGGUAACCAUAGCUGCCUCAAAUCGGAUGUCAUCUAGUUCAAUACAUUUCCACAAAUUUGCAGAGGAGUCCCUAGCUGCUCUCUGUCCAUUUGAAGCGCUAGAAGUUUCGAGCGAGAGGCUUAAAUGAGAAGCCCUAGUAGCCCACUUCAUCUGACUUGCAUCAACAGGUUGAUAUUCCCAGAGAAGGAAGCAAGCUGGGUCCCUAUCAAGGUUCAGCAAUGGACAUUUUGCUGAUGGUGACUGGCAGAAGUAUAGGUCUUCCACAUGAAGUCGUGCACCUGAAAAUGAUGAUUGUGGGCACAUGUUCUUGGUUCCACUGCACCUUGUGAUUUCUUCAGAGUCUAAUGGAACAGAGAGAUCGAACUCUUUAAGAGAAAAUGACAGGCUGUUGAUUGAAGAAUCAGGCAAUACGGUACUGCGAUUGGGCAUAACUCCAUCAGCCAAGAAUGAGGCAAUCCUUAAGCAGGACUGCUCCUGGAGGGUCACCUAAGAAUGAAGAAGCACAAGCAAUAUUUAAAUAAGCAGAAAACGCUAAAAGAACAACCUUCACUGCAUAUAUGAAGGAGACAUACCGUAAGAGGCUGGCAUGUGAUCACAGUUUUUGAAGCAAACUUUGGAGGUGAUGGGGAAGGAGUGAUCUGGAGACAAUAGAGAGAAAACAAAGGAACCCCAGCAGCAAAUUCUAAUAGUUGAUUCCCAAAUGGAUAGAUUGGAGGGCAAAAAUUUUGGCCUGAUAAAUCAAACAUUGAGAUCAGACUCAACAAUGUUCAAGGAUAUCUAAUAUGUUACAAGAAUUAGAAAUAGUUAAGUCACCAAAGUCAGGCACAGGCAGAGGCUCUUGUGAAACUGCUUGCAUAGAUGGCUGUAUCAAUGUGCAUGGAGGGCGAGAAAAGGUGUCUCUGCAGCAACAUAUCCAUACAUUAGGGCCAGUAAUGGUUUUUCAAUAGCUUCUAGAACUCAGCUACAUCACAAAUUCCCGUACUUUAAUUCAAAGUCAAAUUUUAAAGUACCCUAUUUUCGAUAUUGUAUGCAACUUGAGUAACCUAUAAGUAAUAAGUAAUAUAAUAAUAUAUAUGGUGGUUUUAUGCCAUCAGAUGCUUUUGACACGAACAGACUCAUUAUCCUGUAUUCAGCAUUGCAUGUGUCUUGUUUUAUCUCCCAUUGGUAGUGCAUAAUCCAAAAGAGAUUUGUUCAGUGCCAUUUGAUAGUUUAGACAUGAAGCGUGACAAUGCUCUCAAUUUUAGCACAGUUAAGUGAAUGGCUACAAACAUCAGGACUUGAGCCGUCACUAGAAACAAGGACAGACAUAGUACCUCAGAAACAGCCCGCCGACCUUUAUGCAAGACAAGUUCUUCGAACACUCCCCAUCUGAAAUGCUCGCCUUUAAGAUAAAUAAAAACUCAAUUUAAAUCCUCUAAGAGGUCAAACAUCUAAAUCAAUCAUAUCAUCAGCAGACUCCACCAGUGACCAAAUCAUACUACAAAAUAACAAUGGCAAUCAGGGGAAAUUACCCGGGAGAAGAACAAAGACUGCAUCAGAAGUUCAAGUUGAAACUCUGUUCAUACAAAUGAUUUGACAAACAGGUCACUAUAGCAGGACUAAAAGUAACAUAUUUAAAGUAUUUGGCACUACUACUAACCAGUAUCUUUAAUGCAGAGGAAUAUGUGAUCUACAAUAAUGGACACCAAGGAAGAUCCUGCUGCUUCUGCAAGCUGGUCGAGAAAUAGUAAAAGGAAAGGGAAUAAGAAUACAAAUGAAACUGUAUACACCUUACUGCAUGCACCACAAUAACGAAAGUACAUGGAAGAAAAGGUAAACCUGCUGAGCUUUUGGAUCCACGUCUCCCCUGUUUAGGCAAACAGAGACCCCAGUCAUGAACCGAAGAAAGGCCCGUAAACCUGUCAAAAAUAUUUUUUAGAAGUUUAAAUUAUGCAAAACAGAAAUUGAAGUACUAAACAGAGUGGUCAAGCUUCACGGACAGGAACUGAUUACCAGGUUCACUUAACGCAGGACAGACAGCUUCAGUAAUAUGCAGCUGAAGCUCAAGCCCAAGUGGAUUAUUUUGUUCUGUCCGUUGGACCGUGAUCUAACAUUCAAAUCAACGUGUAAGCUAAGCAGCCCGGAAAAGGGAAGUUCAACACAAAAGAACAAAUUAAUGAGUUUUACACAACUCAAAGCACUCACAUUAGCCUCCCCUGAUAUUCCUUCCAAAAAUCUUUCACCACCAAAGAACAUUCGUUUUGCACCAUCGUCAUCUCGUUUGUUAUCUUGACUGCUAGAAGAGUUAAAUCUUGCAUCGGUGAACAUAUCAGGAUGAGGUAACAGAUCAACUGACAGUGAUUGCCACUCCAGUUUCUGUGAAUUUUAAGAAAAUAUAUGAGAUCAGAGAUCCUUUAUGACUUUGAAAGUGUUAUUAGUUUGCAAUAGAUCAGGAAGCAGUAAAAGGCAGGCAAUAAUUUUCUGGAAGCAAGUAGGGAGCAUCAAACCUUGAAAACAUAAAUGAAUCCUUUGUUGUUGGAGAAAUCCCUUGCUUCUUUCAAGUUUACUACCUAUAAACAUGGCACUGAAAUCAGGCAAUGCCAUAAUACCGUUUAUUAAGUUAAUUAUAAUUUAAAAUCAGAAUGAGUACCUGCCAUUUUUCAUUUGUUGUGUACAGCACAAGAUCACGAAAUGUGAUAGCUGCAAGGGGCGGUGACCUGAUAGUUAGAAGAGAUUAGUGUUCCUGUUCCCAGAAAAAAAUUUGCAGCGAAGUCUACUUGGUGGAAAAAUAAGAUAAACAGACAAGAAUUGAGUAUGCAAAGGACUCGUGGUAAAUAAAACUCCAAAGUCGCUCAAAUAUAAGUAAAUACCAUGUUGCAUCUCCUCGACGGCGAGCCCCUCCAUGUGUUUCCAGUAGCAGGUUCACAAUACCUACUUGUACUGUCAUUCCAUCUGCAAUCUAAGCCCAAUAUAGAAGAUUAAAUCCCAUUCCUAGUUCAGUUCUUGCAAGUUUAUAUUGCUUCAACAAAGUUAGCUAUAGUCUAAAACAGGGUAGCAGUAUAAUAAAAUGGCAGAAAAUAAAAGAGGAAAUAUAAGAUCUCAGAGAAAAUGGAUAAGUUUAAUGUCAGUUAUCAUGGAACUGGCGUUCCAGUUCUCACAGAGCAAACAUCAGAAUAUUGAUGAUUUUACAGCAUAAACUUUUGGAAUGUGCACACGCGCUAAACAUCAAGUGCAAGAAAACAUACCUUAUCAGCAUAACCAUAUCCGCUGCUUUUAGUUGCUGAUGGAGAUGACGCAGUGCUAAAAGGGGUGGAAAUAACAGAAACUACAGUUACUGAAUUGUCACACAAUGGCACUAAAUCGCAACAUAUAGAAAUGAAAUUACCUGCUAGGGCUGAGAUUUUCAGAAUCAUCCUUCUCUACAAGCACGAGAUCAAGCUUGUCAAUGUUCACCACAAUUGGCUCCACUUGUACAUUUGAUACAGAUGGUAACUGCAGUGACAAACGCAAGAAUUCCGUUACCAAAGCAAAAAAAAAAUUCAAGUUUAUUAUCCAUACUAUGAGGCUAUCGCUAACUGCAAGCUCAGGCUUGACUGCUGUAUUAGCGCUAGUGUCCAAAUCUAGCCAAGAUGACCCCCUGGACACUAUUUGUAUAACAUCUGGACUACAAAAUCACCAGACCCUCUCCGUUCCAACUGUAGAUUCCAUAAUUCCGACAAAAUGUCAAAAAUUAACAGAAGCGAAGCAAAUUUAACACAAAUGCCGAGCUAAAUACAAAGAAUAACUUCAUGAAAUCAUCAUUCUAACACAAGCACGAACAUACGACUCUAAUUUUCUCCACCACGAAGAUUAUCUAUCGCAACAACAAGCAAAGUCACAACUGCACCACGCACAAUUGCUGUUUUGUGCUGCCCACGAGCACAACUAGAGUGAAUAACAAAAUUCAGGCGAAUAUAUCGAACUUCGGUGAGUUGGCGGCAGCAUGGACAAACAUCUACCAACAAUGCGGCCCAUAAGCCCCCGAGGGAAAAUAGUAAGGCAGCUGAAAAUAUACGAAGUUGCGAGUGGAAGGUAGCGGCAUCUUACCGUGAUCUCGAGCUUCCCGACACGCGCGGUUUCGACGGCGAGCGCCGGAGGCAGACCCAGGCUCGCGUGCAGCGCAUCGCCAUUGAUAUCUGGGACCCCGCCAAAUCACACCCGAAACCAAAAACUCAGCACCGGAAUCACAAAACCCAAUGAAAUCGGCACCCGGGGUGAAGACUUUAGAAGAGACAAGAGAUCCUACCGAGGUUGGAGAGCUGCGCGGUGCGGCCCUGGAGCUUGAACUGGUCGCGGGAGAAGGACUUGAGCCAGUACUUGAGCGUGUACUCCAGCGCCCGCGCUAUGAUCGACUCCAUCUUCCCCACCUCCCAGAGCGCCUCGGACGUCUCUACCGGGGCGGCGCGGCGGCGGUACGGUUUGCCCGGUGUCGGUGGUGGCGCGCCGCCGGAUCGGAGGUGAGAGAUUCCGGCGAGAUGGAGAAAGAGAGGGGGGAGGGAGGAGGUGGAGGGGUGGAAGGAUGUGAGAAGAGAUGGUGGGCCCUUUUAGGUCUGAGACUGAGACUCCUUUUGGUUUAAGCUUUUUCUCUUUUUUCUCCUUUUUUUAUUUCCUUCUUGGUGCAAGAGUGUCACUGGGACAUUUGCAUCGAUUUGAUCCUUUACUUGGGGAUCUAUUUUGGGUAUAGACUAAGGUUGGUAUUGUGUACUUGGGGAUCAACUCUUUUCUGAGUGUGUUUGAUUUGUAGUUCAGUUAGAUUUCUUUUACAUUGCUGGCUAUACAUUUUUUAAGGAAACAUGAGUAAUUGAACCAAGAAGCAGAAGAAGUAUCUGGGUAAAACUCUUUGGAGUAAAUAAUUUGGAUGGCAAUUAAAUUAAACCGUGUGGGUGAUUAAACUUGGAAAGGGAUUCUUUUUUUGUGGAGAAUUAGUUGCUACUUUUUUAUGGAAAGAAUUAGCUACCGGUAGUAUAAUGAACUGACGAAAUGAGCAAAGGCAGAGAAGAUUCACUCGACCGACAGAGACACCUCGGCCUCAAGUUCUUACUGUUCCUACCCGUACCUUUUUGACAAACCACUUUCCCCCCCACAUGAUCCAUUUUAAAAUCCCAUCAACCUCAAGUCCUCAACCCUGUUCGGCAAAAGCGGUCUGGGUGACCAUGUUACUGCUAGCUACAGAACAAAUCUAACCAGCAGCGAAAAAAGUUACUGGAACCUUCAAAUUAAAGUAAGUUAAUUCCCAAGCAAUUGCAAGCUGGAACCAUGCGCGCAUCAGUCUGUCAGUCGUCGCUGGCUCCGCACGAAGCUUCAGCUCGCGGCAAAGCUGAAUCGAUCGGCCUCGGAAUCGGAACCCCCGCGAGGGGAGCCCGGAUCUCCCUGCUCGGCCAUCAAGGACGAAACGAAACCGAGUACGAGGGCUGGUUAGGUUAAUCACUUGGAUUAUCUAUCGUUGUUACUGCUGCUGCUGCUGGUUGAUGCGACGCCGACGGUGGGCAGGCAGAUCUGGACGUUUGUUCCCAGUGGGAACCCAUGCAGGCAGCCAUGGGUUGGAUGGGACCAAGAACUGCGGCCUGCAGCACGUGAGAUGGAUGGAUCGCGCAAAAGUUUAUUCCCCCUCGCUCAACUCUUCAGACCGGGUGAUAAUCAUCUUGUGCUGAUUGCUAAGCAAACAGUGGAGCCCGUGGUUGCCUGCAUGUUCAGCUCGGGAAGUUCGAGUGGAAACACUGGGCCUGUUCGCUUCAGCUUAUAAGCCGGCUGAAAAGCUGAAACGGCUGAUUUGUUGUGAGAGGAAAAUACUGUUUGGUGGCUGAUAAGCCGGCUGAAUAAGCUGAAGCGAACAGGCCCACUGUCGAUGGUUUGGAUGGUUUUUAUGAGUGUGCAAGGACAAGGACCAGCUGGUUGUUGGUACUAGGACACUCAAGUAAUCCUUCCAGGGUAGAUUGGAAAUAGUCUUAUGAAUGUCGACUUGUCUGGGUUCAUUCGUGCAAACGACCCAGAAACGUUUUGAUUUCUGUCUGAACCAUCGUCAUCAUCAGGAAUCACAUUCACAACACAAGUCAUUUCAUCAGCCGAUCGGACCAGGACGAUUUCAGAGCAGCUUUCAGCAGGUGCCUGCAACCACACACACACACAAAAGGAAACGGCUGUCUGCCGGAGCCCGGAGAGAAUUGUGAAGCUUUUGGCAGGUGGCUUUCAGGCAGCAGCGGCCAGCGGUGGUGGUCUGGUACUCUGCUGGGUUACGGUAGUCAGAGGCCGGAAACUACCGGUGCCCGGGCAGGCAGGACGACGUGCGGGCGGCAUUCCCCCACCCCACUUGAUCUUUUUUCUGGAGUCCUUGGUACACAAAGUGGAGUGGCAUCCCAGGUUGACAUGCCCGUUCAACUCCAUGGUUCGCUGCCGUGUGCUGCUGGCUGUUGCUGGUGAGAAAGCGAUCCCCUCGCUUUGAACUCGAGGUGGCCGGCCGUGCGUGGGAAGGUGGCUCCAAGCCUCAACUACUGCCACAAGCUCCGGUCGCGGAUGAACUCUGACAGCCAAUUCGGCUCUACUGUUUGUUGGUACGAUCCUCAGACCUCGUCUCACCUCAACUUCCUGAACUCCUUCCUGCUGAAUGGAGCAGAAAGCAGGAAAAAAAAAGAGGAAAGGAACGAAUAAGGGCCUAACCAGCAGGCUUCGGGCUCAAAUGAGAUUGGGCUAUGACGGAAAGCCCAGGAACACGCAACACUACCACGAGAUCGAAUUGAGCCCAAUCAUUUAGGGUUCGCGCUUUUGCAAUGAUCCACCGACAAAAUCGAACGAGGAGGAUGGAUGAUGGAUGAUGGAUGAUGAAGCACGAACAAAGACUUCUUCCUCCGACCGAGAUGUCAGCAUCGGAGAUCGAGAGAAGGAAAGGCCCACGACCGUAAUACCCUAUCCGUUUCCGGUCGAUCGCCCAACGAGAGAAAGCUCCACCAGUCGAAGUCCAUCGCAUCCGACGGCCGCGGCCCCACCAUCUGUCCAUCCCAGCCGUCCAUGCCCACGUUAAACAAGCGCCAAGCGGAGGCGCCGAGCCAAGCCGCCCCCCAGGCCAGGCCCCCACACGACUGAGUUCUUCUGCAUUCCUCCCUCCGGCAGCCGAGAAUUAAUGACGGCCGUGGCGCUGCCCACGGGCGCCGCGGCGGCGAACGGCGACCGCUCCCCGUCCUCCCCCCCGCCGCCGGAGCUGGCCAUGUUGGCGCGCGCCGUGCAGCGGCUCGUGGCGCGGAACGACGCGGUGGCGGCGCCGGACGGCCGCGGGGGCGGAGGAGGAGGGCUGAGGGCGUUCGAGGCGGCCAGGGGCGCGCCGGCGCCGCGCAUCGGCGUCGCCGAGUACCUGGAGCGCGUGCACCGCUACGCGGGGCUCGACCCCGAGUGCUACGUCGUCGCGUACGCCUACGUCGACAUGGCCGCGCACCGCCGCCCCGCCGCCGCCGUCGCGUCCAGGAACGUCCACCGCCUCCUCCUCGCCUGCCUCCUCGUCGCCUCCAAGGUCCUUGACGACUUGUAAGUCCCUCCAUUCAUUUCCAUCCCGAUGAUUCCAUACACAAAAAGACCUUCAUACUACCUAUAUACGGAUUUCGCGGGAAACUUCAGAAUCAUGCUACGAAGAACACAAAAAAUUCUGCAUCAUUUUAAUUCCGUCCGUACACUUCACUUUUCGGUGAUCUUACUGCUGCAACAAACGAAUUCCAAUAUCGAUCACGACCACAUUUAAUCGACGAUUACACACCGCAAAAAUAAAGGAUAAUAUUUCGAGAUUAAAUUGAGACUUCUCCUGAGCCAGGAAAAGAAAGUACCCGGAUUUUUCUAUGCACCCGAUUAGUUCUUGUCACACUAAUUUCGUGGCUGCUGUACUCUGACAACGACAUCAGACAGACAUGUCGUCAAAUAUUCGCAGAGCAUGAUAGCUGCUCUCCAGACAUAAAAGUUCAGAGUAUUACUGUCACAUACUGAUACUGUAUAUGCAAAGCAUCCAUCCAUGAGACAUCAAACUUUGUACUGAUCUGUGCCGUGGUUUUCUCGCCCCGCGCGCAGCCACCACAGCAACGCCUUCUUCGCGCGCGUGGGCGGCGUGAGCAACGCGGAGAUGAACAAGCUAGAGCUGGAGCUCCUCGACGUGCUCGACUUCGCCGUCGCCGUCGACCACCGCGCCUACGGCAGGUACCGCGAGCACCUGGAGAAGGAGAUGCGCAGGGACCACCACGGCCUGCCCAAGCCCGCCAUCAAGCCCCUGCCGCCGCUGGCGGAGGAGCAGCCGGCGGAAAGCGCCGACGGCGACGACCACGACCGGAAGCCGCUGCCGAACGGCGGCAUGCCGCCGGCGAGCACGGCGUCACUCCGGGAGCUGUGGGCCUUCGAGGCUUCGAUUACUAGAUAGCAGUAGCAGGUAGUAGCAACAAUGUGGGCAAGCUGCAGAGUUGUUUGCCGAUGUGCCAUACAUGUACGGAUCCUGAAUUGCAGGUGAUCGGAUGGAACGGUGCGAAGAUCACGCGUGAUCAUUUGAUGAAUUACAUGUGUUCAUCGAAACUAACAGUCGUGUUACGUCACUUCGCUGCUGAUGUUCUCCAUGGGGCGAGCAAUCAGCAGUGAGCUCGAUUCGAUCGCGGCGUCUCACCGGCACGGCAGAUUGGUAACCAAGCCAGCCAACGCUCGUCGAGAAGGGUACUGGUAGUAAAGACUCUGGGUUAGGUAAGUUGGUUGGAAGUUGUGGCGCCAAACUCUGGCCAAGCAAGUCAUGCGCUCUGCACGCUGCAUUGCGCCGGUCCAAGGCUGACGCAUGCUCGGACGCCGCGAGAAAUGCACGGAGUGUUCCUCGUCGGGGUAUCGGAAAGCUGAUGCAGAAGAGGUCGAAUACGCCGAACUGAACCGGCGCCGAAAGAGGGCAGGAAAGGGGCGGAGGCGUGACGAGCACAGACGACAGUGCUGAUUCCAGUGGGCUCCGGAAAAUGGCGAAACGGCUGGCGUUGCCUUUCCAUUCCAUUUUGGCGUGGACGGCAUCGAGGACAUAUUGCACCGACGCCCUCCGGGAUUGGGCUUAUUUGAUCUGGGUUUAUUGUUGCUUGGGGACGGGGUCUCCACUCCAGGGGUGAAUAACAACAGUAAUUAGAAAGUAGUAAUAUAGUUAGAUACAUUCUUAUAACAGCAGUAAUAUAGUUAAAUACAUUCUUUUGGGUCUUUAUAUACUGAAAUGUACCAUAUUAUAGGCGAGUAUUGAUUUCAGUAUGGUGUCGAAUGGCACAAAUAGAAGGUAGAUUAGCAUUGAUCCCAAACUGUAAAAAUGUUAUAAAAAAUAUUAUUUAAUUCUAAAUAUAAACGGAUCAUUGGCUCAUCUGCACGAUCCUUAGUUAAGAAAUCUAGACCGUCGAUCUCUCCCUUCACUUGUAUAUAAGCGCAGCACCCCUCGAACCCUAACAUAGGCCCCUCUCUCGACCCCUACCUCCUCCGCCGCCACUCCACUUACCGGUACCACACACUACUUUCUAUUUGGCUCGGUGACGAUCCCUUCCCAUCUACUCUACCUCUUACCUCUUAGUCGCCGACUCACCGUCCUUCUUUCUUGUUCCCGGUGCACCAUCCGUCGGCAUCGUCAAUCAUUCUUCUCCAUCGAUCCCACAGAUGCUAGGUACUCGUAUAGUCAUGCCUCUCGACCUUUCCUCCCUUUGGGGCUUGAGUUUUGAUGAAUUCAAAUCCUCAACAGCUGAACAGAUCUACAUAUAGCCAUUAACGCAAAGGAGUAAAGGGAGGACUUUAAGUUUGGUUGAAGCGCAUAUCUUUCCCAAUCUGAGGUGAGUAAAUACACCUAAGACUUUAUGAUUAUUCUUAAUUAUUUGUGAUUUAUAAGUCCAAAAUUAGUAUUCAUGUCGUCGCCACUAAGUUAGUUGUAAAGAAUCAUGUACGGAUGGAUUUUGUUAAUGCAAUGGAUCUGGUGUAUAGGUGCUUUGUGUAUUAUCGUCACGGACUAUAUCACGGAGAGGCUCGAGCCUCCCUUCCCCUCGCAGAUCCUUGAGCCCCUCUUCUUUUUCUUAGCUUUUUAUUAGUAGGAUCCAUGGACAAGAGAAAAGUAGAUGUCAAAGAAGCACAUUUUUCCUCAGUCGAUUACGUACUGUGCGCGACACUAGCUAUUGCAUUCCACUAAAUUCAUUGCAUGUUUUUAUCUUAUGCUGUUACUAUUAUCCUAGCGAGUCUUUAGCCUUUCAAUUACGAUAUCCUAGUUUUAACUUGCACGUCGCGUGAUAAUUGUUAUGAUGGACAAGUCUUAAGUAGGUAUAGUGAUGUGCAGCUGCUCAUCAUCCAAAUUACUAUUCUAGCCUUCAAAAUUCCCUCAUUAUUAUAAUUGUUACUAAUUGCACGAUCUGAAUAUUUAUGAAUUAUCUAUAGGCACAACUUGCUAACAAAGUACAGAACAUAGAGCCUCUAAUGUUUUUUCCUUUUCUAUUUUCAUUUAUGAUCCUGUCAAAUUAACCACUGGCAUGUUUAUGAUGUAUUACUUGAGCCAUUGCUACAUGAAUCACUGAAUUUCUUUGUGCUCAUGCUUUAGAAACUUCGUUCGCUAAACAAUCCUUGCCAAGAAAAACGUUCUAGUGCAAUUCCUAGAACAGCUGCGCAUAGAGCAAGGGCGACAGCCAGCUUUUCACCUGACAAAUUACGGCGAUAGUAAAUCCCAAAAGCAUAGUCCUACCAAAAUACCAAAUUAAACCACAAAUAGGCUCAAACCACCAGGGACCCAAAAAAACACCAGGGACCCUAGAAAAUAAUCACAAUCCUGAGGGCCUCGACUGCAAAUUUCGCGCCUCCUUCUUCCUGACAAAACCAACGCAAAGCACACAGCUCCCUCCUCUCUCGUCUUCUUCCCCGUCGUGGUCCGACAUCUCGCGCCCCACCCCCUCGUACAAUACCCGAAAUUACACUGCCCCCCUCCCCUCUCGCCGGUGCGCGCGCCGUUAGGGUUUCCGCUGCCGCUCCCCGCCCACCCCGUUCUCCUCUCGUCAGCGGCGAUGGCGUCGGCGUCGGCCCCGGCCCCGGCGGCGGGGGCAGGCGCCGGGGGCGGGAAGGACGACGAGCUCGCCGAUCUGGUGCGGCGCCUCGUGGACGCCCUCGCGCGCUACGCUGAUCGCCUCCCCUUCGACCUCGAUCGCCAGGUUCGCGCUCGGAUCUGUGAUCCCCGUGCGCUGAUGCUUUUUUGACCGGUCCAUGCUUCGUUGUGGGGGAUUUGUGGGGUCCGGGCGCCCAAAGACUGCUUCUUGUUUGGGAAAAGUCAGGCUUUUACUACUACUGUCUAGGUUCGGUGUUGCGCUAUUCUCUCAUCGAAUUGUAGGUUCCCAAGCAUCGAUUUGGUAGUGCCUUUUUAGCUCUUGUGAAUGCUUGGGGUCCACCUGUAUGCAUUGCUGGGCACAUAGCUGUUGAUUUCAGGUGUUCACCGCAAAAAAAUCCUACCCGCCCCCCCUGUGGAGAAAUGCGAUCGAUUUUGGCAUAAGGUUAGGUGAUUGUUGUGGCCCCUGUGAUAUUGAUGUGUCUUUUGGAUUCAGUUUGUUUUAAAAUUACUGCAAAAUGGACCCCAAUUUUCAUGUGAACCACUUUCGGAAGCCAAAGAUCUCUUCAAGAAAAUGAACAGUUUUCAGUUGUUUUGUUCGUGUGGUGUCCAGAAAUGUUCUACCUUUGUGAUCAAUCAUUGAAUGAGAUGAGAAUUGUUUAAUGCCACAGUUUUGUUUCAUCUUCUCUUAGUGCAAUGUAUUAUUUAGGUACUAUCAAGUUAGUUUUCCAUAUAUUCUGUACUUUCUGUAAUGUGUUGUUUGCUCCUAGACUUGAGCAACAAUGGGUGUAAAAACAGUUUGUGUAAAACGCCAAGGUCUUUGGCAUAGCAACAGUUUAAACAUUGAUACGAUGCGAAGUUUUGAAUUGCACAGUUCAUGCACCUGAAGUGUUUUGCAUGGUUGGUUUGGUUGGCAGCAAUGUAGUGUCCCUAGCAGUGUACAAUCAAAUAACAUGCUGGUAUGGAUUCCCUGGACAAUUAAAAUUAAAGCAUUGUACCAGAUACAUCUUUUUUUUAAAAAAAACAAAUCUGUCAUCUGGGAUGAUCUUUGGUUGAUGCCAACUUGUAUUACUUUGUCGGAACAAAACACAUAGAAGUUUUUUGUAGGUCUGCAUGAACAAAUUAACCACUGGCAUGUUUAUGAUGUAUUGUUUGAGCCAUUGCUGCAUGAAUCACUGAAUUUCUUUGUGUUUAUGCUUUAGAAACUUCGUUCGCUUACUACACUUGCUGCAAUCUCGGUCACACUUCUGUUUGCCUGGAAAAUGUUGAGAGCUCCUCAAGAGCAACCUCGGAGGCCUCGUAGGAGGGCUGCCCCUUCAUCUAGCAACACCAGCAGUAGAUUGCGACCAGGUGCUUUAGCCGCAACAGAUGCUUGUUCAUCAGCAGAUUCAAGAGCACAUGAAGCAGUCAAUCAGCUUUUCCAGCCAGUAAAUGUAUUGCUUGUUUUCAUUUAUUGAAUACUGAAAUGCUGCAGCUGUUUUUCCUAGAACCCUUUGGUUUGAUAGUUGCUCGUUUCUUCUGCAGUUGACUCUUGAGCAGCUUGUCAGGCAUAAGCUGAGCGAAGGAAGAAGGGUACUCUGCUAUAACUUCUUUCUCGCUAGAUUUAUCAGAUUUGUAAAGUAGUGUUAUACUGACAGAUGCUUUCCAUUUUUAGGUCACAUGCCGCUUACUUGGUGUGAUUUUGGAGGAAACAACUCCAGAGGAGCUUCAGGUGGGCUGUAACAAUGCUGCAUUGCUGCCAAAAGAAACUUCAGUUUGUACUAGUUAACUAAUGGAAUUAUGUAUCUUCUUGCAGAACCAUGUCACAGUGAGGCCUUCUGUUAUGGAGGUUCUUCUAGAAAUUGCAAAAUUCUGUGAUGUCUAUUUGAUGGAGCGCGUUCUUGAUGAUGAAAGUGAGGUAAGUACUAAGUAGCAACAAGUUUUUGUUGAUGAGUGCACAUGAAUCAAUAGCACUUUGGUUUACAAUUUUGGAUUUCAUAGUGUUUACAUUACCAUCUACAUGGACCACCCAUUGUCAAAUUUAGAAUUUGAAUGAUGUCUGCAGGAAAAGGUUUUAUCUGCCCUGAGCGAAGCUGGACUUUUUGCUAAUGGUGCCUUGAUAAAUGACAAGGUAUUUUGCAAGAUGAUGCCAGUCUGCAAAAGAGGACUGAUUGUUAUUCUAGUUCUGGUUGUAGCCAUCUUUUAUCUGCUAUGUAUCUAAAAAUCAUUAUUGAAAUCUGUAGGUUCUCUUCUGUAGUACAGAGAAUGGCCGUACAUCUUUUGUUCGGCAACUCGAGCCUGAUUGGCACAUUGACACAAGUCCGGAAAUUGUUCACCAAUUAUCUGUAAGUACUCGUAGUUACAAGGACAUAUUUCUGACACAUUCUUGGAGUAGUUUUUAAAUUUGCUAUUUGAAAUAUUUUUCUAAUUUGCCAUUUCUUUUUCCUGCAGAGGUUUAUCAAAUAUCAACUGCACAUUUCGCCGCAGCAACCAGAAAGAAUAGCAUCCAACGUUUUCAGCUCCCCGAGCUUGGAGCAGUAUUUUGGAGGCUUGGAUCAGAGAUGAUUAGAGGUAUUAGUCUCUUAUACUUAGCAUAGACUUCCAAACAAUAAGACAACAUGAGACAUGAUCCUAGCAGACAUGCCCUAAUGCCUAUUCUUUACCUGCAGAUCAAACUCAAUCCAACAAAGCCGUGGUUUAGUGAGAACUGAGAACAUCAUUGUUCAUUUUUUUUUCUUCUCGCUUGAAUGGUGGAACUAGAUUUUCUUGUAUCAUGUGUAAAAGCCUUGUGGCAUGUACUAGUAACCCCUCUGUAAUGUGCCCCAUAGGCAUGAGCUAUGCAAGGAGACGAUGCCCCAUAAGGCAUGAGCUAUGCAAGGAGAUAGCAUCUGUAGUUGCAUACUUGAUGUAUGAGUUGUGUUCAUGUAUAAGUAUAACCAAAACAAUUGUAAUUGUCAACCUGCUCCUCCCGCCAUUCGUUCUUUGUUCCAUGAGGCUGUUAUCUACAGUAAUCAGUUUGACGAAAAGGGAGCAUCAAGAAUGAUGCUAACGACUGAUCAACUGUAACAUUUUAACAUGAGCACCAAUAUUCGAACAAGACAUCUUGUUGCAGCCGCUUAAAAGUGCACGCCCUAUCUUAACUUUUCCAAGGUGAUCGGCUGUAACAUUUUCACUUGAACAUUGGUAUUCAUUCGUACUAGUAUCAUGUAGUUGCAACGGCAAAACAGAGUAUCUCGUCUCGUUCUUAGUGCACUAUCCCCCUUUUCCAAGCUGUCAAAAUUCCCCGGUAAAAUAAACUUCAUGAAGAUCCAAAUGCCACAAAAUUUCGAACAAAGUUCAAAUUGUCUGGCUCCUUUCAGAUCGGUCGUUCUUCCUGGCAUUUCGAGCAUGCACAUGUGAAUCCGUAAUCUGCAAGCUGCGCCUGCCUCUCCUCAUAUGAAAGAUCUUCAUCGAUGUAGGAGAUGGUAAUCUGAAAUGCCGUUAGUAGGUGUCAGCAUAUCAUAGCCUUUUAUCUUGAUGACAUAAAUGAAACAAUUUGACCAAAAAAACAGGGUACCUCUUCACCCUUGCUAAUAGGCUUGAGAGCAAGUAUCACUGCAUGACCAUCCUUGUCCUGCAGUAGUAGUUUAACAGCUCAGAUCUGCAUCACCGACGGCAAAUUGGCAGGAAAAAUGAAUUAAUCAGCUCAAUGAUAUGCACGCACGCACCUCAUCUCUUUUAAAUGCUCUAGCAUUUGGACAGCAUGAGUGGUUCAUGCAGCUCUGUAAAGGGAAGAAUGCCGUCCCUGCCAAUGAAAUUUUGUCAGGGAGAGGAUUUUAUACAGUUGAAAAAAAGAGAAACAUUUACUGCAGGAGGAAUUGUGCAUACCUUCACAAGGAACUGAAUAGUCUUCACCUAAAGCAUCUAGGAAUAGUCCUGUUACCUUCUCCACUUCCUCCUAGGGCACAGUGCAAUUCAGGUUAACAAACUACUGGGUUUUUUCAGAUAAAAAAUCUCAGAAAUUACGACCAACCCUUAACAAACCUUCUCACUCUCUGGAAGAUCAUCAAUGUGUAUGAAAUAGUCUUCAACCGGCGAUGCAACAACUAAAUCACUGCAACAAAGGAGAAGAGAGCAUUUUCAGAUACUAUGAUGUUAAAUGCAGCAUGUAUAUUUGUGUUCACUGUAGGUGCAAAGAGAAAUAGUAACAUGGAUUCACUUACAGAUUGUUCAGCUCAAACAUGCCAAUUAUAUGGCCAUAGACAUCAAGCGAAAACACUUGUCAAUGUCAAGGAAACUUCAAAUUUGGAUGAGAAAAUAAUGCCAAGGAAACUUAUACAUGUCAAACAGGUCUGUGGACUACUGAAAAGGAUACAGGGUGCACACUCAGGAUCAAAAAUUGCAUCCUUGAGAAGCUGCAGUGACUGCAAAAUACAGAUGACAAGAUUAGCGCAUCGGUGACUGCGAUUAGAUACAGCACAAUCAGAAUAAGUUGUACUUAUUUUUAGAAGUUAUCUAAUUUCUCCUCAUACGAUAUAUUAAACUUAUAUGAAAAGAUGUUCCAUUGAAGUGGCCAGACCACAACAUCAUCAGUAGAAAAUGGACAGUUCAUAAUGCCCCAUAAAGUGAAUGAUCUGCUGCAUAAUUACCUCAAACGCCAGAUCCCUCAUUUGCUGUCUGAAUGAAUCUUCUUCACUGGAAUCAAUGUCUUCAGGCAAAGCAACACACUCCCACCAUCUGCAAGCACAAGUUCUUUUUCACAAGUUUGUAGCAGACCACAGUUCACACAGCGCAACAACAGAGGUAUCCAAUCAGGGUACAUGGAAGCCAUGCAAAACUAGCCUUCUGGCUGGUAUAUAGUGUAAAAAAUCCAGAAAAGGGAAAGAAAGAGGGGAAGAAUAAAGCCUCUAGCCAUGCCAGGGGCAUGCCAUUGACUCAAUCCAUUGAAUUUUUACUGACGUAUUGGAAAAAAAGAAGAAAAAAAUAUCGUGCUUGGCAACAGCUAUAUCAUGCAAUACUGUUGCUUAGUGACACACUAACAGCUAAAUAAGCUCAUCCUUAUUACCUCUUCUUGAAUCCCAUUGAAAGUGGUUUCCAGGCUUCCAUGAGGAGCGAAAAGCUUGAUUCAUGAGAUGCAGGCUGCCUUUUAAGUUUCUUAUACCUCAACAAGGUGAAAGUGAUAGCCUGAGAUAUACAAUUUACAAGUUUGUGCAUGAGAAUAAAAAAAUAUUAAAUGAAUUGCAACAUACAAAUCUAGAAGAAAAGGAAACAGACUGAUUCUUUGGUUUGCUCAAUUUAGCAUUCCUUAUAUUUCUACUCAUCUUCUUAUAGUGCACUGGUCUGAUCAGGUACACCAAAGUUUGGAAGGUUUACAGAUUUUCUGACAGAUAUUGGCGAUCGGUAUCAACUCUUAAGUCUGACACCCAAAUUUUUGUUUGCAUCUGACCAAGCUAAGUUGCGCUUUUGAAUAUAAAAACAUGUCAUUUGGAGAAUAUUGGAAAAAUGAGAAACAAAUAAAGUCAUUAGAUGUGAUGUUUGGAUGCCUAGAUACUAGAUAUUAUGCAUAUUUCUGUCACUUACCUUGGCAGCGACCAAGAAAAUAUCAUUGGUUCCUGAAAUGAAGAAUAUUUAUCAUCAGAAAAUAGGUUUACAACCUAAAUGAACUACCAUCACAAAUCCUAAUGAACAAUGGGCAUUGUGCUAUAAUGACACAGAUCCAUGAAUAGUUAGUGCUGACUUACCAUUAGCAUGCUGUACAAAUUUCUGAAGGGCAGAUCUCCGUAGUGGUUCAGUCUUGGAUCCAGUGCACAGCAAAGAGUGGUAGGAAUCCCAAUCAGAAUCCGCACAUGAUUGGCUGUGCGAAAUUUCAAUAUCAAUGAACCACGUUUCCUUCUCAAGGCUACAUUUAUAAGAAAUAUGAAGUAUCCAAGAAAUAACAAAGAAUAUGUUUUAUGUUCUAUAGACACAAGUUUCCGAUGAGGCAAGAAGGUCUAAUGUGACUAUAAUAUGUGAGGAAGAAUAGAUGUCAUAUGUUUCAUGAAGAGAAGUUAGUUUUCAGGCCUACAUAAUCAUCUCUAAUAUCACUUUGCAAAGAGAGAAGGGUUUUGCUAAUUUUAGGAACACAAACCUGCAGUAGAGUUCUCCCUCACAUCCACCAGGACAAGCAACAACUGAUGGCAAACGGAACUGAUCAGUGAAAGGCAGUGAUGUAUCACCAUCCAUAAGCGACAUUACAACCCCUUGUGGCACAUCAUUACUAUUUCCAUUUGUUGAACCAGAACAACCGGUACUUGACCCGACAUCACUUCCGUGGCAAUGUCUCUCUGACGUGCUGUCAAUGCUAGCACCAAUGCUCUGCAAAUACAAUCUACGCCCAAUCUGGAACUCUAUAGAACCAAUGAAGCAGAAGCAGUAACUACACACAACACAGUCAAUCUGCAAAAAGGCACAUAAAACCAACAUAACACUUCAGAGAAACAAUUCACCUGAAAUCCGUAAUGAAACAGUUACUUUCGAUCAAAUGAGAGAACCUUGUUAAGGCUGUGCUGAGCACCGACCACCAUUUGAUCCUUUAGAAUAAGGUCCUCUUCAGCAAAGUCCCUGUUUGCACAAACACCUGCAAGAACCAGUUUGUUGAAAUUGCAGGCUUUCACCUUAUGCCAUUUUUACACAAGCAUACUGGAUUGCUGUCCCCUUAAAGUAAUUUCUCAAGAACCAAUCAAUACCUUUCCCAUGCUUGCUACUGUAGCUCACUCUUAUGCCAUCAUGCUUCUUGGACCGUAUGAGUUCAUCAUAGUAUUCCUGAGAAAACAAAAGGCAGCAUGUUUACGUACAACCCCUAUCAUAAGCACUGGAUCAAACCACUGACUUUACCGCCCAAAUAUAGAUCCUUCUCACAAUUUCACAGCAAACAACAUCAAAGCCUGCGAUAUCACACCGACGCCACGAAGAGCCUAAAAUUGGCCAUCUUUCGAUAAAACUAGCAACUAUCGCGGCACGGGAUUGUUCAAUCAAGGAAUUCUCAAGCAACCAGACGGGUCCUAGUAGCCUCGGAAGUGCCGGAAAGAAGUACCUGGGCGGAUUGGAGAGGAGGCGUGGCGAGGAGCUGUGCGAUUUGGGGCGCGAACUCCCUGUCCAGAUCGCACGGACUGACGCCGCUCCCACCCAUACCGUCGGUUGGUGCCAAUCGGAGCUUCUCGCGGCGGGAUUGUCAGCUCCUCGCCGCCGCGCCGCCACCGCUUUGGUCGCUGGGGUUUUUGGGGUUUGAGCUCAAGCCUCCAGCACCAGCAGACGCAGAGAGGUAAGCAGACGGAAUUGGUAGCGCGCAGAUACACGUUCUCCACAUGAAGACGUAUCACCAGAACUUACGCCUUUAGGCAGCGAAAGCGUAAAGUGAUCCUUCUGUCUCAAAUAACCUCCAGCCUUCUGGUUUCGGAUGACUCGAGUACAAUUGUACAUCGGGCUGACAUCAUGAUUAAAUAAAUAUCAUAUUAUCAUGGAGUAAAUUAUAACAGUACUUAUUCGUACAAGUCAAUUAGUUUAAACGUCCUAGCUUAUCAUAAUAUGAUAUAUUUAAAAUGGAUAGGCAGUUCUUAUGAACAUGGUUGCUAAGAAUAUAUUAUUUCAAAUAUCAUGUAUUUAAAACAGAUUAGGUAGUUUGAUUGCCACACGUUCGUGAGCGCUCAUGCAUGCAAAUGGACUUAUAUCAAACAAAUUUCUUAGCUUCAUUACUACAGGUGAGCGCUCGUGCCCACAAGUGAUAUUUGAUUGUCUAAAAACGUAGACCACAUGGUUUCUAAAGUCUCACUUGGGCGUCGGCGUUGCUUAACGAUCCGUCGCCUUGGCCGCCGAAUUCAAUGUUGCACCAUCGGAGGGACGGAGUCAUGCCACCGCCUCCUAUCCUUCCUCCUCCUCCUCCUCCGAUCUUGCAUUGUGCGGUGCGUGAUUGAGGCGGCCUGUGGCAGUUCUCGAUCGGAUGGAGAGAGCCCGCGGCCAUGGCGCGGACGGCCGGUGGCGGAGGAGGCAGGGAUGGGCGGCUGAGGAGGCAGGGGUGGGCGGUGGCGGAGUCGAGGGGACCGGGAGGAGUACUGGAUAAGGUGGUAGGAGGUUGGGAGCCUAGGGAUAAGGUGGGGGAGUUGGGCUAAUUUGAUGGGUCUUCUUUCCAUCUUUAGGUCCACUAGUCCUCUAUUUAUUUUUUUACAGGUAGGUGUAUGUGUAUAUGUGUGUAAGGCGUCGACUCACCUCACGCCUUAAGCGCCUAGGUGUAUGAGCGGUGGCGUGUCGCCUUAUCACGCCUUACCACUUUAAAAACCAUGGUAGACCCAAGUAAGUACUCCCUCCAUUCUUUUGAUCAGGCUUUCAAAGGCGUCGCCUGAGCGGACCCAUUUCGUCUUGGCUAAUAGGUCCGCCUUGUCGCCUAGGCGGCGCUAGGCGUACACAGCUCAUCAUAGGUUGCCUUGUCAUUUUAAAAACACUGCUUUUGAUAUACCUAUUUCACUUUGGCAAAAUGACCCAGGAAACUGGAAAAGGACCAUGCUUAUUAUCCAAUUAAUCAUGCCAUUCCAUACUCCUCAUUAGUGGAUUACACUAGAAGUUCUCGGUGUUGAUGUCAUCAUAUACAUGCACGUGGUAUUUUUUCUAGAUGAGAACCGUGCACGAGAACCGUCCAUGUUCAUCCGAGACAACUCAAAUAAGACUAUUAGAAGAGAAAAAAUAAAUUUUAAAAAUAGGUUAUCAAAAGAGAAUGGAGUACUUUGAAACAAUCCAGUUAAUCUGGAUCUAUCUGUUUGUGGUCUUGGUUGAUGAUAUGGGUCACAUAGCUCUAAUAUCUUACAUGCCCCCUCUAAUAUCUUACAUGCCCCAGAUCUAUUUUAAUUUUAUAUUACAAGAUCUCAUUCUAAAAUUAUCUACCAGAUCUCUAGUUUGGCAAAAUGACUUCUUCUAUUUUUCAUUAGUGCAUGUAAUAUAUUAAAUGUCUAAUAUGCCCAUAGGUGAUCUACAUUUUCUCUCAAUUUGUAAUAUGAUUUCAUAUAAAAUAAAUAUGAUUAAUAUUACCAAUAAUUUUAGAUUAGACUAAUAUUUUCGUUUUCUUUUCCUGCUUUCUUGUUCUCUUUUUUUUCUUACUUUUUUCUUUUUCCUCCCUUUCUCUUUCUUACUUAUCCGCUCAUCUUUCAGUCAAACAAAACAGGGCCUUCUUAUCUUCUCCACUGCCCAAGCCACAAGCUAUACAUUGCGCGGAAAAAAAUUGUGUGGGGACGGUCCCCAUAGUCCUCCGCGUGAGGACCCAUCUCGAAUCUUUGCCGCGUGGACACCUGGGCGAAUUGGCGCUCCCUGCUUCGACGCUCGCUCGCGGGUAACUCUGCUCCGCUCGGCUCUGUACAGGGAGAAACUCAGCUCGCGGAAAACCCUAAUUGUCGCAGCCCCCAUCCCUCUCGUCUCUCCCAAAUCAGAUCAGGAGGACCUCCUCCAUACCGACCUCCCCUCUGACACAUCCAUGGCUGCCCCCUCCCUGUACUCCACUUCCUCUCCUUCCUAACCGCCAAAACUGAGUGCCCUCGUUGCCAUUGUUCCAUUUUGCCGCUGCACCCCUCUCCUUGUACACCUGAGCAGCAGAUUGGAGAAGGACAUCGUCUACAGAACUACGAGGAAGAGUCGCCCAUGACCGUAGUGAUGCCUGCGCCAUGGUGAGGUCACGCCCUCUCUCCUUUAUCAUGCGGUACCUAUCCGCAAGCUGAGUUUCUCCCCGUACAAAGCUGAGUCGAGCAGAGUUUCGAGCGAGUGUCGAAGCAGGAGCGCCGAUUCGUCCAGGUGUCCACACGGCAAAGAUUUGGAACGGGUCCUCACGCGGAAGAGUAUGGGACCGUCCCCACACAAUUUUUUUCCAUUGCUGCAGGGCUACUGCUACCUGCACGCUGCUGCUUCUUUUCCGCCGCCCGCUGAAGCACCAGGUCGCCGGCCAACGCGCCUUCCCCAACAAGCUGGGCCCGCUCGUCGACGACACCGGCCUCUUGGACAAGCCGCUCCACGGCUCCAGGCAGAGGACCACGCGGGGAGCACGAGCUCGCCCUCUACGAGGCGUUCGCCUCCUCCCCACCGAGGUCCGGGAUGGGGAGCGGCACCAGCACCGGUACCAUGCCCUCGACGAUCUCCUCGCGGGGCUCGAGGCACCCUCCGUCGCCGACAUCAAGAUUUGCUCCAGCCCCGACGGGCCGCUCCGCCGACACCGCGCCACCUCCGCCGCUGUCCGCUGCAUCUGCCCGUUGGGGAGGCGAGGCCGCGAGAGUCGCCCGUGGCUCUGCCCGGCAGAGACAUCAUGGUUUGGCGACGCGGACGCUGGUGUCUUUUUAGAGUGGUAUAGACAGAGAAACCAUUCAUGCAUUCAUGAGCUUCCUGGAUAGGUGAUUUCAGACGUUAGAUCCUGAGUUUGUACCCAAAUGUCUGCACGUGUAAUGGUACUUUUUCUUAACACUGAAUAACAAAACAGAGAAAGGGUCCUAGUAGCUUCUGGUCAAAUUUAAAUUCGUCGCAUCAAAAUGGUAUAGUAUCAUAAUUUUCUGUGGUUCUGAUCAUAAUUCCAGUAGAGUAAUUAAUAAUGCCUGGGCGUGGAUAUGUUCAGAACUUCAGCUCAUGACUUUAAGUUUGAGGAAGGGAUCAAACUGAUAUACUAUAGAUUAGUAGGGUAUCCAGCAUCCCCCAGUUGUCUUUUGGGCAUUCGAGAUGAAUCAACCCGUGGAGGUAGUAAACGCAGAUGCAACCUCUGCACAAGCACACAUCUAGCUUGUUAAUGAAAGGAUAAACUCCGACCCCAACUAUUUCCAAUCCUAUUGUAUAGUACGCAUAAACGAGUACAAAUGCAAUUUAUAACUCGUCAACUGAUUUCUGUUUGAACUAACCUCUACAGUGCUCAUGAACCAUCACAAAGACCCAAUCAAACCGUUGGGUAGCAUAAUCCUGCCAUCCUGUUGGUUGCGGAGCAAAUGGGAAUAUGAUAAUGGUAGCUUCGUCGUCGUCGUCAUCCAAAAUCCUCAAGUCAUCCAACCACCGGACGUGCAGCUCGCUCACCAUAUAUUCGCUUGCCAGCUUCACCAUUUGGCCGUGGCAUUGGUGCUAGCCGUCGUCGUCGCCUGCAACCGCAAGCAUCUCGCCAACUCCUCUGCUGCUUUGAGCGCCUCUUCCAUAGCUUGCCCGAGAAUGUCCGCGCUGGCGAUGGCGAAGGCUUUGGUCGUCGCCCUCGUGGCGAUAGCCGCCGUGGCCGAGCUUGCCGCCGCCAAGAACCACACGAUCCAGUGGUCGGUGAGCGGGAACUACGGCGACUGGUCGGCCUCCAACGCGGUCAGCGUCGGCGACACCGUCGGUGAGCUCACGAACGGAUAACCCUUGCAGUCUUAAUUUGCACCUGUUCUGGCUCCGUUUUGUGUUUGCAUCUGACCGUGACGCGGCGACGGACGGCGCGGGGGUGCAGUGUUCACGUACGGCCCGCCGCACACCGUGGACGAGCUGCCGUCGGAGGCGGACUACAAGGCGUGCAGCUUCGACGGCAAGCUGUCGUCGGACGACGGCGGCCGCACCGCCUUCACGUUCGACAAGGUCGGCACGAGGUACUUCGCCUGCGCGGCGGGGUCCCACUGCACCCAGGGCCAGAAGGUGGCCAUCACGGUCACAGACGGCGCUUCGUCGGCGACGCCCAAGGGGAACUCGGCGGCGACCGGCGCGGCCGGGCUCGCAGCGAAGCUGGCGCUCGGCCUCGGCGUCGGAGGAGCCUUGCUUGCCGCCUUCUGAUCGAUCGAGAUUCCUCUUCGUGUUGGUUGGGCCGUGGGUCGUUGCGCGUCCAGUAGCACGGUUGCCAACUUGCCCGCCACUUUGGCGCUUCGCAAUAUGUUUUUUUUUUCGAAUAAGCAAGAGAAUUGCGCAUACGCAAUAUGUGUACUGUUAAUUUGUUAUUUGUCACUCAAUGGAUUGGUAUUUCGAUCAUCCUCGCCAUGUGUACAACACGGUCUCGUAGACGCGCGUAAUGGCUUUGUGUUGGCAAGCGGAUGGAGCGUGUAAUGUGAUUUAACCCAAGCUUUGGACUCGGUUAAUCCACCCCCAGCUGCAACGAAAUCCACGCCAAGUUGAAAACCAAACCAGGUUGCAAUACCGGUGGUGAUUUGUGAAUCGGAAGUCGUUCAGGCGUUCUCGCGAACAAGGAACAACUGUUGUUCACUUGAAAAGAUACUGGUGGGAAAGGCAAACCAACUCGAACAUGGAAGAACGAGGAGAAAUUCCGACCCCAAUUACUUGCAAUCAAAUCGUUGGCAGUCGCAGAACGAGUAUGUAUUAUGCAUAUACGAGUACAAAUACGAUGACCCGUCAACUGAGAUUUCCGUUUGAACUAGCCUCUCUGUCCUAAAAGGAACUAUGACAAGGACUCAAUCAGAGCAUCAAACCACCAGAUACCGUAAUGAUCGUGCCAUCCUGUUGAUGUCAACGGAAAUGGGAUAUUUCAUGCCGCCAAGCCGCCAAAGCUCCAACUCCGUUGUCGUCGUCAUCCACGAUCCAGUCAUCGAACCGCACACCCGACGUGCAGCUCCAUAAAUUCGCAGAUUUCCUGACUCCUCUGCAGCAGCGAGCGCCGGCCUCUUCCAUUGCUUGCUCGAGAAUAUAAUGUCUGCGCUCGCCGCCGCCUUCGACUACACGAUCCAGUGGUCGGUGGGCGGGAACUACAGCGACUGGUCGGCCACACACCCGGUCAGCGUCGGCGACACCGUCGGUGAGCUUGAUCACGAAUCCUGGUCUCUAUGUCGGCGAAUUUUUUUGGCUCUAUGCUGUAUCUGUCUAUCUGAUCGAGACGACAUACGCCGGCGAUGACGGCGGCAUGGCGAGGUAUGCAGUGUUCAAGUACGCGCCGCCGCACACCGUGGCGCAGCUGUCGUCGGAGGCGGCCUACAAGGCGUGCAACCUCGGCAGCAAGGUGUUCUUGGACAGCAGCGGCGGCACCGGCUUCACGUUCGACGAGCCCGGCACGUGGUACUUCUCGUGCGUCACGGGGUCGCACUGCGCCCGGGGCCAGAAGGUGGCAAUCACGGUGACGGGCUCCAGCGUGCGAAGCCCCGCGAAGCCGGAGGGGAACUCGGCGGCGGCGCCGGUGGCCGGCGCGGCGGGGGUCGCGGUGAAGCUGGCGCUCGGACUACUCGGCGUAGGAGGAGCCUUGCUUGCUGCAUUCUGAGCGCUUGGUUUUUGCUGGUGAUCUGUGUGGCUGGACUUGCACCGGCCGUGCCGUUCCGUGUCCAGUAAUAGCUCUUCGCAGUGUGUGUUGUGUGUAACUGUGUAUCCGGAUUCCUGAUGCGUUGUGGAGUUAGGACUUGAAAAUUUUCUUUUUCUGACGCUCCCGCUGUGUUGCAAUUCAUGAGAUUGAAUUUUCGUCGCAAAAGUGUCGAAAUAAUUGCAGUUCAUGAUAUACAUGUUAGAAAAUCGUUAUGCUUUGGCGGGUAAUUAGUCAAAUUCGUUCAAACUUUUAUAGUACAGCAGACUAGGUGGAACCGUGGAAGACGAAGCGCUACCGACGCUACCGUCUCCUCGGCGCCUCGGCCCGCGAGGCUUUCUUGGAACUUGGAAGGCGGAAAGAGCAGCGCUGCGCUACCUUCCGCUUAUAAAGGGGCGACGCCGCGCGCAACCGGUGCGAGCACAGGAGUACUUGAGGAGAUGCCGGUGCCGCCCCACAUCGCGGUCGAAGCGCGCCAGAUUCCAGAGCCGCUUCCCUCCGCGGCCGGAGGCGCCCAGCAGCGAGCCAAGCGCCGCCCCCGACGCCGCGCCCUUGCCAGCUCGCCCGGACUUCGUCGCCGCCGCCGCCGCCUGUAAGCUGAGAUGUCGGUAGUGGAAAUGUUAGUGAUGGAUACCGUGUGCCGCUGCCGCCGUGCCGGCAUAAACUGUCACUCAUGUCGCUUACACGAUCAUCCCGUUCCUUGCAUGUUGUAGUGAAACUGUCAGGUGAUGCCAGUGCCAAUGGCGGCCAGCAGCGGCAGAUCCAGUUGGCGGGCUUCGGCGCAAGCCCCAACCACAGCAUACGGUUCCAUGCGAAAGAAAUGGAGGGGAAGGACGAGGACGAGGACGACGAAGGGGACUUUUUUUCUCCUCACGAGAGAGCUGCAUACCAAGAAUACCUCCGGGUACAGGACCUCUGGGCUCUUGUUAAUCUAGUUGGCGCACACAAAUUGCCGCCACGGAGCAGUAGUUUUUUUUAGCAUAUGAAUUAUCAAUGCUAGGUGGCCAUCAGAGAAGAUAAAGCUGUAGGAGAUGAAUCACUAAAACGUUGUCUGCCUGAAUUGUCACGCAGUGCAUCGUUAGGGAGUGCAUAGGUAGGGAGUGCGGGGAAGGAGGAGAAGAAGAUGUUCCUGACGACGGCAUGACAGUGUCACUCUUGAAGCACCAGGUAGAUCUAGUCAGUCGCUAUGCUUUUAUUUCUUUUGUUCAUUCCUGAUGCCCUGCUCAUUGGCAUGUACACUUCCCGUGGUGAUCUCAAAGAAAAAGGCAUCAUCUUGGAUGCGUUUCCGGGAGAAAAGUCCACAUUGCGCCGGUGGAAUUCUGGCGGACGAACAGGUCAUUUCUGAUUUGUUUGUUUCCAGCUUACCACAAUAUUAGUAGCGCAACAAUGUUAAUUAGCAGCUAUGAAUGAUUGCCCUGCUCUUGCACUGGCCACACCGGGAGUUAUCCCUGCUGUACCUGUAACAGGGCCUUGGGAAGACAAUUACAUCGAUCGCCCUUAUCCUCAAGGAGAUGCCUCAGCAGUCUAAGUUCAAGUCUUCCGCACCCUUGAGAUCCAGCGGCAUGCCGGCAGGAGGAACGCUUGUGGUUUGCCCCAAAAGCAUUCUUCUGCAAUGGGAAGAUGAAUUUGCUCGGAGGGUCACAAAGGGUGCUAAGUUGUCUGUCUUGGUUCAUCAUGGAGCUUCAAGGACUGUAGACCCAGAAGAGCUGGCAAAGGCUGAUGUCGUCCUCGCCACGUACGGAGCCGUGCGCAACGAUCACCCCAUUGACGAGGUAGAAUGGUUCAGAAUUGUGCUUGAUGAAGCUCAUACUAUAAGAAAUCCAUCGUCUGAAAAUGCGGAAGCUUGCUGGGGACUGGAAGCGGAAAGGAGAUGGUGUCUAUCAGGAACACCCAUGCAAGGCAAGAUGGAACAUCUGAACAGCUACUUGCGCUUCUUGGGAUUCGAACCUUAUUCUAAUAACAUCCGGUUCAGCUCUUUGUUGGAGACGAAAACUGAUGCUAAUGCAAGUCUUGUCCGUGAGAAACGUGAAGAUGCAAGUCUACGCCACAUUAAAGGUGAAACAGUCUUUUUUUACUGAACAUGUACAUAUGUCUGCAGUUUUGUAUAUUAAUAUUGUACCAUCUACCAUCUCCCCUAUGGAGCAUUCCGGUCUACCUAUACACAUUCUGCUUUCCUAUGGACUAAGCAUGGUAUAGAUGAUUACAUGAACCUCACCAGUUUCUCAGCUGGUCUUUAAGCUCCAAAUAUGUUUUUUUUUCCUCCCUCACAAUACAAAAUAGAUCAUAAUGCUGGAAAAACUGGAGAGGGCAUUGUUGAAGUCGCCUAUUUUGUUAAUACUUUGAUACUAUGCACGUAUUGAUUUUGUAUGUGUAUCGUUAAUGCAAUGUGCUCAUCGGGUACCUAUGGCUGUAUCUUGGUUCUUUUCUGGUUUUGUUGUCCCUGGCAUUGAUGUACUUCUGAACUGUUUACGUAUAGAAACACUCAUUGACGAAGAGCCAAUCACAAAGAUACCACCAAAGAUUAUUCAUAUGAGGGAAAUAUGUUUCACCCCUGAGGAGCUAGAUCUCUAUUGGUGUAUUAUAAAAUGCCGUCGGCAAAAGGUCAAGGUAGGUUUCGAGUUUUUACGCCUUCACAUUCACUAUAAUCUUUCAAAUAAGUGCCCUUUUUAACGUUUAAUCUGUCAAAGCAAGUUUCCAUUAUCCAGAAUUUAGGAAAUCAAAUGUAUCUGAUUUGGUGUUCAUACUACAGAAAUAUUAUUUUUUGAAGAACACAAGAAGGAGCAAUUGGAUAAAAGACACUCCGGAAACACCUUCAGCACUGCUGGCAAAACUUCAAAAGGCUUGUAACCAUCCUUCUCUUGCGUACAUUGGAAGGAAGGAUCUUAGAAAGCUAUGUUCUAAAAUCUUUGAGGACAGUUAUGUAUCCUCUAAGAUCAAGGCAAUUAUGGAUAUACUCAACUCCAUUGUUAACGGACAGGCCGUUAUUGAGAGUGAUAAUGCUAUGGAAUCAGGUUCAAGUGAAACAGCUCCUGAGAAGGCGCUGAUCUUCUCUCGCUUCACUGAAGUGUUGGACUUGCUGGAGCUUCAACUGAUUGGUCAUCAUAUACAAUUCAGGAGGUUAGAUGGGGGGAUGGAAGUCAAACCGAGAAAAAAAGCAGUGAGAGACUUUGACACAAACCCAGAGGUUUGUAAGUACCUGAAUUUUGCAUUUGCUUAGUUAGGCCCCAUUUGGAACAGUGAACUACUUUACCAUGUUCCAGUAAAAUUCCUGUGUUCUGAAGAGGCCUUAACUGUUACCUAUAGAUAUUCUACCAAUAUAACUGAUGUCGAGAUUCAUUUCGGAUAUUUAGGUGAGAGUACUUCUAUUGUCUCUGGAGGCCGCCAGUCUUGGUCUGAACCUGACUGCCGCUUCCCAUGUGAUCAUGGUUCAUCCUUGGUGGAACCCUUUUGUAGAGAAACAGGUGAUUGAUAGAGCACACAGAAUUGGUCAGACCCAUCCUGUAAAUGUGUACCGCUUGUUCACUAAAUGCACGGUUGAAGAACGCAUUCUAAAUCUACAGGUACAUAUAUACUGCCUUCUUCUGAUAUUGUCACUUCGAAAUCAUGAGCUUUUAUACUACUCACAAGGCAUGUGUUUCCUCUAUUAGUUAUGUCAAUAACUCGAUAUAGACACAUAGCAAACCUUGCAAUGACAUUGUGAGAGCAAAAUGUUGAUUGUUAAGUGUAGUUGGCAAUCACAAAACCAGUUUAUAUUCUUGACGAACCGUGGUCCUAGUUACAUUCCUUCCGCAACUCAGUCGCCAUCGUGCCCUCUUAGCUCAUGCAGCGAUCGGAGACUAGCAGCUGAACAAGGCGCUUCCUGUGCCGGUGCUUUCAGGGGGCCGCGCCACGCCGACGAGCUCCGCGAGGUGCAGUGUCAUCGCCUUCUACCUCUAGGCCCUUCUCGUCAGCUAUAUCGACGCCACAUUCAACAUGGCCUCUAUCAGAAAAUGAGAACACCUCAGCAGUUACGAAGAUUUUACUGUGUUUUUGGUGUGCAAUUGAAAGUGCAGACAGUAUAAAUGAUCUUAAUUACUAGUUCUUAGUACGAGUUAUGCCUGAAUUUCACGCAGUUAGUUAUUUAUUAUAGCGGCGUGAGAAUUAUCCCAUCGAGCUUCUGUUGAGAUCUCAGUUUGCAGCUCCUUUCGUAGGUUUUAGAAGACCAUUAUAUCGAGAAUCUUCACAAGUUCCUAUCCAUUUCCUUCAUGAUUUUCCAAACUUCCACGCAGAAUGAAGAUCCAGUUCUUUCCUGUUUCACCUCAUUAGGAUUUAAUUUAGUAGAACACGCCUGUACAACCUUCCGAUCAUAUAACCUUGCAAGUUGCAAUUCUUUCUUUUAGAACUAAUCCAAAUUUCUGCUCAAUCUACUCUCAUAAAUUCACAAUGGAGCACGGUAAACUUCCAAUAUCUGCAACCAUUAUUUACAAAUGAUAGCUAUAUUUAGAUAGCUCUCGGGCCUUCACACCUGUACCUUUGAAAUUGCCAAGCCAAACAAUCCUAGAAUACAUUUAUCUAUGAACUUACACUGGAGCCAACAAAUCAUUUACACCAACGCCCCCUGUAAUUAUUCAUCCAUUGGAUUACCACUACCGUCGGCCUAAUUUACUCCUUCUCUGCUCUUGAUGAAAAUCCUCCGUCAGUCGCCUGCAAUCCAUUUACGCCUUGAACCGAACAACAAUACAUGAUAUGUCAUCUUUACUCUCUCUUUUUAGCGCAGCGGCAGUUAAUUGCCUGGCAGCUGCAUAUGGAUCCUUGUACCUUUUGGCCAAAUCGACAACCUCCUGAUUGUUCAUAACCUGUCACGGUCAAUAAAAGCAAAAGUAUUAAGAAUGCAGCCAUGGAUAUGCUUCUGAUCUUAUUCUGGCCAUUUGGAAAUUUCGAAAUAACAACCCACACCUUCCAAAGGCCGUCACUCGCGAGGACAAGUAGCUCCGCCGUGUGAUCUAUGUCUUCGACUUUUAUAUCGGGCUCUGAUCUCAAUAGUGAUUUUAGAUUCCUGUCUCCAAAAGCUCUGGAGACAGCCAACUGACCGCAUACUCGGGGAACAUCUCCUGAAAUUUACAGUGUUAGAUUCAAUAUGCUGUAAACAAGAACUUUAAAAUCACACAGUUCUGCCUAUUUUCAAAGGUGCAUAUUACUGCUUAAUUGCUUAUCUAGAGUUACUAAAGGAUAAGAAUUACAAUGGAGUUUCCAAAAGAAGAAUAUCUGAUCUUCCUGCAAUAAUGAUUAUACUGGAAGCUAAAACAUAUGGUAGCUUUUCAUUUUUUUUUCUAGGUAAAAUGAUAUAUGAGUUCAGCUAUUAUCCCCAAAUAUUAAUGCUGUUUCAGUAACCAAUGAGUUGAGCGCACACAGAUGUCAUAGGCCUCUAGUAUACCAUCUACCCCCAGAAUUUGUUCUGCUGCAAUUUACCAGCCCCCACAAAAAAAACUAGGAACCUUUCAGCCUUUUGAACACUAAUCCUGUUUAGGGAAAAAAUUUUGGACCAGUAUUUCUACUUUAAGAAUAUAACACUACACUUAGGAUUUAGAACUCCUUAAAAUUAGCUAGUAUGUGUCAGUGCUAAAAUUAGUUUUUCAAUCUCAAAUGAUUCCUUCUGGUAACCACACAAGAAUUACUUUUGAACCUUAAGAGAAAGUGCAGACAUUGAUUACUGCCAUACUUCAGAUAUUUUGACGUGCAAUGCAUCAUGAAGCUGUUAGCAGCAUCCUUUUUGUUACAAAACGAGUGCUUUUAUUAAAUAUGACUUGCUACAUUGAAUUUACAGCAAAACUUACUUCUAACCAUCUCAAUAAUAAGUUAACCACAUGUUGUUGUACGAUAAACAUUUGCAUAUGACUUGUUGUAAAGAUUAAAAUAAAGUAAUCAUGUCACUGAACUUGGCUUGUAGGCACCUGUUGCAUUUUCCCAUACCUAAAAGCCUUUUACUAAGAUACCAUCAAAAAUAAUUACUGAGAUUGUGCAUUUGAGAUGUUUAAAUGCUCUGAAUGAGACCAGUGAACCAAACAUUGAAAAAUUGACCAGGCACCCCAAUCAUUUAAAUCAAGGUACCGUGCUUAAAGAGUAAAAAAUUGAGGGCACACCUGGCAUAUUCGAAACAAAGCCACCCCUAUUUUCAAUUACGCUGCGCUCAACAUUCGGAUCAUGGUCUAUUGACAUCUGUAUGGGCUCACCACCUUUCAAAAGAACGGCUCUUGAAUCCCCGACAUUAGCUACCCAUAACUUCCUGCCGUUUACAAGAAUGGCAGUUACAGCAGUGGAGCCACCUUGUCCCAAAUUCGGAGUAUGCGACAAAAUAGCUUGGUCUGUUUUUUCAUAAGCUUUUGUGAUUGCUCUAUCUGUAUGUGUCCAAAACUCUUCCUAAAACAGCCCGAUAAGAAUAAGAUCACCACACUGCUGGCGAAUUAAUCCUCAUUGAAAAAAAAGCUAAAAACUUACUUCUUUCAAAAUAUUUGGAAACAAGUUCUUCUGUAAAUACGCGGGAACGGUAUCUCCUAGAUGGCCGUCAAAAAUAGCAAAAAGACCAAGCUCGUUUCCCUUCACAUCGACAAGAUCGGCGACAUGAUAGUCCUCCAUCGGAUGAUUCGUCAUCCCUCUUACAAGAUUAUAGCCAUAACAGACCUUGACCUGCCCCUGACAGCCUUUCCCUUUACCAGAUGCUGUCGAACCAUGUCCGGUGAACUGUAUCGAAGCAGAAUAAUCAGCACGAGUGAUGUGGUUGGAGUGUUAACAUGAGAUAGAUGGCAAUUGUUAGAGCUCCGGGUGGAGGGUGAAGAAUUAGUGAUGAUAUUGUGUUCCAACAAGCAAAUAGUACUUCCUCCGUCCCAAAUUAUAGGUCGUUUUGGCUUUUCUAAAUUCAUAGCUAUUGCUAUGCAUCUAGACAUAGCGUAUAUAUAUAUAUGUGAAUAGCAAAAUCUAUGAAUCUAAAAAUGUUAAAACAACUUAUAAUUUGGGACGGAGGUAGUAGUGAUUAGUGAUUACUAGUACCACAAAAAAUACAUAAUUAAUUGACAAAAUCUUCAGAACAAUUCCAUAGAUGCUAGUAUAUGGCGAAAAACAUUUACAAAGCAUGUGCCAGCAGAAACGGAUUACCUCCGAGCAACUGGCGCCGAAGCAGCAUAACCUUGCCAUAUCUUGGUAAUUCCCUCUCAGUUCCAAUCCAGGAACUGAAAUUUUAAAAAUAAAACAAAAAGGAGAGGGCGAAUUCGCAAGUACCCACAGCCACCGAGACACCUCUAUUGGGACCAGGAGCUGAGCCCGUACAGGACCUGGGUGUACAGCCGAUAAAUUUUACAAGAAAAACUCGAAGUCAGAUACAGAUAGAGCAUCAGGCUUAAUUACGCAUAGUCAGAUCCGGUUACAAACAAGCUUAAUUAGGGUUGGGGUGCUCGGUUUCGCACAGCCGGGCGGGCAUACCUGGUGCGCGGGUGCUCGUCGCCGGCGAAGACCCGGCGCAGGGCGGCGGCCUAGUCGUGGCCGCAAGGAAGAAAGCCAAGAAAGGCGGGCGGGAGGGAGGAGAGAGUGGAGGGGGACAGCAGGGAGGUGAGGUGGGUCGAGGAUUGCAGUUGCAGGUCGCCACUGGUGGUGGCGCAGGAGUCGUCGCCCAGCCGUCGCCGCUAGGUGUGCGGGUGGCUUGGAACGGGUCAACCCAAAAGUACUAGUUUGACCCUGACGCACUCACUAGCCAACAAACCUUAUUUAUUCUGGGUCUCGGGUCGGGUUGGCCCUGCCCCUGACCCGACCAGAUGAUCCAACGGGUACCCAAACCACAGCCCAACGGAACUGCCGCUGCGGCUGCGAUGAUUCUCCACACGCGAGCUUCAGUUUGGGAGUUUCAGAGAGACGAUACAGCGUGUGAGCAGAGCACUACUCUCCUGCGUGCCACAAGGCAGGGAACUCAGCCAUCUGCUCCACCGUUGACAUACGCCAGAGCCACUUCGCGUUUUGUAUGUCGUCACAGACAGAGUUACUCUUGCGCCAAGCCAGCUUGUAUAAGGAUGGUGCAAAGUCUCUAUGUUGCAUUUUAUUGCUUCGUGUCGUGUGGUAGUUGUUUGUUGCAUUUUGUUGCUUCGUGUCGUGUGGUAGUUGUUUGUGUGUUUUUUAAAUGUUUCUUUUUCUUUGGUCCUUUGUGCUCUCGUGCUGAUCAAGCUCUGCUUGGCUUCAUCGUAUUGUGUCUGUAAACUGCUUUCUUUCAAGGUACUUAGACACUCUAUCUAAAAAAAGUCUCUAUGUGCUUGCCCAUUUAACCAUGAGCACUGCCAGAACUUAGACGUCUUGCCAUCACUAACUGUGACCCUUGUGAGCACAACUCCACGGACACGACCAACAAAGUUUUCCAUAGCAUCUAUGACAAGAUCACACACAAAUAGCAAGCAAAACACCAUGCUCUAAUUCAUUUGUUCAACAACCUGGUGCAAUGCAUAAGUGGGCUUCAGCUAAGCAUCAACCAUGAUGACCUUGAACUACACAACUUCAGGUCCAUAACUAGCAAAGUUAUUGGACUGUAAUAAUCAUUGGUAACCUAUAGCCUGCAUAUUUAUCGUUGCAAUAAAUAUUCAUGACCUAGUAAGGAUCCUUGCAUUUUUACAUGGUUCCAUCAUAUCUUGAAAAGAUAUUUGAGAUCCUCUACAGUAAGCCGAGUCGCUGCAAUGCCAUCGGAUUGGUCCUCGCCCAAUGCAGAUUGGACCAUCUUCCCUUUUCCCUCCUGGCAAAACAAAGAGUACACAUUUCAUCAUCAGUUUGUAAAAUGGUAUAUCUGCACUAAACAGAUUUUAUCACUACUCCACUGUUAUGCUCUGUUUGAUAUUUUUAAAACCCUGAGCCAAUUACUUUGCUUUUUUACUUUAUUAGAUCACUAGUUUUGAUAAACUCUGAUAUAAUAAAGUAUUUUUUUACUGAAAAAUCUGGUGAUGUACUUUCAUGCACUGAAGUUUGACAUUUUAUAAGCACGUUAAUUUGUUCAAAGUUUGUAAUGUUUAAUCACCACAUUGUAAAAUACAGAUAAAAAUGAAUUAAGGAAGGAGCGCUAGGAGACUACAUGAAACUGAAUAUUACCUGCAGUGAUAAAAUGCGGUCUUCCACUGUGUCUUUGAUGGUUAAACGGGAGACAGUCACAGGACGGAUCUGUCCGAUCCUAUGUGCCCUAUCAACUGCCUGGUCCUCAGCUGAGGGAUUCCACCAAGGAUCAAGCAUGAUCACACGGCAAGCGGCUACCAUGUUCAGACCAAGAUUGCCAGCCUUCGGUGACAUAAUAAUCACUCCCACCUGAAGAAUGAAAAUGGAUUACUUUGUCAAACUUAAAAAGGUAAAUAAUUAGCAGUGGAAACGGAAAAAAAAAAGAGAGUAGAAGGCAAGAAACGAACCUCUGGGUCAGUAUUAAACUCUUUCACUGCUCUUUCUCUUGCGUUCAGAGGCAUGGACCCGUCUAGCCUCCUGAACUCAAUAUUGUUGCAGCUCAGUGAAUGCUCUAGCAAGUCCAGCAUGCCAGUCCACUGGGUUGAUGAUCGACUUGAGUAUGUUGAUGGUGGCCCGGAUUUUCGAAGAGCCGUAACUACUUUCACAGAUAGAGAAUGGUUGGUCCUCAGAUGUGAAGGAACUUGUUGCAUCAGACUCCAGCUUAGGCCAGAGAACGAACUUCAAAGCAUAAGCUAAUAAAAGAGAUUCGGGGCUUAUUGCCUUUCCGCAAUGUGGAGGAGCGGGGCAGACCUUCUCUUCAACCUCCUUAUUUAUUAAAUUAUCAUGUACACAGUCACGGCAGAAAACAUGACCACAUGUUGCAACAACAGCUUUCACUGGUGGUUCCUACAGAAACAAAGACACUAUUGGCAAAUUGCAAGAACAAAAUAAUACCGAGAAUAAGUGAGCUUGCAGUUAUUCCAAGGCGACAAAAUUUGCAUGUACGAAUCUGAGUGAACUAUUUGCUUACACUGCACAUGGUACAUUUUGCAGCACCUUUUUCCAUAUUUUCAAGCACAUUUGCCGCUACUUCCACAGGAAGUUCCUUUGCCAAUCCUAGAGAGUGGUCAAAUGAUUGUUUCCCCUUAAGAAGGAAAGGGUGGUUACAAGCCUGCCUAAGUUGAGACAGCAACGCCAGGAUGUGCACAUAGUUUUUCUGCAUGUACUCUUUAGAGCGUCCCUGUAAAAUGAACUCAACAUGCAAGCAUCAGGUAUUGCACACUGAAAUUUCAGUGCAACUGAAACUUAGUUUGGAAACAGAAAUUUGAACUGAACAUGUAGAAUCAAUUUUAACCUAAAUGUGAACUGCAUGCGAAACCUAUCUUUCAUAAAGUUAAUGUGGGCAACUAGCUCAUGCUCAUCAACACUUCAUCUUCCAUAACUCAUGUUCAUGUGGACUGCUAUUCUGACGUAAGUACGUAACCUUGCUGGACUGAAACAUUUAUCAUGUAAGACAACACAGGAUGGGGGAAAACUACUGACUACUUAUUGAAAGAAUAUAGUAGAGUAUGUAGACUGGCAAUUACCCUUAACUUUUGACGAGAGUUUUCUUCAAGAUAUAAAUAGAAAGCUCGCUCCUCCUUGGUGCAAUCUAUUUUACUCAACUGAAUUGUCUUUGGUGGUAUUUUUAUGAUUGGCUCGCCAUCAAGGAGCAUUUCUAUAUGGAAAGAGUUCAAACUUAGAUCAAUGAAAAAACUAUCACAACCAGAAAUGAACCAAGUAAUCGCCAACUAUGCUGAAAACUUUUAAAAGUUAGGGUGCAGAACAUGAUGGGAUUUCCUUCACCAAAACAAAGUACCAGACACACACAGUAUCCAUGAUAAUGGCACCACUCAAAUUAAUCUACCGUGAGUAACCAUGUCGAGGAAAGUCACCCGAUAAUGGCACCACCACCAGUCCACCACCACCAUACAUAGUGAAACUGGCACCGGCGGCUUACCUCGUCGUCAAAGGAGCGGUCGGAGGAGUCCGGCGGCCGGCGCGGUUGCAGACUGGGGACAGUUCGAACGGGCGGAAUUUCGAUGAUGGAGAGUGAUCGGUGAAUGGUGAUCGAUCGAGGUAUUUGUUGGCGGCGUGGGGUACCGUUGGACGAGACGAUUUGAAUCGGAAAAUUGAAACGGGAAUGCGGCGGCCGAGAACCGGGAAACCAACCAAGGAAACUUGGAGCCUUGAAGGGUGAUGAGGUGUGAUCGCGGCGGGUCACCCUGAUCAGAUCGUAUUUGCCAGCGCGUACGCUGCCACGGUGGCUAAAAAUUUGGUGUUCAUAUUCUUUUUUAGACGAUGGAAUGCGAAAAUUUUGUUCUGAGAUGCAACGAGCACGAACACGACACGCGCUUGUAACAGUUGAAGUUUCUUUUCUUUUGAGACCAGGGAGUUCGUUCAUUGAUCAAGAGCAUGGUUACAAUCUGACUCGAGGUAUCGAUGUACGCAUGACGGGGCUUGGUGCCACUCGCCCAUCACACACACUAGAAACCUGCUUGGCCAGCACAUGAGCUACCAAGUUACAAACUCUACUAGCAUAUACACAAAGAGAAGCUAACUAGAGAGUUACAAAGCUCUUGAAUCUCCCUGAGAAUCGCCGUAAUUGACGAUCGUUGCUCAUCUUUCAACGACCACAAACGCACAAGUUCUUGGCAGUCCGUCUCAAAUACCACUCUUGUGGCGCCGUGUUUCCUCGCGAGAAUCAAACCAUCUCUGCAGGCUGACGCUUCCAUGGUUAGUGCAUCCACACAGAGAUCAUACCAUCUCGCCGAACCUCCCUGAAAACAGCCAUAUUGUGACUCGCAGAACAGCUCCUGUUGCUCCACUUCCAUCCAGAUAAAAGGCGCCAUCAAAGUUACAUUCGAUCCAAUCUUCCUCCAGUGGUUUCCAUCUAGGCAACACCUUCGGCACCUGCUCUUUCUGUGGGUGGAGUAGUUGCCAUAGAUCAUAAGCCGUAUCACGCACCCGCAUAACUGCUUGACGAAUUGGCAGCCCGGCUUCACCAUGGCGACGCCGGUUCCUCAGCAUCCAAAGUGACCAUAUUCCACAUAUGAUCACUGCUCUAUCUUUCCUUGAGCAUACAUUAUCCUGUAGCAAAUCACUCGCCCAUGAAUCCGGCCGGAGACAUGGUAGCUUCACUCCAGUGAUCUUCUUUGCCUGCUCCCAGAACAUUCUUGCCACAGUGCAUUCUAACAGGACAUGCCAUACCAAUUCUUCAUCUGCCCCGCAUGUUUCACAAUGCGCAGUAGGUUCAAUGUGUCUUACAUGGAGUACCUUCCUUGCCGGCAGGUAGUCAUGUAGAACACGCCACCAGAACACCUUAACUUUAGUUUCCAAACCAGUUUCCAUUGCCCUUCCUCCGAACCACCUGGUUCAGACUGGUUACCUUCAUGUUGGUCUCGCACGUCUUCCUGCAGCCGGUAUGCCGACUUGAUAGAGUAGUUGUCGUGCCUCUCCAUCUCCCAUGCCCAGCAAUCCUCCCCUCCAGCCCUUAUUGGUAACUUGAGGAUUGCAUUUGCGUCAACAGGAAAGAAAAUGUCCCUGAUAAGGCCCUGCCCGACUUGUAACAGUUGAAGUUGACUAGAGCAAUUAUCACACAAAAAAAGCAUCUGUUCCACAAUUAGCAGUUACAGGUUUCGUGUCUAGGCUAAAAAAAGAACAAAAAUGCAACGAUAUCUAUAUGACAUCCAUGUACAAAUCUUCUCCUUCGGAUGGAAGAGCUCUCUCACAACUACGAAAACCAGCAGAACGCUACACUGUCCACCCACUGCAACAACAGUGCAAAUGUGGGCUUGGAGCAUCGGCCAUUGGUGAGGUGCAUAAGCAUACACUACCUCAGCUUCAAAAUGCCUACUUGCAUAAAUAACAGUGCCAGAUACUACCAUCAAACUCUAACCUAGCCUAUGUGUUAAGAUUGUCACAGAAAAAAAGUCAUCAGCCCCACGAAUGAUUACAAGUCCGCCAUCACACCAUGAAGAGGUAUCUGAGAUCUUCAUCGGUGAGUCGGGUAGCAUUGCCACUGGAACCGUCCUCGCCAAAGGCAGAUUGCACCAUCGUUCUCUUCUUCUCCUGGGAGGGAAAUAUACACAAUUUGUCAAUAAAAACAUGGAAAAGGCAGAAGACAAAAACAACAAUGGUAAGAUGGCCGAUGAACUGAUCCGCAGUGUCAGAUUAAUAGCAUGGAUAAACCUUCUAGCUAACAUAGAAUCAUUUUGGAAACAAAGAGAUCGACACUGGCAUAUGAUGUGCAUAGAUAAUAGCUGCUUCAAUAUAUAUUAUUAGCCUCACAUUCAUCAUCAUUUCAUUGUUCAUUGUAGCUGCUAUAUCAUUUCACGCCAAUCAUUAUUUCCUAAUACAAGAUGUGGCACGAAAUUGAAGUACUGGUGGUAUUGGCUAAAAGUUGGCUGACCACCUCAAGAUUACAAAACUAUAUUGAAAUGAGAGAAACAUGCAUAUGAUAUGAUUAGAGGCAUGUAUCCUCUAAUUAAAAAAAGAAAGAAUACCAUGAUCUCGAAAUGAAAAUGCAGGAGCCAAAGUAUUACCUGCAGAGCUAAAAUGCGGUCUUCCACCGUGUCCUUUACUGUAAACCGCGAAACAGUAACAGGACGGGUCUGACCAAUCCUGUGUGCUCUGUCAACAGCUUGGUCCUCAGCAUAAGGAUUCCACCAAGGAUCAAGCAUAAUCACAUGGCAAGCAGCUAUCAUAUUUAGACCCAGAUUGCCAGCCUUCAGUGACAUAAGCAUUACUCUCACCUGAAGAAUGAAAAUGAUUAUCUAUAUUUACCUAUCAAAUGUCAGCAAAAAAUUACUGGAUAAGAAAAGGAUAGGAUGCAGGAAAGUACCUUGGGAUCAUUUUUAAACUCGUUCACUCCUUUUUCCCUCAAGUUGAGAGACAUUGCUCCAUCUAGCCUCCUAAAUUGUAUGCCACUGCUAUUCAGUGAAAGCUCCAUCAAAUCCAACAUGCCAGUCCACUGGGAGAAGACUAUUGCCUUAACAGGGGCCAUCUCGCUUGGAAUUGCUUCGGUAGCAUCCCCCACUGUGAUGAUUGAUUUAAGUAUGUCCACUGCUUGUCGGAUCUUCGAGGAGAUGUAACUGCUUUCACAGAUUGAAUAUGGUUUGUCAUCCACAGUGGAACAACUAGAUAUUACAUCAAGCUCCAACUUUGGCAAGGUACAAAGCUUUAAUACUGCUGGUGUAAAAACAGAUCGAACACUUAGUUUCUUCCCACAAAGUGGAGAGGGGCAGACAUGUCCAUUACUCGUUAAGCUCUCAUGUACACACUGAUAGCAGAAAACAUGACCGCAUGUCGUGACAACAGCAUCCUCAGGUGGAUCCUGCAAAAUGGAGAAAUCAAAUUAUUGUCCUGAUCAAGAAGUUGUGGGCUAAGAUAACAUUUAAGCUAAAAUCAAAUAAACCAAUAACUCUUUAAUGCUUCGUCGCACACUGACAUACAUAUCUCUUGUUUAACUUAAUUAUUUUGCUUCAUAAAAAAUAUUCCAAAAACUGUGCAUGUAACAAAUUUUGAGUGAUCUAAUUGCUUACACUGCAUAUGGAACAAAUUGCAGGACCUCUUUCCAGCUUUUCAAGCAAAUCUGUCACUGUUUCCUUAGGAAGUUGCUUUGCCAUUUCUAUAGAUUUAGUGUCAACAAGAUCUGAUUCCUGCCCCUUCAAAAGAAGAGGGUGGUCACAAGCCUGCCGAAGCCGCAACAGCAACACAAGGAUGUUUGCAUAAUUUUCAUUUAUUGUUCCAGCUGCAUCAUAUGCCUGUAUCACAAAGACAACAAAUAAGCAUCAGACAUUUCGUGCUGAAAUUCUGGGCAACUGAACCUUAAUUUGAAAGGGGGGAAAUUAUAAGCCGAAAUGGGAUAAUUCAAUAUGUAAGCUAUUCUUAUUUGAUUAUAAACUGCUAGACCUAACGUCAGUAAAGUGAAUGCAAAUAUAAGGAGCAUACAUCAAGUAUACUGCUGAGACUAGAUAAAUAUGAUGCACCAUGAAUGCAAAUAAAAAACAGGCAUCAGAUUUAAGCAAUUAAGUUGAAGGUACCUUGAACUUUUGUCGAGAGCCUUCUUCAAGUGUUAAAUAGAAAGCUCGCUCCUCUUGGGUGAAAUCUAUUUUACUCAGCUGAAUUGUCUUCGGUGGUAGUUUUAAGAUUGGUUCUCCAUCUAUUAGCGUUUCUGAACGGUUCAAGAGUAUGUUAAUACUAAAUAUCACAACUGAAAAAACUUGAAAAAUAAAGAUAUACGCCACACAAAUGGAACUCAUUUUCAGAAAAACUAAAACUUGAAAAAUAAAGAUUUACGCCACACAAAUGGAAUUCAUUUUCAGAAAAACUAAAACUUGAAAAAUAAAGAUAUACGCCACACAAAUGGAAUUCAUUUUCAGAAAAACUAAAACUUGAAAAAUAAAGAUAUACGCCACACAAAUGGAAUUCGUUUUCAGAAAAACUAAGUACUGAAACACAAACAGAGUCAAAGAUGCCAAACAAAGCUUCAUGGUUGCAAGCCACUGCAAAUUAAGUAGGGAAUUAGUAAGUUUUGUAGGCAAAAGCAUUAAAGCGUGGUGUAGCUAAGAAGUACAAAAUGCUGACAGAUAUUAUAUAUGGUUGAGUUACUUUAUUUCACCUUUUGUGCGCCGCAGUAGAAUUAUCCUCAAGAUAGCUUGAAGUUUCUUAUAUCCACGAACUGGAUCUUUAGUAAUUUCGUACUUGAUCUUAUCUUUAAAAGAACUAAGUUUAGAAUAUGGCUCAUAUUUCAAGAAACAGAAAUAGCUGUAUAGAUCAUCAAUUUUAUUUUGUAUAGGUGUUCCUGAUAAGCACCAUCUCCUUUCUGCCAUCAGUCCACAACAAGCUCUUGACACUUGAGUCCGGUAAUUUUUUAUUGUUUGAGCUUCAUCAAGCACAACUCUGAACCAUUUCACCCUGGCAAGUGGGCCACCAUCUGAAUUGCUAGGUUUAUUUUUCUUCUUUGCCUUGCUUUGCUUUUUUGGUAGUCGUUUUCUUUUGCUGCCAGCACAAAAUUCCGGAUAAAUUCCAGACAUUUCAAUGUCAUAUUUCUCAUCAUCAGAGUUUUCUUUAGGCACUUCAUUUGCCACGGUCAUGUAUGUAGUGACAACAACAUCAUAUUUUGCCAACUCAUUUGGAUCUCUAGUCCUUGAACCUCCAUGAUAAACCAAAACUGACAAUUUAGCGCCUUCCGUGACCUUCACAGACAACUCAUUAGCCCACUGCCUAAGAACACUAGCAGGGCACACCACUAAUGUUCCUGCAGUUGGUCUAGUCUUGGACCUCAAGGUUGAUGCAGAGGACCUCAUUCUGGUCUUCUUCCUUGAUUCAACUAUAUCAGUAGCAGCACCUGACUGACUAUCACAGAGCUUAAGACUGCUGGAAACAUUCAAUCUUGCAGAAUCAUCUAGCCUUUCAAGGGGUUCAACCUUCAGUUCUUUCUUGUCCAUGACAAUGACCACAUCAUCAUCACAGAGCUUAAGACUGCUGGAAACAUUCAAUCGUGCAGAAUCAUCUAGCUUUUUCAAGGGUUCAACCUUCAGUUCUUUCUUGUCCAUGACAAUGACCACAUCAUCAUCAUCAUCAAUGUUUGGGACAGCGUUUGUACAGUAUGAACCAGCAGUCAUGAACCUAGACUGCUUAACCUUCUCCUUCUGUAUAAGGGCAAUCGUUGAUAUUGUCUUCCCAAGACCCUGUAUCAUAGAAAGUUAAUUGCCUGAUAUUUCCUCCAAUCACAAAUAUAAGUCCAUCUAAAAUUUGUCCAAAGCCAAACUUUCUUUAGCUUUGACCAAAAAAAUGUAAGAAUAGCUUUGACCACCAAUAUGUAAGAACUUACAUACAUUGAUAAUAUAAGGCUGAUCUAAAUAAAUUCACCAUGAAAUGUGCUUUCAUAAUAUAUAACUCUUUCUAUUUAAGAUAAUAUGUAGAUAUUUGUUAUCAGUUACACAUUGAAGACUGUUGAUGUCAUAAUGAUAUUUGCUGUCAGUUACACAUUGAAGACUGUUGAUGUCAUAAUGGGAUUAUAUUUGUGACAGGAGGAAGUUUAAAGGAAUCUGGCAGGAAGAAUAAAAGCUACUUGAAUAAGGUAGAAAAGUAAAACAUACCUGAUCGUCUGCCAAAAUUCCACCUGAACAAUGUGAACUAUUCUCCUUCGAAAGCAUCCAAGCUAAUGCAAUUUUCUUUCAAAAUAAAAGAACAUGAAAGUGAAGAGGGCCUCCAGAAUAAGUAAAAUAUCUGGAUAACUGAGAUAAAAGAAAAGGUUACCUGAUGCUUAAGCAGUGAUACUGACAUAACACCUUCAGGCAGAUCUUCUUCCCUUUUUUCCUGAAUGAUAUGCUGCAUCUGUUUUGGGAACAUUAGCAUGGUUCAUACAAGUAUGAUUAAAAAAUGAAUAAGAAAAUGGAAAGGUGCCAUGCCUAUAUAAAUCAACCAAAUAUCUAUACCUUCAGGGCUUCUUCAUAUACAGCUCUCUCAUCUAAACCGAAAAGCCUUUUUUCUAUGUCAUCAUCAUCUUUUGCAUCAUUAACAGAAGUCCUGGGUGGCAUUGGUGGAGGGAAGAUCCUAUGUGAACGCGAACCUCCACAUACAAAGACAUCAUCUGACAGUUUAAGACAGCAUUGUCUUAAUAUCCACACUUUGCACAAAUAUAAAUCAUUUUUGUAGUAUUGCUCAAAUCAAAAUCUUUCAUGGAUAGUAAAUGAAAUGGCACCUGUUGGUAUUGUAGAUGAAGACAUCCCAUUUCCAUUCGCAGUGCAUCUUUGAAAACCACCAAACUUCACAGCAGGCUCUUCCUUGAUUCUGUUGUCACCUAAACUUGAAUGAUUGGAUGCAAAUGAUUGAGGACUGAAGUUUCCAUUGGUGAAAGAUUGUGGAAACUGAUGUUCAACAUUUGGACCAUGGAAGGGUUCAGAUUUUGCUGCAGAACCAUAUGUUAUUGAUAAUGGAAUAUCCCUCUUGAUAUCAUUACUCACCCCACUGCUCAUUUCAGUGGUUGAUCUAUUCUCAACAGGGCUAUAAGAGGAUGAAGCAUUUCUACUGUUAAACCAAUCAUCAUAUUCUUUUUUUGCGAUCUGCCAAUUAUCGUAUUGGUCAAGUGCUGUGCUGAGAGGAAAAAGAGGCAGUUCAAAAGGACUAACAGGAUCCUCAUAAUCGGUAUCAUCUUCUCUCCAUGAGUGAAACUCAUUGUUGCCGUCACUAUCAGAAGACAGAUCAAUGAUGUCUCCCUCACUAUCUGAACUUAAGUCAAUAAUGUCCAUAUUGCUUACAAUCAUGCACGUUAAAUAUGCUUUGUCGAAUUUCUGUUAUGCUUAGCUUUAAUCACCAGAUAUUAAUCAAAUUAAUUAACAUCAACACGCUUGAGGACAGUCUCCUGCACAAUGACUUGUGACUAGGAACAAAUAAUGCACCAGGCUUCAGUGACAGAUCUCAGCAGGCAGCAGUUAGCCUGCAAGUGGCAUCAAGAUGGCAAACGAAAUUUCAGCUACACGUGUCAGGGUUGGAAAUAAUGCAAAUUCUAAAGUGAAACUCUAAUAACAAAAAGACACUUGUACAAUAAGAAAUUUAUUUGGCUAGUUAAGUGCAAGAUGCCAGCUCCAAAGAAGUUAGCAAAAUGUCUUUUUCCCCCUGUUGUUAGUCAAAAAGAAAACGAAAUGAAAGGAGCCGAAUUUUUGUAAGGGUCAAGACUCAAUGUUCAGGCGGAGUAGAUUCAUCACAACAGCAACAGGAAAACUUCAGCAGAUUGUUAUUUCCCCUGCCAAGCAUCGGUACAAACCGUGAACCUACAGAGCUACUGACGAACGUACAGAAACCAAGAAGAAUCAACCAGUAUAAUCCCGUUAGGCAACAUCUGCGGAAUUCGCAAACCCAAUCGAACCCACGAUCGUUUAAACCUUCCCCAACUCCCGUUUCCAACCAAUCCCAAAGACCUAAUCGGCGCAAAGCCGCCGCAUUUCCAUCACAAUCGGGAUCAAUACCGUUUAAAUUUCCCGUAAAUCGAAGCACUUACAUCCAAAGAAACCAUUAUAAUAAAAUAUAUUUCCGUCCAGGAGACCAAGAGCCACAAGUCAAGAAAGACACUACGGAGAGCGAAGUCAAGCAUCGUUGUUACCUGCUCCGAAAUCGGCGAGUGGGCGCGGGCGGAGAUCGACGGGCGACUGCACGCCGGCGCGGCGCCGGAUGUUGCGGAGCACGUGGCGGCGGAAUCGGCGAGAAUCUAUCGCGGCGAGGGGAAUCCGGCGAGGCGGUUCGUGCGUGACGGCAGGCGGGCGUGCGCGACCGAGACCGGGGGAGGAGAUUUGGGAGGGUGGCGCGGCGUUCGUUGCAGAGCUUUGUAUGCCUGCGGCGCGGGCCCCGCACGCUCGGGCUCACUUGUCAGUGGGAGCACUCGAGCGGGAAAACGAAAAUAUUUUCAUUGGCUGGGAACGGGAAACGGUCUUCGAAGCUUACGGCGGAAGGAAACGUGUGGGAGGCGACGGAACGGCGGAUAACGACUCAAGUGGUACGUGAAAUUUCACGGGAAUUUCGCCGAAAUUUGCACGACCGUUUGGAGCAAGAGCGCAAAAGUCCCAAAAAAAUAAACCGGAGAAACUCAAGUGAAGGAAGUAUGGUGAUAAUUUAAUACGUACUAGCUGUAUCGAACCAAACAACGGAUACAGACUCCGAGUAAUUUACCCAAUUGUACACCGAAACGAGUCAAAAACAAGUGGAAAUACAAAAAAUGGAAACAAAUCAUAUUCAGACGCUAAAAUCCAGAAAACUAACAAAAAAAAAUGGUCAAAACCCCACUCGCUUUCCCACUCAUAUUCCUGACUUCAUGAGUGUCAAGCGUGAGCCGCCGGGCCGAGGCCCACGACGAACGGCCCAGGCGGCCCAAAGUAGGGCACGCCCGUGGGCGGCGCGGCGGCUGAGCCUGAGGAGGAGGACGAAGCGACCCCCGGGAACGCGGCCACGGCAGGCUGCGUGAGCGGGUUGGUCGGCGGCGUGGUGGCGGCGCCGGAGGUGGCCGGGAGGAGAGGGUCGCCGUACACGGGGCCCUCCUCCGCCGGCUGCUGCUGGCAGUCCGGCCAGUGGCAGUCUGGCUGGGCUCUGUUGGCUCCCCACGUGUGGCGGGCCAGGCCGAAGCCGAGGACGAGGCCCGCGACGAGGAGCGCCGCCACGAGGCACAGGAAGAUCUUGGUGGCCUUGCCCACGUAGCAGCACAUUGGAAGGCAAGCAGCUGCUGCUCCGUCGUCGUCUUCCUCCUCCUCCCUGCUCUUGCUCUCUUCUUCGACCUCUGCUAGCUACCACUCACUCUCAUCUCUCACUAGAAGAACAUGCAGGAGAGCAGAGAAGAUAUGGAGACUGGAGAGUGAGUGAUGGCGAGAUGGGUCCAGUCCAGAGGAAGAAGGGGUCACUCGGCCACCUCGCUUUUGUUUUUGGUGUUGGUGCUGGUUGUCGGAUUAGCGCUCGUGCAUGGCUACACGUGAAGGAGAGAGAGAGCGGGAUAGCGUGAGAAAAAGUUCUGUCAGUUGCUGUUUUUUUUUUGAAGAAACUGUCAGUUGCUGUUACCGAAGUACACACAAUAUUAUAAGCAAUUAACAGACAAUCACGAGAAAUUGGCCCUUGUUUACUUCGCGAAUUUGGGAGGUGCCAAAUUACUGUAGCAACACUGUAGCGUUUCGUUUGUAUUUGUGAAUUAUUGUCCAAAUAUUGACUAAUUAGGCUCAAAAGAUUCGUCUCGCAAAGUACAACAAAACUGUGCAAAUAGUUUUUGAUUUCGUCUAUAUUUAGUACUCCAUGCAUGUACCGCAAGUUUGAUGUGAUGGGGAAUCUUCUUUUUGCAUAGUGUCAAAGUUGGGAGUUUUGUGAGAAGAGAACAAGGGCUUGAUUGUGUGGCAAGCACUUUUUAUCUUAUUCAGUGCCGCUCAGUUUCAGGCUUUCAGCAGUCAGUGUGGUCAUCAGCCUGAAUCCUGAUCUGUGCUAUCUGAUCUGUAUAACAGAACAGAAAGGUCAGAUUACUGCAACAUAAAAUCAUUUUCUGCAGGGGUAUGUUCGACACUGACAGAUUCAAGUGAUCAAGUGCCAGUUGAUACCAGCAGAAUUGCAGAAAGCAAGCAGAGAUUAUCAGGCGACAAAAGCACACUUCUACCAUCUGCUGAGCCUGUCAGCAACAGUAGUUAACUCUGCCGACACUCCUGGUCACAAGUAAAACCGGGGGUAUAUUGGACAAGGCGACAGUAAGAGUGAAGCUUCAGAGAGCCACAGAUCAUGGAGAGAGCACUGUACAACACAGUCCAUGGUGCCAUGGCAACAUGCCAUGGUGUCUCCCCAGCAAUGAUUUGCCUUUCCUUCCUCGUCUUCCUUUCCAUCUUUUUCUUCAGCGCCUCCCGGACGAAGAUAAGAGUAUCAUUGAGCGAAAAGCUGAAGCCAACCUGUGACAUGUCAAUAGUUGCUCACAUGUUGCAUUGGGCCACAGCACAGCCUGCAGUUUUGUUCAUUAUCCUAGGGUGGUUAGAUGUGGUGCCUCUGGUCAGGUCCAUUUCUGUUGUAUAUUCUUUUGAUGCAGAUAGCAAAGCUGCAGUUGCACUGGCGCCUUCAAAUAUGAUAAUCCUACCUACAAGUUAACUCUGCACAUGAUAAGUACCUACCAGCAUAUCUGGGAUUGCAUCACACUUGGCCCUUGUUCACUUCCCACCAAACUCCCAACUUUUGCACUAUGCAAAAAGAAGAUUCCCCAUCACAUCAAACUUGCGGUACAUGUAUGGAGUACUAAAUGUAGACGAAAUCAAAAACUAAUUGCACAGUUUUGUUGUACUUUGCGAGACGAAUCUUUUGAGCCUAAUUAGUCAAUAUUUGGACAAUAAUUCACAAAUACAAACGAAACGCUACAGUGUUGCUACAGUAAUUUGGCACCUCCCAAAUUUCCCAAGUGAACAAGGGCUUGAUCAUGGGGAUUUGCACAUUUGCAAUGCUGCAGAGGUGGUAACAAUUUAAUACACCAUUGUCAGAAGAGAGCAAUUUGGCGCUAAUAAAUCAACCACUGCCAUCUGAAAGUGACAUGUAUCCUCAUAUCAUGGUAACAGGCAAGUGUGCUUGAAGUGACCUUUAUUUUUCAACCCCAAACACAAGCAACGAUUCAGAGUCACACCCACUGCGUUCACAGUUGCAGGAUCAACAGGUAAGACUACUGAGCUACAAAUCGACAGCCAUCAGAGUCGCACGAGCGACAAUGUACAGUCUGGAACAUCCAGACGCAUUUCAGAAGACCUGACCAGGUAGUGCUCACGGUCACAGAGCAGUUUCAGAGGACAUGACGGCAACGAAUGUCUAUUCCACCACUAUUUGAGUUUCGAAGGGAUCAGUAGAAGAAUCCACCAGCUUCUUCAACUCAUCGGGAUUCGCCCCAACCAUCUUCCUAACCACCUCCUUGUUCUUGAUGAGGAAAAAUGUCGGCAUGGCCUUCACUCCGUACUUGGAUGAAACACUCUGCAUUCACCAUGGUGGUGUAGCUUAAUCAGGCUUUCUUCAGACAUGUAUGAAGAAGAGUGAGUUUCUCUAUAUGUUUGUAUCAUAAUAUCCAAAUAAAAUAAAACAUUGGGGAUCCUCAAGACCUAAAGAAAUUUUAAAGAUUCUAUAUCAAGCAUCAAUUUAUGCUUUUACCCCGUGCUUCUAUUUCUUGGAAGAAAAAUGUGAUGUGACGGAGCAAGUUCCUUUCUUUCCUUAGAGGUUGGAUCAUAAAAAGCCCAGACACAAGACAAGUAAGAAGAAAUAGUGAUUACCUGUAGAUCGUCAACAUCCACAUAGAGGAACAAGACCUCAGGGUGGGUCUGAGCUAGCUCCUCAAACUUGUAGUUCAUGGACAGGGACGUCACACACCAUGAUGCCCCGAAAUGGGCAACAACCUGCAUGGCAUGGAGGAUAAUUUUAUUAUGGUUAAAAUUUUGUGUGGAUGGAAAAACAGGAUCUGGAUGCUGUUCACUAGAAAGGCAAAGCACCGACCGUCAGGCUAAUCUAUCCCCAACUCUACUGAUUUUGCCCACUAUAACCAAAGGAAAAGAUGUAACAGAUACACGAACAACAAAAGGAAGAACAAGGAGCUUGGCCAAAAACCAAGUUGCAUAAAAAUUGUAUAAUCUCACAAAAGCAACGCGUUGUGAUAUACAUCAAUCAUUCUAGCACAAUCGUAAACAGAAACAAAGAAUGGACCAAACUGGAAAUAACUGAGAGCCCACAACAUCAGAGAGCAUCAUUAGAACUUUGAAAAUUGAACCGAAUCUCAACAAGAAGAAAAGAACCAGGCCAAAGAGGAGAGGUGGGGAGGAAAGGGAAAGCAGGGGAACCCACAGGGCGGCCUUCGUUGCUUGCUUGAUUGGUGAAUAGCUCCCAUGCCUCCUCGCUCUGAACCUUCACGACCUUCGAAUUGCCAACCCCCCGGGGCUGCUGGAUCUCCAUAUGGCCUGAGAACACAAGCUUCUCCCCCUUCUCUGUUCUUCUUCUUGGUCUCCUCCUCCCUGACCCCUUCCCCAGCAAGAAAAAGAUUUACAGAUUGUCUACGGAAGAAAGGUGUGCCAAUCCACUCUGCUAAGAUAAGCAUGGGAAUAUAUUCUACAGAUGGUGGGUCCAGCCUUAUUUUGGCUGAUCUGAUUUUUCUGGAGUCUGGGAGGAUCCUAUGCGGUAUUCUAAAAUCCAUAGUAAAAUAACAGAAGCAUACAAAUGACAGCAUAUUAAUACAAUGCUUAUCAGGUGAGAACAUGUGAGGCAGAAAUAUUAAUACAAUGCCUAUCAUGUGAAUGAUGGAAAGUAAGCCCACAACUCGAUCUUGUUAACUAAACAUCCUUGUAAAAUGCGUCCAUCAUAGUCAAAUCCACAUCAAAGGGUGUUGCUGGCAGUGCGACAUCAUUCUUCUGCGGCGUCGGCAUUGCUAUCUUCCUCUGAGGAGAAAAAAGCAGCUUGCUUACCUAAGAUGGCACAUAGCACCGCGUGGAUAGCACACAGCAUCACCAAAAACAUGGGCCUCACGAGGUUAGAAUUACUUUAGUGCCACUUCACGGACCCCAGUGUGUUUAGAAACGGAAAAGUAUCAUUUUCUGGACUAUAUAAGAACUACAGACAAGGAAAAUAAGUUUCCAGCUGUGUUUUUUUCCCCAAGAAAAACUCAUGGAGAUGAGUAUUGUACAUAGGUUCUUAGUUUCUUACUUUCCUUUAGUUAGUAUAUUUUGAUGUUGAAUAGAACUUGAAUUAUCCAAUGAAUAAUAACUCUGGUCUCUGGAGUAUUAUAAAGCUCCAUCCUAUAAUAUCAGUAUGACUUUGGGUGCUUUUGCCAAUAAGAAAAGUUCUUCACGAAAUGGGAAUAAAAGAAUCAAGACAAGGCACCUUGAACCUAUCCUCUAACUUGCUGCAGAAACACAAAUCCAGAAUCUUCCUUAUGCUUGUUUUGCUUCUAGUAGUUUCAACUUCAUGCAACGUAAGCAUAGAUGAUCCGACAGACCUAUCCAAUCCAUACCCGGUGUUUGCAUCCUUAGUGCAGACACGGCUAAGAUCCAAAAUAGAUGGGGGAGGGGAACAACCCCUGCCUGCGCUUAAUGGAUGAUUCCGUAUUAUAUAAGCAAUAAUUGAGUUUGAAAAAAAACAGAUUAACCCAUAGUUGCACAAGCAUGGAAUGUCGAAAUCAAUCGUACAUUCGUACAUGAUGACUGAUUCAGGAUGAAACGACCCCUGUCCGUAGUUGCAAGGAAGCGUACACUAUAAGAAAUACCAUCACCGUUGUUUAAACAGUCCUGUAAAGCUUAGAAAUGAAGCUUUCCAUGUUGUCUCCUAUAAAAGGCGAACGCGUAAUGUAGCGCAAUUCUACCCAAAACAAUCCAUGUCAUUACCUUGAUUCUGGACAGUGACAUAGAAGAAAAGGAAUCUGCUCAUGGCUGCCGCCUGCUGGCUUCGAUCCAGAACAUGAUCGAUGCCGGGAGAGCGCUCGAGGUCUCAGGGCGCUGCGCCGUCGAAGCCUCCGGUCGCCGCCGGGGAAGAAGCCGCCGCGGAUUCGGACGAGCUCACAACGCUGCAACGCGCGGCUUGAACUUGGGCCGCAGCUGCGCGUGUGCCUGGGCCCAGGACGAGGAUGGGCCGCGCGUGGUGAGCUCAAGAUUUCCAGAGGAACUUUUUUUUUUAGUAAGAUUUCCAGAGGAACUGGAGGGAGGUCGGAGGCUUCAUCUCGAAGGGAAGAAAGAAAAAGGAAAAGAACUUAGAGCUACUGAUGAAACUAGCAUUAGCUCGUCAAAAGAUUCCUCCAUGAUAAGACAAUAUGGUUGCUUCAAAUGCAAUACUUAAGUUUUGUUGCGCUAUCCUGUGGAGGCAACCCAUCAGCACAAAGAACAAGCACUCAUGACUCGUGACCCAAGCAACCGAACAGAAAUGAAAAAAAAUAUAAACGUGUUCAAGAUUGAACAAAUCGGUGCACUGCACAUUUCAUAAGUUACAAGGUACCAAGUGAUUUCUUUGUAGCAUAUUAGCAUAGUAUUGUGCUAUUACCAUAAGCCAGCAGCUGAAUUCUGCUUGGCAGAAAAAAAAAUACGUAGUUUCAAUUAUGAACCCGCCGUCACAACUAAUAUUACUCAAAUCUGCUACACCCAAAGGAAAAGCGUGACAAGAAGUCAGCGCUCCAACAUAUGCUGCUCUCAGCACAUCUCCACUGCCUACACUGUACAGGUUACAAGAUUUCUGUUGCACAUCAGCACAUCGCCUUUGUGGCCAAAUGUGGCACAAACCAACUCAUUAUAUAUCACAUUACAGUGAUGGCUACAACGACUUCACCCAUAACUCAGCCUAGAAUCGAAGGAACGGGCUUGUGUCUGACGCCUUGGUAUCCCGAUCUCACAAGCAUUCACCCUUGAAGCAAACCUCAAGGAGCAUAUCGUCUCCCCAACAGAUGAUGCCUCAGGUGAAAUAUUGACAAACAUAAGAGUUUUCGAGUCUCCUCCAAGGCAAGGCUGCAAAGUCAAGUUAUAGCUAAGAAAUUGUUUGAAAUGGACUCCUGAACAUACAACUUUAAGUAGAUGUCCUGUGUCACUAACCUGCAAUAGGUACGUAAGUUUUGAGUUUCUGAAGGGAACGUGGUCAUCUCCUUUUGCAAUCGCAAAGAUUACAUCACUCAGAGCUGACAAGCUUUUAUUGAUUGACUAAAACAUGAAAAAGAAACAUGAUUACACACCACUGUCAAAUACUGAGAAUAUUGGAAAUCAUAAGAAGUGCGUGCACACCUGAGUUUCCUUCAAGCGAUCACCGGUGGAACCACUUUUAGCAAGGCGCUCACUCCCAGCUAAAUCGAUCAAGUUAAGGACCCCUUGGACAUGUUGGCCUGUGUUCUGCAAGAAAAUGAAAAAAGAAGGCAUAUAUUCCGAUCAUUUAUGUUUAUUUAGUAUGCUGAGUAAUCUAAAAAAGGAUUAACAUCCAUAAGAAAAUGAAGCAUAAACCACACUAUAUUUUGGUAGAUCUUGGCAUGAUAGUCAAAUUAAUUUUCUUACAUAGUUCCUGGUACACUUCAAGCUGUGACUAUGAGACUUUGCAUACCUCAUUUGAUCCUGAUAUCUUUAGUGUGAACACAAAAUGACUCCUAGAAGAUUGUUCAUUCAUCUGGGUCUUACCCACGGAUCUGUUAAAAUGCAAAAGACAACAUUAGAUGCAAUAGAGAUAUGUAAUCACAUAAAUAGACAUGUAGGGAAAAAACAGCUUAGAUGAACAAUUAAAACCUGCAAUUCACUAUAUAUUGACACUACCCAUUGCACAAAAUAAACAAUGCACCAGUAAGUCUGUUCCAUUUAACCAAACAAGUACCAACAGAUGCCAAUGCUCAACAAGAAAUAAGGGCCAUAUACACAUGUGCAAUCAAAGAGGACCACCUGCUCUGGGAUGCUUUCUCUAGUAGAGUAGUCACAUCAGCAAUACCAAAGACAUCGAUAAUUGUAAGGUCAGACACAGUUGUAUUCCCAUGAGAGUCGUGCUUUAUAGUGUAUUGUUUACUGGGUGUCAUCUCAAAACUAUUUGGGCGACCUGGUGCUAACAAAUCGCGAAUUGUCUCAUUGUAUAUUUCCAACAUUGAUGCCUACACAAUGAGUGAGAUAUACAUUGUUUGUGUUAGUAACAACACAAAUUAAUGCAGCAUUUAUAAGCCAAAUAGCUGUGUGAUACUAACUUGCAUAGAAUACUCCCAUCCUUGAGAUUCUAGAGAUUGACUUGUCUUAAAAAUUUGUUCCAAAGAACGAGGUAUUAUGCCUUUCUGAUCAAUGACUGGUCUGCCCAUCAUUGUAUAAGUUUUACCGGAUCCGGUUUGACCGUAGGCAAAUAUGCAUACCUGUAUUGCAAAGGCGUUAAACAUGAGAAAUUACUUCAUAAAUAAAAAAAUACAGCAGCUAUACCAAGAAGUUUGUAAAAAUAAGUGACAAUCCAUAUGAACUGAAAGCUUCACAAGGAUGUAGUAACUUGACUGUGCAUGGAUUAUGUAAUAAUAUUUUGACACACAAGAUUAAAGCAUAAGGCUGAUCAAUUGUAAAGAUGUGAAAUAAUGCUAAUAUGGUUUGUUUCUUACCAUAUGUCGAAGUUGAUAUGAAAAAAAUUACCACAUAUGGAAUCAAUUUAAAAAAGCAUUUAGAAUGUCUUCAGAGAAUAAAAACACAAUGAGAGUACCGCAUCACUAGAAACUCAAAAGGCUAACAGUUCACACAUAUGGUUGCCAUUGUACAUGAAGGAAAUGAAGGAUGUUUGCUACCAUUAAAGAUGAACACUUGUAACUAUCCAUCAGCACACCAUGUAGCGAUUCAAAGUUAAUACCUUGUAUCCAUCAAGUGCACUUUGGACUAAUUGCGAUAUUUCCACAAACACAUCUUCCUGUGAAGCAUUGUGGUCAAAAACCUUGUCAUAUGAGAAGGAAAGCUUCUGGCCUGCAUAAGGAAAAAAAAAUAACAACAAAGGAACACCACAUUAGUAUCGUCAUAUAAAACUAAGUAGGCGACCCAAAAAAACCAUGUUGAAGACAUAAUUUACCUUGGUUCAUCAAAUCAAUAGCACGCCCAUUAGAUUCUACUGAUGUUGGAAAAGAGAUAGACGCUCCUUCUGGACCAUUUGAAUCACCAUCAAACCGAAGAAGCGGUCGAACUCGACAGAAAACCCUGAUAUUUCCUUUCAAUUCCUGCAAAUAUGAGGCCAAUCAAUACCUAGAGAGUGCAGCAUAUACAAUAAUACUUCAAUUGCUCAUCCAAAGUAUUUACAAAGAAGAGAUACUAAUAACUAACAGCUUAACAAAGAGAUAAUAUGCUUUCAAGUAUUACCAAUAUAGUAUUAUGUAGUUUUUUCCGCAACUCGUCACCUUCAACAAUUUGAGACUCUGCAUGUGCCAAACGCUCCUCAAGGUAUUUUAUUUUCUCCUUCUGCUCUUCAUAUCCUGUCAUCGCCUCGAUUGCAGUCACAUCAGCAAGCUGCAUAGAUGAAUAAUUGUUUCAAACGAUAAAAAAUGGAACAAUGCAUUUGUUUCAUAGAAUUAUCAUUAAAACUAGUAGCAAAUGCUUCAACUUCUAACCUUCAACUUCUGUGUUGCCACUGCAAGCUGCUUCCGAAAAGUCUGAAUCUGUUCUUGUUGUGUAUUGCACGUUUCCUAAUAAUAAAGAAUACUUUUAAGCCCAACAGUAGCCCAACAGUUACGCACUACAGAUAUGACUACAAAUCUGCAGCUACAAACCUCAAGUGCCGAUACUUUUGUACUCAAGCCUUCGCAUUCUUUUGAAGAUUUACCAAUUUGUUCCUUGCAAAUAGCAAGUUCAAGGUUCAAAUUGUUCAGUUGAGCAACUGAAUGAUCACGGUCAUCCCUAACCUGCUUCAACUCAGCUCUAAGACACUCCACUUCUUUCCUGAGUUCUUCCUUCACCCUAAUGGACUCUUGCUGAGAAGCCUAAGAGAAUAUUAAAAAAAUACAUAUGUGUGUAAUUCAUGCUGAGAUACACAUAUCAUUCAAAUCCAUUGAACUGUCCAUGAUUUUCAUUAGGGAAACAUGCAAAAUUCAAUAAAUAGUUGGUAAAAAAAUCUUUCAUGGAAGUACUUACUCUAGAAGAUUCUAGCUGGCUGCUCAUUGAGUUGUUACAUUCUCUUAGAGCGGCCAUAGUUUCCAUCAUGGCGCUCUUCUCUUUUUGUAGUUUUGAGAUAGUCUCACCACUCUUUGAGGCAUCAGCCUGAAGAUUACUGUUGUAUUGUUGUAAGCUGGUGUUGUAUUCUUGAAGCCUUUUGUUCGUGUCUUGAACCAUUUUUAGCUGGCAGUUCAAGACAUAUAUAUGUUAACAGAUAGGUCUCAGGAUACAAAACCAUGUAAAAAAUAGUCCAUAAGAUCAGGUUAACUAUUUCCCGGGAACACAUUAUGUCAACCAUUACCUGCUCGCUAAACCGCUUGGCGUCAUGAGUGACCCUUUCUAGAUCUACAGUCAGUACAUCUCGUGAACUCUCAGCUGAUUCUCUUUCCUGCUUUUCUUUCUCGUAGGACUCCACAGCAAUCUGCCAUUUACAAAAUUGAGUAAAUAAAAUUUUAACCAGAACUGGAAGUAUAUCAAUUAUCAGGCAACAAGGACAUAAGAGUAUCCCUCACCAAUUUUUCAGACUUCUCCCUGUUCAAGCUCUCCUCUAGAAAUUCGCAUCGUCUUGUCAAGUCCAAGUUAGCAGCUUUCAACUCUUCAAUUGCAGUGCUGAGCUGGGCCUCUACAACAAGAAUUGAAUUCUAUCAAUAAAUACCGUGGCGCAGACAACAAUUCAGAAUCUUCAGAUACUUUAGUACAAUGCGCUGAGAGGCUGAGAAAGGCUCAAUUUUCCUCCCCAUGAACUCAGCCAAACAGAAUGAGAGUUAGGAUUUAUUACCCAAAUCGGUAUGACGGGUGUUCUCAGCAUCCAUGGCACCCCGGAGUUUCUCCUGCUCAACCAAAUAGCCAUCCUCUAGCUCCAUGUACCACCGGAUGCACGCUCUGAGCUUCUUGAUGUAGUCGCUCAUCUGCUCCACUCUCCCCUGCAGAAAUAUGACGAAUUCAAGAAAACGCCUCCAAAUCUGCAACAAGAACGCACCAAUAAAUUCCCCUCAAAACCAACCUUGUAAUCGUUCUUGCUCUUGCCCUUCAUCUUCUCGGCAAGCAGCCUCUCCACGUCCUCCCUCCCGCUGAACUCGACCACGGGCGCCGCCUCCGCCCCGCCGCCGCCGCCGCCGCCGCCAUCAGCCGGCGCGGACGGCGUCCCGCCGUUCGCCUCGCCGUUGUUGAUAGCCGACAGCACGUUCCGGCGCGGCGUCACCUUGAACCCCAUUUCGCGCCGCGCGGUGCCCGCGUUCUCCUUCUUCUGCGGCAACAGCAGCACCACCGUCACGACAUCCGCAUUUCAAAUCCCAAGCAACGCAGAGGCGAAUAGUAACCCAGGAACAAAGAGAAGUUUUGCAGGGAAGGCGAGGGGGAAAAUCACCAGGUAGGAGCUGCGAGGCGGCAGUGACGAGGCCAUGGUGGGAUUACUGGUGGGAUUAGGGGUUAUAGCUAGGUUUCCUCUCCCCGGCGGUGGGGGAGGUGGAGCUUUCUUGGGGCGGGGUGGAGUGAACUCGACGGCAAAGAAUCUCGUGGCUUUGAAGCGCCGACGAAUUCGCGCCCCGGGCCCGAAAAGCUCCGGAAAACCUCAGCAGAAUCGCGGAGCCGAUGAGCUCAAACGGACCUGGAGGAAAAUCACCGUCGAAUUUCCAGGGAUUUUUCCGUUGGCUCGGAUCCAAGCGAGAGAAGCCGAGGGAAGGGGAGAGGGAGGAGGGGAGGGGAGGCGGCGGAGCUUUUUCGAAAUAUUUUGAACCCGAAACGACAAGGGGUACCCGGCCCGAUGUGUCAGAGCGGGUUUAUUUACUCCCCUGCCACUGGGGAGUGGUGCGGGCCGGCGCGGCAGGUGGCCUUGUGACUCCGCGCCGGCCGCCGGCGCUCGGGGCAGAACAGUGGCUGGCCGGCCUGGGCCCGUGGCGGUCUCGGGGUUUCGUUCACACGCGACGGGUAGUUCCGGCACGUCCAAUCUCGAUGAACGGUCAACUUCCGAGUCGCAGCGCGGGCCUCGAGAUGGGCCGGGCCGAGCGUGUUGCGACGUUGCUCUCCGGCGAGAGAGAAGAGGCAGGCAAGUCCUCAGCAGCGCGAAGGUGCGGCGUCUUUCAGUCACUUCACUUCACUUCACUUCACUGUAGUCUGUACGGACGAGAACGACGAUGACGACGACGAGACGCCGUGGCGCCAUUAGCGGCUUGCUAAUCGCUGCCUUUUGUCUCGUGGCGUCGGGGGCUUAAGUGCUUAACUAGCAUCUUCUGAUGAUUUGCUCACUGCUGGGGACAGAUCAGUGUACUGUUCAGGUUAGGAGCCUGUGGGGUCUGGAUUUUACUCCCCAUCUGCGAUCUGCACGCCAGUUUCACUGUUUUGGCGUCCUUGGGGUUGGUGACCGGCGAUCGUCCUGUUUGUCCGUCAGUUCAGCUGCAAUGAAAGGUUAAAACGCGAAGGUUUUCUCCAAAUCACCGACGUUGCCAAUCCAAACACGGGCCACACAGAUCGACCUUCAGAGAGGCCUUUUCUUAUUGAUGAAGCUCUGAAUUCUGAAAGCUUCACGAGUUGAUGGAAAAGUGUAGUAGGAUGCCGUACGUGCGUGCUUUAAGUACUGUCCAAGUAUCAGUGCUGGGAUGCAAUGAUUAGCGACUCGGAUUCUGGAUUGGGGCACCGCGCCACCAUCAUUAGAUGUGUAUAAUAGUGUGACUUGCAAUCCAGUUCAGGGCAGUAGCUGAGCGCGGCCCCCACAUUACAUGCUGCUUUGAUUUGCAGGUGAAGCUAGUGCUGUCGUGUACUUCACGCAGGAAAGGAUGGUCCUGAGUCCUGACUGUUCGAGACGUGAGUUGACUCUGGUUACAACCUUCCUGCAUCACAAAAGUUUUAGGAUUUAUCUUAGACUUCGGCUUCACCUAUUUUGCACAAAACAAGUCACUUAACGUGAAGUUAUUUUUUAAACCUGGAAGCCAGAUGAAAUUACUAUUUUUAGCUUCACCAGUGAAGCCAUUUUGAGUCUUUUUCCCUAAAUUCUUCGAUCACUGCCGACUCUGAUCGUGAUCGGUGGUAAUUCUCCGAGAAAAGGGUUCCUGACGCCGGACAGACUGACUUUCAGCUCGCCGAUCGCUGCAGGAGUAAAGCAGGGAUUCGAACCUGAAAGUCGCGAUGACGAGCACGCACCACCUCGCGGCGGAGAAACCAAGCAGGGUGCGCGGCCACCGCGCGCGCGUUUGGUUGCGGAAAGCGCCGUGGAAACCGCACCGACCCGUCGCCCCGACGAGCCCCCCCCUGCCGACACACACCCACGACACGGCGGAGGCGCGUCGCGCACGAUCGGGUUGGGUGUGGGGUGCGUCGCACGGCACCGAUCGGGCGCGUGCAGUGCAUGCGGUGCAAAUUAGGAUUAGCCCGGCCGCAGGUCAGUCGGUGAGGGAUGCAUGCAUACAUCACCAGCAGCUGCCGGUGACACUGCCUGCCGCGGGGGUCACUGGCCGGUGACGAAGGCGACGGUGACCGCGCGCGUGCCCGGGCUCCCAACUCUGAGGGCGCGGGCGCACCGAACGCCGCGCGGGGGCAAGGAAGCGCAGCGCAUGGCACCGUUGGUUGAUCGUGAUCGAUACAGGGGUCGAUCGAGCACGGGCAGUCGGGCACGGGGAGAAGUUGAACGACCGCACCGCGCAGCAGUGGGGCGGACGCGAGGUGCGCCGAUCGAGGACCCCAGGCGUGACACCGCCUGAGAGGCUGAAACGCGAACGAACCAUAGGGCCCCGGAGCAAGCCCAUCCAUGAGAUGAGACGGACGGGCGGUGCGUGUCCAGUGUGUCAGUAGGGAUGGCAACGGGGCAGAUCGGACCAGGUGGAGUUUCCACGGACCCAAACCCGAGCCACAAACUCGUCCUGAUCCCGAAACAACAAAUGGGUAAAAAACUUCACCCACCCCUGAAUCCGAUGGGGCCCGACACCUGAGCCGUCGACAAAGGCGACGGACGAUGGCGAGAGUGGCAGAAGGGGGAGCAACGGGUAUGCACACGCACUGCAGAUCUUGAUGGGCUGGCGGAGGAAGAUGUCGUGAGAGGCGUUGGCGGCACUGGUGGGCGCGCAGUCUGCAUCGCAGAGCUUGAUGGGCUCGCGAUGUUGUCCAUGUCGCUGUUGCCACCCGCCGUUGCUGCCGCUGGGGAUGCGGUGGAGUGGGAAGAUGGGGGAGAAAGGGAAGCGAUAGCUGGCAGGUAAAAUGGAGAAGACGGGUGCAGCCGCGUCACCCGAGCGGGGCAGGAGCAGCGCGGCUGAGGCUUGUGGCAACGCGCCGGUCGCCGCCACCGCUGGGGAGUGGGGAUGGGGUGGAGGCUGGCAGGGGUAGGGGGGAGCGGGUGAGAGACGAGAAAGGGGUGGAGGGCUAGAGGCCGUGGAGCAGGUCCGUGCGAGGGAGGUGUGGGCAUGUGGGAACUGUCGGCCGAUGCAUGGGAGUGAUGACUAGACCGUUGCAGCAGCAACCGUUGUGCUUCAUGAGCUAAAUUCGGGGCUCUAUAGGCCCCCGCGGGGGAAAUCUUUAACCCAGCCAUGCACCCGCCAUGUGUCGGGUCUCCGAACCUGAGACCCGUGGAGGAAAUUCCAAACCUACCCCCACCCCUGUCGGGUCUGAAACCCGCGGAUCUUAAAUCCUGACCGACCCGAUUGCCAUCCCUAUGCAUCACCCAUCAGUCCAUCACCUAUUUCACCCUAUGUCGAUCGGGGUUAGGCUCGCAUCAGGACGCCCAGAAAAUUGGCCGAGCAGCUUGGCAGGCGACUGCCCUUCGUUUAGGCGACACAUGCUUGCGCGUCACAACAUGAGCUACUUCCACAAAAUUUUCAGCAUUCCGACAUUGCAAAUUAUGUUAAAAAUUGUUCAAAUAGCUUGCACGAAUUUUGAAUCAAGAAUUUCAGAAUUUUUGAAAGGCAAACAUUUAUGAAACAAUGAAUUAUUAGAAGUAUUAAAAGAAAAAGGUGUCUAAAAGAAAGAUGGAAUAAAAAAGAAGACAUGAAAAAAAAGAAGAAAACUAAGCUUUAUUUUUUUUACCUCUCAGAAAAAAUGGGCCUUUUCUAGCACUGGGCCAAAAUGGGCCUUCUGCUCCUGCUUUGCUGCUUUGUUGUCUGUUGGCUACUGAAUGAUGUGGACGAAUUAUUGGACCGUGGGCUUGUUCGACGUGGAAACAAAAAACCCUACUCCCCUGCUCCUCCUCCCUUCCUAGCGGCGACGCCAGGGCGAGUGGCGCCGCCCUUUGACAGUUCUUCGUCGGACGCUUCGCCGGCGACGAGCAUCCGACAAGGGUAUACCCGCCCACUCCCUUCCCGCUCUGCGAAAUUUGUAUUCGGAUCUGAUUAUGUAUUUUACGUAUUAACUACGUUUUUUUUUCUCUUUUUUGCAAACCUAGACUCGCAGACUAAAUUUCCCGCGACGAUGCCGCGCAAGCACGCGCCAGCGUUCACGCCGGAGGCGGCCUCCGCCUCCGCGUCCACCGGGGCUGGCCAGCCUCAUAACCUCCCGGUGCUUCAGGCGAAGAUGAAGCGCGACCCGGAGGGCUACGAGGAGGAGCUCCGCCAGCUCCAUCGCCACUUCGAGUCCUCGGUGUUCCUCUUCCAGCAGCAGGCGGCGCUGGCCACCACCUCCUCCUCGGGCGGCGGCGGGGAGGUGGCGAAGGAGCUCGGCGACCUGGCCCUGUUCCUCGCCCACGUCGCGCCGUUCUACCCUGAUGACCUUGCCGACUUGCCCGACCAGAUUGGGGGUUUGCUCGACACCAACGCGCGCGGGCUGCCGCCGGGGCUCCGGGCGCACCUCGUGCAGGCGCUAAUACUUCUGGUGAAUCGAAAGGUAAUAUUUUGGUGUUACCCGUUGGUAUUAUUUUUUUUUUAUCAAAAUCCAAUUGAUUUAGGCUCUUUUGUUUUGAUGAUGGUUAGGCAUUUUGUUUGCUAAGUGAUGUUUAGUAUUACGAAAUAAAUUGGCCCAAUUUUGUGGAGUUAGAUGUCCUCGUGGUUGGCUUAUAUAUAGCAAGAAAUUAGGCUAAUGGCUUUCCACUGAGUAUAAUUCCUGCUGAUGUUGCAAAAUGAUAACCUCAUGUUCCUUUCUAGUCAUUCUUAUCAUCUGCAAAACAGAAAAUUCCGUUAUUUGAUAUGAUAUCUUGUUGCCCUUUUUCUGUAUCUUGAAGGUCUAACAUCAAUAGAUCUUUGAUUGUCAUUAAAAGACGUGGGCUCUACUACCUUUAGAUAUAGUCUUAGGUGACUUCUGCUAGACUUAUAGCAUUAAGUACCCUUAUUCAACUAAGCAAUGGGAAAAUAUGUGUCCCAAACAAGAUUUUUUUCGAUGGGUAUUAAUUAGGUGAAAAUAUUUCACCUUGUCAUUGCUCGUUAACUGAUUAAUUUGAACUUUUUUUUUGUCACAGUGAAAUCUGAUCCCCUUUUAUGCCAUCCCUCUCUUUUGUUUUGGAAAAAAUGUUUAGAUUGUUGAUCUUGAGGACACAGUGGAGUUAUUCGUGGAGCUUCAGGUUAUUGGAGAUCGAGCUGUGAAAAAGCUAGCAUUUUCGCAUAUUGUACACAGUAUCAGGAGGAUGAAUCAGAAACAUAAGAAUGAUACCAGGAAUCGUAAAUUGCAGAACAUCCUUUUUAAAUUCUUACAGGUUUGCUACAUCUUGCAAGAGCAUGAUCAGUACUAUCAGGUUUAGCAUAUUGGAAAACAUGUAUGUAUUUGUGUUUUAAAUUAUGCCUCCUGUUUCUCAGGCUGAAGAAGAGUCGCGGGCAAAGAGGGCAUUUACUAUCCUGUGUGAUCUUCACCGUCGGAGGGUCUGGUUUGAUGAACGCACAACAAAUGCAAUAUGCGAUGCUUGUUUCCAUCCUUCUUCUAGGUACAUGCUGGUAGAAUAUCAUGGAUUUUUUCUAUUAGCUGCUCCCUACCUAAAUGAUUGUCUUGACUAUGCAGGAUUAUGAUAGCUGCUAUUUCAUUCCUUCUUGGAUAUGAAAAUGCUGAACAAGAGGAUGACAGUGAUGCUUCAAGCAGUGAAGAUGAAGCAGAUAAAAACCCACAAGUUCUUCUUAGCAAACAGGAUGUUUAUAAGGUAGUUUAACUGGUUAUCAUCAUGCCUCAACUGAUAGUAUUUAGAUAUGUUUGAUUUGCUUUGCCCAUUUUGAUUUGAUGCAUAAUCUUUUAUUGGCAUAUGAAUUCUCAGGCAAAUCACAAGGGUACAGCUGCUAGUAAGAAAAAGAAGAAAGCUAAAUUACAACGUGUUAUUCGUAGCAUGAAAAGGCAACAGCGGAAAUCUGUUGAGGAUGCUGGUUCCAGCUACUAUUCACCCCUGACGUAUUUAAAGGAUGCCCAGGUGCGUUAAUCCUCUGUUCAUGCUUUUAUCACCAUAGAUGGCAUAUCCACUUGUUAUCUCUGAAAUGCGCUCUUCUAUUAUGCUGAAAAUGUUCAUGUUUUUGUUGGCAGGGUUUUGCUGAGAAGCUUUUUUCUCGGCUGCAGAAAUGCAAUGAACGUUUUGAGGUUAUCCUCUCUGUUUUUUUAUCAUUGUAACAUAGCCAAUACUUUCUUCCACCUUAUCUUUAAUGAAAAUUAAAGCUUAGGAAAAUCUGUUUCCUUGCAGGUAAGAAUGAUGAUGUUAAAAGUUAUUGCGAGGACUGUUGGGCUGCAUCACUUGGUUUUGUUGAACUUCUACCCAUAUCUUCAAAGAUAUGUUCAAGUAUGUUAAUUUAACUCUGUAUUUUGUUUGCACCAACCUUUGAAACACCGCCUAGUUAGUAACUCUGGUAUAUUUUUUCUAUACCUAUGCUGCAGCCUCAUCAACGAGAUGUGACAACUCUACUUGCUGCAGCAGUUCAGGCUUGCCAUGAUAUGGUUGAAUUUAUGUCUUGCUUCAAAAGUUCAUUCUUUUUGCAUCUAAUGGUUUCACUUAUUCACAUUUUUUUCUAAAUGCAAAAAAUAUAUGUUUAAAUUUUAGGUACCUCCGGAUGCUGUUGAACCACUGUUCAAGCAGAUAGUAAAUCAGUUUGUGCAUGACCGAUCUCGACCAGAGGUUUGCAUGACUCUUAUUCAGCAUAUGGAUCAUAUGUGCUGUUCAAGCUAACAUGAUUACAUGAGCAUGUACUGACUUUACUUUGUUUAGGCUAUUGCUGUUGGCUUGAAUGUCGUGAGAGAGAUCUGCAUGAGGAUGCCUUUGGUAGGUGCCUUAAUCCUUUUGGAUACCUCAAACUGUACUCUUGUCUGCAAUGCUACUGGUCCGACAUCCCUUAAGACGCUGGAUUUACUGAACUCUACUGCUUUUGUUAGUUGUGUUUUGUAUGCGACGAGUUCCGUGUGUCCAGCACAGACUCAGACAAGCAGAGGGAACAUUGGUCAUUUUUUGAAAAAAAAAAGUUGUUUGUUUUUUGUAUUAAUGACUGAUAGACUGAAAAGCUUGCAACAUUUGUGCUACUAGAAAUUCUAAUCAUGUCAGUAAUGGAGAGGAAUAAACCUUUGAACUGUUUUAGUUAGUGGUUUUCUGCCAUUAUUGCCAAUUUUGUGGUGGACAGUUUUUUAUUGGUGCUGUUGCUGAUAUAAUGUACACUUAUUAUAUUUGUUGCUCUUAUCUUGCUUACUUUAUCCACUCAUCCGGGAAACCUGCAGAUGAUGAAUGAGGAUCUGCUUCAAGACCUCGUUUUAUACAAAAAGUCCCAUGAGAAAGCUGUUUCCAUUGCUGCUCGUUCGCUGAUCACUUUGUUCAGAGAGGUCAGGUCCUUUCUUGCAAAUUUCCGAUGUAUUUCUGUAUGUUGGAAUUCCUUAUCGCUAAACAUCUGUUAAUUGAAUUUCAGAUCUGCCCUUCAUUGUUAGUCAAGAAAGAUCGUGGCCGUCCUGUUGAUCCAAAGGCUCGGCCCAAAGCAUUUGGUGAAGUCACUGUCGCUAGCGAUGUGCCUGGUGCUGAGUUGCUAGAUGAAAACAUUUCAUCAGAAGGGGAAGACUCAGACGAUGAGUCUGAUGCUUUUGAUUCUGAUGAUGAGACAGUCAUGCCAUCUGCCCCUCCUGGAACAGAAGAAAAUAUAGGGGGUUCUUCUGAUGCAAACAAACUUGAUGCCGUUGAAGAUACCAAAGAGGAUGAUGAAGCAUCUGAUGAAGAUGGUACAAAUGAGGGUCAAGAUAACUCUGACAAUGAUAGUGAUGAAAUUGAUGAAGAACUAGAUGAUGACUCUGAUAUGGAUGCUGAUACUGAUAUGUCUGAUGAGGAUAAUGAUGAUGAUGAUGAACUUAAGGAAAGCAUAAAUGGUUCAGAGGAUGAAGUUUCAGACCAGGACGAAGACAGUGAUGAGGAAGAUGAGUCUAAUGGCAGUGGCUCUAAGGUGCAGAAGAGGAAGUUGAGUGAUUAUAUUGGUGAGCUAAAUACUGCUGAUGCAAGCCUUCGUGCGCUGAAGAAGUUAGCAGGAGCCAAGAAUGCUCAAGUUUCAUCAGAUGAAACUGGUAAAAUUUUAUCGGAUGAAGAUUUUAAGCGCAUCAAAGAGCUCAAGGUAUGUGAUUUUCAGAUGGCUAAUAAUAUAUCUCCAAUAGUUGUGUUCAAACUGUAAAGUUGGCAAAAAUUGGUAUUGAAAGAGAAGCUACUUACGUCUAAAAUAUAAAUUUGCUUGCAUUCUGUUUUUACCAGAUAUAGUUAGAUUGAUUAUGCAUGUCUUAAUGGAAAUUUUGAGUUUCAGGCAAAGAAAGAAGCAAAGCUGGCUUUGGCUCAACAUGGACUAAUCAAGGGUGUUGACACGAAAUCUGCAACCUUUAAGAUGCCGUCUUCUGACCAGCUCAGUAGGAAGCGUGUUGAUCCACUUCAGCUUGAGGUGCUCUCUCCCUCUCUCACGCACGCGGACACACUGACACACCCACGUACAUGCUUGACACGCAUACCCUUUAUAAUGCAGGCUCACGUCAGAAGAAAGAUGUCAAAAGAGGAAAGACUAGCGAUGGUGAAAGCUGGAAGAGAGGAUAGAGGGCAGUACGUAGCGAGGGCAGCUGUGAAACAGAAAAAGGUAAGAUUUUAGGCUGCUGCAUCUCUGUUUUUGUUGAUAACAUGGCUUUGCACAGUUCUGUCAAAUCUUUGCUUACUAUCUGAUCAUUUGUUCUCCUAUACCUAUGACUGAUAGCAUGGCUGCUGUCUUGCAGACUGGUGGACUGAGCAAUAAGCAGAAGCAACACAAGAAGAGGAUGCCUCUGGCUGCAACUAGAGCCAAGGCAGCACGUUCUCGGCAGGAGAAGAAGCAGCAGCGCAAGCGCUCCGGGAAUCAGUUCAGGGGCCGCAAGGCCUGGAAAUGAGAGCUGCUUCUUGGCAAUUCAUGUAGCCCAGUGGCCAAAUUUUUGACUCUUCAUGUAUUUCUAUACCAAAGUCCAUGAUUCUAUGAGAAAGGCCGGGAUGAUCUUAUUUUUCAGUGCCACGUGUGACUGUCUUCAACGGGUUGCAAUUCGUCCUGCUUUGCACUGCAGCAUCUUACGAGGCAUGAUUUUUUUUACUGGUUCUUCUGUUUGAUGCUACCAGACGGACAGAAGUCGGCACCUUGUUCCUUCUCGAUUCACUUGGAAAAUCGAAGAAGAAAAAAUGUUUAUAUUAUCGCACUCAAUCUGCUCGAGGCAGGCGGGUCCAUAUAAUGACGUGCACGGUGGCCUUGGUACAAAAUUCCAAUUAUCUUGUCACGUCAUUUUUCUGACGUCUAUUUCAGAACGAUUCUUACCUUUGACACAACGGUAGCCUCGGUAAAAAAAUUAUUUCCAAUUAUCUUUUCAGGUUAUUCAACUGUCGUGUGAUUCUUAUCUUUGACAUUGGCGGUAGCCGCCAUCGCCACCUCUGUAACACCCUAAUUUUCAAACUUCGAUAAUUAAUAAAAUUUGUUAGAAUUUGCUAGAAUUUAAUUGCUUGUGUUUAAGGAUUUAAGGUUUUCUAAAGUUGCAUUUAAUUUAUUAGGCAUUUAAAUCUUUUGUAAAAUAAGUUAAUGAAUCAUAGGACUUCAUUGUUGCAUUCAUGCUGGUGUAUUGAUGUUGUUUGUUUGAAUUCAAAUUUGUAUUUGAAUUCAUUUGUUUGAUCCCUUUUAAACAAUAGGAAAACCCUUUAUUCUUUCUUUCUCUUUUCUCCUUCUCCUUUUAGCCCGCUCCUUCUUUUGGCCCAGCCCAGCAGGAGUCAGCCCAGCAGACCAGCCCAGCAGCGGCCUAUUUCUACGCUAGCCCGCUCCCGUACCCGCCUUCCGCCGCACCCUUAUGCCCCCACUAAACCCUAACACCCUCGCCUCGCACCCAACGCCGCCGUCGCCCGAGCUUGAGCCCUAGUCGUUAGCCGCCGCCCUCGAUCUCCUCCGUCGCCGCCUUCCCGUCGACAAGAUCAUCGCCUGAAGCACCGUGAGGAGGUGAGGAAGCUUCCCGUGAAGAUCCCGUGCAGUCCAGUGCCUUCUUUCGCGCGCACGGCUCGCUGGAGUUGCUGCCGCUGCGCUGAGCCGCCUUUUCGAGCCGUGUGCCGUCGACACCACCUAAACCACCGCAAGGACACCCUAGUCGCGUUCGUCAUCUUCCUAGCUCGCUAGAGUCGAAUCCCAUCGCGAGCGGUGGUCGGACGCUCGUUUUCGAGUGAAUUCCGGCGAGGCCGCUGCUCGUCGCCACCGCGCGCUGCCACCUCCAUCCCAGCCGACCGUAGCCGUCUGAUCGAGUGCCGAUGGUCUAGAUCGGAUCUAACCUGGGUCAAUACUGGUCAACCCUGCCGCCGCUCUAUUCUUUUUGCUAAAGAACCCCUGAGUUUUAUAGUUUUUGCACCCGAGGUCCUACAUAGUUCAAAAGUACUUUUCUUUCUGUUUAGGCCCCUGCUCUUUUAUAAAAUCCCACCUGCCGUCCUGUUUAGUUCUUUUACACGUUAGACCUUCUAUUUAUAUGUUUAAUUAGGUUUCAGCUCACGAUUUCUUUAAGGUUAGCCCCUAGAAAUUUAGUUUUCUCGCACUUAAGCCCCUAAACCUUGUUUAGCUCAUAUCUUCAGCCUGCAAGUUCAUGUUGACGCAUAUAUUAGUUUUAUGGUCCUGUUUUGCUUUGUUGCUACUAUUUGAUGUAAUAUUUUUUUUAUUUUAGUCCUUUGUUUGUUUAUAUGUACUUGUUGAUGCGCAUAGAAGGAUCGCAGUUCGAGGGAUUCAAAGAGCAAGGCUUUGAAGACUUUUAGCAGCAAGAGCAAUUUUAGGAAGGCAAGUCGUGCCCUUAGAUCAUAAUUUGAUCUUAUGCAACCUUUACUUUUAUGUUCAACAUGUGAUGUUCAAUACACAUAUGCUUGCACUUCAAAUAUAUAAACAUGAUGGGUCAUAUUUAAGUGUGCCUAGUUUCAUCCCUGCACUUUGAUCAACCUGGGUUUACUUUAUUGUUAGGUAGUUCUUGCUUAGUUGCUCUAACUGGGCACGGUGGUAUUAAUGAACCAAUACUUAAACUUAUUUUAUUUAUGCUAUACUUUCCAUCAAUACAAUAUCACCAUGUUUAAUUGGAACAUGGAGAACCAUCUAGGAAAGCAGUACAACCAUAAGAACUACAUAGCUCUGGUCUUGGCUAAUUAAUUAGAAACUCUAGUUUGUGGUAGCUUUACCUGAAAUGGGCAAGAGGGGGAGAUAGUAGUUGGUGUAUAGUCUGGUCCUCAGAUUGAUCUGCUCUAUGGUAGCUUCGCAGUUUGAGAAAGAUUUAUACAUUGCGCUGAUCAUGAAACCUUAGCGAGCUAUCCUUAUUAGGGAAUAUUUGUAAAGCUCUCGUAGCAUCCCUACGCAAUCACACAUCGGAAGUAUAGUAUUGUGCCUAGUUUGCAUAAAAUGGUUGGGUCUAAAGUUCUUUUGAACUUUUAUGCGACUUGUGGUGAAAGUGUACAACCUCUGCAGAGUGUAAAACUGUUGUAACAGCCAUGCUUACGGUCAAGAGCGGUAUGGACCUUCACAUAAUUAAUUUAUCGGAAGUUGAAUUAAAUUGAUGUUAUUUAUUGUUGUUAUUUUUAUUAUGUUCAUGCUUAAUGUGUAACGUGGGUGUAUAAAUUUAUACUUAGUAAUUGCUAAUAAAAUUUGACCGACUAAUUAAAAUGCUGAAAAAUUAUUAAACUAUAGUCUUACACUACACAUUCCCCAUGCUUGCUAAAUACCAACCAUAAAUGUACUUAUCCUUGCUAAAACCGUUGUUCAGACCAAGUCAACUUUGAAGAGGUUCCUGAAGGUUUUAAGGAGUUCUAGACGUACGUAUGCCACCAGUCAACUGACCGUGGAGUCUUCGUCAUCGUUGGAGUUCCGCUGUUUAUUCAAAUUAAGGAUUUUUUGUCAUGUAAUAAAUUUAACACUCCCUCUUUAUGUUUUGGCACUGUCUAUGAUAUUUUACUGUGAAGUCGUUGUAUGUGUGAAAAUUGAUCCUGACUUAUGUGUGAUUUAUUCAUCUAGUUUUGCGCUGGUGUGACAACAUGCCAUUGCCUAACGUGUCAUAACUGUCAAGGACCAGUAGUCGUUAUGUUCAAUCGUGUUCCUGCGCAUAGUACUCUUUUCGUCUUCUACUCGGCUUCUGACUGUCACAUGGACAAGAUGUCAGCCAGCGACAAGAUGAGGACAGCUUGCGUCACCGGAGGGAGCGGGUACAUCGCCUCGGCGCUCAUCAAGAUGCUGCUGAAUAUUUAGUAGCUCAUGAUAAUAGUUUUGUAGUAAUAAAGUUUUAUUUUUUCAUCGAAGAUUUCACAUUAAUUCCCACGAGAUCCACUAGAAAAAAAAGAGAUAAAUGUUAAAAAUUCUCAAAAAAUUAAAAAUAUCAAACAUCAAUCCUAUAAUCUCUAAUAAUCAUAACCUUUGAUCUGUUAUAUUUUCUAAAAAGUUACCCACCACUAUCAUUAUGAAAAAUAUUCAAAAAUAAACUCUAAACCUAUAUUCAAAUUACCAAGCUCAGUCAUUAUAAAAAUAAUCUAAACUAACCGCAUAAUCUUCAUCCAAUUUACUCAUACAUCUCAUUAUAAAAGCAUAACUUAAAAUAUCAUUUAAAAAUAACCUAAAGUAAACACCUAAAUUUUAUUACAUUUAUCUCAGAAAUAUUCAGAAGUAAACUAAUAUAUGAUUUUAAAUUACCUAUUUAUGUCAUUGUUAAUAUAGAAUACUAAGUUAAUAUAUAUAGAUACACAUGAUGAGUGUCACCAUUUGACCAUUUAUACAUGUAUGUGAGGAAUUGAUGAAAAAUAUUGAUUUUCAUGCUAAACAUAGUGUGUGGAGGUGCGAUACGAAAUGAAAAAAAGUGUGGAUGUGGAUGAAAAAGUGUAUAGAGUAAUAUUUAAAAAAAUUAAUCAUAACCGGAAAAGAUAAGCACAUAUCUAUAUAAAUAUUAUGUUGAAAUAUUGAAAAAAAUGAGGGAGUAAUAGGUAAUUUUUUUUGAUUAUUAGUUAGGAAUUUAAUUUUUAUAUAAUUUUCAAAUAUAAUAGCUUUUAAAAGUAUUUGCCUAUGCGGGAACACGGGUUGAUGGACUAGUUAAUUUUUAAUUGAAUUAGUUUUAUACAAUGCAUUGUUUCAUUCAUUGAUGUUUCUUAGGCUACAUGCAAGACACAAACUGUGUUGAAAAUAAUGUAUACAUGGUUUCAUCACCAUUUCACCUCUCUCUUCAUUAACUCUUUGCCACAUCAUCAAAGGUAACAUGGCACUCUCAAAAUAAAAUUCCCAUGGUAAAAAUUUAGCCCUAUCACAUCGGAUGUUCGGAUACUAAUUAGGAGGAUUAAACAUAAGCUAAUUACAAAACUAAUUGCAGAACCCCUAGACUAAAUCGCGAGACGAAUCUAUUAAGCCUAAUUAAUCCAUCAUUAGUGAGUGGUUACUGUAGCACCACAUUGUCAAAUCAUGGACUAAUUAGGCUUAAUAGAUUCGUCUCGCGAUUUAGCCUAGGGGUUGUGUAAUUAGUUUUGUAAUUAGUCUAGGUUUAAUACUCCUAAUUAGUGUCAAACAUUCGAUGUGACGGGCACUAAAAUUUAGGCUCCUCCUCCCAAACACCGGGCGGAGGCUCUUCAUUUGAUUGAGCACACUGGGAUUGGCCCACUCUGCUGCCCAGGCAGGGUCCUUUCGUACGAGGACCAUGUGGCAGACCACUAUUGAACAAAUGAUAAAUGGUGACACAUUUAUCUUCUUGCUAUGCAUUCUUUUGCUUUUCUUGUGGCAACUGUUUUUUUUUCCGCCACAAACCGUUAGUCUACAUCUUGUGUGGCCUACACUAAAAAAAUCGAAGCUAAUAGUUGUGGCGAGCGAGCCAGCCAGUGAAUCCUCCUCUUUCAAGCGACUGGCGAUGUCGGCAGCCGGCGAGAAGAAGAAGACGGCAUGCGUGACCGGAGGGAACGGGUACAUCGCCUCGGCUCUGAUCAAGAUGCUGCUGGAGAAGGGCUACGCCGUCAAGACGACGGUCAGGAACCCCGGUUCGAUUCCUUCCUUGAACCCUCUUAUCGAACGUCAGCGAAUUGCUGCACAUCUGCAUUAACUGUAGUUUUGAUCCUGAAACCCCAGAUGACAUGGCGAAGAACUCCCACCUCAAGGACCUGCAAGCGCUUGGCCCCCUGACUGUCCUCCGCGCCGACCUGAACAUGGAAGGCAGCUUCGACGAGGCCGUCGCCGGCUGCGAUUACGCCUUCCUCGUCGCCGCGCCGGUGAACCUCUCGUCAGGGGAGGAGGAUCCAGAGGUGCAGCAGACGUGACCACCAGUUGUGAAGCUUCGUUUAAUUCGAUCGAUUUCUUCUUUUUGUGAUACCGCCGAUGGCAAGCUGAUUCGAAAAGCUGUUUUGAGCUUGAUGAAUUGAUUGAAUUCAGAAAGAGCUGAUCGAGCCCGCUGUCCGGGGAACGCUGAACGUGAUGAGGUCGUGCGUGAAGGCCGGCACGGUGCGGCGCGUGAUCCUGACCUCGUCGGUGGCCUCAGUCUACAUCAGACCGGAGCUGCAAGGCAACGGGCACGUCCUGGACGAGGAUUCCUGGUCUGACGUCGAGUACCUCAGGGCCGAGAAGCCACCAUUGUGGUGGGCGUACUGCGUGUCGAAGGUCCUCCUGGAGAAGGCGGCGUGCCGGUUCGCGGAGGAGCACGGCAUCAGCUUCGUCACCGUCUGCCCCGUCUCCACCGUCGGCGAGGCGCCGGCGCCGAUCGUCAACACCAGCGUCCCUUGCUGCCUCUCAUUUCUAUCCGGUGACGAGGCAGCGCUCGGCACGCUCAAAGGAAUCGAGAGGACCUCCGGCGCGCUGCAGCUGGUCCACGUCGACGACCUCUGCCGCGCCGAGGUGUUCGUCGCCGAGGAGGCGGCGGCCGCGGGGAGGUACGUCUGCUGCGCCCUCAACACGACCGUCGUCGAGCUCGCGCGUUUCCUGGCACGGAAGUACCCGCAGUACGGCGUGAAGACAGACUUGUAAGAAUCGGCCCGGGAUCACUUCCGCAGCGGAGAUCAUUGUUGUUCGUAGUGGUUUUAUUGUGAGCUCUGAUUCCUGAUACUCUGCAGCACCGACGAUGAUCAGCUCCUGGAGAAGCCGAGAGUGAGCGUGUCGUCUGCCAAGCUGGUUAGGGAAGGGUUCGAGUUCAAGUACAGGACCCUGGACGAGAUAUACGACGACGUCGUCGAGUACGGCAGGGCACUCGGAAUUCUGCCCUACUGAUGCUGAUGAUGCUCUGCUCCCGACAGAUUGUACUCAUGCUAGUCAUGCUCUACAAAAAGAUUGUUCAAGAUGUUUCGCAAUCCUGUGGUGUUUUUAUCUCGGCAUGUUAUUCAUGCUCGCCAACAUUGUUGGUAGUUUAAGGUUGAGAUACUUCAUAAACACGAUUUGCUGCUGCACCCGGUUCGCCACCGGCAUUUCGUCGAACAAAUCCCUGUUCGCCUUCCUCCUCGCCGCCGCUUCCGCCUCCGCAUUCUCUGACGGUGGCAGCCACCUCCCGUUCACGCUCCUCCCCGCCGAUCCCGCUGCGCGGAUCCGUGGGCGAGUGACUGUCCGGCGAUGCCGAGCUGGGCCUCGGUCACCACGGCCGCGCCCCUGUACGCGUCCGGCGGGUACAUCAGCUACGGCGCGCUGAGGCGCGACCGCGUGCCAUGCUCCCGCCGCGGCGCCCGCAGGGACGGAGACCGCGGUCGGGUACGUGUGCUCGACGGAGGGGAGCGCGGAAGGGGCAGCGGCGAGCCCGCGGCGGCGCGUUCUCGCCGGCGCGGAUAUUUACAAAGUGCCCCCUCAUCUGGAUCGCGAUCAUUGUUUGCAAAAUGCGCCCGUGUAUUUUCAUAUAGCCCCCUAAUUUGGAUCGCGAUUAUUGAUCGCGAUCCAAAUUAGGGGGUUAUUUGAAAAUACCCGAUCCGAGUAUUUUGCAAACCACCCCUGAUUUGGACAACAAGCUCCUUCGUCUCCUCCGGCCGCCCCCUCGGCUCCUCCUCCUGCCCGCCCGGCGCCGCCGUAGUCCCCGCCGGGCCCACCCUUCGUAGCACCGACUGGAAAGAUCUACACGACUACACGAGCGUUCCCCCGCCUGCCUCUCCUUGCUAUCCGGUGAGAUCGAAGCCCCAACGCCUCGUUUCGGCAGGUUCAGUGUGGAUGACGAUACAUUAUGCCUGGCGGUUUCAGGCGACGAGGCGGCGUUCGGCAUGCUGAAAGACGUCGAGAUGGCCUCCGGCGCGGGGCUGCUGGUGCAUGGUGCACGUCGACGACCUGUGCCGACGUGCCGUGCCACGGUGUUCGUCGCCGAGGAGGAGGCGGCCGCGGGGAGGUACAUCUGAUGCGGCCUCGACACCACCAUCGUUGGGAUCUAUCGCACGUUUCCUCGUAAGGAUCGUUUUCAGAGCUCUGAAUUCUGACGGUUGGCCUGCAAUGAAGUCAGUGACAAUGUAGUUCAAACUUCGUCCGUGCCGUUUUGCAGCCAUAUCUGAAAGCGCACUUGCAUUCGUUACAGAAUUUGUUGCCUAUGGUAAGAAAAAGUACUCUCCUCUAGUUACAAUUUUGUUGCUAUAAGCAUUGAACUCUCCCUCCUUUUCUUAGGCGUCCUCUCCAAUUUUGUUGUUUCUUCUGCAUUUAGGUUCUUUGUAGCCUGAGCACGAAAUCUUCGGAACCAACUGUAUUAUACUCUUCAUCCUGAUUUGAGUUUUCCGAGCUCAUGCCAUCCUAUUAUAAAAUACGAUCAAAUUGCUAAAUUCACGAUAUCUCUUAAAUGCCGUAAAAAGGCUCAAUGUAGGAAUGUAGAAAAUAUAUCUGGUACCCGGUGAAGAAAUUGACCUGCUGGUGAGAAGGCGACGCCAACGGUCUGUCGCCGGUUGGCACGGUUGCCUUGGGCGCACUGGGCAUGCAUCAACCUACCGUUCAACGGUUCAAGCGCCACCCAACCGAUGUUUGUGUGUAUAUGAUGCAGCAUGCAGGUUCACGGACAGUCACAGCUUUUGCCUUCAGCAAAUCUCACUGCUGCAAUUCCGGUGAGCUAGUGGGUUCUGGGCUGUGGGCGAGUUCUCAUUUCCCCGCCUGCCAGGAGGUAGAGGUGGUGAUCGGCGAUGUCAGCUGGUGGCACGAAGAAGAAGGCGUGUGUGACCGGAGGCAACGGGUAUAUCGCCUCGGUGCUCAUCAAGAUGAUGCUGGAGAAGGGCUAUGCCGUGAAGACGACGGUCAGGAACCCCGGUUCGGUUCUUCUUGUUCCUUAGUUUUUUCUUCAGUAUCUAGUGGAUAAACCUUCUACAGUUCUACUGCGCCGGCAUCUUCAGAUGUUCUUGGGUAAAGAACGAGUAAAAAAUAAUAAUCUGAACUAAUGUUGCGCUUAAUAAGCUUGGCUAAAGAACGCAGGGUAAGAAUUGUUGGUCGCUGGUUUAGGCUCUGAACGUGCUACGUAUUUGUGAUUCUGAAUCCCAGAUGACAUGGAGAAGAACUCCCACCUCAAGGACCUGCAGGCACUUGGCUCCUUGGAAGUCCUCCGCGCCGACCUGGACGACGAAGGCAGCUUCGAUGAGGCCGUUGCUGGCUGCGACUACGCCUUCCUCGUCGCCGCUCCGGUGAACCUCCAUUCAGAGAAUCCUGAGGUGCGCAAAGUAAACGUCACCACUUGUCAGCGCAAUUCUUCUUUUGUGAUGGCAUGCAUAACUCGUUAUGUUGGUGGUGGCAGAAAGAACUGAUCGAGCCUGCUGUCCGAGGAACCCUGAACGUGAUGAGGUCGUGCGCAAAGGCAGGGACCGUGAAGCGCGUGGUCCUGACCUCGUCGGCGGCCGCCGUCUCCAGCAGGCCGCUGCAAGGCGACGGGCACGUGCUGGACGAGAACUCCUGGUCCGACGUCGAAUUCCUCACUGCCAACAAGUCCGGCCCCUGGGUAAUACUAACACAUGUCAUGUCCCCCUUCUCGUCUGAAACGGAGUGUUCAGUCAAGCAGAUGUGCAACAUUUUUACUAAACAAUGGAGUAAUGUUCAGCCCAGUGUUGAACGCACCAAUCAUUUGCUUAUGACGAUCAUGGCACCGUGCUUGCGUUGCAUCGCAGGGGUAUCCGGUCUCCAAGGUGCUGUCGGAGAAGGAGGCGUGCAGGUUCGCGGAGGAGCACGGCAUCAGCCUCGUCACCGUCUGCCCCGUUCUCACCGUCGGCGCGGCACCGGCGAAAAAGAUCCACACGAGCGUCCCCGCCAGCCUCUCCUUGCUGUCCGGUGCGCCAAGCUCCCGUGCCCUUCACUCCUCACACAGUCACACAACUCGGCAGAUUGGGUAUUUCGGUUGAUGACACAAGUGGUUUUCCAUUUUUUUUUUCAGGGGACGACGCAGCGUUCGGGGUGCUGAAAGGCGUCGAGAUGGCCACCGGCGGUGUGCCGAUGGUGCACGUCGCCGACCUGUGCCGCGCCGAGGUGUUCGUCGCCGAGGAGGACGCGGCCUCCGGGAGGUACAUAUGCUGCGGCGUCAACACGACCGUCGCCGAGCUCGCCCGUUUCCUGACAGAGAAGUACCCGCAGUACACCGUGAAAGCAGAUCUGCUGUAAGGAUCGGCUUCAGAGCUCUUCUGACGAUUUUUGCACCGAUGACUGAUACUGUUUGUUUGCACGUUUGCAGCUCCGGUGAGCUCCUCGAGAAGCCGAGAGUGAGGCUGUCGUCGGCGAGGCUGGUGAAGGAAGGGUUCGAGUUCAAGAAGAAGACGCUGGACGAGAUAUACGACGACGUGGUGGAGCACGGCAAGGCCCUGGGGAUUCUGCCCAACUGAUACUUCCUCUGCCUUCCAUCCGUAACAAGAAGGGAUAGCACCAGCUUGCAGUGAAGUUGGGAAAUAAAUCUAUGCUACCUGAUGUACGCUAGCUGAACUGUCGAGGUUCAAGUCAGUUUGUAUAAAAUUUGGUUCUGUAGUUUUGUGUUCCUGCAUGCAAUAACUUUCGGGUCAAAAACUCGUAGACCUUCAAGACCUGGUAAACUAAAGAUAUCCGGUGUUAGCUUACGACAGUGAAACAUAUAUUUUUUUUAAUCUGGAACCACAUCAAAAUAGGUCAUUUUCAGUAUAAUUAAUUCGUGUGUUAAAACCAAAUUUGCAUUUUUCAAAUAAAACAUGCAUACGCACACCCUUUUCAAUCAAAUUAAUGUGAAAGUUACAUUACCUAGAAAGAUGAAAAUAUUUCAACCUUGCAAUGUAAGUCAGUAGUGUCGCUUUUUUUCCCUUCUAGCAACAACCAAAUUAUUUAAACAUCAUUUUCUCUUCUUGGCAACUUACUUCUGGCGUUUAGUUCAAAUAGCUCAAGAUUUGAAGCCUCUUCUAUUCUAUAUGGUAGGAACUAGCUUUUGCUAGGCCGAUCAAACCACUGCCGCUCUUGUGUUAAACAUUUAGCUUUGUCACGAUGACAUUUAUUGUGUUUGACAAGAGGACUGCCUUUUCUUUUAUAAAGUUGAUUUUGUUGGUAUAUAUAUGGAUUUAGAGCCAUUUCCAAAUUUAAUCGAUAGAUAAAAGAAUGUCUAUUAUGUGAGAAGGAACAAGUUGUUCAUACAAAAAUAGUUUAGCCUGUUCGGAGGGUGGAUGCUGCUGCUGCCCGCUGCCGCUGCAACUGCGCCGCUCUCUCCAUCAGCCAGAGAUGAUGACCACAGUCACCUCUGCACCGCCAAGAGGGGCUUGCUAAUUAGCGCUCGCUUGCUAGGAGCGUCCGCAACAAUCAAUUUCCGACAGCCAUUUUAUGGCAUGAUGCUGCCUUGUCGGUCCACCUCUUUCCGUUUCUGAAUCACCAGUGGUCCCCCUUCUGUAUGCACGCAAAUUUGUAAACACAAAAGUAUGUAGAUAAAAUUUAUACACACAAAUUUGUAGGUAAACUUAUACACACAAAUCUGUGGACAAAACUUAUGCACAGAAUUUAUAUAACAAUGUUCAAACACAAAUUUGUGGACAAAACUUAUGCACAAAAUUUGUAUAACAAUGUUCAAACAAAAAUUUGUAGACAAAACUAUAUGAGCAAAUUUAUACGUAUGACUUCUACCUACAGCUUCUAAAGAGGACAACUUCAAAUUUCCAUUUUCAAGAGAGUUAUAACUUGUGCAUACAACUUGUAUGUAUAACUUUUUGGCAACUUCUUACGUGAUAAUUUUGUAGCACAAUUUUCGUAAUAUACAGAACUUAUACAAAUGUUUUUUAUCACAACUAUUAUGAAAAUAUUAUUAGGCAACUUAUGAACGUGACCGGCACACGAAGGACAUGCACAUAGUAAAAAAAAUGACUGAUCGGAGAAGAAAGAGAAAUAACUAGAACAUGGCUAAGGAAGGGGCGAGCAGGGGAACGCGUGCACGACGUCUGCACGAGAGCCGGGAAGCACGCACGCGGGAAGCCGAUGUGGCAACCUGGGCUGCUUUGCCCAGAAGGCUUUGAGCGGCCCAUGGGCACCCCGACUCCCACUUGUCCUCUAUUUUUUUUUGUCUUUUCUUUUCUUUAAAUUAGUAACUGAUUUCCUCAUUCAAAAUUUGAAUAAAAAAAUCAAACCUAAAAACUGGGUGUGUGUGUGUGUGUGGGGGGGGGGGGGGGGGGGGGGGGGGGGGGGGGGGGGGGGGGGGGGGGGGGGGGGGGGGGGGGGGGGGGGGGGGGGGGGGGGGGAGGGGGACCCGAAAUACCAACAACUUUUAUGGUGGCUAGUGAUUGUGACACCAGGCCUUGCUGCAAAGGAACGGAGAGAAACACGGUACUAGUUCACCCAACUAGAAUAUGUAGUUUUUUUUGACAUAUUUACACACAGGGGAAAAACACAAAUAAUAGGAUAAAAAAUCGCUCGAGUGCGUAGCUGUUUCCUGUUUAGACCAGUCGGCAUCAUUGUUGGCACUCGGCGUCCAUCGUUGGUUACAUUGACCUGUCCAUCCCGGCCGCAUCAGCUUCACACACCUCUCCCUCCUCCGGUUGGAGCUGCGGGUACAGGGCGCCUACCGAUCCAUCAAACACAUCUCUUGCUUCAUCCUUUUGCUAAAACACGAAGUAGAUCUCACGUCUCUGCCUCAAAGUCCUCUCCAUGUCAUGUCCUAGGAGGAGGCUAGGAUACAGUACUUUUUCCUGCACGCCAGUGUCGUCUCCUACUUGUGUGGUGUCUACAUAACGAGAGUCAUCAUCAACCACCAGUCGAACGUACAGUGUUCUAGUGCGCGCUAGUUGCGAGCUGGUGAGUCCACACUCCCUUCUCCGGUGGCAGAGGUAGGUGGUGACCGGCGUCCAGCAAUGUCGGCCGGCAGCGAGAAGAAGAGGACGGCGUGCGUCACCGGAGGGAGCGGGUACAUCGCCUCCGCGCUCGUGAAGAUGCUGCUGGAGAAGGGCUACGCCGUGAAGACGACAGUCAGGAACCCCGGUUCGAUUCGUUCAUCUUUCUCUUCAGUUCAGUGUUUCGUGGCUGGUCCUGGUCCUUUUCAUGGACAGAGGACCUGAACGCUUUUACUUUUGAUGAGUUGGGACUUGGGAGAUAGUGGCAUAGAUGGUUCAAGAACCGGGAUUCUAAGCUCAGGCAAAUCAGCGAGCAAGAAAGAACCUGAAAUCAUAACUGUUAUGAUCCCCAAGACAACGCAUGCUAAGAAUCUCUGAUAGUGCUCUGCAUUGUGAAUCUGAAUCGCAGAUGACAUGGAGAAGAACUCUCACCUCAAGGACCUGCAGGCACUUGGCCCUUUGGAGGUCUUCCGCGCCGACUUGGAUGAAGAAGGCAGCUUUGACGAGGCUGUCGCCGGCUGCGACUACGCCUUCCUCGUCGCCGCUCCGGUGAACAUCCACACGAAGAAUCCUGAGGUGCGCAGACGUCCACAGCACGUGUAUGGCGGUUCCUCAUUUGUCUUGUACUUGGUGACACGGCAUCUGUACCUCAUCGCUUCCUCGAUUGGGUAACGGCAGAAAGAGAUGAUCGAGCCCGCUGUCAGGGGAACUCUGAACGUGUUGCGGUCGUGCGUGAAGGCAAGGACGGUGAAGCGCGUGGUCCUGACCUCGUCGGCGGCCGCGGUCUCCAGCAGGCCGGAGCUGCAAGGCGACGGCCACGUCCUGGACGAGGACUCCUGGUCCGACGUCGAGUACCUCACCGCCAACAAGUCCAGUUACUAUGUACGCGCACACGUUUGCCAGCCUUAUGUGCAGUAGUCCUGUCCCGGCGCCUGGAUUCAUGUCCUGAAACCGAAGUGCACAGUCUGCUCAUGCUUCAUUUGAUCGAUCGCAGGGAUACCCGGUCUCGAAGGUGCUCUUGGAGAAGGCAGCGUGCAGGUUCGCGGAGGAGCACGGCAUCAGCCUCGCCACCGUCUGCCCCGUCGUGACCGUCGGCGAGGCACCGGCCCCGAACGCCCGCACCAGCGUCCCAAACUGCCUCUCCCUUCUAUCUGGAGACGAGGCAGCGUUCGCCGUGCUGAACGCCAUCGAGAGCGCCACGGGCUGUAUUCCGAUGGUUCACGUCGACGACCUCUGCCGCGCCGAGGUGUUCGUCGUCGAGGAGGACGCGGCCGCGGGGAGGUACAUCUGCUGCAGCCUCAACACGACCAUCGCCGAGCUCGGGCGUUUCCUGGCGCAGAAAUACCCGCCGUACGGCGUGAAAACCCAUCUGCUGUAAGAAUCGGCUCCAGAGCAGUAGAGCACCGAAUUCUGACGAUGUUUUGCACUGAUGACUGAUACCGUUUGCUUGCACAUUUGCAGCUCCGGCGACCGUCUUGAGAAGCCGAGAGUGUGCCUGUCAUCUGCGAAGCUGCUGAGGGAAGGGUUCGAGUUCAAGUACAAGACGCUGGAGCACAUCUACGACGACAUGGUCGAGUACGGCAAGGCCGUGGGAAUCCUGCCCAACUGAUGUGAUUCUCCUCGUCCUCUGCUUUUGCGGUCGAUGGUCACGAACUCGCGAGUCAGAACUCAGAACACAAAAACCAUGCCUAUACUGCUAGUAAGCUGAACAUUAGCGGUUCAGUAAGUUCGUAUAAGAUGCGGUUCUGCACUUGUUUCGGCAAUAUCUUGUGGGAAACUAGUUCGGUCGCCGGCGCAUUUUAUCAUACAGACAAAACGAGUUUUCAUCUUACGAUCAAGAGACAUUUCGCUUUUUUGGUGCCUGGCCUUUGGGCAACUUGUACAUCGACAUCUGGUUCAUCAUGAUCUGCACUAUCUGCAAUCGUUUUGAGAAAGGGACGGAAUUUGUAUUUUAAUUUUUACAUUACGCCCAAUCGUUUUGAGAAAGGGACGGAAUUUGUCAUUUCUCAUUGCAAGGCAUCAGCCACAAAAAAGCUUCAUAUAUCUUUAUUGUUUCAUCAUGAUCUGCACUAUCUGCAUUUUGAAUUGUGUAUGCUUCAAGGGGCCCGACUGAUCCACGCACUAGCAUAGCACCAGCAAGCAAAGUCGUGCUGCCUACCUGACACUUUCUCGUCCCUUCCUUUUCGAAAACUUCUUCCCUUCUAGUCUUUCCUUUUUCCUGAAAAACUUUUUGCGAACUAUAUUUAGAUUUUUUUAAUCCUAUCUGGGAUAAAGACAUAUAUCCUGAACCCGCGCCUCAUUGUACAGACAUAUCCCGUAAUUAUUAUCUGCUAAUGGCCGGUUUAACCAAAUCACAUGCUUAAGCUAACUGAUCGCAUGCACUAACUAUUCCUAACAGUUUGCUCUGAUCACAUGCUCUUCGUGCUUGCGGCACCUCCAACCCCAUCUAGGCACAUUCUGUAACAUCUUUCUGUAUCAAAUGUUGUUGCUCACCGUGUAGUACUUUGGUGUAGUUUGGUGUAGUGGUUGGCGUGUAUUAGCGCAGCUAGACGCGCGGCACGCAAGAGGACGAGAUCCAAGGUGAGCCCGGAGCCGAAGCCGCAGAGCACGCACCAGUGGCACCCCUCCCCUGCGGUGCCGCAGCCGUUGGCGGCGGACCAGCGGCGCAUGCCGUCGAGGGUGAACCACACGGACGCGCUGCCCAUGUUGCCGUACUCGGCGAGCACCUCGCGAGAGGCCCGCAUCUUAACCAGCUCCAGCCCAAGCGCCGUCUCCACCUUGUCCAGGAUUAGGCGGCCCCCAGGGUAAUGCAUCGCCCAGAACAGCGCGGUCCAGUCGCCGUCAGUGACGGAGCCGCCGAGCAACCCCCGAAGGGCGGCCUCGAGGUUGCUCGCAAACAUAGACGGCCCUUCCCUGACGAGACUGAUCGUAAGGCCCGCCUCCCGGAUGAGCCCUCGCAUGGCGUCGCCCGUUCCCGGCACGGUGAGCUGCCUCGAGCACACGAUCUCGAACAGCGGCCUCUCACUCCCUUCCCCCGCCGCCGCGGCGGAGUCGGCGGCCCCGACGACGACCGCCGACGCGCCGUCCGCGAUGAACGCCUGGGUGGCUAGGCCGUCGGCGCCGCGGAAGGCGAUGAUGCUGACCUCGACGAGGACGGCCAGCACGCGGGCGCCGGCGUUGUUCUCGGCGAGGUCCUUGGCGAGGCGCAGCGUGGACGCGCCGACGACACAGCCCUGGUGGUAGACGCCGAGGCGGCUGGCGGAGAGGGAGAGCCCGAGGAGGCGGGCGACUUGGUAGUCGGCGCCGGGCUGGUCGCUGCCGCCGCUGUUGCAGCCCACGAUGAGGUGGGUGAUGUCCUCCACCGGCCUCCCCCACUCCUUGAGCGCGGCGGCGGCGGCCGCGGCGCCGAGUUCAGGGAUCUUGGCCGAGAUGAUGUCCUUGCGCUUGUCCAGACUUGGCCCCCCGUACGUGGUCAUCUCAGGAUUAGCGCCCAGCAGUGCCUCGUCGAUGUACAGGUGCCGCUUCCUAAUGGCCGAUUUCUGACCUGCAAAUAAAUGACCUCACUGUGAAUGUUGUGAGUGCGUACGUGUGUGUAUACAUACAUGUGUACAUAUAUUUAUUUAUAUAUAUAUAUAUAUAUAUAUAUAUAUAUAUAUAUAUAUAUAUAUAUAUAUAUAUGCAUCGCUAGGUACUGUACGUACAUAUACGCCUGAACCCGUCCUUGAGCUCCUCCUUGAUGUGGUCACUGUUGGUGACACGGAAGUAGAAGUCCGGGAAGUCGCUCUGCAGCAUCACAUUACUGGGAUUGGCCGUCCCGAUCGCCAAGGUGGAGGCCGUGCCCAUCGCCCUCUUAUGCUGGUACACCCUAGGACCAUCGACGAUAUCCAUGGCCGUUAAGCUGAUGGAGAUAGAUCGAUGCCUGUCUCCUCCGAAAGGCCAGCUACCAUGCCUAUUUAUAGCAUGGUUUUAAGUCUCCCGCUGUAAGCUUCCGCUGUAACCUGCUAUACCUACUUGAGGCAUUUUAUAGAUGGUGCUGAGAAUGUUUUUCGUUAAGAAGAACUGAGUUUGUUUACAAGAAGCGUACAGUUCGAAAGAAGCAAAACAAACAAUAAAACAAACAAUAAGAACAAUCGCACUGAACUUCUGAUCCCUAGCAGCCCGCCGAAGCCCAAAGCCUUGCCUCCCCUAGAAUGGCAGGAGCCAACGCCACCGACUGUAGAGCGGAUCGGUCAUGCACCCAACGGUUCCGUUCCCGCCACAACAACCAAGCAACUAACCAAAUCAGGGUAUCAAACCUCUUUCCAACGUGGUUUAGGCACCCUCUUCCAAGAUUGUAGCCACCAUGAAGCGACCGCACCUUCCUCUUGAGGCACUAACGUUUGGAGGUUCACAUAACAAAGAGUGCAAAACCACGUUUCCCGACUAUGUACACAACCAGUGAGAAAAUGAUCUAUAGUUUCCAUCUCUUGUGCACACAGAGCACAAUCGUCUCUGUCACAGAGCCCAUGGCGACGGAGAUGGUUAGAAGUCCAACAACGACCAUGUAGAAUGAGCCAUCCGAAGAACUUGCAUUUACCCGAGGUCUGAACCUUCCAAAGUUGUUGCACCCUCAAGAGAUGCGACUUGCCAAGGAAAAGUGCUUUAUAAGCAGAAGCGGAAGAGAACCCCCCCAAAUGGUGACCACCUCCAUACGAACUUGUCUGGCGACCGGUUUAGAAUCCAACCCUAAAGAAAAUCCCAUAUGCUCAGGUACUGCGAAACAACCUGUACCGUGAGAGCAUAUGAGAUGUCGCUGAUCCAACGUCGAUCGGUCAGCCCCUCACGCACCAUGCAAUUAGACUCCAUCUAAUUAGAUUCCAUCUGUGCAAUUAGUUUUGUAAUUAGCUCAUAUUUAAUCCUUCUAAUUAGCAUUCGAACAUACAAUGUGAUAUUAAUAAAGUUUAGCACACUGUAUCAGGCUCUUCAUUUGACUGAGCGCACUGGGAUUGGCCCACUCUGCUGCCCAGGCAGGGUCCUUUCGUACGAGGACCAUGUGGCAGACCACUAGUGAACAAAUGAUAAAUGGUGACACAUUUAUCUUCUUGCUAUGCAUUCUUUUGCUUUUCUUGUGGCAACUGUUUUUUUUUUCCGCCACAAACCGUUUGUCUACAUCUUGUGUGGCCUACACUAAAAAAAUCGAAGCUAAUAGUUGUGGCGAGCGAGCCAGCCAGUGAAUCCUCCUCUUUCAAGCGACUGGCGAUGUCGGCAGCCGGCGAGAAGAAGAAGACGGCAUGCGUGACCGGAGGGAACGGGUACAUCGCCUCGGCUCUGAUCAAGAUGCUGCUGGAGAAGGGCUACGCCGUCAAGACGACGGUCAGGAACCCCGGUUCGAUUCCUUCCUUGAACCCUCUUAUCGAACGUCAGCGAAUUGCUGCACAUCUGCAUCAACUGUAGUUUUGAUCCUGAAACCCCAGAUGACAUGGCGAAGAACUCCCACCUCAAGAACUUGCAGGCGCUCGGCCCCCUGACCGUCCUCCGCGCCGACCUGGAUGAAGAGGGCAGCUUCGACGAGGCCGUCGCCGGCUGCGACUACGCCUUCCUCGUCGCCGCUCCGGUGAACCUCGCGUCAGAGGAUCCUGAGGUGCGCAGUCUGUCUCAGGCAUCCCUUAACAGUCAGUCAGUCACCACUGUUCUGUGUUCUGCCUGCCUGUUGGCUCGCUCAAUUCAACUCGAUCUGCGCGUGGCAGAAAGAGCUGAUCGAGGCAGCCGUCCGAGGAACUCUGAACGUGAUGAGGUCGUGCGUGAAAGCGGGGACGGUGAAGCGCGUCAUCCUGACCUCGUCGGCGGCCUCGAUCAUCAUGAGGCCGGAGCUGCAGGGUGACGGCCAUGUCCUGGACGAGGAGUCCUGGUCCAACGUCGAGUACCUCAGAGCCAACAAGACUGCUUUCUGGGUACGCGCCGUUCCUUCGGAACCAGCAUGUUUUAUUGGUCCGUUUGCUAAUGGUGUUCGCGUUGCGUUCGCGUCGCAGGGUUACCCGGUCUCCAAGGUGCUCUCGGAGAAGGCGGCGUGCAGGUUCGCGGAGGAGCACGGCAUCAGCCUCGUCACCGUCUGCCCCGUCGUCACCGUCGGUGCGGCACCGGCGCCGACCGCCCGCACCAGCGUCCCGACCUGCCUCUCCCUUCUGUCCGGUGAGGCCGUGAGCACGAGCGCUGAGAUGAGCUGACCGGAAGACAGAGAAGAACUUGUCGAUUUCUCUCGUACCUGCAGUUCUUUUCAUACCGCUGCGUCACGUGACUAUCGCAGGCGACGAGGCAGAGUUCGCCCUGCUGAGAGGCAUGGCGAAGGUGUCCGGCACGGUGCCGCUGGUUCACGUCGACGACGUCUGCCGCGCCGAGCUAUUCGUCGCCGAGGAGGAGGCGGCCGCGGGGAGGUACCUCUGCUGCAGCCUCAACACGACCAUCGCCGAGCUCGCGCGUUUCCUAUCUGCAAAUUACCCGCAGUACACUGUGAAAACGAAGCUGCUGUGAGUUGAACUCUAAAUAAAGAAUCUGCUGUGAAGUAAGAAUCAGGCACUUGCUUUGCACUGAGGAGUGAUUAUCGCCUUCCACUUUGCAGCUCUGGUGAUCUGCUUGAGAAGCCGAGAGCACGCCUGUCAUCGGCGAAGCUGGUCGGUGAAGGGUUUGAGUACAGGUACAAGACGCUCGAUGGGAUGUACGACGACAUGAUCGACUAUGGCAAAGCCUUGGGAAUUCUGCCCAAUCUAUGAUGCUCCUCUGCUUUGUAUGGGUGGGUGAUCACAACUCCAAACCAGCAAGCAGUUGCAAGAUCCUCCAUGCUGCUAGAGUACUAGUACUGGUACGUUGAAUAAAUACAUUGUGAUGAUAGAUGUGGGUGGUUUAGAUUCAUUCAUAGAAAAUUUGGGUUUAUUUUCCCAUAAUGGCAAAGAUAUGUAAUUUGAAUAUAGAUUUUAGGGUACUUUGGGUUAUUGUUUUAUGAUGGCACAUGUGAGUGAUUUAAAAGAAAAUUAAUUAGAUAUUAUUGGUAACCACUUGCGGUUAACGGCAUUGCAAUUUGUAACAAGAAACUGACUUUCGUGAUUCUUCUUUUUCCCCACAGAGCCCUUCCAUUCAUUGUAGUGUGGCCGCCUAUCUUUCAGAAUCAGAUUGAGAAUUUCGAUUUCGAUCACAUCCAUUCAAUCGGAUUAGUCAUCAUAAAGAUCCAUUACACUUGGCUGAAUGUGUCAUUUUCAGUGCGAGGCGUAAGUCAUAACAACAGACAAACUGUCGUCGUCAUCGUUCCCCACGAUCUGUCCUUUAUUUUUUUAUUUUUUUGCCUUGUUUAGUUCCCCUUUUCUCAACUUUGGCACUAUGCAAAAAGAAAAAUUCCCCGUCACAUCAAACUUACGAUAUAUGCAUGAGUACUAAAUGUAGACGAAAUCAAAAACUAAUUGCACAGUUUUGUUGUACUUUGCGAAACGAAUCUUUUAAGCCUAAUUAGUUAAUGUUUGGACAAUAAUUCACAAAUACAAACGAAAUGUUACCGUUGCGCAUUUAUAGCAAAAUGCAAACUUUGCCACUUCCAAUUUGGGAACUAAACAAGGACAGGGCUAUUUGGCGAAGGGUUGUUUGGCGAUAGGGUGUUAAAAUUUAACACCCGUCACAUCGGAUGUUUGGAUGCUAAUUAGAAGUAUUAAAUAUAGGCUAAUUACAAAACUAAUUGCAUAGAUGGAGUGUAAUUCGCGAGACGAAUCUAUUAAGCCUAAUUAGUCCAUAAUUUGACAACGUGGUGCUAAGUAAUCAUUUGCUAAUGAUGAAUUAAUUAGGUUUAAUAGAUUCAUCUCGCGAAUUAGCACAGGAUUCUGCAAUUAGUUUUAUAAUUAGCUCAUAUUUAGUUCUCCUAAUUAGCAUCCGAACAUCCGAUGUGACAAUAUUAAAGUUUAGUACCUCAUAUCCAAACACCUCCGAAAUCAACCUAGCGCUGGUCGCGGCCCCAACGAUCACUGUCCCUCUGGGCGGCUGCUAACAACCGAUCAAGCAAUCAGCACCUGACCUACGCCAUCGAUCUCUUCCUACAGCAGACUGCAUCUUCUCCUGAAAGUUCAGGUGUCCGGGUGAGUGAAUCUCCUCUUUCCGGCGAUUCAGCCCCUACUAGUGUGGAGUGAGGAUAGCGGCUAGGGGACGUCGUGACCGGCGAUGUCGGCCGACGACAAGAUGAAGACGGCGUGCGUCACCGGAGGGAGCGGGUACAUCGCCUCCGCGCUCAUCAAGAUGCUGUUGGAGAAAGGGUAUGCCGUGAAGACGACGGUCAGGAACCCCGGUUUGAUUCACUGAUCCAUCCCUUUCAGCUCUUUUUUUCUUCUGUUUCUCGUAGGGAUGAAAUUUUCGGAGUAGUUGCAAAAAUUGACAAUAAUAACUAGUACUCCAUGUGUUCUCAUAAGAGGUUCCUUUAAUCAUGUUGGAGUAAAACAAAUUACUGUGAAAGAAUUUGUCAGCAUGAUCCUGAAUCUUCCAAGUACUUGCCGCUUUGCUUCUGCAACCCCCAGAUGACAUGGCGAACAACUCCCACCUCAAGAACUUGCAGGCGCUCGGCCCCCUGGAGGUCCUCCGCGCAGAUUUGGACGAAGAAGGCAGCUUCGAUGAAGCCGUCGCCGGCUGCGAUUACGCCUUCCUUGUCGCCGCUCCCGUGAACCUCAAGUCGGAGAAUCCUGAGGUGUGGGGCCACUGUUCUGCUGUAAAAAUUUGGCACUACUGAACAAUGCCUUGACUUGGUCCACUCAAAUGAACUCGAUGCAUGGCAGAAAGAGCUGAUCGAGCCAGCUGUCCGAGGAACUCUGAACGUGAUGAGGUCGUGCGUGAAAGCGGGGACGGUGAAGCGCGUCAUCCUGACCUCGUCGGCGUCCUCGAUCACCAGGAGGCCGGAGCUGCAGGGCGACGGCCAUGUCCUGGACGAGGAGUCCUGGUCCAACGUCGAGUACCUCAGAGCCAACAAGACUGCUUUCUGGGUACGCGCCGUUCCUUCUGAACCAGCAUGUUUUAUUGGUCCGUUUGCUAAUGGUGUUCGCGUUGCGUUCGCUUCGCAGGGUUACCCGGUCUCCAAGGUGCUCUCGGAGAAGGCGGCGUGCAGGUUCGCGGAGGAGCACGGCAUCAGCCUCGUCACCGUCUGCCCCGUCGUCACCGUCGGUGCGGCGCCGUCGCCGACCGCCCGCACCAGCGUCCCGAGCUGCCUCUCCCUUCUGUCCGGUGAGGCCGUGAGCACGAGCGCUGAGAUGAGCUGACCGGAAGUCAGAGAAGAACUUGUCGAUUUCUCUCGUACCUGCAGUUCUUUUCAUACCGCUGCGUCGCGUGACUAUCGCAGGCGACGAGGCAGAGUUCGCCGUGCUGAGAGGCAUGGCGAAGGCGUCCGGCACGGUGCCGCUGGUUCACGUCGACGACGUCUGCCGCGCCGAGCUGUUCGUCGCCGAGGAGGAGGCGGCCGCGGGGAGGUACCUCUGCUGCAGCCUCAACACGACCAUCGCCGAGCUCGCGCGUUUCCUGGCACACAAGUACCCGCAGUACGGCGUGAAAACAGACCUGCUGUAAGAAUCGGGCCUCAACUCUGAACCUUUCGUUGCACUGACUAGUGAGGACUGAGGAGUGAUGCAUGAUCCUGGGCUUCCGCUUUGCAGCUCCGACGACGUGCUUGAGAAGCCGAGAGCGUGCGUAUCGUCCGCGAAGCUGGUGAGGGAAGGGUUCGAGUACAAGUACGAGACGCUGGAUGGGAUGUACGACGACAUGGUCGAGUACGGCAAGGCCUUAGGAAUUCUCACCAACUGAUGAUGUUCCUCCGCUUUGGGGUGUCACAAUUCCAAAAUGUGCUUGCAAAACAAGUCUAUGGUUUCCGGAAAAAAGAGAGAGAGGGAGUCUCUGUUAACUUUAUGAGAGGAAACAACAGGUCCUUGUUUAUUACACGUUUGCCCCCCCCCCCCCCCCCCCCCCCCCCCCUUAUCUCCCACCGUCCAGGACGCUUUAACAUUCGUGCGCAAGCUGCCUCGCGUGGAUCUUCGUUGACCGCUCCGCGCGCUUGCUGGUCUCGCGCGGGCACCCAACGCGUGAGUACCCCUCCGGCCCUCCCCUCCCCACCCACCCACCCACCCAACACGCAAUUGAUGCCAUCGGAGCAUGGUCAAGUAAAAAAAGUAAUACCUCUGUUUAUUUUUUAAAAAACAUGAUAUGAGAUGAUACGGUUUCCAAAUUACAUUUCGACUAUUAAUUUAUCUUAUACUAUAUUGUUUGGUUAUAAACUUACAAUCGAGUACAUUUAAUUAUAAAUCCAACCAUUUCAAUUUACAUCAUAAAAAUAAAAAAUUAUUGGUUAAAUUAUUGGUCAAAGAUAACAUUGUUUGAAUCUUGAUAUGCACGUAUGCCUUAUAAAUAUAAACGGAGGGAGUAAUUGCUAUUUAUCUUUUUGAUAUUGUCACCUUUUUCCAUGAUAGAAAAAAAAGUAUUACAAUGUUGGAAUAUUUUAUUUCUCUACCUACUUUUUAUGUCACUGCCGGGACUUUUUUUUCUUUAGAUCUCAGAAUAUUUAGAUUUUAACCAAAAAAAUGGCCCUAAUCUUCUGAAACAAUUCGCUACCUAUAACAUUUUUUUUCUUAGACCAGAAUAUGACAAACCUAACAGAUUUUUAUCAUAAAUAACGUUCCUUAAAAAAACUGAAGAAACUAGUGUCCAAGAAAUAGCAUCUCCCAUAUUAUAAAAAACAAGUUUACCGGUUAUUAUGGAUAUGGAUUACAAGCAAAAGGCGGGAUAUCAGCUGAGCAAGAUAUAUAGCAGAGAAACCGCAGUCCUACAAAACGCAUUAUACUUGGUAAACGUCGAACAAACAUCUAAAAAAAUCAGAACAGCUACGAGAGCACCACGACUGCACGAGCUUGGAAGAGCCACCAAACAAUGCGCGGGUCCUUUGGGGACUUGCUUUAUCUUCAGCAUGUCGUCCUCCUGGUUUUGCGACCUGUCACCUCUUUACUUGAGUCAGCACCUCCCCCUGUCCACGACUCUUUUUGUUUAAGACUCGCCAUCGCUGUACAAGGGAGACAAUUUCGUAAUCAAAACAAUGAACUUGUCUCGGAGUGUUGUUUUUUUUUCUCACUGACACCUCUUUCCAUCCAAUAUUUGGUCUACUCAGCUGGUGCCUGGUGGUUGCAUCCAGCCAGCUGCAACAACUGAGCAAGAGGACAGUCAAAGAAUACAGCCUCCAUCCAGUUGUCCACGACGCUUGAAAAACCUUAAUACUCCUGCAACAACUGCCAGAGAAGAAAUGUUCCUUUUUUUACUAUGUUCAAGGUUAAAUUUAGUGGAGCAAACGACCAUCAUCCCAUUCUUAACCUCGCAUUUAGCUGUCCUGGGCUGGUACGGUACAUUCUUAAGUGCCCACGCGAUCGUCGAGCUCGUGGACCUACUGACCAAUCGGCAACCACCGACUGGAGCAUCGUUUUCCUCGGGGCAAUUCUGCAACUUUCAGCCCCGAAAAAGAUCCCGAGUGUUUUUCAUGGAACAGUUUAUCUCGUCCCCGGACGUCGUCGUCGACGUUCUCACCGUGUCGUCGACCUGCCGGCGUCACCGCUUGAGAGAAAGCGAUAAGAUCUCGAGCACCCUGUGGCUGUGAACCAUCGUGUGGAGCACCCUGGCAGGCAGCAAGCUUACAAAAGGCACGUUGCUCAGCCAGUGUGCCAACCAUCCACCUCAGAACUUCAGGAUCCAGAGCCACAGUACACUGCCUCAGUGCUUGAGUCGAGAGAGCCAGCAGUGCUCGUGUUCACCUUGCCAAAGAUGGCGGCCGCGGCCGGUGAGGAGAGGAAGAAGACGGCGUGCGUGACCGGGGGGAACGGGUACAUCGCGUCGAUGCUCAUCAAGAUGCUGCUGGAGAAGGGCUACGUCGUGAAGACGACGGUCAGGCACCCCGGUUAGAUUAUCUUCCCUCCCCUUUCUCGGUUCUGACUUGUGAAUGAUCAAAAGUGCAUUAGUGUUCUGAUACUGAAUCGAAUCGUAUCCCAGAGAACAAGGAGGACAACUCCCACCUGGAGGACAUGAAGAAGCUCGGCACCCUGGAGGUGUUCCGCGCCGACCUGGGCGAAGAAGGCAGCUACGACGAGGCCGUCGCCGGCUGCGACUACGCCUUCCUCCUCGCAGCCCCGGUGGACUACACGUCCAAGAACCCUGAGGUGCGCAAACGUCAUCACUGCCACUCGAUCGUCAGUCACCUCAUUGACAUAUAUGAUAUUCACACCGAUCGAAGUUGUUCGAUUAUGGCAGAAAGAGCUGAUGGAGCUCGGAGUCCAAGGCACGCUCAACGUGAUGCGGUCGUGCGUGAAGGCCGGGACGGUGAAGCGCGUGAUCCUGACCUCGUCGACGGCCGCCGUCUCCAGCAAGCCGCUGCAAGGCGACGGUCACGUGCUGGACGAGGAGUCCUUCUCCGACGUCGAGUACCUCACCGCCAAAAGGACCGGUCUCUGGGUACGCCUGCACUGCACAAACGCAUAUCAUUGUUCAUCACUUCUGCACCCUGAACAAUGUUCAGUCCGUUUGCAUGCUGAUGGCGCCGUGAUCGCGCUUCCUCCGCAUCAUAACACAGGCGUACCCGGUGUCGAAGGUGCUCAUGGAGCAGGCGGCGUCCAAGUUCGCGGAGGAGCACGGCCUGAGCCUGGUGACCCUGUGCCCGUCCGUCACCGUGGGGGAGGCGCCGGACAGGCAGGUCUACACCACCGUCCCGGCCAUCCUCUCCCUGCUGUCGGGCGACGACAAGGAGCUCGGCGUGCUCAAGGGCAUCGAGAGGGCCUCCGGGUCGGUGCCGCUGGUGCACGUGCACGACGUCUGCCGCGCCGAGAUCUUCGUCGCCGAGGCGGAGGCGGCCGCCGGCAGGUACAUCUGCAACGCCCUCGACACCACCAUCGUCGAGAUCGCCCGAUUCCUGGCGGACAAGUACCCGCAGUACAAGGUCAACACCGAGCUGUAAGAUCACUCGAUUGCUUUGAUUGAUCCUUUCUUUGCCCUCCUGGAGAUCAUGGCUAGCGACGAUCGAUCUGGUUGCAUGAACAAUUACAUUAAUAAACCUCUUGCAGCUCCGGCGACCUCCUCAAGAAGCCGAUAGCGCUGCUGCCGUCGACGAAGCUGGAGAAGGACGGGUUCGAGUUCGAGUUCAAGACGCUGGAGCACAUCUACGACGACAUGGUGGAGUACGGCAAGGCACUGGGGAUCCUGCGCAGCUGAUCUUGUACGUGAUAGGUGUGAUGCGCCACCUGUACUGUACCCGCAGAAUAAGUCCGUGCCGUGCAGUGGGGUGCCUUUUGUCACCUCCUCAGGGCGCAAAAUAAUUCAUUGCGGGGAGUGUAGCUCCUGUCAUGUGUUUGCGUUCCUUCAAAAUUUGAGAUUCCAGAGUUUUCAGUCCUAUCCGUGUCACAUUAGUGCGCAUGGUAUUUUUGCUACGCGUCAGUGGGGGAAAUCACUUUGGUUUUUCACCUGGGGCAACUACUACAUACAUGGCAUGCCCGCCAAGUACAUGAAUGGCUGCAUGCAUCUCUAGUUGUAGCUGUAGUUGAUGCACAGACCUGGAAGUUAUAUUUUCUUUGUUAAAAAGGCAUACCAGACAAGCACGAUGACGCAAUAGAGGCGCCAUGUAUGUGUGGAAAAACUCACGAAUGCCGAAUUCAUUCCUCUUCUCUCACUUUCACCAGGGUGCGAAUGACUAAUGAGGCGCAUAACCUAAAGUCAUGUUUGGAUCCUCCCAACUUUGUAUAAGCUCUGCAAACGAGGCAGCUUGUAGCUUUGUAUAAGCUAGCUGGUUGGAUACUUGAAAACUGGAGUAUAAGCUAACUUUUUAUAGGUUGAACUAUUCGGGAUUAACUAGAGCAGUUUUUAAGCAGGUUUCUAUUAGCUCCAGCUAAUUCAAACGGGGCCUAAGUGUGUAUAUGUGGUAAACUGGUAGUAUAUUUCCAGGUCUGAACAAGGAAGGCCCGUAUUUCUGUCUGUAAGCAUCCAUUGACGUGAGCACAUCCAAAGUUGGUUAAACGUUUCUUGACAUCAGAUUGCAUUGGACUGCAUCCUCUGGAGUCAGGACACAGGUCGAGCAACGUAAUUUUGUUUCUUUUUAUGUCUUGCUUUGCCUACCCCGUAGCUGGUAGCAGCUCCCAUUGUUGUUCCUCCGUCGCCGUGUGCUGCAGCUGUGAAAACGUAAAACAAACCAGGACAAUGUCUGUGCGCGCACAGUGAAUCAGUGAUGCGGAAUAUGCAUUCAAGAACCCCCCCCCCCCCCCCCCCCCCAACAACAAAAAAAAAAGGAAAAUGGGACGUGCAAGCAGGAAAGAUUUGAAAAGUUGGGAGAACGUUUUCCACGCAAGUGACAGAGCGGAGCGCGUUCGGAAGGUCAAGAUUUUCUGAAGGCGUGCCAGUUGUCACGCACCGAUGGGACAGAAAGGUGGCGACAAAGUAGGAUCUCAGGAUCAUUCAUGCCGCAUUUGGCCCCCCGGAUUAUCCAACUGACACGCGGGUAACAGUGACUUGAGUCAUGGCAAUAAUGAGCGCCUGCCUGUGUUGCUGCUCCUGGAAAAGUUUCAACUUGAAAUGAAAGGAGAUUAAAAAAAAUAGGUUUUUGGAGUCGUCUGUGCUCUGGAGUAGCGCGUUGUUUGGAUACAGGCUCACAUCGGACGUUCGAUACUAAUUAGGAGUAUUAAAUAUAGUCUAAUUACAAAACUAAUUACACAGAUGAAGUCUAAUUCACGAGACGAAUCUAUUAAGCCUAAUUAGUUCAUGAUUUGAUAAUGUGGUGCUACAGUAACCAUUUGCUAAUGAUGAAUUAAUUAGGCUUAAUAGAUUCGUCUCGCGAAUUAGUAUAGGGUUCUGCAGUUAAUUUUAUAAUUAGCUCAUAUUUAGUCCUCCUAAUUAUCGUCCGAACAUCUGAUGUGACCCCUAAAGUUUAGUAGCUCGAGUGUUCCGCUGUCUUGUUGCUUGCUUCUCAUUUCUCAUGGAAGAAUCGUUCCCUAGAACCAUCCUCAAACAGGGUAAUCUGAUCAGUGCCUCUUCUCAGCAAAAUUGCCUCUGACAGCGCGCGAGCCGGGCCCCGGGGCUGGCCGGCAUGUGCAGGAGCUGCUGGUCGCUUGCGCUCGGCGCCGUGCGACUCGUCUGGCCCAGCACCGCGUGCUCGCGCGGUGGGCAGAAUGAUGGCUUGCUGUCGCGCGAUCGUGCACGCUUCGACUUUUCUCCGUGAAGAUAGGAGGUACCUGUCCUCGCAUCUCAUCAUCUUCUGUGGCGCGCGUGGGUGUUCCUGCACUCCACUCCCCUCCUCUCAUCCCCUCUCAUCCUGUAUUCCUGUGCAGUGGCAGCGACUGAGGCCCGACAUGAGAAAUGUUGACAUGGCUGACACUGAGCGGCGAGCGAUGGUGUGGCAAGGCAUUCGAUUGGGCGCGCUGUGCACCAUGCAUGUGAUCCCCUUUUUGUGACUUUGUCCUGCGCACGGCACGGCACUGUCAUUGCCGGCCGGCCCCAUGCACGUCGCGUCGGAGAAGGAGCUGAGCUUUGGACCGGGCGUGCCGGCAGGAUUACCAGUGGCAGCAAGAGAUUUGCUGCCGGCCUGCCGCUGCUGAAUGGCUGAAUUGAAACCAAAGGGACCGAUCUCCUCCUGUCUGGCAUGAGUGCUACGAAUAGCGCACUAGCUCCUGCUCCUGGCGUACGUCUAGGACUCCUGCCGGAAACGAUUUAGGAUCUGAGAUUCAUCUGUAUAUAUUGCAAAUUCAUGAAUUGUCAUUUGUUGGUUGGAUUGUGAAUAGUCAGAUGCCAAGGUAGCCCCGACGACGGACCAUUACGAGCUCGUCCUGCAUGCCUCGUCGUGCCGGACUGCCGGUACGCCCGCCACCGCCAGGCGUCACGCACGCCUCACGCGUGCCCGUCCGUCCGUGCGUGACAACAUGUUGCAUUUACCCAUGUGCGCACUAAAAAGGCCGGCCUGAAGGCCUGCUGCUAACUACUAUUGGCUGCGGCGGAAUUAGGCUAGGCCGAGUCUAGCCCAUGGCGCAACGUGUUCUUCUAUCGGCCCAUGCACGAAUGGUUGAGAGCUAGCAGAAAAAUCUGUUGGUCUCAAAGGAAUUUGAGACCAAACAGAUCCAAAUUACAAUGGCAAUUGUUGGGGGACCGCUUCACAACACACCCUGAACGGCGCUGGCGGGGACCCUCUCUCUUAAUCGACCCCAACCUCAUCACCUUCCCCCUUUACGAAGCUAGUAAAUAACCGAAGUCAACUAUCACGAAGGUGUCCAUUCUGUUGUUUUGCAGGCAAGGACUCGCGAAGUUAAAUCCCCCACGGAGCUCUCAGUGGUUUGGCUUCGGGAAGAUUCCGCGACCAGGAGCCGAAGUUAGCUGACUUCGACCAAAGAAGACGGGAAGUUUACGGAGGCUUGCUCGGUCUCGACGAAGCUUAUGAAUGAGGAAGAGGGUAAUCAAGACGGCCCUGGGACAACUUCAUAGCAGGACGAUUCCGUAAUAAGAAUCUUGUACAAUGUUGGGUAUGUAAUUUUACCGUGAAAGCGACAUCUUGAACAGGAACCAAGUUAUUGUCCUGUACGGAAUAUUCUUAGGAUGUAGUGGUUGAGUAUGGGUAUAACGGGGAUGCGGAAAUGUAACUUUAUGGCCCUAUAAAGGGAGGUGAACCGUCCCUCCCGGGAGGACAUUAAUCACUGAUAGGAUAGCUACCGUAACGUUUGUCUGAACGGCCGCUAUCUUCGUUUGUCAUAACGUUCUUCCUAUUGUUUGGGUGUACCCCAACAGCAACAAUGCUUGAAAUUGGAAAAACUAAUCUCCCAGUUAGGAUUCCUUUUUUAUAUAGUGAUCCAUAAACUACUUUACAUCUCGAAAAUAUCAUUUCUCAACCACUACAUUCCUAGAAUACGUCGUACAUAAAAGUCAUUGAAGAAAUGUGUACAAAUUGAAUUCUUCCACGUGGUCACGUUUCUCACGCCUUCCAUCCUCUAACCUCGAAACUUCGUCUUCAUUUUAAGCCGAUCAUCUAGCCUCGAGGCUUCAUCCGCGAUCCGAGACGAAUGCCCAGCCUCGAGACGUCUGCUUCAUUGACUCUUGUCGAGAGGUGAUAGCCUCGCAUAGUUCUUCUCCGAGCAUCGUUCCUGAGUAAAGAGUAAAAAGAUAAAAGCUCGGCGUCCAAAACGACUCCAACACUUGAGGGUUAGUCCAGUUGAAGUUAGCCAUUAUUGUUAUCAAUCACUACCCUCGAGUUCUUCCAAGAGCUGAGGUGAUGCAGGAUUUACUAUUAGAGAUGCCUUUACAGAGCGUGCAAGGUUAAAGGAGUUCCACUUUCCUUGCUGCCGAUGCAUCACUUGCGAGGUUAGUCUCGAGACUUGCUAGCGACAUUCGAGGAUAAUUGAGUUUUACUUCUCGGUUUGGGACUCGCGAGGCUAGAAGGACUUUGCGCCUGAUGCAGACAUUGCAAGGUCAAAGAAUUUUUAUCCCAGAGACAACGCUCGAGGGUGUCUCUAUUUUGACGAUCCCAACAAAAAUCAAACCUCACUGUUCCUCCCGGUUUUCUUCUCCCCCUGCUGUCUUUUGUUGCGCCUCGAGUCCUCCUCGGGCGCUCCAAUGUGGCCAUGUCCUCAAAUCCUCUCCCUCGGUUCCACCCCAAACGCGUCCAUCACAAAAUUGGCGUUGUACCGCUUACUGUUCACCUCCUCCACAAUACAGUGUCAUCACAAAACUUCAUUUAACUUCUUUGCUUAUUUUUAGCCCCCGUGUUUAGAUACUAAUUAGAAGUAUUAAACGUAGACUAUUUACAAAACCCUUGGAGGCUAAACGGUGAGAUGAAUCUAUUAAACCUAAUUAGUCCAUGAUUUGACAAUAUGUUGCUAUAGUAAAUAUUUGCUAAUGAUGGAUUAAUUAGGUUUAAUUAGGUUUAAUAGAUUCGUCUCGCUGUUUAGGCUCCACUUAUGUAAUGGGUUUUGUAAAUAGUAUACGUUUAAUAUUCCUAAUUAGUAUCUAAACAUUCGAUGUGACACUAAAAUUAACCAAACGCCCGCUCAACUUGUCCCCGACAGAAGACAGCUCGUCGUCUUUCAUGGCCUCAUGGGUGGACGAGGACAAGGAGUUUGCAAUUGUGCAUGUGUUUCACAUGGCAACCUACAGCUCAGACCACAUGGUGCGGAUGAGGACAAGGAGUUUGCAAUUGUGCAUGUUCACAUGGCAACCUACAACCAUGCCUCCUUUUGUCUGCGCGCGAGGGCCGUGUGGCAUCUGACAACCAUCCCAGGUAGAAUCACUGAGUCAGUGGCACGCUGGCACUGUGGCAUGGCAGGGCCUGGACGACAAAUUCUACGGCCCUGUGACACCAAUCACAUCGACCGUGUAUCACCACCAACCUGGAUCGAUGCUUCUCUGGCCGAUAUGAUGUGUAUAUGAUGCCGGCUCCUUGGAGUGGCAACCACACCUGAUUGCCCGAGGAAACCAAACCCUCCUCGAUCAUCUCCGGUCCUCACUGUCAAACUCCCGGUAUGCUGACCGCCGAUGGCGUGAAGACGGCGUGCGUCACGGGAGGCAACGGGUACAUCGCCUCCGCGCUCGUGAAGUUGCUGCUGGAGAAGGGCUACGCUGUCAAGGCGACUGUCAGAAACCCGGGUCGGUUUGCAUUGCUUGCUUCCCUGCAACUUAGCUUAUUUCCCCCCCUCCCUUUGAGUUAUUUAGUUGCUGGAUUCCGUUCUGCUGUAACAUGCUGGUCCGGUUUGGAUGAAAUUUGUGCGUGCGAAUUGGAUGUGUACAAGUAGUAACUUGAUGGGUGCACAACGUCUUGCUCUCCCAAGGCAGGCCAGGGGAUGGCUUAUUUGGUCACUGAAGCUAGCACUUACUACGAGCUGUAACAAAAUUUGUAUGUAGAUGACACGGAGAAGAACUCCCACCUCAAGGAGCUGCAGGCACUCGGCCCCCUGGAGAUCCUGCGCGCCGACCUGGACCAAGAAGGCAGCUUCGACGAAGCCGUCGCCGGCUGCGACUACGCCUUCCUCGUCGCCGCUCCGGUGAACCUCACGUCGGAGAACCCUGAGGUGCGGGGACAUCACCCAACAAUGACACUGUUCGAUCUGCUGUAAAUCUCAAUUAGCUUCAAGUUCUCAUUCUGUGACUGAGCCUCGAUCUCGUACUGUAUUUUCAUCGGGCGACGUACUGCAGAAAGACCAGAUCGAGCCGUCCGUGGGAGGGACCCUGAACGUGAUGAGGUCGUGCGCGAAAGCGGGGACGGUGCGGCGCGUGGUGCUCACUUCGGCGGCCUCCUCGGUCUGCAUCAGGCCGCUGGAGGGCGACGGGCAUGUGCUGGACGAGGAGUCCUGGUCCGACCUGGAGUGGGUCACCGCCGAGAAGCCACCAAGCUGGGUGCGCGUACACUUCCCCCCAUGCUCAUGCAUGCUUGUUCAGUCAGAUCAGAUCAGUGUCGGGCAUUCGUAUUUAUCGGCGAAGCAUGUGUGUUGCAGGGGUACGUGGUCUCCAAGGUGCUGUCGGAGAAGGAGGCGCUCAGGUUGGCGCAGGAGCACGGCAUCAGCCUGGUCAUCGCGUGCCCCGUCCUCACCGUCGGCGCGUCGCCGGUGCCCAAGGUGUACACGAGCGUCCCCGCCAGCCUCUCCAUGCUAUCCGGUGAGGAAGACGAUGCACAGGCACAACAAUGGUGCCGAGAACAUUCCAAGAUCCUCAUGUUCUUGCAUUGCCGCGUCAGCCGACGACUUCCUGUGGAAGUUUUAUGCUAGCUGCAUUGUUGCGAAUAGUGAUUUAUUUCAUACGAUUAUAACUCUAGGCGACGAGGCAGCGCUGGGCAUGCUGAAAGGCAUCGAGAAGACCUUCGGCGGGGUGCCCAUCGUCGACCUGGACGACCUCUGCCGCGCCGAGGUGUUCCUGGCCGAGACGGAGACUACGGCGUCGGGGAGGUACAUCUGCAGCAGCUUCACCACCACCAUCGUCGAGAUCGCACGGUUCCUGGCGAGAAAGUACCCGCAGUACAGCGUCAACGUAGGCAACGAGUAAGACUGCUGCUUUUUAUCGCCGAUGGUCUCGUGUGGUUGUACAUGCCUAGUGAUAAUAAACGCGUGCCGGUUGUUGUGAAUUUGUAGCUCAUCAGGUGAGCUCCUGGAGAAGCCGCGAGUCUGCCUGUCCUCGGCGAAGCUGGUGGAGGAGGGGUUCGAGUUCAGGUACAAGACGCUGGACGAGAUAUACCAAGACGUGGUCGAGUACGGCAAGGCGCUGGGGAUCCUUCCCUACUGAUGAGCCUGGAAGUUUUAUGUUGUUUCUUUGCCGCUAGGCUCUCUAUCAGGCCCAAAUAGCAUGUUUGCCUGACCCGUCGAAACAAAUGAGGAGUGGCAACAAGGCCCACCUUCGCCAUGGCACGUGACAGCCCACUUAGAGCAAGUUUAAUAACGCAGCUAGCAAGCGGCCUGUAAGGUUUCUCUCAGCCUUUUUCUAGCCUACUCGUACAAUGGUUAGCUCUUCACCAUUAAUACAUGGUCCACAAGUCAUUCUCAUAAAGUUUCUUGGUUCCUGUGCCCAAGUCAGCUGUAAGCUUAUAGCUUGCUUCUCCUCUCUCACCUCUUCUCUCUCCUCCACGUCAGCAUUCAGCCAGCUUAUAACCUCUUUAUUAUAGAGGUUCUUAGAUGAAACCUCUGCGCGGGCGCGGCGCCACCGCCUCGCGAGCCAGCAGCAAGCAGUACGGGCCCUUGCCACGCGGCCGACGGGCCGAGCAUGCGCAGCGCCACUUGGGCAUCCGCCGCUGCGCCCGGCGAACGGAUGACGAAGCUACGCGAGCUAGGAGGAGGACGACGCCAAAGCCGGGCCGUCAUGCUGUCGUGCCACGCGACCGGUCGCACGCUUCCAGGAGUUAACGCCACACCAUUCCAAGUGUUCAACGACUGCGGCGGCGGCACAUGCGCGCGCCGUGCCGUGGGCGCUAGUAGUAUCAUUUGCGCGGCCGCGGACAAAGUGUGUCAGCCUGAUCUCCGAUCCUGCUGCUCACGCCGGAUCGAUCUGGUCACGGCGGAGUGAUCGGAUUCGUCCCCCGCCGUACGCGUGGUGGAUCUGGCGACCGAGCAGCCGGCCUGAUCCCGUCGGACCACUGGUCGAAAGGGGAUGCGUGGUAACCAGGCUUUACGCCGGACCACGGAAGAGAGCCGUUGCUACGGUGCCAAAAGGGUAGAGAAGGCCACAGCAGCAUAUACCCGCACCGCACGAUGCCCCGCUGUCGCUUUCCCCAUUUGCGAUUUCAGCUCUAACGCUGCGAGACCAUAAAAAAUGGACACCGGAGCCAGUGAACACGAGCUGCCUCACUGUAGCACAGCCUGCUGCAGUGCUGUUGUUCACGGUUGACGCGGUUGCCUUUGCCUCCAAUUGUGAGAGCGAUGCACAACGACUUGUGGCUGCGCAAAUCCAGCAAUAAUCAAAUCCGACUUUUCAGUUCUAGAUAAAAAUCGAUCCUCGUCUAUUCGUCGCCGUUGCGCUAGCUCCUUUGGAAUCGACAAUGUUCAGAUAACUGGAAACUGGAACUCUGACACGUUUGGAGCAAGCCGUCCCGUCCAAAGUCACUGCAAGUCUGCAAAGCACGACACGGGCUAGAAUAAUCCGUAAACCAAAGCCAACGGCGCGUCCAGAUACGACGCACUGGGAGCUGCAAGGAUUUCCAUUUUCUUCAGGACUGUCGAUUACCAGGAAGGCCUGUAUGUAUGUCACGACGGUCGCUGUGAAUAGCUUCCAUAUAAAACAACGGCACGCCGUCAGUAGCCGCGCCUCCGCCUCCGCCGGCGGGUUAGCUACAAAUAUAGAUGGCUAGAUGGCCCAGGUCUGUUGGUGGCACUAGACCCGACCCUAAAAAGUCCAACGCUAACACCGCACGACACGAAGGCAAUAGUAUCCAGGCCGACCCGAUCCUAAGCAUCGGGCAGCGCCUGAGCCACAACCUUCAGCACGCUGGGUCAGCCCGGGCACAGCACGGUUUUUAGUCAGCAUGACGCCGGCCCGAUACUCCUCCAGCCCUCGUCCCCAACCGUUGGAUCAGGUCAUCUCUUGACCGUUGAAUCCGAUCGUUGGAGGAGGCCUAUAUAAGCCGGCGUCGAUCAUCCUCCUGAUCAGAAACCCUACCCUCCAACCCCACCGCCCCGUACCCCCCGCCCACUCCUCGCCGCCUCCCUCGACUCUCCACUCCCAUUGCCUCUCUGUCGCCCUCUCGUCUCCUCCCUCUCCAGCAAUGUUCCCAGAUGUGUAACUCAGACUUGGUAUGUAAUAAUUUUGAAUUACUUUAAUGUUUAUUUGAUUGAGCUAGGUUGCACUCUUUUUUCCUAUCUAGAGUUUCUCAUGAGGUGUGAAUUUUACUAGAUAGCUAUUUAAUGAGGCAACCAUUACACUAGCUCAAACUUUUGAAAUUGUUUGUCUCUUCUUUGAGUUGUGAAUUGUGGUUUAAGUUGUGCAAUGAUGUGAGUUAUGUGACUUGAUAAAAAUUUUUGCAUCUCCUUUAACUUGAAGUUUUGGUCGAGUGGUGGUUAGCCUAUAGCCCCUAGCUUAGAGCCUGUUUGGUAGAGCUCCAGCAUUGAAAAAAUAGCUCCAAAUCCAUAGAUCCAGCUAGCUCCACCAUAGAGCUGCUCUACCGUGGAUCUAAUAUCUCAAAAAGUGUUUGGUACAGCUCCAAUCUUAUCUUUAUCUCACUGGCAAUUUGGGCCCCUGCAUCAGAAUAAAAAAACAUCUCCUUCAUGGCGCUGUUGCACACACGGUUGAGGUGCUGGCGGGUACGGUCUCGCCAGCGGCCAAACAGCCUCGUGCGCGCUCGCGGGCGCGGCCUCGUUGGCAGCCAGGUGGCUGGGUGCGGGGCGGGGCGUCGGCGGGCGUGGCGGUGCUCCGACGGGCGGAGCGGGACGGUCGGCGGGCGGGACGGCGCUCGAGCGGGCAGGGCGCUAGCCGCCGGCGGAGCGAGACGGCGCUCCGGCGGGCGAGGCGCGGCGGGGCUGCGGCGAGCGGGGCGCGGCCAUGGCGGCGCGAGCAGAGAAGGAAGCUGUGAAGAAAUAGAACGAACCAGUCAUUUUCCACUAAUGAGUGGCAUUGGUGAGUAAUUUCCUCCAACUCCACCAAAUUUGAUUUCGUGGAGCACCCCCUGAGGUGCUCCACCAAAUCCAUGGAUCUGGGGGUAGAUCCACCGUUUUCGUGGAGCAAAUCUAUGGUGGAGUUGCUGGAUCUAAAACCGUUUGGCUGAAAAAAUCUAAAGCAAGAGCUGUUUUUGAGGAUCUGGAGCUGCGUGAAGCUCUACCAAACAGACCCUUAGCACUAACCUGGUAGGCACUACCAUGCCAUCGUGCUAGUCUGGCAUGAUAAAUAGGCCUUAGGGUCAAGCAUGGGCCGUCAGUUUGGCACGCAGUGCCGACAUGGCACGACACGGUUAAAUCAUCAUGGCUAAUAGUGCCGAGCCUCGUCGUGCCGAGCCAAACUGUGCUAGGGCCGGGCUAAGGUCGGGCGGCCCAUCUGCCCACCUAUAGCUACAAAUAACACCCCGCUGUUCACCCCCGGAACGCACGCAGCGAGAGAGGGCGCGCGGCGCAGAACCCCCGCGCCACAAAGAAAGCGCCAUGUCGACGACGGAGCCGCUCCUCCCGGCCGGCGACGCGGCCGCCGGAGGCAAGAAGAAGGAGGGCAACAGGCGCGUGUGCAUCGACGACGCGCUGACGAUGCACGCUGGGGAGUUCGGGCGGUGGCAGCUGCGGCACUUCGUGCUGGUGUCGGCGGCGUGGGCGCUGGAGGCGCUGCACACCAUGGUGAUCAUCUUCGCGGACCGGGAGCCGGCCAUGGUCUGCGGCGCCGUCGGAGGCUGCGGCGAUCGGUGCGCGGGCGCCGCGGCCGGGUGGGAGUGGGCCGACGGCGCCGCCUCGUCCACCGUCGCCGAGUGGGGGCUCGUCUGCGGCGAGCGCUACAAGGUCGGGCUCGCCCAGGCCAUCUUCUUCGCCGGCUGCAUGAUCGGUCAGUACCGUGCUCGUCCUCCAAUCCUCCAUACAUUUCCCAGUGUCAUCUCCAUCUCCGUCUCCAACUGUAUGCGCGUUCGAUUAUCGGCGAUUGGUUUUGGGCGAUUAGGCAUAGAAUUAAGGAUUCAGGCAGGAUGUGCCUUGGCAUUCUGGGAUCGAGAGUUGGCCGGAGAACGAAAAAUUGAAGUACGUAGGCUCCGCCGAGCAGAAUAAUUGAAGCCCCACCAUAUGCGGGGACGCUAGAAUUAGCAAGUGGUGACGACGCCAUCUCGUGCUGCGCUUUCGGCCGGCAUCCCUUGGCCCCAGCUUGCUUGGCUGUUUACUCGCGGGCGCGCGGCUCUCGGGUGCGUCCCCCUUUCGACGGCCAUGUCCACACGAAUGCCGGCCGGCCGGUGAGCCUGACAGACGGGAUGAACGCCGGCGCUGCGGUGUUCACAGCCGCCGCCGCCACCGCCGCCGCCGUACGGAUGUGCCCCACGACUAACGACAGCAUCUAUCGUCAGCCGCGUUGUUUGACUUGUGCCCUUGCGUGCGCAUCGUUUUCCCGUGUCGCGUAGCAUCCGUGAUGCUGCCCAUCGGGUAAUUUACUGGCAAAAAACUACAUCAACGAUCCGUGAUGAUCGACUGCGCUUUUUUUAAAUUUUGUUUUGGAUCUUCCCAACAAUCCCAUCCGCGUCUCCAUCUACCUCAAGAGUAAAAGUCCAGACCGAGUUUAGGCCGGUGUCAUUUUCUUACGCACAUGUCCCAUUCAGCUACGUGAUUUUCCAGCGCCGCGAGACGAGAUAUACCGAGGAAUCUUUUGUCCCGAUCCGAGCAUCCCGCUGCUGCUGCGCUGCAUGCAUCAUAUCCACUACCUGUGGCUGUGGACUGGUGCUCGGAUCCGGACACUGGACGGAUCCGACGCACCACACAGAUUGGUCUGCGAGCUAGGCGGCGUAGCGAGACGUAACCACACACCUGUGGCUGUGUCUGUGGACAUGGCAAUCGCAACGAACCCUCCAUGCACGCUUCCCGUCGGGACCGGCUCUCUGCCACUGAUUGGUCUGCGAGGUGGCGUAGCGAGACGUGACACGUGCGCACACGUGUGGAGCAGAUUGCCUAACGUAGCCUGGCUACGUGGCCGUCCCCGCCGUGCCUAGUGCCACCUCGGCUCUGACGUGGGGAUGUCCCCAAUCAAAUCGCUUUGCUCUCGUCCGCUUCAGGCAACUGGCCGCGCGUCGUCUCCUACCUCACAAACUGACAAAAACAGUCGGCUAUCAAGUAAUGGGCUCCUUGUCUGGACGGGCUUAGUUUUCGAGCUAGACCGGGCCCAAUCAAACGUGUUUUUUUUUUUAAUUUCCUUCCUCUCGCGCGCGUUCUACUUCUAACAUGUCGUCGUGUUCUGAGUUCUGACUUCUGACCGUGUGCGCUUCUCUACUGUAUGCAGGCGCCGGCGUGUUCGGGCACCUGUCGGACUCGUUCCUGGGCCGCAAGGGCUCCCUGCAGGUGGUCUGCGUCCUCAACGCCACCUUCGGCCUCCUCACCGCGCUGGCACCCAACUACUGGGCCUACGCCGCGCUGCGCCUCCUCACGGGCUUCAGCACCGGCAGCGUCGGCGUGCUCGCCUUCGUCCUCGCCACCGAGCCCAUCGGGCCCUCCCGCCGCGGCGCCGCGGGGAUGUCCACCUUCUACUUCUUCUCCGGCGGCAUCGCGGCGCUCGCGGGCGUCGCCGCGCUCUUCCCGCGCUCCUGGCGCGCGCUCUACGUCGUCACCUCGCUCCCGUCCCUCGCCUUCGUCGCCGCCGUCGUGCCCUUCGUCUCCGAGUCCCCGCGGUGGUACCUCGUGCGCCGCCGGGCUGACGACGCCAUGCGCGUUCUCCGCGCCAUCGCCGUCGCCAACGGGAGGACCGUCCCCGACGACGUCACGCUCAAGCUCGACGACGAGGACGAGGAAGGGACGAAGGGCGUCGAUGAUGAGUCGGCGAACUCUUCGUCGUCUUCGGGAUCCAUCGUCGACGUGUUCCGGUCGCGUACCACGCGGGCCCGCCUCGUGCUCUCGGUGCUCAUCAACCUCCUGGCGUCGGUGGUGUACUACGGCCUCAGCCUCAACGUGGUCAACCUCAAGACCAACCUCUACGUCAGCGUCGUCGUCAACUCGCUCGCCGAGAUGCCCGCCUACCUGCUCACCGCGCUGCUCCUCGACCGGUUCGGGCGGAAGCCGCUCGCCAUCGGCACCAUGCUGCUCAGCGGCAUCUUCUGCACCGCCGGGAGCCUCAUCGCCGGUGCAGGCAUCUUGAGGUCAGCCAGAUAGUAACCUUCAGUACUCAAUUGAUCCUUCAAACUAUCUUGCCAUGCAUAUCGCGCUGCUCAGGCUGCUUAGUUUUAUCAAUUAACUGCCAUAUGCAACUAACGGACUUGCACUUGAAAAUGGACUUGGACCACUGCGCGCAGGGUUGUGCGGAUGGCUUGCGGCGUGGUGGGCAUCUUCGGCAUGGCGGCGACGUACAACCUGCUGUUCAUCUACACGGCGGAGCUGUUCCCGACGGUGGUGCGGAACGCGGCGCUGGGGUGCACGGCGCAGGCGGCGCAGAUGGGGGCCAUCGUGGCGCCGCUGGUGGUGGUGCUCGGGGAGAGGGUGCCGUUCGCGGUGUUCGGCGCGUCGGGCAUCGUCGGCGGGCUGCUGGUCUUCUACCUGCCGGAGACCAUGAACAAGCCCCUGUACGACACCAUGGCCGGGCUGGAGGAAGGGGAGAAGAGCCUGCUGGGCUGAGGCGAUGGGUCUUUCGGUCUUGCUUGUAAUUUUGUGUAACUGAAAGGGAAUGAAAGUUGUCGUCCACGUUCGUGAGGUGGGUUACGCAAUGCUGCAUCGUCAGAACGUGCAUCUCCACAGUCCUAGUGCUCUCCGGUGAUCUCUGAGUCUCCGACCAGCCGCGCAACGCCAACGCCGUGCUGGUUGGUUCACGUCUUGCAUACAUCAAACUACUACUUUUUUUCGUGGAUGAAUCCCUUCGAUCUCCGAAGCACGGAAUUUCGCCAUUUCGGCAUCACGCACUUACCGUGCCAGUGCAAAUCACUUUUCCGAUCGCGCUCAGAUGUCGUGCACUUCCCACACCCUCAGUUGGAUCUGGAGCGUAACAGCUUUUUUUUUAAAAAAAAAAAACUGUUUGGUGCGUAACAGCACUUGCCAUUUUCCGUGGUCUUUUGUUUUGCGCAACACACACACACAAAAAAAAAACAUUAUCGUCUCACGAACAGGAUUCACAAAAAGAAAAGAAGCAGUGUGCCGCAGCCUGCGUGUGUCUCGAUGUCCGGUUGCAAACUCGCAAUUCCUUUCUUUCUUUCUUUUUUUAUAAAAAAACAAUUCCUUUCUUACCCCGCCGAGGUCGCAAGAUAUUUUCCCCGCCUCGCGUUUACAGCGAGGCGACGGCUCAGAUGGCGUCGAAGCGGAAGCGCCCAUUGAUUGAAGGAGAUGGUAGCCGCGUGGGGGACCGCGGGCGGAUGCAUGGUAAACAGGAUAGAAGCAACCCAACAAAGUUUGGAGUGGGCCUCGGGACCGGCCUUUGGUUAGCCCAAUUAAACGCAACCAGCCUGCGCAUGGCCUUGAUUUCCUACCUGAGGCGAAAUUACCUUUACUCAUUUCUUUUUUUGCACAAGGAGAGGGAAAAUCAAUUGUUGCCUUUUCUUUAACGGUCAAAGUGUUGCCUUUUUUUUAACGCUCAAAUGUGCGUGCAUUUUUUUUUUCUCUUCGCACAAGUUUUAGUUUGACCUCAUUUUUUUUUGUGUAAUGGGAGAUGCUUCCAUAACCUGACCAUCUAUAUUUUUAGAUGAUUUUCGCUCGCGAACACGCUAACCAUAACCUGAUGACCAUGCCUCCACACAUGAACCUAUCAUGCACGAGACGGAGACGCUCGCAGCGGCAUCAAGUAUGAUUUGGAGCGUAACAACAUUUGCCAUUUUUCGUUUCAUAAAAAAAACAUCUAUCUUUUUUGGUUCUGCGGUCUCUUUUUUUUUUUGCGCACAUAAAAAAAGUUUAGCGUGUCACUGUGUCAUGGAUAAGAUUAAAAAAAGAAAAUACCGGUGCGCCGCAUCCUGUGUGUGUGUCCGCUGUCCGGUUCAAACUAGCAAUCGCCUUCUUCCUUCUUUUAUUUUUUUAUAAAAAAAUCCUUUCUUUCCCCGCCGAGGUGCUCGGAACAGCUGCAGCUGGCAGCCGCUACAUGACUGCAGUCAGCCGUCCAGCUGCGUCCAGCAACUGUUAGAGUUAGCAUACAUUCAAUCAUAUCUGGCACAAACCAUUGGCCAACAGAAGGAAAAGAACUGCGAAGGGUGAAUGGGAAAGAGAGAUCACGAGCGAUGCUUGGAGACUUUUGACCAGACAAGCUGUUGGGCUGCAGCUGCAGCUCCUUUUUCCGAGCGGCUGCGCUGUAGCCGCAGCCGCAGAAGUAGCUGAGCGACGGCUCAGAUAGCAAGAUGGGCCAUGGAGCAGGCAGGGGCCAUGAACGACUGAUUCUUUCGCGCGCCGCCAGAUGAAGUAGUUUGUCGCCUGAUUCGCUUGCGGCGAGGAGGGCAGUGUAGCGGGUGUGUGCUUCUGUGUCCCCUGCUGGCAGAUUGAGCGCAAAGUGAGAGGGAGCCAGCAGAUCGAGCACAGGGUAGAGGAAGCCGGGUUCUCAAGCUGGCCGCGGGCCGGCUGGCGUGGCUCGCCUCCGCGGCCAUCGCGCUCGGGGCCGCCGUGCAGUGUGCAGCGUCGUGGGCAGCCGCCGCAUGGACGCCGACACCGAUGACGAGUUGGAGGCGCCUGCACGCUGAGACCUACGCGCUAGCGUGGGCUGCGGUGAGGUCGCCGAGCAGGUCACGCCCACUCAUGGUGACGGCGGGGCAGGCACUGGCAAGGACGCCCAGCAUAUGAUCGGAGGUAGUAGCUAUGGUGCAGGCAGGCAUGAGAUAGGUGGCCAGGAGUGCAGAUAGAGGAUAUAGACUGUAGGAUGAUAAAAGUUAAGGUGUUUUUUUUUUUUGCAUAUAUUUGCCAGCAUGCGCCAUGGUGGCAUGCCACGUAGGCGUCAGAAGCGUACAUGGCUUGUUUGGGACCUGGGAUGGAUCGUUUAGAUAGUUCGGAAUAAAAAUGCAUUUUAUAAGUUUAGGAAUCUUAUUGACACGGCGAGAUAAGUUUGGGAACAGUGGUACAUUUUACUUAAAAAAUAAAGUCAAAACCCUCAAUGUUCAAACUUGCUCUCUUUUUUUGAGGGGAUGUUCAAAACUUCCUGCACGGCCUGAUCCGCAACCGCCACAAGAAGAGUUUGUAGUGGGCCUCGGGACCGGCCUUUCAUUAGCCCAUUAAACGCAACCAGCCUGUAUUGCGCCGUCACCGUAUAGAGAAUUUUUCAUUUUUAUAUUUUUUAUUUUAGCAUUUUGUAAAAAUAUAUGUUCAAAUAAAAAAUUGCAGAUUUAUACGCAUACCGCGGUUUGCCGUUUGAAACGGGUAUAGCAAGUUCAACCGGUGGAAGGUGCACUGUAGUAACUGGUGGAAUUUCUUUUCUCUGAGCAAUAUAUCUUUAAAACAUCGUAACUUUGAACUCGGAUGGAGAUAAGCUUUUUACGAAAAUUGUAGAUCUUGAUGAGAUCUCCAACUUUUUUAGUUCAAACUUUUUUUUAUUUAGAAUCAUCUUGGUACUCAAAUAAUCGAUAUCUAUAUCGAUUAUUUGAGUACCGAGAUGAUUCCACAUGUUGAUCUCGACGCAUGUAGAGUGUGUGCCGCGAGAGCAUGCUACUCUAGUGCUCUUCAGCUCUAGUUACUCUCUUCUGUGUUCUAUGUCGAAGGAGGAACCGUGGACGUGCCAGAGGGAAGAUGAUGCCUUGGGCUACGUACGUUUGGAAAGGCUCCUCCCAAACCGGCUCAUUAGCAUUACUUCGAUAGCAGAAGUCGGUAGGAGUUGCGAAUAGGAAAAAGAAAAAUGGCUUCAGCGAGGAGUAUGCGUUUAUUUUCUUCUUAGAUGUCAAUAACCGGCUCUUUUUUUUGGCAGUAGUGCUAAUGUGCUACAGUGCCAAAUUUCAUGUGAAACCAAAGAAAGGAUGAGCAGUGCCAAACGCACUUGUACUGUCAUAGCGGUCUGCGCAUAAACUCUGCUGACUUGCUGAGUGCGACGCGACCUCCAUUUGCAGCAGUGAAAAUUACGGAGACGGGACGACGAACCUGGCGAGGCAAGCCCAUUCUCUGGAUCAUAUCACACAGCAUAUGACCCAGUGUCUGACCGUCUCAUGUUCAUGCUCCAAUAGAUUAGCAUCGAUGUAUAUACGCACGUUCCAAGUUUAAAAUCCACACACGUUAAUUCUAAUCAGGAUGCAUGCAGUGCGCACGGCACAACAGCCAGCGGCAGCAGACCUUCCAUUCCUGUUUUACCGGGCACGAAGACUAGUACCACCACUGUUACUGGAACUGCGUGCAUGGCUACGAGUCAACAGUAGCCUUUGUUUUUGUCCACCUGCUACUGCUCUGUAGUCAAUUGAGAAAGGAGACUCGUACUAACAGGAGGUUCCAAACCGAUGCUUCUGAAUUCGCCAACUAUCCGUACCAUUUACCACUCUCGGCUCAGGCAAUCCAAGCUUAAUAAACAGGCAUUUUGUUUGUAGUAUCAUUCACAUUUCCGAGGCAAAUCUUGGUUUUCGAAUCUACUUGCAGCACAAUCAAUUAAUAACUCAGAAUGACUUCAAAUCGAAUGCAGGCAAUGGUACCUGCGUAGUAGCUUAAAGUUCCUAAAGUUUUAAAGUUUAGGCCCUGUUUGGGAGAGGGGGGCUAAAGUUUAGCACCCCCACUUUAGCUCAUUUUAGCCCCCAAGCUUCCCAAACAGGUGGGCUAAAGUGGGGGUGCUAAACUUUAGCCCCCCACUAAUCAUUUAGUCACUUGGGGGUAGCUAAAAUGGGCUAAAUGGACUAAAAAGUGGUCCCCCUCUACCACUUUCCCCUCCUGCCCCCUUCCCCUCUCUCUCCUCCCCUCACUCUCUCUCUCCCCCGCCUCCUUCGCCCGAACCGGCGCCUCCGACUCGCCCGGCCGCCUCCGCCCCGCCGCCAUCCUCCUUCGUCCGGCUGCCGCCGCCGCCUCCAUCUCCGACCGGCCCCGCCGCCUCCAUCUCCGACCGGCCCCGCCGCCGCCCGCCCGCCGCCUCCGUCUCGCCGCCGCCACCUCCAUCUCCGACCGGACCCGCCGCCGCUCGCCCGCCCAAGCGGUCUACGCCGGCCCCGCCUGCCUCCGCCUCGCCGUCGCCGCCUUCGUCUCCGGCCGGCCCCGCCACCGCCCGCCCGCGCCGCCCGUCCUUCGCCGCCCGCGCUGCCGCCCGGCCUCCGCCGCCCGCGCCGCCCGCCUCGCCGCCGCCCGGCCUCCGCCGCCCGCGCCGCCCGCCCGCCGCCCGCUGCGCCCCGCUAAACUCCAGCUGCGAUGCCGGCGUCGGGCUCGUCGUCGACGGAGACCGGGAUGGAGCCCCAGUCGGCGCCGUAGAGCACGGAGGUGGCCCUGCUGAACUCCAGCUGAGAGGAAAACGGUGGGAGGGGCAGCACAGCAGGGGCAAAAGGGACAUUUUACAGAAGAGGUGCUAAACUUUAGCCCUCUUUCCAAACACCCAAGGUGCUAAACUUUAGCCCUUUCAUUUGAGGGGGCUAAAUUUUAGCCCAAGGCUAAAUUUUAGCACCCCUCUCCCAAACAGGGCCUUAGUAGUAUAAUAAAAUUUAGGACCCUUAAAUUGCUAAUUUAAGUUCUAAAGUUGAGUACAUGGCUGUUUGGAUGGAUUACUAAUCUUUAGGAUCUUAGAGAGAAAAUAUCAUUUUUACCUCUCAAUUACUCCUCUAAACUACCCCUGCACUUCACGUCAUUAAUGCAUGCGAGGGCAAUAGAGGUAAAGGGGGACUUGGGACUACUUUUAGGAGAAAUAGUAUCUAUUAGGACCCCUUGGUCCUCCUAAUGAAAAUAGCCCUUAUAAAUUUAGGAGUUUACUUUUAGAACCCAUGUUUGGAUGUACAAGUUAUAAAAAUGAACUCGCAGGUGCAGCACAGUGUUCCCUUCGGUUCAGAGUUUGUAGACCUGCCCAUGCAAUGCAAGCGACACUUUCAGCUGUUCCAAUGUUUAAAUGCAGAAUAAAAGUGAGCAAAUUAACCCAUCAUUAUUUACCCCUGAUUGCAAAGUUACCGGAGUGUUUUGUAGUGCGGGCACGCUGCAGAGACGCAUGGGCAGCAACUGUACCUGCCCCCACCGUGUUUUGCCCACUUCUUGGCGCUUUUUGGCAGUCUCCGCAUAAACUCUGCUGCACUGCAUGCGACCUCAGCUCCUCCAUUUGCAGCAGCAGCAGCAGCAGAGAAAAAUUACGGGCACGGGACGAGCAAGCCACUGGCGACUGCCGAGGCGGGCCCACUCUCUGGUCCAGGGACAGCUCCGGACUCUCGAUCCGUCUCCCGUGGCAGCGUGGGGGCCGCCGGGGCGGCACGGAAUGCAGCGGGCCUUUGACCAAGCGUCUGGUCAAGCGUCUGGCCGUGGAGAGAGAGAGAGAGAGAGAGAGAGAGAGAGAGAGAGAGCGGGGGGAACCGCGGCCAGCAAAGCCAAUGCCGUGUUGGUCCGUUGGUUCACGUCUUGCGUGCACCAAAUUCCGUUCAAGAAUCUCUUUCCAUUUCCGAAGCACGGAAUUUUAGCAUCAGUCACGCACUUACCGUGCAAUCACUUUCUCUGCUCGCCCCGAUGUCGUGCGGCGCACUUGCCACGCACGAACUUGUCAUGCACGAGAAUGGAGGCGUUUGAGGCGGCAUCAAUUAUGAUUUUGGAACGUGCUAACAACAACAUUUGUACGCACUUGCAGUACUGUCCUGGCACUAUCCAGUCUCCACGGAACACUGCUGCGUUGCGUGCGAGCGGUUCGUCCUCCAUUUCCAUCAGCCGCAGCCGAAUUAUGGACCGACCGGCCAAGUAAACAUGCGCUUCGCACAUGAACUUGUCACGCACGAGAUGGAACCGAGGUAGCCGUUGGCUGUUGGCAGCGGCAUCAUGUAUGAUUUGGAAUUUUGGAGCAUACCAAGAUUUGGCUCCGUAAGUCUUUUUGCACAGCACCCAAAAGAAAAGGAAAUUAGCAUGGUAUUUGGAGUAGUAUUUUUUUUUCCAAAAGAAAAGAAAAUCCAAACUGAAAUUCCUUUCUUACGCCGCUCAGGUAGAAGAUAUUUUCCCCCGCAUCGCGUUUACAGCCAGGCGACGGCUCAGAUGUCGAGGACAAACGGAAGCGGCUCAUUGAUUGCUGGAGAUGGGGGUAGGUGGGAGCGGGAUGCAUGGUAACAAAAAAGAAGGCAAAACCCUCGUUUUCGCUCACUGACGCCGGGUCCCGCCCAAAAUAUACCCCACAUGUCAGUGAGCUUCGGAAACCCUGGCGCUUCCAUUUCGCGCCCAGCCCACCGGCCCGGACCCCUCGGAUUCGGCCUUAAAAGGGGAUGCCCGGUCGCCCUCUCCUCAUUCCCCACACCUCACCUUCUCCUCCACAGCCGUCUAGGGUUUGCGAGGGAGGGUUUUCCGGCGAGAGGGCGGAGAUGGCGGCGGAGCGUGCGAAGGGGACGGUGAAGUGGUUCAACGGGACCAAGGGCUUCGGCUUCAUCAGCCCCGACGACGGCAGCCAGGACCUCUUCGUCCACCAGUCCUGCGUCAAGGCCGACGGCUACCCCAACCUCAAGGACGGCGAGGCCGUCGAGUACACCGUCGGCAGCGACCACGACGGACGCUCCAAGGCCCUCGACGUCACCGCGCCCGGCGGCGGCUCCCUCCCCGGCGGGGAGCGCCCCGACAGCGGCGGCUACGGCGGGCGCGGCGGCGGCGACCGCGGCGGCUACGGUGGAGGCGGCGGCGGUUACGGAGGAGGCGGCGACCGCGGCUACGGCGGCGGAGGCGACCGCGGCUACGGGGGAGGAGGCGGCUACGGCGGCGGCGGCGACCGCGGCUACGGCGGUGGCGGCGGUGGACGCGGCAGUGGCUGCUACAAGUGCGGCGAGGAGGGCCACAUGGCGAGGGACUGCUCCCAGGGCGGCGGCGGCGGCGGGUACGGCGGCGGCGGCGGCGGUGGAGGCGGCCGGGGCUGCUACAAGUGCGGCGAGGAGGGCCACUUGGCGAGGGACUGCACCCAGGGCGGCGGCGGCGGCGGCUACGGCGGUGGUGGAGGCGGCGGUGGCGGCGGCCGCGGGUGCUACAACUGCGGUGGCGAGGGCCACAUCUCCCGCGAGUGCCCCAACAGGCACUAGGCGCAGCGUCGGAUCCGGUCCGAGUCCCACCUCCUGGCUCUUGCAUGAAGUCAUGGCCACCUAUCUAUCUAUCUAUCAGUAGUUGCAGUAGUGUUUCGUUCUCGUCGGUCGUGUCUUGUCGUAGUAGGAAGAAGGCGCGUGUAGAAGUGGUGGUAUGGAUCUGUGUCGAAGUCGUAGUGUUUUCGUCUUUUAAUCAAGCUGUAAGGCAGCCAUGGUCAUGGAUGGCACUGCCCGAUCUAUCUAUCUAUUUUGGAAUGGAGUGGUAAUCUAUCGAACUCAGUUAUGUGCCUGGAUGCCUCUGUUGUUGAUCCUGUGUUCGUUUUGAACUCAGUUAUAUGCCUGGAUACCUCUGUCUUGUUGAUUCUGUGUUCUUCGUUUUGUCGCUCGGUUGAUUGGAUCGUUCUUAUGUUCUUAGCAUCAAAAUCUUCGUUGCUGCAUUUGUUGUGCGAUGUGGUAGUGAUCGUUCUGUGAUCAACUUUCUUCUUUACUGCUGCCUGUGUCGUUUGAUGAAAUUGCUUUACAUGUGAGGUGAAAAUUGUUGAAAAUUGUUGAGAAGGAUCAAGAGAGAUUGGGGUUUUUAGAUUCCAAUCCCAAUGUGAGAUGGAAAAUGAUGGGGAGGAAGAGAGAGGAGAGGGGGAGGUAUGGGAGAGGCCUGCUGGAAAAAGCAAGCAGGACAGGGAUCAGGCAGUGCAGUCUGCCAUGGUUGCUUUGGCAAGAGAGAGGGCCUGGCUGGCUGGCCAGCAGGAGUGGCAGGCUUGGUUUUGUCCGCAUCGUGGGGCAGUUGCGAAAAAGCGAGGGGUGUUUCCAUUUCUGUUGGCAAUGGGACAGGAGCGGGCAGAGGAGCCGUGGACGCGUGGGUUUCCUUUUCCCCUGCGUCCUUUGCCUUGACGCCUGCGUUUCCUCCACGCAGUGACCAGACGAGACCGGGGCUUGACCGCUUGGGGUCCUGGGGAGGCCGGGGGGCUCCCCGGGACGGGACGGGCACUUCCUUGGCUGGCAACCUGGCAGCUGGCUCCUCGCCUCCUCCAGUCCGCAGCCCUCCCUGUUACCAGCAAGGCAGCAACCAGCACAGACCUGUGGAGAGAGAGACAGAGGAGGAGGGAGUGAGUGAGGGGUGUAUCGUGGAAUGGAACUUCCAUACUCUAAAGACAUUAUUAUCUUGUGGUAGGAUAGUAUGAAUCCUACAUAAAUCUGAUGGUGAGCUGAAAAUUUAAUGAGGGAAAGGGUGUGGAGCUCCUACAUUGCCUACAUAGUAGUACGUACACUUUCUAAAAAAAAAAUAAAAAGGUCCGUUUGGAUUCUUGGAAUUGAAUUCCAUUCUAAUAAUCAUAAUUUAGAUACAAAUUAAUUAAACUAAUAUAAUUAUACGUGGAAUAUAUUUGUAUAUUAUUGUUGGCCAUACGAGGAAGAUAAUUAUGUGCUGCGAUUCUGCUAUAGGGAAGCGAGUCGAAGAGCGUGAGUUGCACAUUAAACAUAGCACGAGGACGUCUUCCGUUCUGCUUGUUUCAUUUAUCGCUUCAGCUACUGAUCGCCUAAAACGUAUGAAGCCUAAUAUAAUUGUUUGAAUGCUGCAGAUAGGGUCUCUUUCGUUAACAUUUCAUGGCCAUGACCUUAUUGUAGAUUCGGAGUUGGAGCUCAACUAUGCGAGGUGCACAUAUAAUUCCGUCACCUGUACCCAUUCAGUUACGACAAAGUGUGCACCACGAGCACACAAUUGACAGUUUGGCCUCAGACGUUACGGUUUACUUGGACUAAAAGGCUGUGGAAAAUCUACUCUUCUCACAGCAAUAGGUUGCAGAGAACUUCCUAUCCCUCAACACAUGGACAUAUGCCAUCUCACCCGAGAGAUUGAGGCUUCAGACAUGUCUGCACUGCAAGCUGUUGUUAGCUGUGAUGAAGAGAGAGUCAAGUUGGAGAAGGAAGCAGAAAUUUUGGCUGCACAGGUCAGCUCUUCAACUCUCACACACACGAUUGCUUAUCUUCACACCUUUUUCUUCACUAUAUCCUGCCUUUCCACUGUUGCAAAUUAUCACUUGAUGCUGGAUAAUGUCCUUACGUAGUAACAAGGAUUUUUCCCUCUCACAUUUUUAGGAUGACUGUGGUGGUGACGCGUUGGAUCAUGUGUAUGAGCGUCUAGAAGCGAUUGAUAUUAUUUGGUUUAGGUUUUAACAAGCAAACGCAGGCGACGAAAACCCGAGAUUUUUCUGGAGGUUGCCGUAUGAGGAUUGCUUCGGCUAGAUCACUGUUCAUGAACACAACAAUCCUUUUGCUUGAUGAGCCCACAAACCAUCUUGGUAAGAUCCUUGAAUUUUAAAGUAAACAGAAACUGGAUAAGAAACUAGGUUUUCUAUGGAUAGAAAUGUGCUAUUUUCUUGGUAAGUGUGGUGAACUAGAAAUCUACUAUCCUACCAUAGUCCAAAUCUUGUUUACACAAUGAAUUGCAGCUCCUGUGUAGAUCAUAGUCAUAACUCAUACGUACAUGUGGAUGGCACAUGGUAUCCAGUAUCAUACUGAUACAGCUUGGUUUCCUAUAUAAGUAGCUGAGUCGUCCAAAGAUGAGAUAUCACACCAAUUACCUCACCUGUGUUUUCUGUUGUAUCACUCAGCGUGAUACCUCUGCUACCCAUUUUGUUUAGCUUAAAUGGUUUCAGCUAUUUGAUUAUUGUUUCCUCAUAGCAUCUAAACCUGUAGCGUGAGUGAUUAAACGAACUAUUGAAGUAAAAAAAGAUCUGCAGAAAGGUCUUUCAAGACACUGUUUUGGUGAACUUGUUGCUCCUCUGGACUAAUUUGCUACGCCUAUUUGUAGAUCUUGAGGCUUGUGUCUGGUUGGAAGAGACGCUAUAGAAAUUUGAUCGCAUACUUGUGGUCAUAUCGCACUCCCAGGACUUUCUGAAUGGAGUGUGCACUAACAUAAUACAUAUGCAGAACAAGAAGCUCAAGUUAUACACCGGGAAUUAUGACCAGUAUGUUCAGACCCGCUGCGAGCUUGAAGAGAACCAGAUGAAGCAGUACAGAUGGGAGCAGGAGCAGAUUGGCAGAUUGCUUCAAUGAAGGAGUACAUUGCACGGUUCGGCCAUGGGUCUGCAAAGCUUGCACGUCAGGCCCAGAGCAAGGAGAAGACUCUCGCAAAGAUGGAGCGUGGUGGGCUCACGGAGAAGGUUGUUAGGGACAGGAUACUGGUGUUGUUCCGCUUCACAAAUGUUGGCAAGCUUCCACCGCCAGUGCUGCAGUUUGUCGAGGUCACGUUUGGGUACACACCGCAUAAUCUGUUAUACAAGAAGCUUGACUUAGGUGUCGACCUGGACUCUAGAAUUGCGUUGGUUGGUCCCAAUGGGGCAGGGAAGAGCACCCUUCUGAAGCUGAUGACAGGUGAGGUGGCUCCACUGGAUGGUAAGGUGAGGCGGCACAAUCACCUGCGCAUCGCGCAGUUCCAUCAGCAUCUGGCGGAGAAGCUGGACCAGGACAUGUCGGCCCUGCAGUACAUGCUGAAGGAAUACCCUAGGAACGAGGAAGAGAGGAUGAGAGUUGCGGUUGGUAAGUUCGGGCUGUCGGGGAAGGCUCAGGUGAUGCCGAUGAGGAAUCUGUCGGACGGGCGGAGGAGCCGUGUGAUCUUUGCGUGGCUGGCAUACAGGCAGCCACAGCUGCUGCUGCUGGACGAGCCGACGAACCAUCUUGAUGAUAUCGAGACCAUCGGCUCCCUAGCGGAGGCGCUGUACGAGUGGGAUGGCGGUCUGGUCCUGGUGAGCCAUGACUUCAGGCUGAUCAACCAGGUUGCUCGUGAGAUCUGGGUGUGUGAGAACCAGGCGGUGACCAGGUGGGAAGGCGAUAUCAUGGACUUCAAGAGGAACACUUGAGGAGCAAGGCUGGUCUGUCUGAUUAGAGGCCUUGUUUUCUUCUUCUUUAUGUAGUAUCUAUGUACCACAGUCAGAAUCCGUCCGGUUAUGCUCUCUACUUAUCUAGUAUAUAUAGCAGAUUGUGUGUAGAAACGAUUACUACCGUGUUGAAUCUCGUCUCGGCAUGAUGAUGUCUCAUAAGAAGGAGCCAGAGGAUUUGUAAAUGUUUGUCUGCAUAUAUAUAUUUUUCCAGUCGACUGGGGAAGCUAUUCAGAGGUGUGGAGCGUAUUCAGAGGUGGGCAUGUCAAUGCACAAUCUUCUUCAGACAUGAUUCCCGGUACUGCUUUCCAUUAUUUGAUUUGGGUUCAGUAUACCCUGUUGUCGGAUGUUUAUAUUUAUGGACCUGGAUAGCUGAGAAGGAAAAUAUAGCAGAAUCUGGAGGAAUUUGCGGAAGAACGCAGCAAGAAUUCGAGAUAGAACAGAAGGGAUUCGGACAAAGCUUCAUCAAUGCCUACUGACUCAUGCAAGCACACACCAGCCAGGGUACAUGGCAUUUCCAGAUUUUGCUGCACUAACUAGAUGAAUGGCCGGCCUCAGGCCCAACCGGAUCAUGGCCCAUAACAGACGCAACGGCCCACUCCACCACUCGCCAGAGCGAUCAUCAUCAUCUCCUUGUUGCUUCCCGACCUGCAAAAAACAAACGCUCCAUGGCAUGCUUGUCUCUGGCUGCUGGAGCAUGGUGGGGGGUGGUGUUGCUGCUGCACUGAACUGAUGACCAGGCUAGCAGUCUAGCACCGCGCAGGAAGGCGAACAAGACAAGGGCCAUGUUUUAACUCCCAAAUUUGAUAUUACGCAAAAAGAAGAUUCCCCGUCACAUCAAAUUUGCGAUACAUGCAUUGAGUACUAAAUGUAGACGAAAUCAAAAACUAAUUGCACGGUUUUGUUGUACUUUGUGAGACGAAUCUUUUGAGCCUAAUUAGUCAAUAUUUGGACAAUAAUUCACAAAUACAAACGAAACGCUACAGUUACGCAUUUAUGGCAAAAUGCCAAUUUUGCCACUCCCAGAUUGGGAACUAAACAAGAUCAAGAAAGAAAAGAGCGGAGUGGAAGUGGAGGAGGGAGGAGCGCUGAGCAGCGAGAGCAUACAGCAGAGACUAGGGUCUUGUUUAGUUGCUAAAGUUUGGAGGUGCCAAAUUACUGUUACAACAUUGUAGCACACUGUAGCGUUUCGUUUGUAUUUGUGAAUUAUUGUCCAAACAUUGACUAAUUAGGCUCAAAAGAUUCGUCUCGCAAAGUAGAACAAAACUGUGCAAUUAGUUUUUAAUUUCAUCUACAUUUAGAACUCCAUACAUGUACUGCAAGUUUGAUAUGAUGAGGAUUUUUUUUUUUCAUAGUGCCAAAAUUAGGAGUUGAGGGUGAACUAAACAAGGACUAGAGAGGCGAGGGCGUGCUGCCUGCUGGUCGUACUCGUCCGGGGAUUAUUGGUUGGGAUCGGCGGAAGAAAAAAAAGGCACGCAGGGCAGGAGCAGGAUUCCCGGCCGGGACUGACCGGACCGACGCCCCCUCCCUGACGACUGACGAGCAGCGAGGAGCCGCGCGUGAGUUGCAUUUGCAGCGGCGUCUGUGGUCUCCCUCCCUCGGUCCUCCCAUGUCCCAACCGAGCCAUCUUUCAUCUCAACUUUGUACAUCCGGUUACGUGAUGUUUACAUUGGGAAGGCCGGCGGUCAGCAAAAUUGGACGGGGAGUUGACCAGAUGUUGACUUGGUUAGUUAACCUGGAAAUCAAUUUUUAAAAAUGUAGCUGCACCCACCGUGUCUUGAAUUAACAUAGACCACCCCUGCUGAUUACUAGUACUUCCCAUGUCCAUCAAACCGAAUCCCCGGUUCCUCUCUUGUGUCGUCUUCUCCGGCACCUGCAGGAUGCACUGCCCUCGAUUGUCCAGCCUUCUCCAUCCCCACCGGCCACCGGCUCCAUUCAGAUUGAUGUUUUUUUUGAAAGAACAGGAGGGUUGCCCCUACUGAUUAUAUAAAUAGAAUGUUAAAACAGCUACAAAAACCACCACCAAGACAGAAGAAAAAUAAAAAAAAAACAACAAAAGGUCUAAAGGAAAAGAAAACUAGAGCAGGUUACAAAGCGGCCACCCAAUCCAACAUCUGAGGUUGUAAGAGAAUCUUAGCCCUAUGGAGCGCUACUUGCUGAAACUCUGAGAUGAACUUUCUUUUGACAUCUCUGAUCACCGGAGCCACGUUGUUGAAAGUCCAGUCAUUUCUGGAUGUCCAUAUGCUCCAAGACAUAAGGAUUAUUAUUUCCAUGGAGAAGGGUAAAGACAGCUGUCUUCUAAUGUUGAGGAAGAUGGAGAUGACCGAUCUAGAGGAGGGAUAAGAGAUACCGAUCGCGCGCCAACAAGCCUUGGCGAAAUUGCAUCUUAGGAAGAGAUGUGCUGCUGUCUCACGUUUUUGUAGGAUGCACAUUUCACACGCUGUGGAGUCCAAAUCCAUGGAUCUCCUGCUGAGAACAUCUUUGGUGUUGACUCUGUCCUUCAUGAGGAGCCAAAAGAAGAAUUUGUGUUUAUUUUGACAUUUUGAUCUCCAUAACCAGCUGAACAUUGGGUGAGCUCCUCUUUCUCCAAUAAUAAUCUUGUAAGUCUUAGAUGUUGAGAAGAUAGGAUUACCCCAAGCGUACAACCAUAUGUCUUUUGGUAGUGAGAGGUCUAUCUGAUGAAUGAACCCCUGCAAUUGUGUGAGCUGAUCAUGUGCUUCAGCUGACAAGGGUAACUGCACAAGAUUUAGUAAUGGGCCUUGCAGAGCCUUUUUGAGCGUGGUUCUUUCAUCCUUUGCAUAGGAAGCUAGCUGUGGGAGAUCACGAGAUAGGAGAUGACCGUUCCAAGUAUCUUUCCAGAAAAGGACUGUGCCACCAUCAGAGAUUCUAGCAGACGCUAUUCCCUUGUAUAUAUCAAUGAGCUUCACUAUGUCUCGCCACCAGAAAGACCCUUUCCUACGUCCUCCAGGGAGGUUACUGUGCUGAUAGUAUCUUUCCCAGAGGAGGUGUACCCAGGGAAGGUCCUCUUGGGAGUAGAACUUGUGUAGGAAUUUGAGGAGAAGAGCUUCAUUUUGAUUCUGGAGAUUGAUAACCCCCAAACCCCCUUGCUUCUUGGGCAAACACACCAAGGACCAAGCCGCUUUGGAUGGUUUCCUAGAUGCCAAGUCUGAACCUCUCCAGAGACAGUGCUUUCUAAAUUUGUCAAUUUGUGCAAUAACCCCUUUUGGGAGUUUAAAGGUGGCCAUGUGAAACAUUACUGUUGAGGUUAAUACCGAGUUGACAAGAUGUAGUUUUCCACCUUGUGAGAGCAUAGAGGAAAUACCACCUAAUUUUCUCUCAACCUUCUUGAUAACUGGAAGGAAGUCCUCAAAUUUUGGUUUGGUCGAUCCCAGGGGCAAUCCAAGGUAGGUAAAAGGGAGGGCACCAGUUUGACAAUUGAGCACAUUAGCCAGAACCUGCAGAGUUUCUGGACUGGUGUUUAUGGGGACCAUCACUAUUUUAGCAAAGUUGACCUUCAAACCAGUAGAUUCAGCAAACAUGUCUAGGAUGACUUUUAGGUGCAGGAGUUGACUUUGAUCUGCUUCCAUGAUUAACAAAGUGUCAUCUGCGUAUUGGAUGACCGGGAAGUCUGUGCCCACUCCAUUCUCAAUGGGCAAGCGAAUUCUACCCUCCUCUUUGGCUCUAUUUAGGAUGGACUGUAAAAGAUCAGCUGCUAGCACAAAGAGAAGAGGCGAAAGGGGAUCACCUUGCCUGACUCCCCUUCUACAGUGAAAGACUUUUCCUGAGACCCCAUUCAGGAUAACUGAAGAUGUUCCUGAGGUAAGAAUACUUUCGAUCCAUUUGAUCCAUCUGUUUCCAAAACCCUUAUGCUUUAAGAUUUCCAGAAUUGCCCGAUGCUCAAUUUUAUCGAAAGCCUUUUCAAAAUCCAGUUUAAGAAUAACCAAGUCUUUCCCAGAGGCUUUACAUAUGUGUAGGAACUCAAAGGCCCAUGCCAAACAAUCUUGAAUGCUUCUGGUUUUAAUGAAGCCAUAUUGAUUCUUAUGCACUAGUUCUGGGAUGACCUUCUGCAGUCUUUCAGCAAGAAUUUUUGUGAUAAGUUUGAUUGAAGAGUUUAGAAGAGAAAUAGGUCUGAAAUCUCCAACCUCCAAAGGACAGUCCUUUUUCGGGAUAAGAGUGAUAUAUGAGGAGUUGAUACUUUCCACACAUACUUCUCCCACAUAGAAAGCGUCACAAAGGGAGUAGAAGUCAGGAGCUAUCAGGUGCCAACAUUUCUUUAUAAACUCGCCAUUGAACCCAUCUGGACCAGGGGAUUUGUUGGCAGGUAUCUCCUUGAUAAUAUUGUCAAUUUCUUGUCUUGAGAAGGGUAAUUCCAAACGAUCCAAAUGAUUGGAUGGGGUUAGGAGGGAUUGGAGGUCAAAAUACAUGUGGGUAAAAUUGCUCCUGCCCAUCCUGUCUCUGAAUGCUUCCCACAGCAAUGCAGCUUUGACGUGAUGAUCCUUACAUUGUUGGCCGGAUGAAUUUUGGAGACAGGUGAUAUGAUUGAGUUUGUUUCUGAUAGAUGCCCUUGCAUGAAAAAAAAUGAGUGCUUUCAUCGCCCAGUUUAACCCAAUUGAUGGAGCUCCUUUGUUUCCAAUAAAUCUUCUGUUGUUGUAAGAGAGAGGUCAGAUGUGAAGAAAUUACGUCCCUGAAAGUCCACUCUUCCAGAGUUAAGUCUCUGAACUCUUCCAUUACAUCAAGGAAGAAAAGGACAUCCUUUGUGUUUUGAAUAGAUUUGGCCAAACUCUGUAGAUUUGAUUUCCACACUCGCAGCUCCUUCCAUAGAUUCUUGAAUUUAGCUCCAAUUAUCCUAGCCUUGUCAUUGUAAGGUGGGGUAUAAUUCCAACUCCUCUGCAAAAGUGCUGGGAAGUGCUCAUGAUGUAGCCAAUAGUUUUCAAACCUGAAAAGCUGAGGUGCUGGAAUAUGGGUUGAAGCAGAAAUAACACAGGGAUUAUGAUCCGAUGAAUCUCUAGAAAGGACAGAGGCACAAGUGUUGGGGUAUUUGGAUAUCCAGGAAGAGGAAGAGAAGAACCAAUCCAGUCUCUCCAGGAGUGGGCUGACUUGUUUGUUGGUCCAGGUGAAUUUUCCCCCUUUUAACUGAAGUUCAUUUAGACUUAGACGGCUGAUGGCAUCAUUGAAGAGGAACAUAUCUUGAAGAUUACCACCUGGCUUAUUUCUAUUCUCUGGCCUUCUUAGGAGGUUAAAAUCACCCUCUACAAGCCAACGUUCCUCCUCAGGCAUAUCAAUUCGUUUGAACCACCUUAAAAAUUCAAUUUUCCCAUCUGGGGUACAGGGGGCAUAGAUGUUCGUUAUGAUCCAGGAGUCCCCCGAGAGCUUGCAGUGGAAUUCUAUAGACUGCGCAAACCUAUUCUGAUAGAGGGGUUCUCCUCUGAGUUUAUCAUUAUUCCAGACAACCAAAAGACCACCCGAGUUCCCAAUUGACGGGACAAAAUCAAACUGGUUGAAAUUGGCGCAACAAAAAUUCCUUAGAUAGGCUUCAGAGAAGGAAUCUCUCUUGGUUUCUUGUAAGCAGAUAAUGUCAGCUUUAGAUUCUGCAAUUUUACUUCUAAUAGCAUUCCAUCUAGUCACCGAGUUGAUGCCCCUCACAUUCCAAGACAAAAUAUUCCAAGAUCUUCUAGAAUUCAUAUAAACCAAAGGGGGAGGCUAACUGGAACAUUAUGCCAGUCUUCAUGACACUUAAGAGGCAAGAAGCAGAAUAAGGAUAAAGCGCACAGCUGAUAGACAAAUAACCGAGGCACGUAAAAACCAACAACAUCCAGGAACAAUAACCGUCCACAAAGCAGAAAGGCUAUACAGGUUUUAAAGUACGACAUAAGGUGUUCAUCACUGAGUCACUAAGAAAACAGUUCCGGAGAGUUCACCAUAAAAGCCAACAAGAGACAAAAGACAUGAAGCGGCCUCAGAUUUCUUCAGACUCCAUUAGAGCUGUUGGACGACGCUUCUGACAGGGCCUCCUUCCCCUUGUUGUCAGCUUCAGCAAGACUUGCAGUCAUCGUCCUCCCUAUGGGUUUCUGAGAUCCAGAAUUGAGAGACAGCUUUCCCGGUCCAAUUUUAGUUCUGUCGAGCGCGCAUACCUUUGCACCCAAGCCCUGAAUGACAUCAGCACUGAUUGUGGGUGGGCGAGCAGAGCAGGCUAGGCAUGUGUUGUCCUGGCAAGAAGAUCUGCGGAAGCCUUUGUUUUUUGCUUUGAUUCGGUCGCUCCUUCUGACCGAGGAUUCACAUUCUGGUGCCACCCUGACGCCUAGACGAGCUCUGGCUUUCUUAGGUGACCUUGUUUCUUUCAAGUCAGGUUGAGCUGUCUUACUGGGUCCAGAGGAUGAAGAUCCCUCCUCUUCCUGAGAUAGCUGACAAAUUAGGGGAGAAAGACUUGGGCAUCUCUGGGGAAUAGCAAAAGCCAUCAAGGCUGUCUGGUUGGAGCAUGAGAGCAGGAAGUCCCAGGUCUUGGAGGCCAGAAACUGCUUGGCCCAGUCAAAGUGUUCUGGAGACAUGAGCAUAGUGAUGAAGAAGGCAGCCCAAUCAGGAGGUAUCUGUGUUACCUGUUCAGGACAUCCAACAGGGGAGAAGUGCUGGGCCCAAAGUCUAUAAACAUUAGGAUUCUGCCCAUGCCUUUGUUUUUCUGUGGUAGAGCCUUGGGGGGUGUAAAGACAGUCAGGUAAGAAAGAUGACAUGUUGCCUGUGAUAUUCCUGGGCAAGUGGGAGAGAUUCACCUGCUGAUGUUGAGUAAGGGCCAUGUUUAUGUUGAGAUUAACAAACAAAUGACCCUCCUGGGCCACAUCCUGACCGAGACCAACUCCCUCUUGAAAAGGGGCCUGCAGCCCAAGUACAACUUCCUGGGCACCUUGAAUCCCUUCCUGAGCCCCCAUCUGGACUAUGUUGCCAUGUUGAGCCCCCAUCUGUUGUGCAUGGAAAUCCAAGGGCUGACCCAUUUGAGGUGGUGGUACAACAGGGUCCAGCACUAUGGCUUGAGGUGAGCCCUCAUUGAAGACCACCAUAGGCAACAGAGGUGCCUCCAAGUCUGGAGAUGGGGAGGCCUGUGGCGGUGGAGACAGAUGGUGUAAAUCCAGUUCCACUUGCUGUUCCUCCUCCUGGUGAAUAGCCUGAGCUUCCUCCAAAAGAAUAUCCAGCAUUGCCUCAUCAUCAGGAUCUUCCUCAUCAACCAAGUCCUCAUCAACCAAGUCCUCCAUCAGAUCAUCCUCUUGCAUAUUAUGGUUGUUAUGGUUGUCCUGUGGGUUGACAUUCAGGUCGGGAAGACCCCCCUCCUGUUGCAAGGCCGGAUUCUGGUCGUUAUCAAGCUGAUUUGGUGGGCCUUGAUGCUGGAUACCUGGAAAGAUAAAGUUGUCAUCUAGUCCCCCUGGGGGGAGAUCCUCAUCUUGCAGGAAUCCCCCCAACAGGUUCUGUUGCAAAAUUUCACAUUGGACUGUGAAUGAGACCCCUUCAAAAUCAUCUCCUUCGGAGAGGAUAAGAUAAUGUGGUACAUCUGUGAGAUCCGUCACUCUUGCUUUUAUGAUAACUCUUGCCAGCACAUUAUCUUUUUGCCACAGAAUCAUUCUGCCAAAAGAACUAAUAGCAUCUUCAAUUUCACGGGCUGAGCAGCUAUCUAGGGGGAACCCAAUGAGCAUUAGCCAGCAUUCUCUAUUAAAAGUGACCCUUCUAGCAUUUGCUGCUCUAUUGUGCUGAACAAACGAGAAAGCAAAACCAUUGCGGAAAUGAGGGCUCUGAGCGAUUAAAGCAUCUCUAUCUGACGGACAACCCAACCGAACAUAAGCUUGCCCCCUUCCAAAGGGACACCGCUGAACAUCCAGCACCUCCAGCCCCAAAUCAUGUUCCAAAAAUUGUAAAACGACAUUGCGCAGAGGACCAAAGAGGAUCUCACCAGGGGGGAGAUUUGUCACUAUGACAACUGCCAGAUUUUCGUUUCUUGGAACCGCCCUGGGGUGGACGACCCGAGCAAAUGGCUGACGUCCAUGGAUGAUGACUCUGUUAAACCCUGCAAGCAUCAUCGGCUGAGGGUCUAUGUUGAGGAAAGCCAUGGGUGCUGAGGGGAGAGGUGGGGGACGGCAGGUGUCAAAGUUCUCUGGAGUUGGGGGGAAAAGCUGCAGAGCAAGGGGACCCAACGAAGACGAAGGGGUCAGAAGGGGAGCGACGGUUGCAAUUCCGGGCAGAGGAGCCGGAGGUUGGGCAGGUGAGGUGGGCCGCUGUCCUGGAGAUGGGCCGGCCUUGAACCAAGUAAGAUGGCAAUUUGAGGGCCAAUCUCCAGCUGAGAUGCAAGGAGAAAAAGAGCAGCCGAAAGAGUCGCCACAGCGCUUAAUGAAACCUUGAAGGUCGUGGUAGGCUUUGCAGUCAUUACGGAUGUGUCCCUGCUUUUUACAGUGCCAGCAGGAGAUACGACUGACACAAGAAGAUCUUAGGUGGUUGGGAGAUAGACAUCGGGAACACCUGAAGACUCCAGGACCAGCAAAGCCGAAGCUAGGGAUCCUAGAAACUGGAGGCCCGCGCCCUACAACCGGCCUAUUAUCCCUCACAGUUGACCGAUUCAAACUUGGGGAGCCCAGCCGUUCGAAAACCGAUUGUCUGACUUUCACCGGAGCCAACUGUAAGGGUCGAUCCGAGGUUGAGGAGGUGCCAACCAUGGGGGCUGGAUUGCAAGGACGGGGGCGUCCUCCAAGGGGAAUCAAAUUGGCACCUGAGAGGGGAGAGGCUUGGUUCAAAUUUAGCUUCACAGCUUCCGCAUAAGACCGGUUGAAACCUGAGGAAGAGCAACCUUUUGAUGCCAGAGAAGGACAACUAUCCACAUGAAAGCCCUUAGAUGCAUGAGAGGAGCUUCCAUAGAAGCAAAAACCAUUGGAAUCUUGAGGAACCUUAUCAUACUUGAUCAAUUUGCUGGAACUAACUUGCCGGGAAUCAUCGGAUUGCCACAGAGCCUGAUCAUUAACAAAAGAAACCGCUUUUCCUUUUCUGGGGCGCACAAGCUCCCAGUGAUAAGCAGAUCCAGAAAGUUUCUUGGCAAAGGAGAAAGCCUGCACUAGACCGGAGGAGUUGUGGAAGAAAAACCCAACAUGAAAACCAUCGCAAGAGAAAUCCUUGAGGUCCAUACAGAGAAAACCAACAUGUUUAGAGAAAACAUGGAACUUGAAGACUUGAGGCCCCAGCUGAGAAACAAGAAAACCCGAUGCAUGCCCACCGAGAAUUGCUUGGAGACAACGGCUCACAGAGGACGGGGUCAGCCGGAAAUUGUUCCUGCUGAACGCUAUCACCAGAGAGAACCCUUGAUGCUGAGCAGACUUAGAUUGGACCACUUGUGAUCCAAGCAGAUCCUUCACCUUGGCAGCAAAGGCAAAACCAUGACUCUGAACGAACUUGAAAGAAGCCAUGAAGACCAACCCAAGAAGAACCAAGAGCAAAGGGAACCGAGCAGCGGGCAGAAGAAGUUCAGUCACCAGGGGUGGAGGAAAAAAGAAGCCCAAGAAGCGUCUCUGAGAAGAGGGUCAGCGAGACCAUAGAACCACCAACAGAAAGAACUCCAACGAGGAGUUACCUGACCGGCACCAACCCCGAGCAGCUAGGGGAAGGCGGAGGCGGUGGCCAUGGCCGGGGCCAUGGCAGCGCAGCCUGCUCUCGCUCUCGCGUUUUUAUUCAGAUUGAUGUUGAGGAGAGAUCGGAGAUGCAAGGCUAGCUGGAAGCACGGUCAAUCAGAGGUGCAUCUGCACAGCGCACAGAGAGGCUUCGCAUUCGUUCCCUUUCUUUCCUCCUCCCCUCUUCCCGUCUUCCGGUACCCCCCGGCUCCAGUUCUCUGUCUUUCUGGGCCCCCACACCCACCGAAUUGCGAAGUUGCAAACGCUCCCAGCCCCAACUACGGAUGGACGCGUGCACAUCCACUGCCUGUCUUCUUUGGCAGGGCCUUGAUGCCCGCCCAUGGUCCCUGCCCAAAGAUCCCAGAUCGAUAGGUCCCAUUUCUUAAGAGAGAGAGAGAGGCAGGGACUGUACUUAGGGGGUGUUUGGAUACAAGGUGUUAAACUUUAACAGUGUCACAUUGGAUGUUCGGAUGCUAAUUAGGAGAACUAAACAUAAGCUAAUUAUAAAACUAAUUGCAGAACCCUGUGCUAAUUCGCGAGACGAAUCUAUUAAGCCUAAUUAAUCCAUCAUUAGCAAUUAGUUACUGUAGCACCACAUUGUCAAAUCAUGGACUAAUUAGGCUUAAUAGAUUCGUCUCGUGAAUUACACUCCAUCUGUGCAAUUAGUUUUGUAAUUAGCCUAUGUUUAAUACUCCUAAUUAGCAUCCAAACAUCCGAUGUGACAGGUGUUAAACUUUAACACAUGGUUGCCAAACAGGCCCUUAAGUUGGGAGGAAGGAGCUAAAGUUUAGCCCACUUAAAUUAAAUGAAAGGCUAAAGUUUAGCACUGGGGUAUAUGGGCGAGGGGCUAAACUUUAGCACUUUGGUUGACAAAAGAUAAUAAUACCCCUCAUCUCUCUUCCCUUUCUCUCCCUCAACUCCCCACCUUCCCCAGCCGCGCCGAGCGUGGGGUAGGAGGAGAUGCGAAGGAGAGAGAGGGGGUGUUGGAGGGGAAGGGGAGGAAUUUUGGACAAUGGGACACUUUUAGUCCCUUUAAUCCAUUUUAGCAUCCUUGGAGGGGCUCUCCUAUUUUAAACCUCCUAUUUAGGAGCAAUAGGAGCAAGACGCUAAAAUUUGACUAAAAUGGGGAGCUAAAUUUAACCCCCUCCCAAACACCCUUAGUUUUUUUCAUGAUCGAUCGAGGAGUGCCCCCGAAUGCGAACAACAGAAGAAAAGGAGAGAGAGAUAAGGGGUUGCUUUUGAGCUUUUAUGUGGGGCAGCGACCAGGAGCUCGGUCCGCCAUCUUUUUUGUUUUUUUAGCUCUUUUUGCGGAAGAUUCUCACAAAUAGGCUCCUGGCGGAACCAAUUCCAAAAAUGGACCCUUAGCUUGGCGCUAUCCAUGCUGACGCCAAGCUACAACAUCUCGGCGCUAGCCAUCCUGACGCCAAGGUCUAUGCGCAGCUGCUGACGCGGGUGCCGAUGUGGCGGGGGCUUGGCGCCAUCCAUCAUGGCGCCAAGCCUUGGCGCCGUGGAUCUUGGCACCAAGCUUAGCGCCGUCGAUCUUGGUGCCGAGCUAUCUACCUCGUACCUCUUCGCGUUUCGAACUAAACAAGUAUAAUUAUUCGGAUGAGUGUGCAACAAACUAAGCUGUGUUUCAACUGGUUAGGAGGUGGGAUUCGUUCAACACAGGGGUUUGAACUCAGGUCUCCAGGAUAAGAAGCCCACCUCCUAACCAGUUGAACCACAGCUUAGUUUGUUGCACACUCCUUAGAAUAAUUAUACUUGUUUAGUUCGAAACGCGAAGAGGUACGGGGUAGAUAGCUCGGCGCCAAGAUCCACGGCGUCAAGGCUCCGCCACGUUGGCAUCCGCGUCAGCAGCUGCGCAUGGACCUUGGCGCCAGGGUGGCUGGCGCCGAGACGUGUAAGCUUGGCGCCAAGCUUGGGUCCAUUUUUUAAAUUGGUUCGAGCAUAUUUGUGAGAAUCUUUCGCAAAAAAGUUAAAAAACAAAAAAGUCGGAGAGAGAGGGCGCCUGUGUACUGUGGAGCCUACCUGGGGAUGUGCGGCUGGCCCCGUCGUGUGACAGAAAAGAAUGCAGGCCAGGAUUCCCCGGACUGGCCCCUAGGCCCCUCCCUGACGAGCGAGCGAGGCAGGAGUAGAAGCAAACAUCCAACUGCAUGCCUUCUCCUGUGAUCUGAUUUGUACUCUCCCACGGUGCUCUGCUCCCAUGUCCGAAGCUUGGCCAUGGCCGCCGCCGCUCUCCACUCUCUUCUCCGGAACCGGCCCAUCCAUCCGAACCAAGGGCGCGUUUGGAAUAGACCAUUAUGUGCCCUGCCAAUCCAUUGGCCGGCCAAAUUUUGGCGGCCGCCCUGAAAUCAGCCACGCAGGGCAGCGAAAAUGAACUGUGCAGUCACUCUGGGCGUUCGGGUUACCCGAAUAAUUCGGGUCGGGUAGUUCACGUUUUAGGAAAUUUGGUAAUGAACAGUAUUAUCCGAUAACAACUCAAAAAAUUAGUGCUCGUGUUUUCGGGUACCGCAAUUUCGGGUUCGGGUUUGGGUAUACCCAAUAUACCCGAAAGUAUAAAAUCACACACACCAAGUCAGCAACCAUCACAAAAUUUGAGGUCGACGUGCGGGGACGGAGAGCCGGCGUUGAUGAGGUCGCUCCGCGUCACACCGUCGAGCGUCAACGCCCCUUCGGCCUUCGCGGCUUCGCCCGCGCCCCUUCACCGCUUCGGCCUCCGGUGCUUCCGCCUCCGGCCUCCGAGCUCUGGCGCUCCGACUCCGACAAGGCUGCGGUAGCCGCUGGCGGCCUGGCGCCCUAGCGGCGGAGAUGCGGAGCGGCGGAGUGGGCAAGUGGCGGCUAGGUUUUGGACGAGUCGCGGAGUAGACGAGCGGCGGGUGACCGAAUGACUGAAUGAGGAUCGGCUGGACCGCUGGAUUGAGCAGUUGAGGCGUUGCGCCUGCCACUGUUGCCUGUUGAGCCGGGCCGGGGGGAUGUUUGGAGUUUGGACAAAUGGACAUUUUGGAUAGUUCGGAUACCAGGUACAUUUACCUGAAUUACCCAAAUUAAAAUCAGGUAAUACGAGUCGCUAUCCGAACUAAACAUCGAGCACUGCAAGUUCAGGUUUUUCGGAUCCGGAUCCGGAUAGUUUAGGUUCGGGUAACAGGUAGCGGAUAAUUUGCCCAGAGUUACUGCGCAGCGGGCAGGCGAGCUGGGUGCGGCCAAAUCAUGGCCUUAAUCCAAUCGGCAAGCUCGCCUGCAGUCCACGGCCAAUAUUUGGCCUGGCCGACGCGGGCUUCCACCCAAACGAGCCCCAAGAACCAGCGGGUAUCAGAUCAGCAGCAACUACCUACUACCAUGAUGGACGAGACUGAAGGGGUGUUCGGAUGCACUCCACUAAAAUUUAUCACCUGCCAUAUCGGAUGUUUGAAUGCUAAUUAGGAAUAAUAAACAUAGACUAAUUACAAAACUAAUUGCAUAGAUGGAGUCUAAUUCGCGAGAUGAAUCUAUUAAGCCUAAUUAGUCCAUGAUUUGAUAAUGUGGUGCUAUAGUAACUAUUUACUAAUGAUGGAUUAAUUAGGCUUAAUAGGUUCGUCUCGCGAAUUAGUAUAGGAUUCUGCAAUUAGUUUUAUAAUUAGCUCAUAUUUAAUCCUCCUAAUAAACAUCCGAAUAUCCAACAUGACGCUGCUAAAAUUUAGCACCUAUACUCAAACAACUUCUGAAAUAGAGAGAGAGAGGGCUGCUGGCUGCGUGCUGCAUCCCCCGUUCGAGUUCUCUCUCCUCUCUGUGGUGUUGUGGAAGUGGAACGUCUCUUUUCAUCGCCGCACCCCGACCACCCAACCGAUGCGAACAAAAAGAGCGUACUAGGGUGCAGCUUUUCUGGAGAGUGAUAGUUUUUCUUUUCCUUUUUCUAAUUGAUUGAUCAUGUGUUUGAUCGUUGAGCUAAUGUUGGAGGCUAAUUAGAAGGACUAAAUAUGAACUAAUUAUAAAAUUAAUUACAGAAGCUCUAGGCUAAUUUACAAGACGAAUCUAUUAAACCUAAUUAAUCCAUCAUUAGCAAAUGGUUACUGUAGCACAACAUUAUCAAAUCAUGGACUAAUUAGACUUAAUAGAUCCAUCUCGCGAAUUAGCCUUCAUCUGUACAAUUAGUUUUGUAAUUACCUUAUAUUUAAUACUCUUAGGGGGUGUUUGGAAACACCCAAGUUUAGUACUUGUCACAUCGGAUGUUUGAUACUAAGGGUGUGUUUGGUUACUCUGACUUAUUUUUAGCACCCGUCACAUCGAAUAUUUAGAUAUUAAUUAGGAGUAUUAAACGUAGACUAUUUACAAAAUCCAUUACAUAAGUGGAGGCUAAACGACGAGACGAAUCUAUUAAGCCUAAUUAGUUCAUGAUUUGACAAUAUGUUGCUACAGUAAAUAUUUGCUAAUGAUGGAUUAAUUAGGCUUAAUAGAUUCGUCUCGCCGUUUAGCCUCCACUUAUGUAAUGGGUUUUGUAAAUAGUCUACAUUUAAUACUCCUAAUUAGUGUUUAAAUAUUUGAUGUGACACGUGCUAAAAAUAAGCAAAGGGAACCAAACGCCCCAUAAUUAGAAGUAUUAAAUAUAGUCUAAUUACAAAACUAAUUGCACAGAUGGAGUCUAAUUCGCGGGAUGAAUUAAUUAAGCCUAAUUAGUCCAUGAUUUGACAAUGUGCUGCUCCAGUAAACAUGUGCUAAUCAUGGAUUAAUUAGGCUUAAUAGAUUCGUCUCGCGAAUUAGUAUAUGGGUUCUGCAGUUAGUUUUAUAAUUAGCUCAUGUUUACUCAUCCUAAUAGCAUUCGAACAUCCGAUAUGACCUUCCUAAAGUUUAAUACUCGUAUCCAAACACCUCCUUAAUUAGGAUCAAACAUCUGAUGUGAUAUAGACUAAAGUUUAGCUCUUGGUAUCCAAACGGGACUUAAGCAUAUGUGCAAAAGAAACAUCCAAUCAGAUCGACUUAAGCUCAAAUUAAUAGUAUUAUGGGAGUAGCUAACAAUGUUAAAUUGGAUCAAGCACCAAUGUACGGUGUCAGUCUCGACAGCUAUGGCUAGCUCUUGCCCUGCCCUGGCAGCUGCCACGCCCACGCACCGCAACACAGCUCCCAAGACCCCAACGGCUGCAAGGCCACCGUGAAGAACAAGACAAGACAGAAAACAAAGCAAGAAAGGCCUUUCUUUAGUUCCCAACUUUAAUAUUAUGAAAAAGAAGAUUUUCCAUCGCAUCUCUUGCAGUACAUGCAUGGAGUACUAAGUGUAGACGAAAUAAAAAACUAAUUGCACAGUUUUAUUGUACUUUGCGAGAUGAAUCUUUUGAGCCUAAUUAGUCAAUGUUUGGACAAUAAUUCACAAAUACAAACGAAAAGCUACAGUUGCGCAUUUAUGGUCUUGUUUAGUUGCCCAACUUUGGACAACCAAAAUUACUGUAGUGCAACUGUAGCGUUUCGUUUGUAUUCGUGAAUUAUUGUCCAAAUAUUGACUAAUUAGGCUCAAAAGAUUCGUCUCGCAAUGUACAAUAAAACUGUGCAAUUAGUUUUUAAUUUCGUCUACAUUUAGUACUCCAUGCAUGUACCGCAAGUUUGAUGUGAUGAGGAAUCUUCUUUUUGCGUAGUGCCAAAGUUAGGAUUUAGGAGUGAACUAAACGAGGCCCAGCUUCUUUUGUAUUAUCUCUUGUAACUUUCUGCAGAGAGAUAACAUCAAAUAGUGGGCGACCUCAUCAUUCCCAGUCAUAAUCCCCAGGAGAGAGCCAUCUCAUUGGACUGGUGCUCCCACUUUUGCAAAUUAUAAGUUAUUCUAAUUUUCUUGGAGAGUCAAACUAUUUUAUGUUUGAUCAAAAUUAUAAAGAAGAUCACAAAGAUUUAUGCACCGAAUAGAUAUACUAUGAGAAUAUAUUUAAUGAAAAAACUAACGGUACUUAUUUGGUAUCAUGAAUAUUAGUAUUUUAUUGUAUAAAUUUGGUCAAACUUGAGAUGUUUUAACUCUCCAAGAAAAUUGGAACAACUUGUAAUUUGAUGGAAGGAGUAGUAUGUGUGUGGUCCGGUCCGAGUGGAGCCUCGUUUUCUCAUUUCCCAUCUCCAAAGACUUCCAAUAGAUUUUUCGAGGAACCAAAAUUCAAGUAAUUUCCUGUUUAUAUCUGAACACCAUUUCAUACCACAUAGCACGUGACAAAUUGUGAGCAGGUGCCCGAUGAAUGAAACAUUAGCAUCGUUUCAGUAAUGCAUGUUUGAAAAGCUCUGGACAUUGUAGUACUAAUCUGGUGCCGGAAUAUCUUGAAAAGAGGAGCAACUACUGCCGGGCCCGUAUGCAGGACAUGGACCACGUAAAUUGCGGCAAUUUGGUGGUGGUCCUUGUGAGUUGUAACCCUCCUAAAAACACACACACAAAGGGCUAGCCAUUGCAUUGUCUCUUGCACACAACACAAGUUGAGACUCUCGAGUCCUUGGUAGGCUAUGGUGCUGAAUUAUCAGGUUAUUGGCUACAAACAACUAGCUAUAUCUGGUGAUGCUGAUGGGAGAACAAAACAAUCGAGCUUUUCCCUCACAUGUAAGGUGCUGGAGAAAGGUCAGCUAAAGUUCUUGCGUUGCCGCAAAAAGAGAUGUCAUCAUAUUAGCAGCAAAUCGAAGUGCCUUAAUAUAUAACCAGCAGGGAUAAAACCCUCCUGUUUCAUAAAAAAAAAAGCAGCAAAUCGAAGUGCCUCUCGCAUCGGUCCGGAAAGCCCCAGCGGUUGCUAGGAGACGCAUGCAAGCCCAAAAGAGGCUUAUCUUAUCUUUGUCACUUUUCAGGAAAAAUCUUAGUACCUUCAGCACAUCUAACUUCAGCAAAGCUAUGCAUGUACACAUAAAAGGCUAUAGUCACCGUCGGAUAAAGCAAAAUGAAGUGUACAUACCGUAGACAUCUUCACCAGCUGUGUCUGUAUAUGUAAUUUCCAGUAAUAAAAUCUGGCAGAUAUAUUUUCAUUUUUCGUCCAAUAGUCAGAAUUAUAUCUUUGACUAAUGUUACAAUCUUCUCUUGUCUCUGUUCUGUCAAUAAGAAACCGUUGAACCUGGUGUUUGUAACUAGUGAUGUAACCAAAACAGAAGCUAGAAGAUACUGACCUCUGAACAAAAAAUUCCUUUUUUUUCCCCAGCCUGUACAAGGAAUGUUAGUAGCUUCUGACUAUUGUUGAAGUGAUUAGCAUGCGCCAGGCUUUCCGAGGAGUGUAGAAUUAAUUACGCAACUCCUUGUAGACAUUAAUCGUUAUUAUUAGAAUCAUAAUUUCUACCGUCACGUUAAAAUAUAAAAAACUAAAUAUAAGCGCAUGCAGCUACCUGAUUAGUACCAUUAAUUUUAUUUUUUCCCCAAGACAUAUCACGCUCUUGACGGUAAUACAUGCACCUCAAUUCUUUUAAUGAAAGUUUGAUCAGAAAAUUAGUCCGGCGCGGCCCAGACUCUAUUACCUAUAAUUACAUACUGUAACGUCGAGUUUUCUGGACAAGCCGAAGUCAGGGAGAAAGACACCUCAUUUUUUAUUUCGCGACAGUGGUCUCUCAUCGGCUUCACCUGCAGUUUGCAGCAGCGCGCCGCCUGCCCGUCACUGGCUUGUGACUGCUGGGGAACGGCUGGCCAGGCGCGCGAGCUGAGACCUGAAGGUGAUGCCUCAUCAUCACCGCGCUGGCGUGACAGCGACCCGGCACUGGAUGGUGGCUGGCCGGCGAGCGAGACCUGAAGGUGAUGCCUCGUGAUAGCGACCCGGCACCGGACAGGAGUUGCCUGCUGGUUGCAGUGGCUUCACUUGGAAGCUGGUUCCGUUCAUCAUCUCAGUCCUUCCACGCUGCCAUCUCCAUUGUUCUCAGCACACCCUUGGGAACGCAUGAGGUAUGCUCAUUAGUCCUCUCGUCGUGAGUUUGCAUCCUCCUCAUUCUAUAGCUAGUUUGGCCUCUCGUAGGUGCUGAUUGUUGCCUGAUUCCAAACCAUCUUUCAUUACCAGAUUCCAGCCUCCUCUGUUCCGAAGCGACGCCCAUGAGAAUCAAGAUGGCAUGGCACUACUAACCAGGAGGGAUUUGGCAUCGACGACUCCUUGUCCGACGACAUCUUCUCCGCCCGGUCCGGUCCUCUGCUGUACGUCCUGUUUUCGGAUCUGGACGUGUCUUCUCCAACACCUCUGCUCUGCGCGUUCCUCUGCCGGAUCUUACUCUUUUGAGGAAGUCUCUACAGAUUUGAGCACACGCUCUGGCUGAGUGCCAGCCCUGGUGUGCAUCCGUUUUGUGGUAGGUACACGUACACCUCUUUCUCUCAUGUUCCUCGAAUGAAUCCUUGUCACGUGUUACUGAUUUGUUCUCUGCGAUUGCAAAUGCCUUUCUCUCUGCCUUCAGAUCCAGAAGGAACCUGUGAACCACUGCGUGACUCGUGAAGAUGGAGUUCGCGUUCAGCGCGGCGCGGUGGGUGGUGGGCAAGGCGCUCGCCCCCGUCGCAGACGGCUUCCUGGAGGCGUGGGCGGCCAGCAAGAAUCUCGGCUCCGAGGUCGAUGGCCUCAUGACGGAGCUGCAGUACGCGCAGGCCAUGCUCAACAACACCCGUGGCAGGGACAUCGACAACCCGGCCCUCAACGACCUGCUGCUCAAGCUGCGUCUGCUGGCCUACGACGCCGACGACGUGCUCGACGAGCUCGACUACUUCCGCAUCCAGGACGAGCUCGACGGCACCUACCAUGCCGCUAACGAGCACGCUGGGGGAUGCGCCCGUGACCUCCUCCUCAAUGCUCGCCACACUGGAAGAUACGUUGCCAAUAAAUUCAAGCUCUCCUCAGGCUCGCCUGAUGCUACUCGUGGAAGACAAACUGCACAGAUACCAAAAUUGAAGUUUGAUAGGGUGGAUAUAUCUACAAGGAUGACAGAGAUCGUAAAGAAGCUCAAUCCCAUCUGUGCUAAGGUCUCAACCGUUCUUAAUCUAGAGCUGAUAGGCUCCAAAGGUAUCACUACUGCCACCAUGGAACGGCCCACAACCAGUGAGGAAAUUACAGAGCCUAGAUUGUAUGGGAGGGAGACAGAGCUACAGAGUGUUGUAGAUUCCAUUACCCAUGGUGAAUGUUUUGCCAAUGAACUUACUGUGCUUCCAAUUGUUGGCCCGGGCGGUAUUGGGAAGACAACUUUCACACAACAUGUGUACCAAGAAGUGAGGAGCCAUUUCCAAGUUACAAUUUGGAUAUGCGUCUCUCUGGAUUUCAAUGCAGAUAGAUUGGCACAAGAAGCUGUGAAAAAGAUUCCCGAAGAUGAAAAGAAAAGUGGUAGUGACCAAGAACUAAUUGAGCAAAGAUUAAAAGGUAAACGGUUUUUGCUUGUCCUGGAUGAUAUAUGGAAGUGUCAUGAGGAUGAGUGGGAAAAACUACUAGCACCAUUUAGAAAAGGUGGAGGAAAAGGUAAUAUGGUUAUAGUCACAACUCGGAUGUCAGAUGUGGCCAAAAUGGUUAAGACAGGUGAUUCUCAAAUACAGUUGGAUCGUUUAGGAGCUCAAGAUUUUAAGGAUUUCUUUGACGCAUGUGUAUCUACCAGACAUGAGUUCUGGUCAGAGCAUCCUGAGUUAAGUGAAAUUGGGAAAGAAAUAAGGGUCAAACUGAAAUGUUCACCUCUUGCAGCAAAAACUGUAGGGAGAUUACUAAGAAAACAGCUCACUUUGGAGCAUUGGAGAAGGGUUCUAGAGAGCAAAGAAUGGGAACUCCAAACCAGUGACAAUGACAUUAUGCCAGCGUUGAAGAUUAGCUAUGAUUAUCUUCC